rnacentral:lncRNA from 1 species
CGAAUUCUUGAUGAGAGGAAAGCCGAAAUGGCAUCUGCAAAUGGGAAUGAUGCUGAAGAGAAAGGUUUCUAAAAUCUUCUGAUGAUACAGUAAGGGAAGGAGGAAAGGGAGUAAUGGAGGGAUACAGAUAGGGCAAGGGAGAGGAAAGGGGAAAGAAGGCAGGCAUAGGAAGUUUGAGUAAGAGCAGCGGGAGAUAAGAUAUGACUUUGUCUUAAGGUUAGAAAUUAGGAAAAAGAAAAGGCAGAGGAAAGGAGGGGCGGCGCUGUCUUACUGUUGAAAAAACAAAAGGAAGAGGAUCCCGCACAAUGCGCGGAAAGGACGAGGGGGUCACAUGAGGACGACGAAGUCACGCGCGGAACGAUGAAACCCUUUGCACUUUUAUUACUUAUGUAGAUAAAACAAGAAUCAUCAAAAGGCAACAAUAGUAAACAACUAAAAUAUACCGAUUAUUAUAUGCUCAUAAAACGGAAUAAAAUGUCAACUAAUCUUACAAACUUAUCAUCCAUCAACCUUUAAUCCCAACUUUCAAAAUAACCCAAAUCAGCUAAGUACUAUGCUCCACGAAUAAUUGAAUUUAGUCCAAAAAAUCAACUUUAUUUCCAAUCCAAAGUCCAAUGAACAAACUUUAUUUCAAUACAAAGUCAAUCACUUUUAAUUCCAAAUCUCAAAAUUACCACACUUAAAUCACAAAGAUUAAGCAAUUCAAGAAAUAAUCAAAUUAAAAGUAAAUCCAACCUAAUAGCUAGUUUGGGAGGAUGGAAAUGAAAAGAAAAGAAAGGUUUUGAAAGGAUAAUAAAAUAUUUCCAUUGUUUGGGAGUAAAAAUGAGAAGGAAAGGAAAAGAAUUGGAAAGAUUUCACAUCCCUCCACAUUUUGGAAAACUUUCCACCCAAAUUGGGCAGAAAGGGAAGGAACGUGCGCUGGCUAUAAGUAACUUUUUAAAUAUGGCAAAACUACCCUUUAAAUCCUAAUACAUAACAUUUUAAUACCCGAUGAACCCUCUACUACAAAGCUCUCGGCAAAACAUCUAUUGUCAUCACUUUAUCUACCCAUCAUCAUCUUCCUCUGAGAAAUAGGUGAACAUCUCCUCUCAUUUUUUCCAACCAUCAUCUUCUUCCUCUAAGAAAUAGGUGACUUUUACAUCCUUCUGCAUCUUCGAUGGGCUUCUAAUCAGGUGCAUCUCUAUUUCAUUGUUAUCUUCUUUGCUAUUUUUUGUUGAGAUAUUGCAUAUAGAUGGGGAAGAAAGAUUAAUAAUAUCUUUUGGGUUUCUAUGGCUGCAUUGAAAUUCCAUGAGUUCUUGUACUACUCUUUUGAUUUUAGGGUCACACAAGUUUGUGACUUUGAUUUUUUUUUUUUCAGUCAUGGAAGCUUUUCUACUAGCUGCAUCUGUAAUAAACAAAUUCUACAGAUUUGGUGAACAUAUCUGAAGUUGAAAGCCAACAUCAUUCAGGUUUUGUAUCCAUCAUUGAUAUCCUAGUGAUUUUUUUAUAUUAUAGAAUAAAACAACUAACAUUAGUACUUUUAGAUGGAUAAGGAAGCAAAUGAUGUUCUAAACGAGUUUCAUAUUCAACAAAGAAAUCGAUAAUUAGCUGCUACUGAAGUUAUUUGUAGAGUGACAAAAUUGAUUAUGUCUCGGAGGGUUCAUAGUAGAAAUUAUAUAGAUCGACCUAUUGGAUACCGGUCUAUAGAAAGCCAGAAUGUAUGAGAGGAAAUAUUGAUGCAACUUAGACAAAUGAUAACGUGAAUAAAGUUAUCAGAAUGAGGCCUAAAACUUUUACACAUUUGUGUGAGUUGUUACAAACAAAUGGAGGUUUACAACCCACCCAAAGAGCAACAAUAGAAGAGCAAGUUGCCAAGUUUCUUCACAUUUUAUCACUUCCAGCAACGAAUGGAACAGUUUCAUUCUUUUAUCGUCGCUCGGCUGAAACUAUUAGCCGUCAUUUUCAUAGAGUACUUAAAGCAGUUAUACUCUUAGAAGAACAAUUUCUACGACAGCCUACAGGAGAAAAAGUACCACCAGAAAUCCUUAAUACUGAGAAGUUCUAUCCAUAUUUCAAGGUGAUGUUAUUUUCUAUACAGGUUGAAUUUUUAACUUCACAUAUAAACUCUUAUUAAAAAUUAAUAUACUAAAAUAUAUGUAGGAUUGUAUGGUUGCAAUUGAUGGAACUCAUGUCUGUGUCAAAGUGUCUAAUACUGAGGCAGCAAGGUAUCGUGGCAGGAAGAGCAUCCAACACAAAAUGUGUUGGCUGCAUGCUCUUUCGACUUAAAAUUCGCAUAUGUUCUACCUGGAUGGGAAGGAACUGCAUCGGACUUGAGAAUCAUAAAAAAUGCACUUAACAGAGGAGACAAAUUAAUUAUUCCUAAUGGUAAUUUUAAAUUUUUAAAUUUUUUAUAUGUAUAAUUGCAAAUAUUAGUAACUUGUUGAAGUCUUUAUAAGGAAAUUUUACCUUGUUUAUGGUGGAUUCAUGUUUAAAAGUGGACUGCUUACGCCUUAUUGAGGUUGCAUACCAUUUAAAAGAGUACUCAAAUCGGGGACCCCGAGAUUAUCGAGAACUUUUCAAUCUUUGGCAUGCAUCAUUGCGUAAUGCAAUAGAAUGGGCAUUUGGAGUUUUCAAAAAACACUUCCCGAUCAUAGGUGAUAACCAGCCAACAUAUGAUGUCAAUACGUAGUCAAAAAUUGUUCUUGCUUGUUGUAUUUUGUACAACUUUUUGAUGGAAGUAGAUCCAGAUUUGGAAUAUAUUGAUGAAAUAGAUGUAGAAUUGGCACACCAAUCUCCUUUCGAGGAUGAAAAUAUUGCAUCUACUAGUACUCAAGAAGAUUCAUCACAAGGCGAAUUUUUGAGAAAUCAAAUAGCCAUGCAAAUGUGGAAUGAUUAUGUAGUUUAAAAUUUUUGAAAUUGGUGCUGUAAACUUUUUGAAUUUUUUGAGCUGUAAACUUCCUAACAUGUACUAAAUGGUAUGUUUGGGUCUUGUUUUGGUGCCUGCACAAUGUAAUCAAGAUGUGGCAAUUGUUUAAAAUAUUUAUUUUUUGCUAAUUUUGUUUACUAUCUUAUCAUUACCAUUUAGCAUUUGAAAUGGGUGAAAAUUUGAAGAAAGAUCAGGAAGUUAAGAGAGAGCACUUGAAAUGGACAAAAACUAUGGAUGAUGCUUAUAUCCAAGCAUUAUUGAAUCAGCACUAUGAAGGGUAUCGAGUUGAUGGAACUUUCACAACAACGGCAUACAACAACAUUGUCAAGGAAUUGAAGGAUAAACUUGGCAAGGAUUUCACCAAAUGCCAUUUGAUGAAUUGAAUGAAGACACUUAAAUUGCAUUUCAAUGACUGUUAUGACUUGUUCAAAAAUGGAAAAUUUAGUGGCUUUUCUUGGAGCCCUGUGACAAAAAAUUGGAAUGCUGAACCUGAAGUUUGGGAGCAACUUUUAAAGGUAUGCGCUCAUUAAAUUUAGUUACAUUUUUUUGCUCAUUUUCAAUUCCUAUUGUAACAAUACUCCUAUUUAUUUAGGAAAAACCGGAUGCUGAAAAAUGGAGGACAAAACAAAUCCAUAACUACGACAAAUGAGAAGAUUAUUUGCUAAGCAUCGAGCUACUGGACAAGGUGCAAAAGAAACACACAAUAGAUGGGCCAAAUGAUACUGAAGUUGAAAGUUUUAUUGACGUUGAUCGUCUUCUCUCUCAAAAUGAGAUUACUAUAGAGAGUUUUGACAAUACAACUAAAGAUACUGGUGUGAAAGUUUCCAAAGCUUGCAACAAAAAAUCAGUACAAGGUACGUCAUCUACUCAAGGAAAAAAAAGAAAGCUGUCUGUUGUUGAUGAAGAACUUGAAAUUAUAAAAGGUGCACUUGAUAAUGUUGCUGAUGCAAUAAGGGAGGGAAAUUUUAUUUUCCAAAAUUCUAGAGAACGCUUCUACACCGAAAAUGAGAUUUACAAGGAGCUAACUAGUAUUGGAGUUGAAGCGGACUCUAUUGAUGGCUGCUAUCUCUUUUUGACUCAAAACCAAGUUAAAUCAAGAGCAUUUUUUGGUUGUCCAGCAGAAAGGCGCAAGAGUAUAUUGGAAAAAAUGAUGCAACAACAUUUUUUUCUUUUCUUUUCUCUCUUCUUCUUCUUCUUCUUCUUCUUCUUCUUCCUCCCCUUUCCCUCCCCGUUAUCUCUGCCUUCCCAGUUCCCAGCAGCCAUGGCCCUACGAUUUUUUUUCUUUUCUUUCUUUUUCUCUUUCUUUUUCUUUUUCUUUCUUUCUUUACUUUUUCUUUUCGUUCCUCUUUUCUUCUUUGAUGUGUGCAUGGAUCAGGGCCCACGCAAUGACCUAGUCCGAGUCCCAUUGGGCCCAGUCACACGUGCAUGGGCCAAGCUCUUCAAAGAAUCCCUCCAAACUCUCGUUCGAGUUGUCUAAGACCAACAUGGAGCCCAUAGAAAUAUUGAAAGCUUAGAAAGAGACAAUCAAGUAACUUACACCUUGAUCCAAGCCCAUGAAAAAUCAAGUGGGCCUCCUUGUGCGUCGACCGAGUAGGGCCUUAGUCUUUAUUACUUAUUCAGUUGGAUUAGUUGCUUAGUAGAAGGCAUGGGCCGGCCUAUCUUGGAGUCAAGAUGGCCGACUCCCCUCUUAGGGUUUCUUUAGGAUUUUUUUUUUGUGUUACCUUUAGCCUAUAAAUAGGCUAGCUUUGUAAGAUUAAACACACAAGUUUUAUGAAUAAAACUCUUAGUAUUUUCGUUUUCUUCCUAAGAGAGAAAUCGAGUCCUUAACUUGCUUUGGCAAGGGUUCUUGAGCAAUCUUGCGUCCUGUUCUUGAUUGUUCAGCCGAUCUAUUCCCCUGGAGUAUUCACCUUCAUCGGAGUGUCGUUCUACCGCUUUAAAUCAAAGCGUGCCGUCCGUGUUGAUUUAAAGUUGCGCAAUCCAAACGUAGGACAACCUUGCUAGAUCCUUGGGCAAACGUGCUACGUGUCUCGAAACGAGUUGAUCGAGGAACGUAUCAGUUGGCUUCAGAGCUUUGGUUGAGGUAUCUUCCGUUAUAUUCGUAGCUUUGUCUUAGUUUUCUUUUUCUUAUUUGAUUCCGCUGCCUUUGUUACAAAAUUCUGUUCGAGUAGCUAUAUCCUUGUUGCGUCGUUUGUCAAAAACAAAAAAAAAAUUCUGUCCGCAAUUUUUGUGUCUUGUUGCGUCAAUUCAGUCGUGACUUUGUUGUUCAAUUCUGUCCGUAUUCUUGUGUGUCGACAAAUUCCUGUUUGGUUAAGUGUUUCUUGUGUCAAAAAAAAAAAAAGGAAAUCUGCCCGCACGUGCCUUGUGCUUGUUGCCUUCGGUUUUGUUUUCUAUCCGCCGUUUGUGUUUGGUGUUGCACCAGAUUCUGGUCUUAGAUUGUCACCAAUCUGACCUUGAUUUGUGCCAUAACUUGGUGGAAGAAUUUCUGUCCAAGUAGUGCUACAAAUCUGGCCGUCACUUGGUUGGUAUUGUGAGUGGUGAACUUGUUUGUUGUACACCCCAAUUCUGCCCACAGGUGUGCGUUAUUGUUGCUAGCUCUAAUCUGCCCAGGUUUUGUACCCUUGUUGCAUCAAUUCUGCCCAGCAUCUAGUAAUAGCUGAAACUACAAAAAAAAAAAAACCCACGGCUAGGGUUUUGUGCGGCUAGGAGACUUGCGCGGCUAGGGUUUGCCUUUUGGUUGUCAAAUAUGUCCCAAGUGUUCAAUUGUGCGUCUAAGUUGUUUGCGUAGCUUCCUAAAACUGAUUUUGUGGCUAAACUUGUUUGGCGUUGGAAUCUUGAAGAGGAACUACAAGGUCUUAAGGUUUCUUGAAGUUCUUGAUUACUAUCUUGAAAUUCUUGGAAGUCUUGAAGAAAUCUUGCUAGUUUGAGGAAGUUGGGUUGUGUGUUUUUGCAUGUUGAGGGCUGACCUUAUUUCUGGAUUUUUAUUCCAGUUCGGCCAAGUCAUGAUAUUCGUUUGAUAUAAAAAAAAGAGAGAGAAAAAAAAGAAAAAAAAAACGAAAACAAGAAGAAAGCCAUUCGGGUGGAACAAACCAAACAAAGAAGGGCCGAACAAGAAAGAGGAAAACUUGGUUCGUUUAUUGCCAACUCAGAUUUGUUACAUCUUGGGGUACCAAAACCAGAAAAUUACACCAAGGAAAAGGAAAGGAACUCAAAAGUUUUGGCCUACCUCUUCUUGAAAAUCUUGAUCACCUUGAGCCUUCAUCACUUGUACCACCCUUUGAGGUUCUUGGAGUUCUUGAUUAUCUUGAGCCUUGAAAACUUGCACCUCUCUUCGAAUAAAAAGUUUCUUGUACGUUCUUGCAUCCAUACGGGGCUUUCUUGGUUUAGGAGUAAAUUUCUUGGGAGCUUCUUGAGCAAGUCGCUUGGGGGAUCCUUGAGUGACAUUGCUCACAUUAUCUUGGGAGGCCAUUAUCUUGAAACAAGAACCAAGGCUGCCUUGCCUUGCAAAGAGAGGGGGGCUGAAUUGUCUUGUUCCUUGAAGUGUGAAGGGGGCCGAAUUGCUUGGAGCAAGUUGCGGCUGUGAGGGAGAGAGUUUUAUAAGGGUGUAGCCGACUUGGGGAAGGGUUUUAAGGGGGAAAGAAUUCUCGAAAUUUUCGGUUGAGGGAGGAAAGAAACCAAACCUGUUUUGGAGUUUCCAAAGCCAACUUGAUUUCCAAAUUCAUUUAGGAAACUAAGUACACACUUGGAUAAAUCUUGUUCACUUGGACACUUCCCUAUAUUUUCUCAUCCACUUUAGGAAGGUCUCCUACAUUUUCUCAUCUAUUCUAGGAAACCCUCCUAUAUUCUCUCUCACCCACUUUAGGAAACCACUCUUAUACUCUAGGAAAGAUAGGGUUUCCUUCCCUUCUUGUAUUCCAUUGCCGCCUAUUUCCUUGUUGUCCGCUACCUCAAGUCGUCCAAACCAACCCUUUCUACGUCACUUCCCACGCCAAUUUUGAGUCUCAUCUCGUGGUUACUCCUAAGGAAAAGUUGGUGACAAUCAUUGGACUCGAGCAGCAUUUCUCAACUACCUAAACCGACAGGUAAAGGUACUUGGUAAGUCUAAUAGAGCGAGUUGAGUACUAUACACGAGCGUGAGUGAUACACUAAGGGAGUGAAGUGAGGUUGUACUUGCACUUUUCUUUGCCUUGUCACUAACCUUUACAGGACACCACGAGAGGCAUGGAGCAACCACAAGCAACCAUUGACCACUCCUUGUUGUUCGCCGCAAUGAAGAAUGAGCUCAGGCGAAUCAGUGAGCAACAAAUGGAGGAGCUGCACACUCGUUUUGACGAGUUAUCUAGGAGUCUCACACGAGGCUCUCGCUCGAGAUCCCACAAUUGGAGUAGCCAUGGCACCAAAGAAGCACAUAGCGAAGGCUACUCCGCUAAUGAGGAUGAGGAGCGACCCGAGAAGCCUAGAAGGGACACACCAAAGAACAAACUAAAGGGACUUAAGAUUCAAGUACCCGCGUUCAAAGGCAAGAGUGACCUUGAGGCGUACUUGGAGUGGGAAGGCCGCAUCGAAAUGUCUUCAACUGCUACAAUUAUAGCAAGGAACAAAAGGUCAAAGUUGCCACUGUUGAGUUCACCGACUACGCCCUAGUUUGGUGGGACCAAGUGAGGACCCAUAGGAGGAGAAUGGGAGAACCGCGGGUCCGAACUUGGCUAGAGCUCAAGGCAUUGAUGCGUAAGCGAUUCGUUCCAAGCUACUACAACCUAGAUCUCCACUCCAAAUUGCAAACCCUCACUCAAGGCAACAUGAGUGUGGAGGACUACUACAAAGAGAUCGAGAUGGCCAUGAUGAGGGCGAACCUUCAAGAAGAUAGUGAAGCGACCAUGGCUAGAUUCCUUCGAGGUCUCAACCCCGAUCUUCAAGAAGCCUUGGAGCUCCAACACUACGUGGACAUGCAUGACCUCCUUGAACUCGCUAUCAAGGCUGAGAGGGGAAAGAAACUAAGGCGAGGAGCCCGUACCUUCCAGUCUUCAAACUCGACCUCAUGGAAGGGCAACCAACCACGGAGGGCGACCCACGAGGCGGAUAUUCAGCCACACCAACUUCUUCAAGCCGAAUUCAAGGUAAUGUACCUAAUCGAAAUUCCAAUUCUACCCCUAACAAAGUUAUCGAUACAUCCAGGUCUACCUCGAAGGCACCACAUGAGACUCCUAAGACUAGGAGUAGGGACAUCAAAUGCUUUAAGUGCCAAGGGUUUGGACAUAUUCUGUCUCAAUGUCCAAACCAACGGGUCAUGCUAAUCACUCACAAUGGCGAGAUCGUGUCCGAUGAUGACGACUGUGAGGAGAUACCCGAAUUGACCAAAGGCGACUGCCUGGAUGACGACUCUGCUGAGAAAGAUUGCUCGCCUACACAAGGGGAAGUAGGGUGCUUGGUGGCACGACGAGUGCUAACCGCCGAGUUAAAGGAGGACAAGCAACUACAAUGGGAGAACCUGUUUUACACCCGUUGUAAAAUAGGUGACAAGGUGUGUAGCCUCAUCAUCGACGGUAGGAGUUGCACAAACGUGGCAAGCUUACUCAUGGUUAAGAGAUUAGGGCUUCCAACCACUAGACAUCCAUACCCUUAUCGCCUCUAAUGGCUGAGUGAGGAUGGAGAGGUACGUGUUUUCAAACAGGUACGCAUUCCCUUUUCCAUUGGGACUUGUUUGUGACGUCGUGCCUAUGCAUGCCACCCAUGUCAUCUUGGGUUGACCAUGGCAAUUUGACAAACACAUCACAUUCGAUGGAAGGGCCAACAAGUACACACUCUUGCAUGAUGGCAAACGCAAGGUCCUCACACCACUCACACUUGCACAAGUGUAUGAGGACCAACUUAUGUUGCAAAGAGAGUGUGAACAAAACCGUCAAAGGAGAAAGCAAAAGGCGGUCGACCUUGGCAAGGGCUCCACUUCUGCAAGUGAGCCAUCGGCCAAGGGUCAAGUAAGCACACCUAGUGUUACGCAUGACAAAGCACCCAUUACACCUACCACUAGGAGGCAAAACAUGAUUAUUAAGGCUAAGGACGUUAGGAAAGUUGUCAAUUCUGAUCAGUUUGUACUCCUCAUGAUUUGCAAGCAUGUGCUUUUGGAUGUAGCUGAACUCGAUGAGGCAUUGCCUUCGAGUAUGGUUGCUCUUUUGCAGGAAUUUGAGGAUGUCUUCCCUGACGAGGUCCCUGAUGGCUUACCACCCAUUCGAGGAUUGAACACCAAAUCGACUUCAUUCCUGGAGCACCACUACCCAACAAACCUGCUUACCGCAUGGACCUUGAGGAGACAAAAGAGCUUCAAAGGUAAGUUGAUGGCCUAUUAGGUAAGGGUUGGGUAAAAGAGAGUCUCAGUCCUUGUGCUGUGCCUGUGGUAUUCCUUGUGAGAACCCUCACUUUAAAAGUCAAAUUUUCUAAACUACAUGCCCUACUCUAAGAAUGAAACCACGGAUUAUAAGCCCUAGCAUUGUAUCCCCUAUGUGUUAUCGUAUACACUAAGAAAUUAAAACGUUUUUCUUGAGUUAGUUGUAACUAUUUCACCACUUAUAAUAUACCCUUGCAUAGCAUUCUACAUGUAUUAAAACAAUUUCCAUGCAUUACAUUUCAUAUCCUUACUUUUAGCUAAAACAAUUUUGUUGAGUUAGUUUCUUUUUCCACCACUUACAUUGUACCAAGUGCCUUACCUAGGAUUUAAAUUACUUAUUCUAUGCCCUUACAAUAUAUUUCUAUAUGUUAUAGUAAUUUCCAUGUAUAACAUUCCAUUUCAUUGUAAUUGAAGAAAAAUAUUUUCUUGAGUUUGUUUAAAUUAAUGCACCACUUGAAAUUGACCAAGUGUUCUUUUCUUAAGUAGUAGAGAUUUUUGUGUGAGAUUAGAGUUGUUAAACAAUUAUUGAUACAUUUGGAAAGUUAAGAGAACCAUUAGUCAAAGAUUAAGAAAGUCUAGGUUACUAAUGGAGCCAUGUGGCAAAACCCUAGCCAUGGGUUUGUUUAACUAAGGAAUUAGAAAACAAUUUAAAGACUAAACUUGGUUCCUUUUUAACCCUUGUUGGCCGAAUUUCUUAGCACAAAAAGGGGGAAGAGAGAGAGCUCCAUAUACUUACCUUGAACCCUAGAAAAAAAAAACCAAGAACAAAAAUCCAAAGAAGAAAGAUCUAGAGUUUGUGAGAAAAUUUCCUUCAAUCUUUGAGGUUGUUUCAAGCCUAAAGCUUCUAUUGUGGUGGUUUGUUUGGUGACCAAAGCAACUUGUAAGUAAGGUAUGUAAUCUUUAAAAUUUGGGUUUAUGAUGUUAUAUCAUCUACUUGAGGUUGAAAUGGUGAAAAACAACUUGUUAUGGUUGAAUUUGGGGUUAGUUUCUUGAGUUAAUCAAGUAAUGGUUAGGUUUACUAAUAUGCAUACCAAGUGUUUGAUGAAAUGUCUAACCCUUAUUCAUGUGUGUUUAUGAAGUAUUGAUAUGUUUUAAACCCCUAUUUAGUUGGAUCUAAUACUUGUUAUGUGCAAGGAAUGAAAAUAACAAGAAGAGUAGAAGUUAAAAUUUUUAAAGUGUGCUGACCGAAACUUUUUAAGCUUGCUGCCCGGUUUUUACUUGAUAUUUUCAUGCACAUUUUGGCUACAAAUGUGAGUGUUAUAUUUUGGGUUAUGUGUGUGGAGGUUUUCUACAAAAAAUUAGCCAAUUUGGUUGAAUAAAGUUUGAGUUAUAAACAAAGGAGGAAAACUGGACUAGGUCCAGAAAUUUUCUGUCCAGCAAUCUUUUAAGGUCAUAACGUGUUACUCACUGAUCAGAAUUGAGUGCCGUUUGUGGCAAUUGAAAGUAGACUAUUAGAGCUUUAAAACGGUACAAAGCUGAUUUUCUGGUUCAUCCCGAACGAUCCGUGGCGAGUCUGGAAAGUUGGCUGUCCGAGCGGUACUGUUCAUCCGAGACAGUCCAGAAAGUUCAUUUGGUUUCUUAAUUUGAGCCACUUAUGUUGGGAUUUUGGAAAUGGUUUCUUCUAGACAAAUUUAGCCUUAUGAACCUAGUUUCCAAUGCAACUAAUGGAACCUGAUUCCAACUUUCCCACAAUGAGCAAUGACCAUUUUCCCCAGGCUGCCCGGGCGAGACAGUUUAACCCGCAAUGAAGCCUUUGAGCUUUAGUGAAACUUUUCUUUUGCCAAACUUUCAUGUUCAUACUAGACUUGUUUCCCAUGAACUUUCACCGUGAUUUAGACCCUAUUUGCAUGCCGGAUUAAGUAGCUUAAACUACUCACUUGGCCUCUUAAUGAACCUAUACUUUAGUAGGGAACGAAUCCAAUUAUUAAUGUUUUCACUCGUUGACCUAGGUUUGGGAAACGACAGUGAUCGUAAUUGAGACGUUUGACGUCGAUUAUUACUUUUGCUUGACAGGUGAGUGUUCCACUACUUGCUACUUGUUAUGUGAAAUAUUUGUGUACUUGAAAGUAUUGAAUUGUUAUUGUUUGAGCCAAACACUGUUUUAAUUAAAAUUGAGGCGAGUGUGUACUUUAUUGCACUCGACUUUCCUUGUUUUUUUUCUUUUCACUGAGGCUCUACUUACUGAAUGAAUUAACAUGAAAUGAAAUAUUGCUAUACAUGAUUGUGCUUAAGUUGCGUGGAUGACAUUCCACCAACUACUGUUACUAUUUGGGUACCCAACCUCAUAGGUGAGUCGGUUGUAUCGAGCCAGCAAGGGCUUGGUCGAGAAGGCCGAUAAACCUUGAGGACUGUUUACUGUUCACUGGAAAUUGAAUCUUGCUUGGAGGUCCCUGGUGAAGCAUAGCCGUUGUGCUUGCUUGUUGUGUUGUCCAGUACCACCAGUGAUAAAAUCCCCGGCUUGAUACUGUUUCAUUGGAAUCCUUGAGCAUUGAAAACUCGGAUUCCUGGUAUACUCGAGUAUUAUCAAACUACUAUUUAUGGAGCACGGGUCCGAUGGGGGGUUGUUUGGUGGACUGAGAUUGGUGAAAGUGGUGUUCUACGGACCUAUAUACUGUUACAAGUGUUGACGGAGUGUCAACAGGAGGCAAUUAUGAUCAAGCCCAAGUGGACCUUUGGCUUUUGAAAGCCACCCGUAUCCUUGAAUUGAACUGUGAUUAAACUGUUAUUUUACUGUACGGUGUAUAGUUGGCUAUUUUGUAAUAUAAUGUGGCUAUGUGUUUACUUGUUUUACCUGGAACCUCACUGGGCUUUAGCUCACUCCAUUCCCUUUGUUUUCCUUAACAGAUCGGGAAAGGAUUUGAUCGAGGGAUUUCUUAGCUUUAUUUUGCCGUUCUUGCAUGUUGAGGUUAUAACUUUCAUUUAAGCAGACUUGUAAGCUUAAAUUCUUAAGGAUGAUUUAUAUUAUGUAAUUUUGAGUGAAGCGUGGUAAGUUGGCAUGCGAUGAUAUAUGUACUAAGCUGAAUUGUUGGAUUAGUGAUUAUGUUUGAGUUAGGGUUUCAAUCCCCUGCAUUGUCAAAUGUUAUAUUCGUUUCAUUAAUGAUAUUAGUACUUUGAACGACUGAGUCCUGGCGAGAGUUGGGCAGGCAGUCCGCUGAUACCCUAGGUUUGCCCUAGGGAGAGGUGGGGCUGUCACACUCGUCCCUAAAAAGGAUGGUACUUGGCGAAUGUGCACUGAUUGUAGGGCCGUCAAUGCCUUUACUGUCACGUAUCGCCAUCCCAUUCCUAGAUUAGAUGAUAUGCUUGAUGAACUCGAUGGUGCUGUCAUAUUCCCAAAAUCGACUUAAGGAGUGGCUAUCAUCAAUUAGGAUGAAAGAAGGCGAUGAGUGGAAACGGCCUUCAAAACCAAGCAUGGUCUCUAUGAGUGGCUAGUCAUGCCUUUUGGGUUGACUAAUGCUCCUAGCACCUUCAUGCAACUAAUGAACCAUAUCUUGAGGGAGUUUAUUGGCAAAUUUGUCAUAGUGUACUUUGAUGACAUUCUGAUAUAUAGUCGCAGCGAACAUGAGCACUUGGAGCAUGUGAGACUAGUUCUUGAGACACUUGAAAGGCGCAUUUAUACGCUAACUUAAGAAGGCACCUUUUGUAUUAAUGAACUUGUGUUUUUGGGCUAUGUAGUGAGUUCGCAGGGUAUCAAGGUAGACAAGUCAAAAUUGAGGCCAUCGAGCAAUGGCCAACUCUCACAUCCAUUCUUGAGGUGCACAGUUUUCUUGGAUUGGCGGGUUUUAUCGCACUUUGUCAAGGACUUCAGCACCAUUGCCGCCCAAUGACCGCGUGACCAAGAAAAAUGACAAGUUCUAUUGGGAGGAAGACCAAGAACAAGCAUUUCUUACCCUCAAAAACAAACUCACACAUGUACCUGUUUUAGUAUUACCAAAUUUUAACAAGACUUUUGAAAUCGAGUGUGAUGCUUCUGUGUAGGUAUUGGCGCUGUCCUCAUACAAGACAAAAGGCCUUGUGCCUUCUUUAGCGAGAAACUGGGAGGAGCUGCUUUAAACUACCAAUAUAUGACAAGGAGUUCUACGCACUGGUAAGGGCCUUGGAGACCUGACAACACUAUCUUCGCCCUCGGGAGUUCGUGAUACACGCUGAUCACGAGUCAUUGAAGUUUCUCAAGGGACAACCCAAGUUAAGCAAGAGACAUGCCAAAUGGGUAAGCUUCAUUGACACAUUCUCCUAUGUAAUUAAGUACAAACUGGCAAGACGAAUGUGGUAGCUGAUGCCUUGUCACGUAGACACUUCUUGCUUGCCUGUCUUGAUGCUAAGUUAUUAGGGUUCGAAAUGAUUAAGGAACUCUACACACAUGAUUAUGACUUUGGUGACAUAUAUGCUACGUGUGUUAAGAACCCACAUGGAAAGUACUUUUUGCAUGAUGGAUUUCUAUUUCAUGUGGAUAAACUGUGUGUGCCUAAUUCUUCCAUCUGUGAUCUUCUGGUUAGGGAGGCAUAUAGUGGUGUCUCAUGGGACACUUUAGCAUGGUUAAGACUCUUGCCAUGUUACAAGAGCAUUUCUAUUGGCCUCACAUGCGUCGAGAUGUGGAACGCAUGGUUGGUAGAUGUGCCACUUGUCACAAGGCGAAGUCUAAGACAAAUCCGUAUGGCCUGUAUACCCAUUGCCUAUUCCCCACUAUUCUUGGUAGACUUGUCCAUGGACUUUGUUUUAGAACUCCCUAGGUCGCCUAGGGAAAUGAUUCCAUCUUUGUAGUGGUUGAUAGAUUCUCUAAGAUGGCUCAUUUUAUUCCCUGUCACAAAACUGAUGAUGCAUCCAUAUUGCUACUUUGUUCUUUAAAGAAAUUGUCCGUCUGCAUGGCAUGUCUAGGACCAUCGUUAGUGAUAGAGAUGUCAAGUUUCUGAGUUACUUUUGGAAGACUUUGUGGUCUAAACUUGGCACUAGGUUAUUAUUCUCCACCACUAGUCAUCCACAAAGCGAUGGGCAAACUGAAGUUGUCAAUCGCACACUCGGCACACUACUUCGGGCUUUGAUUAAAAAGAAUCUUAAAACUUAGGAAGAGUGCUUGCCUCAUGUUGAAUUUGCCUACAAUCGAGCUGUUCACAGUGCUACCCACGACUCACCUUUUGAGGUUGUUUAUGUCUUUAACCCGCUGACCCCCCUUGAUUUAGUGCCCUUACCUUUUUCUGAGCACACAAGCUUAGAUGGGAAAAAGAAGGCUGAUUUUGUGCGCAGGUUACAUGAAGCCGUUUAGGCAAACAUUGAGCGGCGUACUCAACAAUACCUCCAGCAAGCCAACAAGCACCAUCGCAAGAUGGUUUUUGAGUCUUGAGAUUGGGUUUGGUUACACUUGCGAAAGGAGAGAUUCCCCAAACAGCGACAAAGCAAGUUGUCUCCAAGAGGUGAUGGACCCUUUCGAGUGCUCCAACGAGUUAAUAAUAACACUUACAAAUUGGAGUUACUCGGGGAAUAUAAUAUGAGUGCGACCUUCAAUGUCACGGACUUGAACCCAUUUCUUGAUGAGGAGGAUCCAAAUUUGAGGGCAAAUCCUUCUUAAGAGGAGGGGACUGAUGUGUGCAUGGAUCAGGGCCCACGUAAUGACCUAGUCCGAGUCCUAUUGGCCCCAGUCCCAGGGCUCUUCAAAGAAUCCCUCCAAGCGCUCGUUCGAGUUGUCCAAGACCAACAUGGAGCCCAUAGAAAUAUUGAAGGCUUAGAAAGAGACAAUCAAGUAACUUACACCUUGAUCCAAGCUCAUGAAGAAUCAAGUGGGCCUCCUUGUGCAUCGACUGAGUAGGGCCUUAGUCUUUAUUACUUAUUCAGUUGGAUUAGUUGCUUAGUAGAAGGCAUGGCCGCUAUCUUGGAGUCAAGAUGGCCGACUCCCCUCUUAGGGUUUCUUUAGGGUUUGUUUUGUGUUACCUUUAGCCUAUAAAUAGGCUAGUUUUGUAAGAUUAAACACACAAGUUUUAUGAAUAAAAUUCUUAGUAUUUUCGUUUUCUUCCUAAGAGAGAAAUCGAGUCCUUAACUUGCUUUGGCAAGGGUUCUUGAGCAAUCUUGCGUCCUGUCCUUGAUUAUUCAGCCGACCUAUUCCCCUGGAGUAUUCACCUUCAUUGGAGUGUCGUUCUACCGCUUUAAAUCAAAGCAUGCCGUCCGUGUUGAUUUAAAGUCCCGCAAUCCAAACGUAGGACAAUCUCGCUAGAUCCUUGGGCAAACGUGCUAUGUGUCUCGAAACGAGUUGAUCGAGGAACGUAUCAUUCUUCUUCUUCUUCCUUCCUUCCCCCUCCCUCUUCCCUUGCGGUACCAGACAAACCAACAGCCCUCUCCCCAAAUUUUUUUUUCUCUUCCCUCUCUUCUCCCUCUCUGCUCCCCUCUCCCCCUUUAUUCCCCUUCACCAUCCCCCUCUCCCAAAGCAGAGAACCAGCAGCCAUGGCACCUACAAUUUUUUUUUUACUUUUUCUCUCCCCCUCUUCUCCAUCUCCCUUUCCCUUUCUUACUCCCUCCCCUUUUGCCCAAUCCGGUCGUUCGAUUAGAUCGUAUCUAAGGAAGUGGGAGGGUGGCCAGGGAAGGAGAGGCGGAGGGGAGAGGGACAAGGAAAAAAAAAAGGGGUAGGCCGUCGCCAGAAUAGGUGGUCGGCGCCGGAAACAGUGGCCGAGGUGGUGGUGGUCGGCGGUGGAGGGGUGGCCGACGAUGAAGGUGUGGUGGAUAGGGGUGAGGGAGAAAGAAGAAGAAAAGAGAAAGUUUUUUGUGUAUUAGAUAUUUUGAAGUAUGUAGGUUAAAAAUUUGAUAAGUUUUUUUGGGUUCAUGUAGUUAAAGUUGUUAAAAAACUAGUAGUUAAAAAACUUGGCCAAAAAACUCGGUUCCAAACAGGCUCGCAGUUUCUGGUUGGAACAUAGGAUGGGGUGUUUUUGAUCCUUGCAGCUCUGCCUAAAAUAUGUGGCAGCUGCUGUUGUUUUUGUAAUUGGGAGCAGUUAGUACUCUUGUCCUAUGUUCUCACUCCGUAUCUGGAAACAUGACGAGGGUUAAGUUGGAGGAAUAUAUGCCAUGAGAUGUGGCCUUUCCUUUCUUCAUUUCCCAUUUUCCAAAAUUGUGACAAGCUUUAUAAUUGAAAAAAAAAUGUAUAAUGACAAUAAUGAUUUCAUGAGUUUUUCUUUUCAUUCUAUAGUUUUCAUUAGAUUGCAGCAAAUGAUCAAAUAUAUAUUAAUUUGCUUAAUUCACAUUUGUUUAUAGAAAAGGCAUAUUUGUAAAGUAAUUUGUUUGAGUAUCUUUUCCUUUCAUUUGUAUUCAACUCACAAACAAAAGAAAAUUAAUUACUUUCUUUUCUUUCUUAAAACUCCCAAACAACUAGAUAGAAACUUUGAUCCUUUCUUUUCUUUUCUAACUUAUCCUUUCUCUUCUUUUCUUUUCUAUUCUAAACUCCCAAACUAGCUAAAAAGUAAAAAGUUUUUACAAUAAUUAGACACAAUUUAUUCACAUCUGAAGCUAAAAGUGGUAAAAUACCAACAAAAGAAAAGGAAAGAUGUCAAAAUGCACAAUUCAAUAAGGACUAUCACUAUCGUAAGACUAGUAUUGAAUUAUAAAGGGAACAAUUUACCAAAAUCACAUAAUCACAAUCAAAGUAUCGCUAUAUAUUCUUCAAUCCUAUGGAAAUAAAUUGUAUAACUAAUAUUUGCUGAAACUAGACCACACUUUAUCACAACUCUAUUACAAUAAUCCAAAAGAGGAAAGACUACCUGGUGAAUAUAUAGAACUCUAGGGUACCACCAUCUGCUCUCAAACUCCAUCACAAUUCUCUGCUCUACUGCCGAUUAUUCUAGUAGAGGUGAGGAUGUAUGCUAUUAAACUUCGAGUAAGACAGAUUAGAACAGGUAGAAAGAGGAAGGGAGAGGUUCGUCGGCAUGACUGGAACGAUGGGAGUUUGGGAAGAAAGGAAGAGAGAGAUUGGGAAAUUGGAAAGACGAGGAGGAUUUUUGGAUGAUUACUCGUACCUCUGCCUUAUGUCCCAAUACGACAUUGUUAAGUAGCGCCGGGUUUUAAUUUCUCUAGAAAAUGAGAUGGCGAAAAAACACUAAGGGUUCAUUGGGAGGGGAGGUUGGAAAGAAAAGAAAGGGAAAGAAAAGAAAGUUUUGUUAGUUUUUAGUAGGAAAGAAAAGAAAGGAAAUGGAAGGAUGAAUAGUGAUUAAAAAUGUUUCCUCCCAAAUUGGAAGGAAAUGAGAAGAAAAACUUGUUAAUUUUUUUAAAAUGCCCAUUUUGUCUUUAAAAAGGUUUUGAACAAAUAUUUAAUAACUUCUAUAUUCAAAAUCAUUCCACUAAUUUUUAAAACUCCCAAACAACAUAACAAUCUCUUCUCUUCUCUCAUAACUUAAGCUUUCCCUUCUUUUCUUUUUCUAUCCUAAACUCCCAAACUAAGCCUAAAAGAACACUAAAAAGGAGAGGGAAUAUUUGAAGGGAAUAUAAAAUUUGUUAGGAAUAAGUUUUUUAUUCCAAAAAAAUUUAAAAGAAAUUUUUAUUGUUUUGAAAAUAUUGUCUUCAUUUUUUAAUUUCUAAAUUAUUUAAUAAGUUUUCUAAUGUGAGGCCCCAGUUCGUUCUACGUUGAUAUAUUCAUUAAUUGGGCGGUAACGUUUGGUUUUGGGAGUAUUUCGAAAACCCUAAGUAGGGAUUAAGAUUUAAACCCUAAGUUCCGGUUAAGAUUGAAAACCCGUUUUCCUACAUUUUCUUUAUUAGAAAAUGCCUCAGAUAAUUUUUAUUGAGUAAAUAGAGUUUUUAGAUGAUUUUUCUAGUAUUAGUUAGUUUUUGAGAAAUUAAGAACGUAUAUCGGACGUGGGACCCACUAGUGCGAAAAGUUCGGAAAAAUUCGGCCAAUUAGGUUAAAUUCCGGAUACUGUGUAAAAUUUAUCGGGUGUUAAGAGAUAAGUAGAGUGUGUGAAGUGAGUGAUGUGAGAGAGAAAAGGAAGAUAAGAAUGCAUUAAUGAGUGUGACAAGUGUCACAAUAUGAUUGGUUGGACUUUAAGAAUUACUAUUCACAAUUUUGACUUUUUUGACCAAAGGUUAAAUAUCUCAAAAAUCAUUCAAAAUUCACCAUUUUUCUCUCCUUGGUGGCCGGCUCUCUAAGCUCAAAGAAGGGAGGAAAUUUUCCAUCUCUCAAGCUUCCAUAAGCUUCAAUCUUCCAUAAACAAAAGCUUAGACUAGAUUUCACUCCAUAAAAUCUUAUCUUCUAGUGCUAGUAAGGGUUGUGGUGAAGUUUGUUUGAAGGUCUAAGGUGCCCAACAUCUUCCUCUCUCUUGGUUCUUGGUAAGUGAAGCUUGAAACACCCUACUACACCUAAUGAUGCUUAUGUUGUGCUUAUUAGUGAUAAGAGUGCUGAAAUUUCUGGUUUUAAUCUUGGUUUGAAGUGAUUUGGUGAAGUUUUCCAUUUUAUGAUGAUUUUUCUGGUUUAAUUGGAUUAUGAUGGUGUGGUUGAAUAUGAUGAAUGGUAAUAGCCUAUAAUGACUCUAGUGAGUGUGAAAUGUGGAUAAAUGCAACCAAUUUUGGAUUUGGUGUGAAAAUUGAAAAGUUAGGGUUCCUAAAUCCCCAAUUCUGUCCGGUUUUGGAUCAUAGGGUUAGAGGCAGAAUUUGACUUUGCUCAAAACAUGAAAGUUGUAGGUAUUGAUGUGUUUGAGGUGCCUACAAAAUUUCAGGUCAUUUGGAUUAAUGUAGAAUGAGAUAUGACGAAAUUACUGUAGCUGUUCUGCUUUGGUCAGAAUGCGAAAACUGCGUUGGUAUUUGGCUAUUUUGGCUGGAAUUAGUUUGGAUUUUGAAGUUGGUGUCUUCUGAUGAAAUGUAGCUGGAUGUCUUAUCUAACAUAUGCCUUUGGAAUUUCGGCAUUUGGACUUGUAUAGACUAAGUUAUAGUCAUUACAGUUUUAUGUGAUUUGCAAACCUGUUUUGGUAAUUCUGGAUUUGUAUUUUGCAUAUUUGACCUAGUUGUGCUAGGAUUUGGACUGAGUGGCCUUCUACAUUGUUGUACCCCUGUUCCUUAGCUUCGAAACGGUGGGUCUUACACCCCCAUCCGAUAACCGUAGUGAAUUUGGUGCCAUUACCGCAUAUUGAGGUCAAAUACGGUUUGUGAUUCUAGUACGUUUUUGGAAAGUUUAUGGCUGGAACUUUGGCUUCACAUUUGACUGAGUUACAAGCUGUUUGGGCUUCUGACCAAAACACCAAACUUAUAGCCCUAUAUCAGAGCUUUCUAACGCCCUUGGAAUUUCAUGAAUCGGAUUUAUAAAACCUGAGAUAUAGCCGAGCAAACAAGGCCUGCCCGUGAAAAUGACCAGAAAUCUGUUUUGGUCCUGAUGACCAAUUUCCGUUCCGAAUUUGGAUUGCCGACCUUCAUGAAAGUUGUUCCAUUUGGAAUGAACUAUCUAACUGCCAAUUUUCAGCUCUUUUGACCAUGUGUAGCAUAGAAAACAGUUCGUACUCAAAACUGACCAUUUGUGCAUUGGCCAGAUUUCGUAAGUGAUUGUGUUUGGUUCAUUUGGGACUGAAGCCUCCAGUUUCAGUUCUGGAUGUCUUCAUAACAGUUGUUGUUCAUCCUUUAAGCUUCGAUUUGGCAUCUCAUCCGCCUUAAUCCGAUAUUCGUAGCUCAACUUAUGGGUGAACUAGAAAUGAGUAUCAAAUCUGCCGUUUGCCGUUUCCGCACGCGUGCGUGUGCCCUUUCCGUACUUGCGUGUGCCGAUGUUGCUGUUUUAUUUGUUUUGGGCACGUUAGUGGCCGUUUAUGACAUCAUGUGAUGCAAUCUUCUAUUUCAGAUCGUGGUGAGCUAGGCGGAGCUGGUGGGCCCUACUAGCGAACACGCACGAAGUGAUUUUCACGUUUGUACUACUUUUGUACUUUGUGUAAGUAUUCAGGCCGGUUUGGUGUGUUUUCUUUGCUAUGUGUUUGAGAUAUGUGAAAAGGGCACUUAGGCGAGGGUGUACUUUAUCGCACUCGACCUAAACCCUAAUUUGAAUGUAUAAUUGUACUUGGCAUAUGUAUAUGAACCUUUUGGAACCAAAACCCUUGAGCUUGUGGCUCGGGGCGACUUUCGAAUAAAGUUUGUGAAGUUUGCAAAGUUUGUGAUUUUGAAUAAUUUUGUGAAAUUUGUGAGUUUGGGGCGAACUCUUGACCUGGUUGGACUAUUCGAGCCGGUUAGGGCUUGGUCGAAGGCAGUCCAACUUAGUCUGAGGUCACCAAGUUUGUAGGUUCAUUUUAUGAACCAAUUUUGUGAAUCCGGUUCACCGAGAAGGUGACCAAGUUUGUGACCCGAGCUUGUGACUCAAGCUCAAGUUUGUGAUUUCGUUCGCCCGGGCAAGUUUGUGAGGUGACUGGCCAGUGAGGGUGAUAAGGUGUCGGUGGGUGUACAAGUGAAGUUCUACGGACUAUUAUUUGCAGUCGACGGACAGGAGUGUCGCAGGAGAUCACGCAUGGCACAUGAGUUGGCUUUGGAGCCACCUGUAUCCUUAUUAUGUGAUGUUACUUUUCUGCUUUUGCUUUACUCUUAUUGUGUAACUGUUACGUGAAAUUUAUGCUUUCGCCCCUGUUUACUUACUAAGCAUAUAGCUUACCCCAUUCCUUUUGUUUUCCUUAGCAGGGGCCGACGCGGGGACUUUUGGCUCGUAUACUAGUAUAGUUAGUUUGGCUUGUAAUAGUUGAACAGUUAGGAUGUUUGUUUUUGUUUUGGUGGUUUGACUCGAUACUUUUGGAGAAUGUAAUUAUAACUCUUUUGGGAUUGUAUAUAUUGUAUUUAGUGCUCUUUCGAACUUUAAGUUUUGAGUCCUGGCGCGAGCUAGGCAGGCGGCCCGCCGAUACCCUUGGGUUCGCCCUUGGGAGAAGUGGGGUCGUCACAGUUGGUAUCAGAGCUUAGGCUUCAGAUCUCUGUAGUGUAUCCUAGGCUGAAAGUUUAGGAUGCCGGACUGUGGGAUUUGAUUUUAUUUGAAAGUUAAGCAAUUGAGGGAUAAAACCUAUAGCUGCUUCGCGUGGUCUCUGCGCGGGGUGAGCCUGAUGAAGUGGUGAAUAAGUAUGAAGGACUAGAUGCUCGGUCAAGCAUAAGUUAUGGAUCAUAAAUGUUAUAGGCCUUAAAUCUUUCUCAUGGUAUCUGAGGACCAUAGGUAGGUUCGUCAGGUAGGAAUUUCGAUUGUAGAUAGUUUACUCUUGGGACUGCAGCUUGAGAUGUGAAUUAUCUUAUUUCGGAUUCUUGUGCCUGAGUACUCCAGAGUUGAGGCGCUGCUAAGUACUUGAGAUUUGCAUUUUGGGGAACAUGAACAAGCUUUGUCUGGCUAGAGUGAGUACAAGAGAUCAACGGGCACUUUGGGAAGUGGAGUAAGAAACCGGACGAGGGUGGUUUUCACUGAGUGUGGGACGACAAGUCGCGUUUCUUUCAUUUGCCCUUGUAUUGUCCCUACAUGUCAUUUACUUGUGGUAUGUUAAUACCUGCAUCUAUAGUACUUGCUGCACUUGACUUUGUCUAACUUGAAAUGUCUCUUGGUGUAUAUGGUGCAUUAUAUUGCGUACAUUUUGGCGUGACUUGUAUAUAUAUGUACACCUUUUGAUCUUUUGAUUAUUUCGAGUUUUUCAACCCUUAGCUCGUUGAUUGCAAUUUCGAGGACGAAAUUGUCCUAAGUGGGGGAGAUUGUGAGGCCCCAGUUCGUUCUACGUUGAUAUAUUCAUUAAUUGGGCGGUAACGUUUGGUUUUGGGAGUAUUUCGAAAACCCUAAGUAGGGAUUAAGAUUUAAACCCUAAGUUCCGGUUAAGAUUGAAAACCCGUUUUCCUACAUUUUCUUUAUUAGAAAAUUCAGAUAAUUUUUAUUGAGUAAAUAGAGUUUUUAGAUGAUUUUUCUAGUAUUAGUUAGUUUUUGAGAAAUUAAGAACGUAUAUCGGACGUGGGACCCACUAGUGCGAAAAGUUCGGAAAAAUUCGGCCAAUUAGGUUAAAUUCCGGAUACUGUGUAAAAUUUAUCGGGUGUUAAGAGAUAAGUAGAGUGUGUGAAGUGAGUGAUGUGAGAGAGAAAAGGAAGAUAAGAAUGCAUUAAUGAGUGUGACAAGUGUCACAAUAUGAUUGGUUGGACUUUAAGAAUUACUAUUCACAAUUUUGACUUUUUUGACCAAAGGUUAAAUAUCUCAAAAAUCAUUCAAAAUUCACCAUUUUUCUCUCCUUGGUGGCCGGCUCUCUAAGCUCAAAGAAGGGAGGAAAUUUUCCAUCUCUCAAGCUUCCAUAAGCUUCAAUCUUCCAUAAACAAAAGCUUAGACUAGAUUUCACUCCAUAAAAUCUUAUCUUCUAGUGCUAGUAAGGGUUGUGGUGAAGUUUGUUUGAAGGUCUAAGGUGCCCAACAUCUUCCUCUCUCUUGGUUCUUGGUAAGUGAAGCUUGAAACACCCUACUACACCUAAUGAUGCUUAUGUUGUGCUUAUUAGUGAUAAGAGUGCUGAAAUUUCUGGUUUUAAUCUUGGUUUGAAGUGAUUUGGUGAAGUUUUCCAUUUUAUGAUGAUUUUUCUGGUUUAAUUGGAUUAUGAUGGUGUGGUUGAAUAUGAUGAAUGGUAAUAGCCUAUAAUGACUCUAGUGAGUGUGAAAUGUGGAUAAAUGCAACCAAUUUUGGAUUUGGUGUGAAAAUUGAAAAGUUAGGGUUCCUAAAUCCCCAAUUCUGUCCGGUUUUGGAUCAUAGGGUUAGAGGCAGAAUUUGACUUUGCUCAAAACAUGAAAGUUGUAGGUAUUGAUGUGUUUGAGGUGCCUACAAAAUUUCAGGUCAUUUGGAUUAAUGUAGAAUGAGAUAUGACGAAAUUACUGUAGCUGUUCUGCUUUGGUCAGAAUGCGAAAACUGCGUUGGUAUUUGGCUAUUUUGGCUGGAAUUAGUUUGGAUUUUGAAGUUGGUGUCUUCUGAUGAAAUGUAGCUGGAUGUCUUAUCUAACAUAUGCCUUUGGAAUUUCGGCAUUUGGACUUGUAUAGACUAAGUUAUAGUCAUUACAGUUUUAUGUGAUUUGCAAACCUGUUUUGGUAAUUCUGGAUUUGUAUUUUGCAUAUUUGACCUAGUUGUGCUAGGAUUUGGACUGAGUGGCCUUCUACAUUGUUGUACCCCUGUUCCUUAGCUUCGAAACGGUGGGUCUUACACCCCCAUCCGAUAACCGUAGUGAAUUUGGUGCCAUUACCGCAUAUUGAGGUCAAAUACGGUUUGUGAUUCUAGUACGUUUUUGGAAAGUUUAUGGCUGGAACUUUGGCUUCACAUUUGACUGAGUUACAAGCUGUUUGGGCUUCUGACCAAAACACCAAACUUAUAGCCCUAUAUCAGAGCUUUCUAACGCCCUUGGAAUUUCAUGAAUCGGAUUUAUAAAACCUGAGAUAUAGCCGAGCAAACAAGGCCUGCCCGUGAAAAUGACCAGAAAUCUGUUUUGGUCCUGAUGACCAAUUUCCGUUCCGAAUUUGGAUUGCCGACCUUCAUGAAAGUUGUUCCAUUUGGAAUGAACUAUAUAACUGCCAAUUUUCAGCUCUUUUGACCAUGUGUAGCAUAGAAAACAGUUCGUACUCAAAACUGACCAUUUGUGCAUUGGCCAGAUUUCGUAAGUGAUUGUGUUUGGUUCAUUUGGGACUGAAGCCUCCAGUUUCAGUUCUGGAUGUCUUCAUAACAGUUGUUGUUCAUCCUUUAAGCUUCGAUUUGGCAUCUCAUCCGCCUUAAUCCGAUAUUCGUAGCUCAACUUAUGGGUGAACUAGAAAUGAGUAUCAAAUCUGCCGUUUGCCGUUUCCGCACGCGUGCGUGUGCCCUUUCCGUACUUGCGUGUGCCGAUGUUGCUGUUUUAUUUGUUUUGGGCACGUUAGUGGCCGUUUAUGACAUCAUGUGAUGCAAUCUUCUAUUUCAGAUCGUGGUGAGCUAGGCGGAGCUGGUGGGCCCUACUAGCGAACACGCACGAAGUGAUUUUCACGUUUGUACUACUUUUGUACUUUGUGUAAGUAUUCAGGCCGGUUUGGUGUGUUUUCUUUGCUAUGUGUUUGAGAUAUGUGAAAAGGGCACUUAGGCGAGGGUGUACUUUAUCGCACUCGACCUAAACCCUAAUUUGAAUGUAUAAUUGUACUUGGCAUAUGUAUAUGAACCUUUUGGAACCAAAACCCUUGAGCUUGUGGCUCGGGGCGACUUUCGAAUAAAGUUUGUGAAGUUUGCAAAGUUUGUGAUUUUGAAUAAUUUUGUGAAAUUUGUGAGUUUGGGGCGAACUCUUGACCUGGUUGGACUAUUCGAGCCGGUUAGGGCUUGGUCGAAGGCAGUCCAACUUAGUCUGAGGUCACCAAGUUUGUAGGUUCAUUUUAUGAACCAAUUUUGUGAAUCCGGUUCACCGAGAAGGUGACCAAGUUUGUGACCCGAGCUUGUGACUCAAGCUCAAGUUUGUGAUUUCGUUCGCCCGGGCAAGUUUGUGAGGUGACUGGCCAGUGAGGGUGAUAAGGUGUCGGUGGGUGUACAAGUGAAGUUCUACGGACUAUUAUUUGCGGUCGACGGAGUGUCGGCAGGAGAUCACGCAUGGCACAUGAGUUGGCUUUGGAGCCACCUGUAUCCUUAUUAUGUGAUGUUACUUUUCUGCUUUUGCUUUACUCUUAUUGUGUAACUGUUACGUGAAUUUAUGCUUUCGCUGUUUACUUACUAAGCAAUAGCUUACCCCAUUCCUUUUGUUUUCCUUAGCAGGGGCCGACGCGGGGACUUUUGGCUCGUAUACUAGUAUAGUUAGUUUGGCUUGUAAUAGUUGAACAGUUAGGAUGUUUGUUUUUGUUUUGGUGGUUUGACUCGAUACUUUUGGAGAAUGUAAUUAUAACUCUUUUGGGAUUGUAUAUAUUGUAUUUAGUGCUCUUUCGAACUUUAAGUUUUGAGUCCUGGCGCGAGCUAGGCAGGCGGCCCGCCGAUACCCUUGGGUUCGCCCUUGGGAGAAGUGGGGUCGUCACAGUUGGUAUCAGAGCUUAGGCUUCAGAUCUCUGUAGUGUAUCCUAGGCUGAAAGUUUAGGAUGCCGGACUGUGGGAUUUGAUUUUAUUUGAAAGUUAAGCAAUUGAGGGAUAAAACCUAUAGCUGCUUCGCGUGGUCUCUGCGCGGGGUGAGCCUGAUGAAGUGGUGAAUAAGUAUGAAGGACUAGAUGCUCGGUCAAGCAUAAGUUAUGGAUCAUAAAUGUUAUAGGCCUUAAAUCUUUCUCAUGGUAUCUGAGGACCAUAGGUAGGUUCGUCAGGUAGGAAUUUCGAUUGUAGAUAGUUUACUCUUGGGACUGCAGCUUGAGAUGUGAAUUAUCUUAUUUCGGAUUCUUGUGCCUGAGUACUCCAGAGUUGAGGCGCUGCUAAGUACUUGAGAUUUGCAUUUUGGGGAACAUGAACAAGCUUUGUCUGGCUAGAGUGAGUACAAGAGAUCAACGGGCACUUUGGGAAGUGGAGUAAGAAACCGGACGAGGGUGGUUUUCACUGAGUGUGGGACGACAAGUCGCGUUUCUUUCAUUUGCCCUUGUAUUGUCCCUACAUGUCAUUUACUUGUGGUAUGUUAAUACCUGCAUCUAUAGUACUUGCUGCACUUGACUUUGUCUAACUUGAAAUGUCUCUUGGUGUAUAUGGUGCAUUAUAUUGCGUACAUUUUGGCGUGACUUGUAUAUAUAUGUACACCUUUUGAUCUUUUGAUUAUUUCGAGUUUUUCAACCCUUAGCUCGUUGAUUGCAAUUUCGAGGACGAAAUUGUCCUAAGUGGGGGAGAUUGUGAGGCCCCAGUUCGUUCUACGUUGAUAUAUUCAUUAAUUGGGCGGUAACGUUUGGUUUUGGGAGUAUUUCGAAAACCCUAAGUAGGGAUUAAGAUUUAAACCCUAAGUUCCGGUUAAGAUUGAAAACCCGUUUUCCUACAUUUUCUUUAUUAGAAAAUGCCCAGAUAAUUUUUAUUGAGUAAAUAGAGUUUUUAGAUGAUUUUUCUAGUAUUAGUUAGUUUUUGAGAAAUUAAGAACGUAUAUCGGACGUGGGACCCACUAGUGCGAAAAGUUCGGAAAAAUUCGGCCAAUUAGGUUAAAUUCCGGAUACUGUGUAAAAUUUAUCGGGUGUUAAGAGAUAAGUAGAGUGUGUGAAGUGAGUGAUGUGAGAGAGAAAAGGAAGAUAAGAAUGCAUUAAUGAGUGUGACAAGUGUCACAAUAUGAUUGGUUGGACUUUAAGAAUUACUAUUCACAAUUUUGACUUUUUUGACCAAAGGUUAAAUAUCUCAAAAAUCAUUCAAAAUUCACCAUUUUUCUCUCCUUGGUGGCCGGCUCUCUAAGCUCAAAGAAGGGAGGAAAUUUUCCAUCUCUCAAGCUUCCAUAAGCUUCAAUCUUCCAUAAACAAAAGCUUAGACUAGAUUUCACUCCAUAAAAUCUUAUCUUCUAGUGCUAGUAAGGGUUGUGGUGAAGUUUGUUUGAAGGUCUAAGGUGCCCAACAUCUUCCUCUCUCUUGGUUCUUGGUAAGUGAAGCUUGAAACACCCUACUACACCUAAUGAUGCUUAUGUUGUGCUUAUUAGUGAUAAGAGUGCUGAAAUUUCUGGUUUUAAUCUUGGUUUGAAGUGAUUUGGUGAAGUUUUCCAUUUUAUGAUGAUUUUUCUGGUUUAAUUGGAUUAUGAUGGUGUGGUUGAAUAUGAUGAAUGGUAAUAGCCUAUAAUGACUCUAGUGAGUGUGAAAUGUGGAUAAAUGCAACCAAUUUUGGAUUUGGUGUGAAAAUUGAAAAGUUAGGGUUCCUAAAUCCCCAAUUCUGUCCGGUUUUGGAUCAUAGGGUUAGAGGCAGAAUUUGACUUUGCUCAAAACAUGAAAGUUGUAGGUAUUGAUGUGUUUGAGGUGCCUACAAAAUUUCAGGUCAUUUGGAUUAAUGUAGAAUGAGAUAUGACGAAAUUACUGUAGCUGUUCUGCUUUGGUCAGAAUGCGAAAACUGCGUUGGUAUUUGGCUAUUUUGGCUGGAAUUAGUUUGGAUUUUGAAGUUGGUGUCUUCUGAUGAAAUGUAGCUGGAUGUCUUAUCUAACAUAUGCCUUUGGAAUUUCGGCAUUUGGACUUGUAUAGACUAAGUUAUAGUCAUUACAGUUUUAUGUGAUUUGCAAACCUGUUUUGGUAAUUCUGGAUUUGUAUUUUGCAUAUUUGACCUAGUUGUGCUAGGAUUUGGACUGAGUGGCCUUCUACAUUGUUGUACCCCUGUUCCUUAGCUUCGAAACGGUGGGUCUUACACCCCCAUCCGAUAACCGUAGUGAAUUUGGUGCCAUUACGCAUAUUGAGGUCAAAUACGGUUUGUGAUUCUAGUACGUUUUUGGAAAGUUUAUGGCUGGAACUUUGGCUUCACAUUUGACUGAGUUACAAGCUGUUUGGGCUUCUGACCAAAACACCAAACUUAUAGCCCUAUAUCAGAGCUUUCUAACGCCCUUGGAAUUUCAUGAAUCGGAUUUAUAAAACCUGAGAUAUAGCCGAACAAACAAGGCCUGCCCGUGAAAAUGACCAGAAAUCUGUUUUGGUCCUGAUGACCAAUUUCCGUUCCGAAUUUGGAUUGCCGACCUUCAUGAAAGUUGUUCCAUUUGGAAUGAGCUAUCUAACUGCCAAUUUUCAGCUCUUUUGACCAUGCGUAGCAUAGAAAACAGUUCAUACUCAAAACUGACCAUUUGUGCAUUGGCCAGAUUUCGUAAGUGAUUGUGUUUGGUUCAUUUGGGACUAAAGCCUCCAGUUUCAGUUCUGGAUGUCUUCAUAACAGUUGUUGUUCAUCCUUUAAGCUUCGAUUUGGCAUCUCAUCCGCCUUAAUCCGAUAUUCGUAGCUCAACUUAUGGGUGAACUAGAAAUGAGUAUCAAAUCUGCCGUUUGCCGUUUCGCACGCGUGCGUGUGCCCUUUCCGUACUUGCGUGUGCCGAUGUUGCUGUUUUAUUUGUUUUGGGCACGUUAGUGGCCGUUUAUGACAUCAUGUGAUGCAAUCUUCUAUUUCAGAUCGUGGUGAGCUAGGCGGAGCUGGUGGGCCCUACUAGCGAACACGCACGAAGUGAUUUUCACGUUUGUACUACUUUUGUACUUUGUGUAAGUAUUCAGGCCGGUUUGGUGUGUUUUCUUUGCUAUGUGUUUGAGAUAUGUGAAAAGGGCACUUAGGCGAGGGUGUACUUUAUCGCACUCGACCUAAACCCUAAUUUGAAUGUAUAAUUGUACUUGGCAUAUGUAUAUGAACCUUUUGGAACCAAAACCUUGAGCUUGUGGCUCGGGGCGACUUUCGAAUAAAGUUUGUGAAGUUUGCAAAGUUUGUGAUUUUGAAUAAUUUUGUGAAGUUUGUGAGUUUGGGGCGAACUCUUGACCUGGUUGGACUAUUCGAGCCGGUUAGGGCUUGGUCGAAGGCAGUCCAACUUAGCUGAGGUCACCAAGUUUGUAGGUUCAUUUUAUGAACCAAUUUUGUGAAUCCGGUUCACCGAGAAGGUGACCAAGUUUGUGACCGAGCUUGUGACUCAAGCUCAAGUUUGUGAUUUCGUUCGCCCGGGCAAGUUUGUGAGGUGACUGGCCAGUGAGGGUGAUAAGGUGUCGGUGGGUGUACAAGUGAAGUUCUACGGACUAUUAUUUGCAGUCGACGGAGUGUCGGCAGGAGAUCACGCAUGGCACAUGAGUUGGCUUUGGAGCCACCUGUAUCCUUAUUAUGUGAUGUUACUUUUCUGCUUUUGCUUUACUCUUAUUGUGUAACUGUUACGUGAAAUUUAUGCUUUCGCCCCUGUUUACUUACUAAGCAUAUAGCUUACCCCAUUCCUUUUGUUUUCCUUAGCAGGGGCCGACGGGGACUUUUGGCUCGUAUACUAGUAUAGUUAGUUUGCUUGUAAUAGUUGAACAGUUAGGAUGUUUGUUUUUGUUUUGGUGGUUUGACUCGAUACUUUUGGAGAAUGUAAUUAUAACUCUUUUGGGAUUGUAUAUAUUGUUUUUAGUGCUCUUUCGAACUUUAAGUUUUGAGCCCUGGCGCGAGCUAGGCAGGCGGCCCGCCGAUACCCUUGGGUUCGCCCUUGGGAGAAGUGGGGUCGUCACAUCUAAUAUAUAUACACACACUAUAUAUAUAUAUAUAUAUAUAUAUUAGACAAUCAUAAGUAUUGUUAACAUACUUUAUAUUUACACUAAAUUAUAACAUUGAAAAAUAAAAAAUAAAAAAUUGCAUUUUCUAGUAAACCUGAUCUAGAAGAUAUCAAUAUGUGUAUACGCAUAAACCAAAAAAUUUACAAAAAUACAAAUAUAUUACCAAUAAAACUAAAAAUAUUACAAAAGAAAACAAAAUGAAUAUAAGAAGCAUCUAAGAUUACUUCUUUUAUAUUUAUUAUAGUUUAAGAUGGUGAAAAUACCUAAAUACUAAACAUUUAAAUUAUUUAAUAGUCCACAUUAAUUACUUGAUAUGACUUGAAAUUAAGUAAAAAAUAUAUAGCAAACACGUCUAUAAUCUAAAUUUUGACUUCUAAUUAAUGAAUCCUUCCUUUCAUAAAGAUAAUACAAUACAUGGCAACAUAAAAAAAAAUACAGUACAUGAUAUCAAAAUAAGUUGAAUAAAAAUUUAGAGAUUAUUUAACAAGUUCAAACCUUUUUCAUGUGAUAUAGUUUACUAAAUACAAAAGAGGAAUUUUGUAGAAAAACAUAUAUGAGGCAAUACUAUGUAUUAAUAUUAAGAAAUUUAAUCAUUUAUAUGUAAGAUAAUUAUUGAUUGUUGGAUUUCAUUCACCAAUGUUAACAUUUAAUCAUUUAAGUAAUAGUAUAGUUAUUAUCACACCACAUGAAAAUUGUUAUAAAACUAUUUUGAUUUUACCACACAUUAGACAAAAACUAUGGUAAAAAGUGACUAUUUAUGACAAUUAUUAGCCAACCGUGGUAAAUAAUUAUAGAAUUGACACGGUAUUUUGCUAUGGCAAAACAAACUGUAGCAAAAAGUUUUUUAAUACCAUAGUUGCCAAAACUGUGUCAAAAACUCACCUUUUGUCAUGGUUUUAGCAACUGUGACAAAAAGAAAGUGAUACUAAUUAUUUUUUUUUGUGGUUAUUAGAUUAUAAAAUGUUAUCAUUGUAAAAAAAAAGAUUAUAAUUGUUAUCAUCAUAGUAUUAUUAUCAAAUCUCUCUCUUUCCACCCAUCCCACAAAAGUAAUUUUUGGAUUAGCAGGCUAGCAGCAUUUCUAAACCUCUUAGAGAUUCAUCAUCCCUAAAUCUAUCACAAUGAUAAAAAUAAUUCAUUACAUAACUCUCAGUUUGGGGCAGGAGAGGGGAAAGAGGGCGGCGUUGUUGCUGCAGCUGGUAAUGUGAGUCAAGCUCAACUAGAGCCCUAGGAGGCAGAGGCAAGUCUAGCCAAUGUUCCAAAGCUUGGAUUUUUUUAUGAUAGUGGUUGUAUUAGUGGUUAGAUAGAGCCCUAUAAGGUGAUAACGUGGCCGGCCAGGUUGAUUGAGAAGAUGGAGCCAAAUGAAGUUGGAAAAUUGGUUAGGAAUCAGGGGCUAGAUCAAUUACAUGCUAGUGGGGGCGAAAAGAGAAUUGCGACUAUAUACGGAGAGGGGAUGGAGAAAGAUAAGGAUAGAGGUAUUGGAAGUGAUGCGUCGGGGCUAGAGGUGGUGGGAGGUGAGGGGAUAUUGGUUGCCGAUGCUGGUGGUUAUGCUACAGAGAAAGCUUUGAACUUUGUCUCUACUAUUGAUUGCUAAGACAGAGAUGUGACACUACAAGAAAAAAGGUCAUUAGUGACAACAUUUACUAGUGAUAACAAAAAGUCAUCACAAAAUGAGGUUGUUUAAUCACGACAUUGAAGGUUGUCACAAUUGACUCCAAGCAGCUAAGUUUUCAGUGACAACCCUUAAUUGUUGUCACUAAACUACUUCGCGCCAUGGGACUUGGAAGGCGCAAGUUUUACGAUAGUGACAACUUGAUAAAAGUUGUCAGUAAUUCUACCUCUUUCUUUGACAACUUUUUGUUGUUGUCACUGUUUAUAUUUAUUGAUGACCAAUUUUUAUCAGUAAAACUAUAGCAUAAUUAGUGACAACAUAGUAUCAUCGCUAACUUGAAAAAUCUCCAAUUCAUUUAUUUAAUUGUGAGCCUCAAUAUUAAUUUAAUUUUUUAAAUUUGAUGAUUUAUUAAACUAUUCAUAGUUGCUCAAAUAAUAAUACGUUUUUAACUGGAAAAAAUUAAUGAAAGUUUCUAGUUAGGACAACUAUAUAAACCGUUAUAACUUGAGAAAGAGAACAUUUACCAAUUCUUUGAAUUUACCAAAAAUUUUUCAUCCAUUAUAAUUUUUUAAUAAAUAUAUUAAGAAGUAGUGAUUAGAAAUACAUUAGUAAAUUUAAAUAAAAAUUGAACCUAAAAUUGACUUGAAUUGUCUUGAUUGACCAAUACCCGAAAUUUGUUCAAACUAAAAAUGAAAAAAGUGGCGUGAGUACCAUACACUAAGAAAAGCAACCACUCUUACACCCCAGUCGGCCAGUCCCCACAUCCAGAUGCCAUCUGUACUUCUCACACUCUCAAUCCCUCAAUCAACCCCAUUAUUCUCAACCCCCUUUAUUCGUUUCCCGAAUCCCGAGUAGCAGCGGAGGCGGCAGCCGGACCAGCAGUGCCUCAUCAUCGUCGGCAAGCAGCUGGAGGACGGUGGUACUCUAGCCAACUACAACAUCUGGAAGGAGCCUGAAGGAGUCCACCAUCCACCUCUUCCUCUGCCUCCAUGGUGGCUCCAAGAAGCGCAAGAAGAAAACCCUACACCAAGCCCAAGAAGAAGAAGGCCAAGGCUGCCAUCCUCUAGUUCUACAAGGUCGAUGACUCCGGCAAUGUCCAGAGGCUCAGGAAGGAGUUUUAUUGGUUCGGAGGGCAGGGUUUGCACUAUUUUGCAAACCUUGUUUCUCUAAUUUUUCCCCAAUAAUUGGAUGGUGGUGGAGGGAGUGGAAUUGGGUGUAUGAUGUUGCUAUGAGUGGCUGCUGGUGAGAGAAAUAGUGGGUUAAGUGGUGCUGGGUGGAGUGGGAAUUUGGGAUCCUCAAGGCUCACGGUAUAUUUAAAAAAAAACAAUUCAAUAUCAUUUUUCUUAUUGCAUUCGCAUUAUUUUGUUUAAAUUUUUUAUAACAAUAUUAGUGAUUUUUUCUGGUUCAGAGGGCAGGGUUUGCACCUGAGAUUCCAGAGGAUCUAUACCAUCUGAUCAAGAAGGCCAUCGCAAUCAGGAAGCAUUUGGAGAGGAACAGGAAGGACAAGGAUUCCAAGUUCAGAUUGAUUCUGGUGGAGAGCAGGAUUCACCGCCUCGCUCGUUACUACAAAAAGACUAAGAACUCCCUCCCAACUGGAAAUAGUAUGCCCUCUCAUUCACCAUUUCCCUAUUGAUUUUUUUUUAAGUGUCAUUGAAGUCUGUCCAAUGGGUUUGUUGAGUUAAUUAACGUCUGUUCUUUGAUAAUGAAAUGUACUGUCGCAUUGCGUUUUCAUUAGCAUGUAAUGAGAUACUGGUCUGCUGGUUAGGACUUGUAGCAGUUUUAACUGUUGAGAAUUUCCUUCGCUUCUUUAAAUACCUCAUUGGUGAUGUGGCAGAGGAAAUGGGAAAUAGGUUAUCAGCCUGUGCGUUGGUUUUUUUUGCAUCCUUAGCAAACUACUGGGCAACAAUUUUCCCCUUAAAAAAUCAUAUAAACUGCCAUUCAUAAGUGUCCAGUAGUUUUGGAAAGAAUUGGUGUAUGGAGUUUGUUGAGGUUCCUUACUUAUCCAUGUUGUUAAGUAGUGCGCAUAGCUGUCCUGUGCUUCUGCAAUCAUGUUUUUCUGCAAUUGUUUCUUGAGUUUUUAAUAUCAUAGUAAAAAUAAAAGAAGUGUUUCUUGAGUUCUAAAGUUCUAUGUGCUUUAUCUCUUACUUUGCUCUUAUUUAGUUAUUGUCUAGAUGAUACUUUUUUUUCAGCUCUGAAUUCUGAAGGAUCUUUAAUACGUGGGAAAAAUAACCCAAACAACUGAUGACUGGGUUAUAAAGAGCAAGCUGAAAACCAUUCUAUGGAAACAACGAAACAGUGGAACAUGAGCCAUUUUACCAUCUACAAUUUGAUCUUAGUGUCUAGCCUCAUAUCUUACUGCAGAUCCCUGAACGAGACAGGCAAUGGUCAAUUGAAAAUAUAGGAUAGAAAGGAAAUAUUUUCUAUUCCUUCUUCCUCGAGUCCUUGAGCUGUCCUCUUUUCCGAAUCCUGAGGCAGAACCGCAGACACCAAGCAUCUAAAAUCCACUCGGGCAAGGAAUAUGCGAAAGCCCACAGAAGAGUAUGUGGCCAGUGAGGUGUGCAAUGGGGCUCAUAGCCGAUCCAACACAAAGCAGCCCGGGCAUAGCCAUCACUAGAUGGAACAAAGAAGGAGGAUCUUCUGAUUGAUGCCAUUUUAGUUGCCACGUACAAUGGUACCUGACACUACACAUCAAUUCCGCUCUUCUUGUACUUCACAUAGAGGCAUCUAGAGAGCUGAUCAAUGGAAGUACCUGCCUUGACGUGUUAUUUGGCCAAAUAUCACUUAGCAAACCAUUUGUAUGGUGUUAUUGAACUUGAUUAUGAUAUUCGAAUGCUUAAAAUGAUAUUUUGGCAUUUUAUAAUGUAAUGGAUGCCUUCAUUUGUUAAUUUUAAAGCAUUGUCAUUUUUUUUUAUUUUUAAGACAUAAUUUAGCAGGAAAAUCAUCAAAUUUCAUUGUGGUAAAGUGUUGUCACUGAAUUAGAUUUCUCCAUUGACAACCACCUAUUGUUAUGGAAUUGAAAAGUGUUUAGUGACAACAAAAGUUGUCAGUAAUUAGUUUAUAUCUGUUGAUACUAUGGAUUAGUUUUAGUGACGACAUUACUUUGUACAUCAUUGGCAAGAUACUAUGUCAUCACUAAAAUUACAACAAUUACUGACGACACUAGUUGUCGCAGAACAGUACCAUUCACUUACAACUUUUAAGGUUGUCACUGUAUACUUUUACCGACGGGCCUUCAAUGACGACUCUAUGACGACUAGAAAGUUGUCAAUAAAACUUAUUAGUGAUGACUUUUUCUUUUGUUGUGACGAAAAUAGCUUGUCAUAGCUUGUCACUAGAAACCAAUUUUCUUGUAGUGUGAGAAAAAUAGAGAGGAGAGAGAAAACCUUCAAGGAAAAGCUGUUUAGACCAGUUUGUUCCAGGAAAAGUACAUGUGCAAGUUACCUAACUUGUUUCCAUUAGUGUUGUCAGACUUGGACUGGACCAAAUGGUCCAACCGUGAACCGAUCAUCUUUUCGAGUUGGUUUGUAACACAAAAUUAUUUUGAUAAAAAAAAACUAGUCAAAAUUGUCAAAAACUGACUAAAUCAGUGGUCUAGUUCGACUGGUUUAUCCGAUUCUCAAACUUUUCUUAUAAUUUGAGUUAUCUAUAUUGUAACACUUUCAUUUAUUACUAGAAAUAAGAAAACGCCGUCCACUUAGUGUAAAUGUCAAAAUCACUCGUUUUCCUGAAUAAUCUCUAAAUCAAGAUGUUUUCAUCCCUAUGAUCUUAUAAAUUUAGCAUCAAUGAUUCCAACUUGCAUUAAUUUGUUUUAAUUUAGUUUUUCAAGUAGUUUUGGAGAAUGGAUAUAUUUUAGUCAUGAAUUUAUAUUUUUAUAUAUAAUUAUUAGGUGUAUAGUUGAUCGCAAGUCUAAUAUUUUUGGAACAUUUUCUUUGAUUGGCCGAAUAUAAUCAAGAAUUUAAUUUCAAUAUUUCUGAAACUUAUAAAUAUAAAAAAAACUAUGACAUCAUACUGAUGUGACCGAAUUUUUUAGAAUGGUCUGACUGAUUUGACCAAUUAACUCCUAAUCCAGUAGUUUAGCUGAGUUGUUAUCUGGUCCAAGUUUAACAACAUUGGUUUCCAUCUCUUGACGAUAAAACUAGACCAAAUGACCUAAAGGUUAUGAUUUUAUUAGUUUAGGAACAAUUUUGACUACAAAUAUUAGUUUGGUGACUAAAAGUGGGACUAGUCAAUGGUUUAGUGACAUACAAAUAUUCAUUUAGUGACUAAAAGUAGUACUAGUCUUUGUUUGGAUUGUAAAUUAUUUACCAAAUUUUAUUUACUUCUAUCAUCAAUACAUUUUCUAACUAUUUUUUUAUUUUACAUAUAUCACAUAAAAAAAGUGAUACAGCUAUUUUUUUUAAAUUGCUCAAAUAAUCUAUUAUCCAAACAGAUGUCAUUUGCUCUAAUAGAUUAUUCUGUUCAUGAGCAAAUAACACUAUAUCAAAAUUACCUGCAAAAACAUUACAAGCCACUAAGAAAAUUUAUAUAACAGGAAUAUUAGCCACAAAACUUAAGCCCACUUGGACCACCCCUAUUUGAAUCAUGUGUAUCUUUAUUUUUUCAUCACACCUAAAAGGGUUAGAAUUACUUCCAACCCUUAAACUUUGGAACUCUGAAGUGUAAGCCUUCAAAUUUAUGCCCUUGAUUUCAUCAGAAUUCAACAGUUUCUCUGCUCAACUCCCAUCUAGUCUUCCUCAAUUAAUGACCCUAAGGUAGGAUGCGAUCAACAAGGAGUUAACAUGAAACGAAUUAUCAACUCUGAAGGCUUAGAGAUGACAGCGAAGGUAGAAGUGUUUAAAUACAGAACGAAGGCCAAAACAUCAUCCUAUCUUUGUGGCGAUUAAGAUCAGGAACUUCCAUAAUUUCAGCUAGAAAGCUAUUCGAAUUUGAUUGAGUAGCUAAACAUCUUAAUGCUGUGAAACAACAUCCAUGUUUCAAAUUUUGAAUGCUCCGAGGUGGGAGUGAUCAUCAAGGGGUUUCAAAAAGGAUUAAAAACAAGAAAGUCCCCUAUGGUAUAUCUAAUACAUAGAAAAGCCCCCAUGGUUUCAAAACAUACAAAACGACACCCGAUAUUUUGAACUAAAUUGUAAACUAACAGAAUUCGUUAAACUUAACGAAAUCCGGUAAACUUAACGAAAAACUUAACAGAAUCCAGUAAAUUUAACGGUAAACUUAACGGAAUCCGGUAAGUUUAAUGGCUGAGACCAUCAUUUUCAUUAAAUUCAACGAAUUCUAUUAGUUUACAAUUUAGUUCAAAACAUGAGGUGUCGUUUUGUAUAUUUUGAAUCAUGGGAGGCUUUUUUGUGUAUUAGAUAUACCACAGGAGGCUUUUUUGUUUUUAACCCUUUGAGAAACGAAGAUUAAUUUAACAAUGUUUAAUUUGUGUAUGGUAGCAGAGAGAUGGCCAUCAUCACAUCGGUCUCUUUAAGCCGACUCCUGAGUGAGUCUAUGAGCUCACUCAUUUCAUUGCAAGAUGGUUUAAAAAUGGACAACUUGUGCUUAGAAGUCAUAUAGGCCAAAAGGUUUCGAACACGAGGAAAUAAGGAUUGAUAACUCGGAUAUUGUUUUCCCAGCUGCUGCCAACUUACUUCAAUGGUUCAGUUUGCUGUUGUUCAACAAAAAUCAUUUCCACAUUUCUUCAAAAAGAUAAUUCAACUUUGUUCUCACAAGAUGAAUUUAUACUCCAAACAUUAAACACAAGCAUUCUUCCAGUAAAUUCAAAGCGUGCAACAGUUAUGAUGUAUGCGCAAAAAUUGUUAAAAAGCUACUUGCAGUAGGAAAAUAAGAAAUUUCAAAUAAAUAGAAGAGACUCAUGAAAUUGGUUCUGCAGUGACCAUUGACCAAAGUAAUGAAAUUGAAAGACCUUUCAUGCCGUAAAGGCCGCAUAUGCAACAUUAAGCAAGAUGUCAGUGCAGUUUAGUCAUAGAAAUAUAGAAUGAAGAUCAAUGAAGCAUAUGCAAUAAUCAUAUCUCAUCCACUUCAGAAAUGUGACAAACUUGAAAACCAUAUCUGCUGAAGUGCAAGUUAGAAUUAUCUUUGUUGUAAAUGGAGACAAAGCUGUUUUCUCACUCCAAGCGCAAGGAAGACGAUUCUUCGAAAGUUCCAGAACACAAUUCUCCCUAGAUUUAUUGAAUCAUAAGAUUGACCAAAUAUCAUGUCAGUACAUGGAUCUAAAGGGAAAAACAAAUAUGGAAGAUCUAUAAUGAAAGAAAAGGUAUAUCUUCAAGAUGUCACAUUCAACCAAAUCUCAUGUCAAAAGGUCGUGCAAACAAAAGUCCUAUACCUGCAGCACUAGUAUAGAUGUGACUACUUUUAAGUAACCAGGAUCCUCAGUCUUUAUGUGCAUAACCAUAUAGGGGCGACACUCUUAAAUUUAGUUGGGAUCUAAGAUGGGCUCCUUUAAAAGGGUGUAAAUUCAAACUUGCAAAUUGUAUAAAAGUGAACAAAUUAUCAACAAAGUGAUUAGCAGCAGCUUUAAAAAUGACUUUGUACAUUUAAGCAUAUCACAAAUUGUUUUCGUUUUGCCUAUUUACACACAGUUUUCUAUGUUAAAGUGAAUGUCAACUCCAAUAAAAAUCUAACACUUUAUUAACCUACCUUCUAUAUUGCAUUUGCCAAAAAAGAUAAAAAUAAAAGAAAGAGAAGAAGAAAUUCUUUCUUCUACUUAUAUUGAGUUAGUUUAAAUUUAUCAUGAAUUAAAGUCUAAAGAUUUGACUGCUUACUCCAACCAUAGCAAGUUAUGCAAAUGAAGCAAGCCAAUCAAAUUAUGUGCGGUAGUUAUUAAUUCAUUUUGGACUGCACAAUAUCAUGUCUUUCUUUUCAAAUUUCCAUGUAUCAUAGAAGACAGUCAUUUGAAAAUGUAUCAGGCACUAAAGUUUGGGGACUUUUAUGUGCCAUUUUGUUGUUUGAUGUUUGCAAGUUUACUUGCUGGAUAUUCCUAUUAUAUAACAUCAUACCCCGAAAAAAAGUAAAUAUCUAUUAAUAGUCUAAGGCAUUUCUUUCACAAAUGUAAUAGCUGUGACAGCCCCACUUUCCCCUAAGGCGAACCAAAGGGUUCGGCGGACUGCCUGCCCAGCUCUUCGCGGACUCAGUCGAUCACUUCAAGCAACCAUAAGAAUAUCUAACCACGAUCCAACUUAAAACCAAACGUAUAUACAAUAAUAUCUCAAGAAGAAGUACAACUGUCAAAUAUACAGAGGUUCUCAAAUCACCAGACAACCAGCCCGUGCCAAGCACUAGGGCGAGAACCAAGACACAAGAAAACCAAGGGCUAGACCUAGCUAGUCUAUACCUGCUCUCGUCCUUGCUCGCCUUCCCCUGUUAAGGAAAAUAAACUAAAGGGGUGAGCUAUAAGCUCAGUGAGGUUCCGAACACAUAGGCAACAAGAAGUUCAAUGCAUUCAUUACAUGUUACCAAUAAUUCAAAUACAAAAGAAAGCGAUAAACACCUUCAUUAAAAGGAUACGUGCUCACAAGGAGCCAUUCGUUCAUUCAUUCUCCCUUCGUUCCCUUAUACCUUCAAUCAUUUGAAAAUGCAUUUGUAUAUAAGUAAAACCCUCAUUCAUUCAUUCAUUCGUUCAUUCAUUCAUUCACCAGGCUCCACCAACCUACAAGGUAAUACUCGAGUAUACCAAAACGUUCACCCAGGUCCCUAAUCGCCGACCGAGUCCGCUUCUGGUUCGAGACGACCGGUAACAAGGGGCAGUGGCCAGUUCAGCCAAAAGGCUUACAUUCAUGCACAAAUAACAUUUCAAUCAUUCAAUCAUUGAAAUUUUCACAAUCAUUUAGGCGAGUGCGAUAAAGUACACACUUGCCUAGAAGACUCGUUUUAACAAUCAUUGAAAGCAUAUAACAUGUUAUCAAUCAUUCAUACCAGCCAAAUAAUCAUGAAACAUAUCAAACAGGGAACACUCACCUAUACACGCAAAAUAACGUCCACUUCUCAAUCACCAAUGAAACCUAAAAGUAAACAAAGAACACAUUACAAUUCAUCUAGCAUGAUUUGGAUGAAAUCAAGAAUUACCCGACUACUCGGGAGUAAAUGUAUAAAAUGACUUUUAAAGUGUCAAUAGAGCAUAUGGAUCCGUGGACGGAAAUUACUAGGGUUCAUAAACCAACCGUGAAACCAAACUCAAAAGGUUAUGAAAUUUCCGGCAGAAAACACUUUAACCAACAACAAAUCGAAAUCCAAUAAGGUAAGCUAAGAAGUAUUGUUUCCGGAAUCGUUUAUCUAGCUCAAAAUCAAUAGACUAUAUGCCUUGAUGAAAAUCAUGAAAAGGUGGCAAAACUAUCUCACUUUCACUCUUAAAACUUCACUUAAAAGUUAUUCACUUGUGGCCAAGAGAACCCUAGGUCAACCUCUAUAUUUUGGUAAACAGUAAGUAAACGUUUGGAAUUUCAACCCAAAGAGGUAUUAGGUUUUAGAAUGGUAAAAUGAUCAUUUUAUUUGCCAAGCGGAAAUAUAUAGGUUCAAAUAGAAAUUUAGCCCUCGGCCACCUUUUGAAAGAGCCGGUAACAUUUUCAGUAAAUACGUCUAAUUCGUCACAAAAUACAUUCGCAAAAUCACUUUAACUUGCUCACAUUACAAGAAGAUAAACGGACGGCAUGUCCUUUGUGUUUAUCUAUUUUCCAGCCAUUAAUGGCUUCAUUAUUUCCCUCAAAACAGUCCCAACAUCUCAUAUAGAAUAAUCUCAUGUCCAAAAGCCAUUCACUAGGCUUAAAGUCAUAUAAAUACAAAAAUAAAUACAAAAAUCAAGCUAGAAACAUUUCUGGAUAAAAACAGUUUUUGACACCAUUUUGCGGUUUUGGCACCAUUGGCGCUACGGUUAUCGGGUGAAGGUGCAAGACACACCAUUUCGAAACGAACAGAUAGGGCUACAAUGUUACAGAAGGUCACUCAAUCCAGUUUCGAGUGUAACCAGGUCAAAUAUGCAAUAUACUACACCAGAACCGCAAAAACAGGUUCACAAACCGCGUUCUGGUUCCAACAUCAUAAGUCAGGCUACCUAAGUCCAAAUCAGGUGAUUCCAAAACCAUCCAAAAGCUAAGAUACAAGGCUAAAAUUCAUCAAAAGACAUCAACAACCGAAUCAGAAGUAUUCCCAGCCAAAAUAACCAAUUACAGAAGCAAUUCUCAAGUUCGAGUAAAACCAGGGCAGCAGGGAUAUUUUGGUCUUUUCACAAGCUAUGAUGCUCCGAUUGACCUAAAAUUUUGCAGGCAUCUCUAAAAUAUCAUUCCCUACAACUUUUAUGUUUUAAUCCAAGGCCAAUUCGACCUCUAACUAUGUGCUAAAAUGCCGGGCAGAAUGAAGAACAAUGAAACCCUCACUUUCCAAUUUUCUUUCCAAAACAGAAAUUUCUUGCAAUUAACCACCAAUUCCAUAUUAUAGUUUCAUUCAAUAUCAUUUCCAAUCAUCAUACAUGGCCACAUAAUCAUAUUCAUAUGAAAACAGAAAAAUCCCAAAUAAAUAUAAAACUUCACCAAUUUCUCCCAAAAUCAAGAAUUCUUCCACCAAAUUGCAUCUUUAACCAACACAAGUCAUUAAUUUGACAUUAUCAAAACUAAAGAAAGAGUUUCCUAGUUACUCACCUUGCAAUCUCAAGAAAGUAAGCAACUUGGCACCAACUUCUUCCAAACCACUUCACAACCAACCUCAAUAUCACCACACUAAGAGGUUUUAUGGAAAAAUUUGAAGAUGCAACGGUUGAAUUGAAAGAUUGGGCAAGAUUGGAGCUUCAAAAUUGAGAGAGUUUUCUUUUGUUUGAGCUUGAGAAGGGCCAACCAAGAAGCUUGGGAUUUGAAGUGAUUUUUGGGUCAAUUUUAGUUAAAUUGGUAAAGUAAAUAAUUGGUCAAAGUCCAAAGGUUAACCACUAAGUGACACUUGUCACUUUCAUUAAUUACUUGCCUAACUUUUGUCUCUCUCACACCAACCACUUGGUACCCUCUAAAUAUCUCAUAACACCCGAUAAAUUAAACCCAGUAUCCAAAACUUAACCUAUCUGGCUAAAUUUCUGAACUUUUCGCACUAGCGGGUCCCACGUCCGAUAUACGCUCUUAAUUUCUCAAAAACUAACCGAUACUAGAAAAAUCAUCUAAAAACUAUAUUUACUCAUAAAAUUAAUCUAGAGAAGUUUUCGAAUAAAGAAAAUGCAGAAAAACGUGCAAGUAGAUAAAAACAACAACCCUAGAAAUUAAGAAAAGUACGGGUCCUCACAAUAGCUCCAUUCAUGUGGCCUAGGCCCUUCGCAUUGAAAACUACAGAUGUAUAGAGGAUCAGACGAUCAAACUGAAGGAAUCUUUAGACGCAUGGAAAUUCAUGGAGUCUCAAAUUUAGAAGGUGAAAUCAUAAAGCAUAUAAGAGAUAAAUACCUGUUCGGUUAAUUGGGAUGUGUCAUCCCACAUAUAAAAUGCAACCAAGUAUAGGAUAAAAUAAGAUGAUUAAUUCAAUUCUGUAUCAUCCUAUGAAUCAAACGGACCCUUAUUUUUUAAGAUAACUACAUCGUUUUAAGUACACACUUCAGAACAAUCACUCCAUAUCCUUAUAAUUGUUGAAUUAACUAUCACAUCUCCAAAAUAAAUUGUUACUUUAAAACACUUUUUUGACACAGUUGAACCCUUUUAGAAUACUACUUUCUUACCCAAAAAAAAUAUCUUUUUAUUAGUUGCACACAAAAAUGAUCUCAACACCUUUUUUGCAUCAGUAACACAUUUCUCAAUCACUUUUUUAUCUUACAUAUAUCACAAUAAAAAAAAGUGUUACAAUAUUUUUUUUCUAAAAAAAUUAUCUCAAAUAAUCCACUAUUUAAACACACUCUGGGUGUGCCCUCAAGCACUAGUGUAUAUGAAAUUCAACUUUGCAACUGUGGGGUAAAGGCCCUUAAAUCAUCUCUAGCUUGUGAGUCAAGCCAUGAGGGAAACAGUGUUCCCAUUUAAAACCAUGUUUGAGUUUUCCAUUUAAAACCAUGUUUGAGUUUUGUGGCAAACUUUGAAGAGGCUCUAGUAAAAUGAAGAGUCAAUUUUUUGCUUUUGUCUAGGUCGUUCACAAUGACGUAGUUUGCUCUUCCCAUCAAAUAAGUGGUGUUCGACUUAUGCAUCGAGUUACUCUUCUGACUGGAUUACUUUGAUAUCGAGCUUUAAACUAGUCCAAACCAUAUUAGUCACUCAGUUAGUCCAUGUUGGACCAUAGAUUUGUGCAAAUUAUAUUUACUUGCUAUUGAGCCACACUCAAUGCGUGUGCUCCUUGUUCAAAAAUAUUAUUAUUUAUUUGAAUCAAAUAAAUAGUGUAAGUAAAUAGAACUAACCUUAAAAAUGCUUGGACACGAUGCUUUUAGAUUCUUUAAAAGUAAAAGCUAAACAUUAAAAUGUGCCAAUUAAAAUAGAAUUACUAUAUAUAUAAAGCCAAAGGGAGGUGUUGGUAUAGACAAAAUCUAUCACUUAAUGUUUUGCCCAAUAAACCCUUAUUUCUUAACCCAUUUCCCUACAACCACUCCAUAUCCUUACAAAGUUACAAUUGUUGAAUUAAUUGUCACUUCUCCAAAAUAAAUUGUCUCUCUAAAACACUUUUUUGGCACAGUUAAAACACUUUUAGACUAAUAAGUUUUAACAAAAAUAAUUCUCAUUUUAAGAGCUUUUGAUUAGUUACACACAUACUGGAUCUGCCCUCAAAUACUAGUAUAUAUGAAAUUCAACUUUACAAUUGUGGGUAAAUACCUUAAAUCAUAUCUGGCUUUUGAGUUAAGCCAUGAGGGUGCAGAGGCCCCGUCCUGGGCCUGGACACGUGGCAGCCCAGGAAUGGCAGAGUUGGGCUUGGACCCCAGGCCCCUGACAGUUGUCCUGGAGCACACCGCCACUAGGGCACCAAAAGGCUCCAGGGAACAAUCCCGCAGAGGGCGGGGAGAAUCCCCCUCGGCGCGGGAUUGAGGCUAUACCGGGUAAGUUUCGAAGCGUACGGAGGUCGGACUCUCGAGUAAGUAUAAAUGAUAACGCUGACCAACUACACAAGGUACGCUCACUAUUGGCAAAACACCCCGACUGUUUUACUUCUCGUGACUCUCACUCACCGGAAAACUAACUUGACCGUCGGAGUGCCCCCGGGGACCACUUCGGGGCUCCCCUGUUAGUCACCCUAAAGACUACUUCUUGUUUGUUUUGCAGGCUGGGAUACAUUCCUCUCAUCAGCACGCCGAGCUCAUCAGGUCAGCUCGGUCCGGCGAAGCUCAGUGCUUCUUCAAUUGGCACCGUCUAUAGGAACGAAAGGUAAAAUGUAGUUGUGUUGAUGGCGAGAACGCGUUCAAAGCGAACCAUGGAGACCACCGAUCCCGGAGCCGGCGAGGGAUUCCGGCGAAGGGAGACCAAGGCUGCACGGGAAGCCGGGGACUCUGCCCUUUCUGGGGAACGGAGACAGCAGAUCCUACAGUUCGUGUCGGAGAAUCUCCCCAUGCUAGAAGACAUAAUCCGACAGGUGAAGGAGGGAGGCAAAACUGGAGGUGCGCAGAUCUCCAAGGCGAAGAGGAAGGAGAAGGAAUCACCCCCCGACCCCUCUGAGGAUGAGUCCCGAGACUAGCCCCCCAGGAGGAAACGGCCACGGACUCCCCCUCGCUCACGGGCCUCGGUGGUCGGGGAUAGCGAGAGGUACUCCCGCGACUGGUCCGCUGGGGGCCGACCGAGAAACCCCUCCCCAGGCAGCCUACGCGGAACGAGCCCGAACGCUCCGCCGACCGAUCUAUCAAGAGUCGCCCGCGCGACCUUCCCCAGUGGAAACCUGUCCGGGACGAACUCGAGCAGAUCUUGCGGCUGCAAUUGUACGAGGACAACAACACGGCCUCGCCCUUUAUUUGCAGGAUAGAGGACUACCCGCUAUCUCAGAGAUUCAAGAUCCCGAACAUCGAGUUGUACGAUGUUUCGACCGACCCGGAAGACCACCUCUCGGUCUUCCUUACGCACAUGCGUUUGCAGACAGCUGCGGAUGAAGUCCGUUGCAAGACCUUUUCGAUAUUCCUGAAGGGGAGGGCCCGACUUUAGUUCCAGGGUCUGGCACCGGGGUCCAUCCGAAAUUUUCCCGAACUGGCCAGGCAGUUCGUCGCCCAGUUCGUCUCUUCGAAGACUUAUUCGAAGAACGCGGCUCACCUGAUGGCAAUCAGGCAGAAGCCGGACGAGUUCCUAAGAAAUUUCAUGGCCCGCUUCAACACGGAGAGCUUGCAGAUCAGGGACAAGGAUGAAAAGGUGGUGAUGGCCGCCUUCAUGAAUGGCCUCAGGGCAGAGGAGCUCUUCUACAAGCUGGCCGAAAAGCCUCCUGGAGACCUGGAAGAGCUCUUGACCAGGGCGCACGCAGCCGCUAACGCAGAGGAGGCGGCACGCCUAAAGAGGGAGUCAGAUCGAGAGCUCGGCAAUCGGAGAGAACGGGGAAAUCCUCCCGAAAACAAGGACGGCCCAGUCAAGAAGAACGUCUUUGACCGACUCUCAAAGGAAGAAGCCCCCGAUCAGCCGCCGCUUCUGGAAAAAGACUACACCCCCCUGACUCAGCCUAGGGCCCAGAUCCUGGCCGUCAUGGAGGCAGAGGGCCUAGGGGAAUGGCCGCCUAAGAUGGGAGCCCCCGAAACAAAAGGAAUCAGGACCGGUACUGUACCUUUUACCGUGACGUCGGGCACGACACGGAUGGGUGUUGGGUCCUGCGGAAGGAGAUAGAGGACCUGAUCCAACGCGGCUUCUUGGGACAAUUCGUGCGGCAAGGUCGACCGGGCCAGAAGCUGAGACGCGCCUACUGCAGAGACAGGGGCGAGGGCCAGCGUCGCGACCGCCUUGAGCGGCGUGACGUGCUUCGGAGCCACUCCCCGACCAGGAUACCCAGAACUUAGCAGGAGUAAUGAACACCAUCGCUGGGGGUCCCAGGGGGGACAGCCACGCAGCUCGGAAGAAUAGACGACCUCCCCCCGAGGGGGAUGAUUCCCUGAAGCGCUUGCGCAUGGACGAAAAGAUCACCUUCGGUCCAAGAGAUGCGGUUCCCCUGGCGUCCGGGAACCACGAGCCCAUCGUGAUAGACGUCGUCACCAACGACUAUCACGUGAAGAAGGUGUAUGUCGACCAAGGGAGUGCGGUGGACAUCCUGUUUUACUGAGUCUUCAAAGAGCUCGGCUUGGAGGAUGGACAGUUGACCCGAUUCGGACACCCCUGGUGGGCUUUACCGGACCACCCAUCAAUCCGGAGGGAAUGAUCACUCUGAUGGUCACGGUAAGGUAGUCGCCAAAUGCCGGACCAUUCUUGUCAAUUUCUUGGUGGUCAAGCAGCCAUCCCCGUAUAAUGUAUUCUUGGGUCGGCCUGCCUUGAACGCCCUCCGAGCUAUUCCCUCUUCGCUCCACCUCAGCGUCAAGUUCCCUACCCCGGGAGGGAUAGCCGAGGUGCAUGGAGAUCUAGAAGUGGCCAGAGCUUGCUACUUGGCCAUGCUCCAGGGACAUGAGAAGGUGGUCGCCCAGACGACUAGCUUGGAGCCCUACAUCCCGGGGGAGGAGGCCCGACAGUUGGGCACAUAGGACGAGGUCGAGGAGCUCUCCUUGAGGGAGGAUCGGCUUGACCAGGCCCUCCGCAUCGGUGCGCUGCUACCCUCUGAGGAGAAGGAGGGUUUGAAGGCCCUGCUGAGAAAGUAUUUCCAGGUUUUCGCGUGGACGGUUGAAGACAUGCCCGGGAUUCCGACUGACCUGGCCAUCCAUCACCUCAACGUGGAUCCCCGUUUCAAGCCGGUGAAACAGAAGAAGAGGAGUUUCGCCCAGAAAGGAAUAAGGUGAUCAAGAAGGAAGUCGGCAAACUGCUGGAAUCCAAGAUCAUCAUAGAGGUAUACUACCCGACCUGGUUAGCCAAUCCCAUCCUGGUGAAGAAGGAGGACCAGUCUUGGAAGAUGUGCGUGGACUUCACAGACCUCAAUAAGACCUGCCCAAAGGACUGCUUCCCCUUUCCGAGAAUCGACAGGUUAGUAGAAUCUAUUGUGGGUUUUGACGUUUUGUAUUUCCAGGAUGCGUUCAAGGAUACCACCAGGUAGAGAUGGCCGAGGAGGAUCGGGAAAAGACUUCCUUCAUCACUGAGGAAGGAACGUACUGCUACCGGACAAUGCCGUUUGGAUUGAAAAACGCUGGAUCCACCUACCAGCGCCUGGUCAACAAACUAUUCCAGAAUCAGAUCGGCAGGAGUAUGAAGGUCUACAUGGACGAUAUGAUCGUCAAGAGUCGAAUUGACCGGCAGCUCGUUCCCGACCUGAGGGAAAUCCUGAACAUCCUGUGGGAAAGCCGAAUGCUGCUGAACCCGAAGAAGUGUACCUUCGGGUUAGGUCGGAAAAGUUCCUAAGCUUUCUGGUCUCUCGGGAGGGGAUCCGGGCCAACCUGGAUAAGCUCCAGGCCAUCAUGGACAUGGCUCCUCCGAAGAGCGUCAAGGAGGUCCAACGGCUCACGGGAAGGAUGGCCGCCCUGAAUAGAUUCCUCUCACACUCUGCGGUAAGGGGGCUACCCUUCUUUCGAAUUCUGAAAGCACCUAAGGACUUUCAAUGAAUUGAGAAAUGCUAGAAAGCCUUCGCCGACCUAAAGACAUACUUGACUGAACUACCCGCUCUGACCGCCCCGGAGUAGGGAGAAACCCUGUUCCUAUAUUUAUUUGCUUGCAACGAGGCCGUUAGCACGAUUUUUAGUACGGGAGGACAAGGGGCUCAGAGGCCAAUAUACUACGUCAACCGUGCUUUUGCAAGGGCCGGAAACGCGGUACACAUCGGCAGAGAAAUUAGUCCUCGCCUUGGUGCAUACCGCCCGGAAACUCCAACCUUAUUUCCAAGCCCACAACAUUGUUGUCUUGACGGAUCAACUCUUACGUCAGAUACUCACAAAACCUGAGGUCUCGGGUAGAAUGACCAAAUGGGCCGUCGAGUUGGCCGAGCACGACAUCGGCUAUCAGCCCCGCACCGCUAUCAAAGCUCAAGCCCUGACAGAUUUCCUUGCUGAGGGUGCCAGUUUAUCCGUGGCUGAGCCGAGCUCUUUGCCCAAGGAGGUACGGUUGGAAGAGUCGUGGGUACUAUUCGUGGACGGGGUCUCAAGUAAAGAAGGGAGUGGAGCUGGCUUGCUGCUCACCUCGCCACCGGGGAAGAGCUGACCUAUGCGCUCAGAUUCGACUUUCCGGCAUCUAACAAUGAGGCGGAGUACGAGGCCUUACUGACAGGGUUGCGGAUAGCCCACCAGAUGGGUAUAGCCGCGAUCAAGGUCCGGAACGAUUCCCAACUCGUAGUCCACCAAGUCCGUGGGGAGUACGAGGCCAAGGAGGACGUCAUGAAGAAAUAUUUGGCUAAGGUACGAGAGGCGAUAACCCUGUUCGAUACUUUUGAAAUCGAGCAGGUGUCGAGAUCGCAGAACAAGCGCGCGGACGCCCUAUUGAAGCUGGAGUCCUCCUCGUUUGCUCACCUGAGCAAGGAAGUCUUGUGAAGGUCAUCAAGCAAAGAGGCAUUGAUCAGGUCCAGGUCUUGGCUAUAGACAACCCGCCCUCCUGGAUGACUCCCCUCGUGAACUUUUCAGCUUGGGUGUCCUCCCGGAAAAAAUCGAGACUCGCCGACUCCAGCUCAGAGCUGCCAAGUAUGCCUACUCUGGGGGACCUUCUACAGGAGGUCGUAUUUGUCUCCCUGGUUAAAGUGCGUAAUCCCUGAGGAGGGCGACUAUGUCCUCCGUGAAGUUCAUGAAGACUUAUGUGCGGCACAUGUGGGAUCCCGAGUUUUGGUCAAAAGAGUGCCUACUCUUGGGCUACUAUUAGCCCUCCGUGUUCCGAGAUGCCGCGGCGCUAGUCCAGCAAUGCCGAGCUUGCUAGGUGCACGUCUCGUUGCAUCACCAGCCAACACAAGAGAUGGUCCCUAUCCACAGUCCUUGACCCUUUGCCCAGUGGGGAAUAGACCUCUUGGGGCCUUUUCCCCGAGUUCCUGGGAGAUACGAGCACCUCGUGGUAGCCAUCGAUUACUUCACAAAGUGGAUAGAAACGGAGCCUUUGGCCACUAUCUCUGGAAGAGCAGUCCAGAAGUUCUUCUGGAAGAACAUAGUCUGCUGUUUUGGGAUUCUGCAUGUUUUGAUAUCUGACAAUGGGCGACAGUUUGCUGAAAACCCCUUCAGGAGCUGGUGCGCCGAGCUCGGGAUCAGCCAACACUUCACGUCGGUCGGUCAUCCCCAGGCCAACGGUCAGGUAGAGAAUGUUAACCGAACCAUUCUCUAAGGGUUGAAGACUAGGUUAGAACUAGCCCAGUCUAACUGGCUAGAUGAGAUUCCUAGUGUCCUUUGGGCCUACCGCACCACUCCGAGGACGGCCACUCAGGAGAUCCCGUUUUCCCUGACUUAUGGGCAGAAGCGGUGGUGCUCGCGAAGAUCGACCUCCCCUCGCCUCGACACAGAACUUCGUUGCGUCAGCCAACGAAGAAGAGCUGAGGUGUAACUUGGACAUUCUGGAGGCCAAGCACGAGGAAGCGGCGAUACGGAUGGCUAAGUACAAAAACCAGCUCCCCCGCUAUCAUAACACAAAAGUGAGAAACACGCAGUACCAGUCAGGACACCUCGUCUUAAGAAGGAACUCCCUUAGCCGAGCCAUAGUUCCAACAAGCUCGACCCGAACUGGGAGGGACCGUACAAGGUCCUAGAGGCGAGCCGAGCUGGGUACUGCAGGCUUGUGAAACUAGAUGGAGCGGAAGUACCCCGUACUUGGCACUUCUCGAACUUACGGUUGUUCGUAGGUUAGAUUGAGUUAGGGUAUUUUACUGUCUACUCUUCGGAAUCCACAUACAAGUUUAUCAUUAAAUAAAUAUUCGCCUCUAAGCUUUCAUUACUGUUUACCUUUUAAGUUUAAAUUCUGCACUAGCACACUCAGGCAAUGCUAAGUGUCCUAGUGGGGGCUGGGGAUGAAUGGUAACGGAUGGAAUGCCUUUAAAGUUUAAUGCUCGACCUAGGAGGUCGGCAUGGAAUGCCUUUUAAGUUUAAUGCUCGGCCCAGGAGGUCGGCAGGACUAUCUUUAAAAUCUUGACACUCGACCCAGGAGGUCGGCAUGGAAUGCCUUUAAAGUUUGAUGCUCGGCCCAGGAGGUCGGCAGGACUAUCGUGAAAAUCCUGACGCUCGACCCAGGAGAUCGGCAGGACUAUCUUUAAAAUCUUGACACUCGACCCAGGAGGUCGGCAUGGCUGCCUUUAAAGUUUGAUGCUCGGCUCAGGAGGUCGCACAGCGGGAGUUAGUUUGAUGAAGUUUGUUGAUUCCCCAGUCUGAUUGUCCUUGACAAUUUAGUUGUUAGAUAAAAAUGUGAUAGAUGCUCGGCCGAAGAGGCCGGCACACUACCUUGAUGGAUCUAUUUGGUGCUCGACCCAGGAGGUCGGCAUAUGGCUUUUGAUUGUUAGAGUUGGCACAGGCGAGAAUUGCAAAUCGAGAUUAGAUAAUUUCAUUCGAAUUACGUAUAUACAACCUAUCUAUUACAAAGCCUACCGAGCUAUAAAAGGAAAAUGGAAAGGGUUUCUGGAGUGGUCGCUACCCUUAGGCGGACAAACCUCUUGCAGGUGACUGCUGACAUGAGAAAACACGGCAGCAGGUUUCAUAUACUAGAAGAGUUGGUGAUGCUAGAUAUCCACACCCUUCACACUGGGGAAGAUAUGCUUUCUCUCUAUUCCAGAUGGAGAGCUCAGCGCCUCUUCAGAUAUGAAAACCUGGCUAUGUACAGCUCAGCCCCCCAUAAACACCCCUAAGCACCGGCUCCUUCCCGGAAGCCCUGCUGGGAGCCUUGUCCUCCUCCAAGGAAAGCUCUGCCAGCUCGGCUCCCACGUCAAGCCUGCCCACCAGGUCCUUCAGGGCAUGCCCUUGCAAUACCUAUCGAAGAGCCAGUCUAGCUUCUCCUCGGCGGCAGGAUUGUAUUCCUUUAACGCGGCCAAGUCGAAGCCAGGCCGGCCAAGCUCCUUCAUUUGGUCCAGGACUCGCGUAAAGCCGACCUGAAAGAUGGGCUGGUUGAGGAGGGCAACAUCCUCAGCAAAUUGUUCGGAGGAGAUGAACUCCCAAACAGCCUUCCUGCGCUCCCGACUGACGGUGCCGGAGAGCUCGAUGGCGUGGUCCUCUUUCAAUUUCACCACACCCGUCCUCUCCUGGUCCAGUUCUGACCUGGUAGAGGCUAGCUGGACCUGAGCCGUUUCCAACUCCUUCUCGGCCUUGCCCAGCUUGGCCUUAAGGGAGUCCGUCUCCUUAAGGGCCUGGGCAAGCCUUUGCUCUAUCUUCAGAUUCUUUUUCUGUAGUUUUUCCAAGUCGGGAGAUAGCUCGGAGAAGCGGGUCGCCAGGGCAGCUCCAGCAGCAUUGGCCUGAGGAGAGGAAAAGGAAAUUAGCACAAGGCGAGUCUUAAUCGGAUGCGCGAGUGGCCUAAAAGGCAGGGAACUUACUUGAGCCUGGGCAGUGAAGUAUAUGUCCUGGAGCUCAGACGAGCUCGCCAGCUCCAUCCACCUCUUGUCACGCGGAGGACCGAGCCCGUGACUAGCUCGCGAGCCACCUCAGGGAAUUGGGCUCGGUCGUUGAUGGAUAGCCCCAACGAUGGACAGAAAUGGCGGGGUCGUGCAUGGAGGGGGCCUGGCCCGGUUUCAUGGGGGCGACGUGGCCGAAGUGCCACAAACUGGGGGCAGCAUCUCCCGCGCGUGCUCCUCCGCAGAUCCAACCCCCAAAUGGACCGGACCUGCAUGAGGAGCGCUCCCCGACUGUAGACACCAAAUUUUUUAAAUAUUUUUUAUCCUAAUUUUAUUUUUAUUUUUAGUAAUAAUUGUUAUCUAUUAUUUUAAUUCCAUAAUUUUAGUUCUUAAACCUUUAACAUUUGUAUAGCAUUUCAGUAUUUUCAUAUUAUCAUUAUCUAUUAUCUAUUAUUUUAGUUUUUUUAGUUUUGCAUUCAUUUUUACCCUUUUAGUCGUUUAUUUUUAUUGUAAGACUUUUUAGCAUAAAAUUUGUCAAAAAGAGAAAAUUAUGCAUGGAAAGUAUGUUUUAUUUCUUUUUACUGUUUAUUAAUUGGAAAAAGAAAAAGAGGAAAAGAGGAAAAAUUAUUUAUCCAACACAGGAAAAAUCUUAGCUUUUUAUCUUUUGUUACUAAUUUUGUACAUUUUAUUUAUGUUUCGUUUAAAUCGUUAUUCUGUAUUAUUAUUGUUUAAUUAAGUGAUUGAAAAAAAAAGGAAAAGUCCACAUUUUGGUUUCGGCUGCAGCAAAAAGGAUUUGCAGCUGCAUUUCUCAGCUAUUUUUGCCUGGGGUUGGCUCCGUUCGAUGGAUAGUACACACCAUCUGGCUUCAUCUAGACCAUCGGGGAUAGGGUUCAGUUUUGGGGUUCCUAUAUAAAAGCAAAGAGAGGACUGACGGCUAAAAAAAAAAAUCUGAAGGAUAAGGAAUCUGGGGGUGACGGCUAGGUUUUAGAAAAGCAACAAAGGGAAAAGGGGCUAAGGGAGGACGGCUGAGAAAAUAAAUCUGAUAACGGCUAGAAAAAGAAACCAACGAGAGAGGUUUACGGGCUGAGAGCUGGAAGAGGGAAAGGCAAGGAAAAACUAGGAACGAUAUAGAGAAUAAGCGAGGUAGGGGUGGACCAAAAAGCGAGAAAAGGAAACCCGGAGUUGCUACGGGCUGAAAGGAAGGAAGCUACUGAAGAAACCAGGAGAGUUUUCAGAGAUCAACUUCUGCUCGUUUUCUUCGGACUCAACCCUGCCCAAGAAUCAUCAUCAGGUAAUCAUAACUCCAUUUCUUGUUCAUUCUAAUUCUUGAACGAAGUAGAAUACAUGAAAUCUGUGCCUUUUGGGUUCUUACUAUUGCUUGGUAUGACUUUAUCUCUCGAUGGAUAAUUUUAUCUGGAGUGGGAGAUCUGAGGCACUAAUUUCAUGUUGUUGUGCGGAUUGUUGAUGGGGAUGUGAUUCUUAUGGGAUUUGAUUGAUGGCCAUGUGAAUCUGGUUUGAAUGUUGCCAGCAUUCUUGAGAUUGAAUCUGUUGUUGCUGUUUUCUUGCAUUUUCCCUUGCAUGUUAGAUGGUCUUUCUGCUCUUACCAUUUGGUUUCUAAAAUCUGUUUUUCACCCAAGAGACAAUUAUAUCUGCCCUUUGUUGCGUUCAGUCUAACACUCUCUGUUUCAUGGCUCGAUUUUGUUAUUCAAGGAAGCUUUAGUUUUUCUGUUUUGGCUGGGAAAUUCGUGGUCAUGACCUGGGUUUGGGGACAGCAAUUUGGGGUUUACUUGUAGCUUGAUUGAUAUAUUAUGUACGCAUGUACUGCAAGCCUUUUUCUUUAUGUUUCGAUUGUGUUUUUCAUACCCCGUCAUAUAGUUGGGUCUUUUAGGAUAGGCAGUUGCAUUGCCAUGAGUUUAAUAACGCUGGGUUGGAAUUUCUGGUUUCGAAUUUUGCAUAUUUGAACAGCCAGUUCACGUUACCUUUCUGCAUUUUUGUGUUCGAGAGUGUCUGUUUGGUGCCUCCCCUCUCCUUGGCCUCAUAUUCUCUCAUUUCUGGCCUUGGACAAAUUGGGAACUGCAUUAAAUCAUUUCCUUGGUAUGUUCAAAUUGUAUAAGAAACUAAAAGCUGCAUUCUCUUCGCUGUUUUCUUUAUCGAAGCAGCCCGCAAAGCUGAGCUUCCUCUCGUGUGUUUAGAUGUUAAGCUCUAGUGGACUUUUGUUUAGAUCAAAGUUUUUGAUGUUUGGUUGAAUUUGUUUUUGUUUGAAGUCGUGUUUUGAGGCUAAGAUCCGUGCUUGAAAAGUGAAAGCUGGUAGCUAGUUUCAUUGCAGAAUUUUCUUAGCAGCAGCCGAGAGUCAUUGCAGCAAACUUGGAAACAAAAGGAAGCAUGUUUCAUUUUUUUAGUUGCAGAAGUUUAAGCCUUUACGUAGUUGCAUGGAAGUUGCAUGCAAAUGGCUUUCAAAAAUUGCACCUUGACCCCUAGUUUGCUAAGCAAUGCUACAAAGGCCCAACUAUGUUCUAUUUUUUUGCGAUUAGGUCCUAGAAUAAUUGCAAUUUGAACCACCACUUGGCUCUUUCUUCGCUCUUGAACCUUUAGAGUUCCUAAAAUGUUUUAAUUGGGCUUGAAUGAUUGGUUAAUGUUUGCAAUUGGGUCCUUGGUAGUUUUCUAUUUUUAGAAAUUUGAUUCAUAGUUUACUUUUCUUGGAAAUUAUGAAUUAUUUGGUUUCAUUUAAGUCGCAACUAAGGAAGAAUUUGGUGGUUUGUUAGUACCCCUUUUGAAGUUUCUAAGGUGUUCUGAGUUUCCUUUUUGCCUUUUAUUCUACUUAUCUUUAAAGUGGUGCAUUAAUCCCUUACUUUGAUGGUUUUAGCCCAAGUUAUCUCUUUCUUUGGUGACUCUAGCCCAAGUUAAGUCUUGUUCACUUUACUAACAUCACAAACGGGGAGGUAUAACUUCUUUUAUCCUUUUUUGUCUCUCCUCUAUGUGAUCCAACGUGCUAAGUGAGAAUUGCAUGUCUACUUUGCUUUCCUUGUCUUUCCUUUAAUUCCUUUCACUUAUUUCAUUUACUUUUGCUUUUAUUAAGUUAUUCUUUUAUGAGGUAUGUGUACACCUCUUGGCUUGUAAUAGAUAGGGCUUGGAGAGCAUUUUUAUUCACUUUUCCCCUUCCCCAUUUGUUUUAGUUAGCCAAUGUAAUAGGUUCAUUAGCUUGGUUGCUUGUUUUGUUGCUACGUGUUAAUUUGCUUUAUUAGGCUCUUGCAUUUAGUCGAGCAUGCUAAAUGUUAUGUGCUACGUGUUUAUAGGUGAUUGGCAUGUCUACUCGCUUUCUAUAGUCAUAGAUGAAUGUGAUGGAUGAAUGCGUCACCGUAGCUAGUCCAACGCUGGUCAUGAUUUUUUCCCUCGAGCUCUCGCAAGUCCAAUGCUUGUAAGAGAAUUUUAGAAAAGGGCUAGUCCAAUGCUAGACCCAAUAGGCCGUCCCCUCUCGUUGGUACAUACUUGCAUGUCUCACUACAUUUCAUGCAUUUUUCUUAGGUUUUUAGCAUUUGGCAUGCUUCUCCAAUCCUUUCCCCUUCAUCUUAGGUUUUUGCAUCCUCAUGCUAGUUAUAGGGUACAUUUGCUUGAGAGUCCUCUUUCGGUAAGGGAAACGAGCGAGUGUGGCUACAAAAUAGCCUUAGCACGCUAGUUCUUCCUUCUAAUCAAAGGGAAAAUUAAAAUCGUGAAGUUAAGAGUCAUUCCCGUACCCGACUUGAUGCAUUCCUCUAGGUUCAUACACUCUCAUUUUUAUCAUAUCACUUCCUCACUUUCUUUAUCCAUAUUCUCUCACUACUUAUAUUUUUCUCAAUCCACAUGCCAUGUUUGCACAUUUUUCUUCUUUUCCUAUCGCUUAUUUAUUUUUCUACCUCACAAAUUGCACCCAAUUGCACUUAUAUAUUUACUACUAUUAUACCAUAUUUUCAUCGACUUGCACACAUACACCUUCAUUUUUCUCAAUUGGCACACUUGCACUUUUCUUACAUUUGCACACUUACACUCAUACUUGAGUCUUCAUUUGCAUUAUUCGUACCUCUAUGAGGGCUUUCCUUACUGGCCAUCACAAUUCAUGUGAUUGGAACCAAAAACCUCAUAAGAGACAUUUUAGAUUUAGGAUUGUUUUUCUUUUUUUCGCAUCCAUUAGUCAUAUCCAACAUGCAACACAUAUUUGGGUAGAAGAAUUAGGAAAAGAAGGGCUAAGUCACGCAACUAGCUUUGGCUAGGGUAAGGGAGUGCCUUAGGCUUUGCCUUUGCCUUCUCCCUUAUCAAAUGUGACCCCCGAUCCCUUUCUUUGGUUACGUAGACCUAAAAAAUUCUUUAAAAAGGGUUUGUUUACUUUUCUUUCCAAAAAAAAAUCACUUUUUGGGUGACUUGGUACACCCUAACUCUAUACCAAGUGGCGACUCCUUUUCUAUCUAAAACCCUUUGUUUGGCCAAACCGUCGCAUUUCACAAUCCCACGGCCUUUUAUUUUCACUUUCACACACGUUCACAUACAUAUCCCACACACUACUUUCACACCUCAAAAAGUGGGGCGCGACAGCUUGGCGACUCCACUGGGGACCUCCUAAGUGGGUCCAAGCAUUUGAUUUAGCCAUUCUUUUCCGUUUUCUACCCUUGUUAUGCGUAGCAUUUGGAUAUUAGGGUUGCAUUUUCCAUUUUAGGACCUUUUGCCUCGCGCGUAUCAAACUACUCCCUCACUCACGUAUGUAUGAUUGGUUGCUUGGAUGUAUGUUUUACUUGUUUUAUCUCGCACUUUGCAUUGCAUUUGGGGGGGUGUGUCACCUUUAGAGCCUCGCGUUGGGUCUCAACCCUUUCCCUCAAAAUAGGGAACACUUCAUACGUGCACGUUUAUUUACUGUUAUCCCAUUUUAUUUUAUUUUCGUGGGCUCUUUCCCACACCGCCUUGUAGGACUAGGAAUGGUUUCUCUAGGUAUGUGGAUGGUGUGCUCUGCGCCCAUAGCAGUACCUAGGGGAUCGCUCGAGCCACCGACCGAGGGUCUUGGGAUUGAUGACCCAUUCCCUUAGGUCUGAAGGCUUGGGGACCUUUUUAAACCUUAUCGAGUCUAGUUGCAUUAGUGAGCCCCAGCCUCAUGCAUCCAUGUUAGAGUUUUCCUAGGUUAGAGUCAGCCUCACCCUUUUUAAGCACAUUAGGCACGAGGGAAGGGGUUCCACCCCUUUUACAUGCUUUUAUUGUAUUUCUUUUCUUAAUUGCUCCCAAUAUGUUAUGUGUACUAUCAAUUGCACUAACCAUUUCGUUGUUUUUUUUGCUUGCAUUCAUGUGCCUUAGCAAUAAGAGGCCUCUUUGGCUCUUUUUAGUGACUUACCCACUAGAUAACUCACAUGUUUAAAUUUCAGUUAUUACACUUAAUUUUCAAUAAGUACAUUUCAUUUUUAGACCUUUUCCCCCCGAUGCAUUAUUUAUGUCCUUUAGGCCAUAUUUGUCACAUAUUUACAUCGCUUUAAUAAAUGGCAUCAUGCAUUAAACCUUAGAAGGAACGCCAUUUAGGCAAUUCCAUGUUAGGGAUAAGCCAACCUAUAAUCCCAUGGGUAUUUAACCCUAUUUUUGGGAUCUGCACGUUUACCCUUUUUGCAAAAUAACCUAAGGGGUAAAAUCCCAAGGUAACGGUAUCUAAGUGAAUUCCCCAUCCAGAUGACGCAGUGUCGAAUGCUCAACCAAGUCCCCGAGAGCUGAAUCAGUGGAAGAAUAACCUAUCUUAUGAGAUUGGAGGGCUAUUCCAAUAUGUGGGGCAUCUACCAAGCCUUGUCGACAUAAUACCCAACGUGUCUGCUAUCCAAGCAUUGAUCAAUUAUUGGGAUCCGGAUGCCUCAGUUUUCCGGUUUGGAAUGUGCGAACUCACCCCAACCCUAGAAGAGUUAGAGGGAUUGUUGCAAGUACGGGAAAAGGCAGUCCUAUGAUAUACCCGAGCGGGGAACGAGAGAGCAGUUUUGCAGAUUUUUGGGAUUGAGGAACAAUAGCUUAGACCAACACCCGACGCUAGAUCUUGUCCACUGAGGUUUUUAUAUGACCGGUUUGGGGAAAAGGAGUCUUUUGAGCCAUCAGAUCGAUUUCUUUAUAACAAGGGGCAAUGGGAAGAGAAGCGUGUGCAAGCUUUUGGUUUGGUUUUGAUCAACUUAUUGCUAUUCCAAAUGGAAAGGUGACAUUUGCAACAAUCAACAUGAUUCAAAGUCUUUUUUUAGGAAUUCGUGGAACGACACCAACUUUGAUACCCAUUGUCAUAGCGGACAUCUUCUCAGCCCUUACCAAUUGCCAAAGGAAAGGGGUUUCUUCUAUGCUUCAAAUUUAAUACUUCAAAUGUGGAUCAUGGAACAUUUGGCGAAGAGAUCACUUAACCCUUUGGGUUCUUGUCUCUUAGUUGAGAAUUGGAUUGAUUCACAUCGAGAGAGAGUCAGCCGCUACUACCGCGUGAUGUCGUCAAGCCAGUUUAUUGAGGAGUUCAACAAUUUGACACCAGAAAAAGUGCAGUGGGUUCUAGAUUGGACCAGGUUAGAGACCCAGCUUUUAGGACCACUCAACAUGACUUCAUCCCUCUAGCUGGAGUUAAUGGUCUAGUCGCCUAUAUUCCACAAAGGGUUAUGAGACAGUUUGGAUACCCGCAAAGCAUUCCUAUGGUACAAGGGGUUGAAGAUCUCAGAUUGGGUACGGUGACCGAGAGUCGAAGUAUGGUAUUAGAGGCUUGGAAAUUUGCAAGGUCUUGAGAAUUUGCAGUUGGAAUUGGUAAACAAGAUGGCACCUGCAGUUAUGCCUGGGUACAAUGAAUGGAUCAAACAAAGGUGGAACAUGAUAGGGCAAGGCAACAAUCAGCAUCAGCCAGUCCCGAAGAACAAAUGGAGAAGCUAAGGAAAGAAUUAGAGGAAUCUCAAGCCCAGCUUAUAAUGGCCAACAGAGUUUUAGAAGAUACCCAAGUGCAGUUGAGGAGGGAGAAGAAGAAGAAUGAGAAACUAGAGGAAGCCAUAGACGCCCUUGAUAGGAUUAGGGAAGGAGCUCGUAAGCUCAGUUUAGGGAGCUCUAGAGAGUCACAAAGUACAAGUCUCUUGAGACAUAGGGAUUUUGUAAACAUGGUUACUAAGACCAUUGACGAGGUUGUAAAGAAAGAUUGAACUCUACAUUUUGAGAAGCUUUCCAUUUCAAAGUUCUAAAUUCACUUACAGGUUUGGAAAUGGGAUUUUACCCCGAAGGCUUGCAUCAUGCUAGGCCUACCCUUGGCACAAAAAGGGUCCCCCAUAGGACAUGCAUCUGAAUUGUUUGAACAAUUACUAACUCAUGUCUUUUUCUUUUUCUCUUUUGAAUAAGUUGCAGAAAUCUAGUAACGAUUGGUUUAUCUAAAGAUGUCUUUUGCAUCCUCAGGUAAAGUUUCAAAAUAGCUUCUCGGAAAAGCCCCAUUAUUACGCGAUCCCGAAGUAAAGCCCAAAGGAAUCGUGUAGACAUGAGUACUCAGCCAGAAUCGUCUGAUAAGACCGCUGCAACUACCCAGCCGGAAGCCACAAGUCCCGGGGUUCAGUUGACUGAAUUACUCACCAAAUUUGGGGAAAUGGCAUCUGAAAUGGCCGCCCAAAAGAAGUUGAUCGACGAGCUCAUUAGUAGCGGAGUGCAGCCCGAGCCUGCGCCCGUCAAACAACCGGAAUCCGAACCAUUUGUCAUUCCUCCAAUUCAAACCACUUUUGAGGGAGUUUUCAACCCGCAGUAUACUUAUACUCAAAAUCCUCCGUUCUAUCCUCCUAUGGGCAAGGAUUUCAGCCUCAAGGUGGUCCAAACAUGCCUCUGGAUCCACAAGCUUUUUAUCAGACUACCGCAGAGCCUGUUGUGCCAGAGCACACUGUUCAAACCAAGCCAGAAGUGGGAGAGUCGUCUGCCCCGGUGGAUAUGAAGCUACUUAAGCGGUUGGAUCGUUUCGAUGAGUUCAUCAGGAAAAGCCAAGGUUUAAGCAAACAAGGGGUGUUAGACUACGAUGAUCUGUGCCUGUUUCCAAAUGUACAGCUGCCCGUAGGGUUCAAGACCCCGAAGUUCAAUAAAUAUGAUGGUACAGGCAACCCUAAGACACACUUGCGUUUGUUUGCCAACAAGUUGGGCAGACCGUGGAUGACGAAAACUUGCCAUUAAGGUUAUUUCCAGAGAGUCUAGAAGGAGACGCCCUCGAUUGGUAUUCCAACUUAAAGCCAGAGGAGGUGAAGACUUGGCUUGAUCUAUCCAACGCCUUCAUCAGACAAUACGAAUAUAACUGCGAGCUAGCACCGACCAGAACUACUUUGGAAGGCACAAGAGGCGACCAUCUGAAGAUCAUAAGACAUACGCCAAAAGAUGGAGAAAGAUAGCUGCCAAGGUUGAGCCUCCGAUGACCGAAGAUGAAAUUGUUCGCACUUUCAUAAAGGCGCAUGAUCCUCCACACUUUGAAGAAAUCUUCCGUAUGACCGGAUGUUCAUUUGCUGCGAUUGUGAAUAAACUCGAAGAGUAUGAUGAUUUUGUGAGAUCCGGAAAAAUUGUUAACGUCUCUGCCUUAAAAUCACAAGUAGAAGCUUUGCAAGGGCAAGGGAGCAGUGGAAAGAAGCCGCAGUUUAAAAAGAAAGAGGGGGAUGCAACUUUUAUCUGGAACCAGAACCCUUCACCCAAACCCCGAUACCAACACAAUCCAACCUACCAACCACAUUACCCUUAUUAUUCAAACCCGCACCAUGUAUAUACUACCAAUAUCCACCACCCUCGACCUCCCCAAGCUAUCCUAACCCACCUUUAGCUCCUUUUCAAAUUUCUCAACCAAAUCCACCCAAAACCGACCUCGCCCUCCAUAUAACCCAAGAUUUCCUCCCCCAAAUAGACCUGUUUACAGCCAUCCUCAACCUCCUGAACCUUACAACCGAAGCCUAGCCGUACAUUUACCAAUUUAGGCAGGCCUCUAGACCAAUUGUAUGACCAGUUGAAGGCCGCCGGAAAAUUGGUAUGGUACCCCUCCUACCUAUCCAUAUGGCAUGCCGCUUGGUAUAACCCACAAGCCGUCUGUGCUUAUCAUUCAGGGGCACCCGGACAUUCAACUUUGAUUGCAAGGCUCUUAAGCAUAAAUUCAAGAUAUGAUUGAAGCGGAGAGAUUGUAAUCAGGAAAAGGAGGCACAAGGGCCGAAUAUAAAUAGGAACCCCUUGCCGGAACAUACUAAUACCAUUGGGGUCAUUCUGGACGACGCAGAGUAUGAGGAGCAAGUCCAAAAAUUGGCAAGGGAAGCUGAGGUGUUUGGGGUCACAGACCAACCAUUUGUAAUAGAGGUGCCGUUUGAGGAGAUAAAAGACCUUUUAUUUUGGAUUCACUCCAGCUGAGAGCGAGGCUUUGGAGCCAGUGGUCAUCGAAUUCCCAGAGCAGGAGCCUGUUCUAAGUUUGCAGCGAGUGCCAUGGAACUACGAUGAACCUGUCAUACAAAUUAGGAAAAAAGUCAGUUGCCAAAGAAGAGGUGUCAGUGGUCACUAGAUCAGGGAGAAUUGCAAGUCCGUUUGGAGCUACCGUUCCGAUUCAAACAAAUAACCCCGAGCUGCCCGCUAAACCAACAAUUACUGAGAAGGAAGCCUUGGAUUUUCUUAAAAGGCUCCAAAGAAGCGAAUAUAAUGUAGUCGAGAAGCUAAGCAAGUCGCCCGCCCAAAUAUCCAUGUUGGAUCUGCUCUUUUCUUCGGAUAUGCAUAGGGAUGCGUUGCUCGAAGUGUUGACUAAAGCUCAAAUCCCUAAGGACAUUUCGGUUGUUAAUUUCUCACAUAUAGUUGGGAGUGUGUUAUUUACAAAACAAAUCACUUUCUCUGAUGAUGAAUUACCGGCAGAAGGCAUUGGACAUAACAAAGCUCUGUACAUAGCUGUGAGGUGCAACGGAAAAUGUUGCCAAAGGUGUUGAUUGACAAUGGAUCUGCGCUUAAUAUCUGUCCUUGGAGUACCUUGGAAAAGCUAGGGUUGCAAGAUAUCAAGCUAAGGCCUUCAGGGACCAUAGUUAGAGGUUUUGAUGGAGCACAAAGAGAACCUAUAGGAGAAGUGGAUUUAGUAGUCGAGAUGGGGCCCGCACAGUUUCAAAUAGCCUGCCAAGUUAUGCACUUUCCUAGUAUUUACAAUAUUUUGCUUGGAAGGCCGUGGAUUCAUAAGUCCGGGGCUGUGCCUUCUUCAUUGCAUCAAUUGUUGAAAUUCAUAGUAAAUGACAAAUUGAUAACUAUCUUUGCCGAGGAGGAUUGCCUCGUAAUUGCUGAUUCUGGGUCCGAAGAAGAUGGUAGCCGAAACGCCACAGUGACCCCUCAUAGCACAGCUGAUAUCGUCUCCGUAAGUUGGAUAACAAAAGAGGAACGAGCUCUGUCAAAGGCCAGUGUCAUGAUGGCUAAGGAAAUGAUCCGCGGAGGAUAUGAGUUUGACAAAGGACUGGGACGUGAUCUACAAGGAAUUCUAAAACCAGUGCAAAUUGUGGAGAAAAGGAUUCAUUCGGUUUGGGUUUCCGACCAACCGCUAAAGACAUCAAAGAAAUGAAGGAACGCAAGAAAGCAGAGAAAGAAAGCAGGUAAAAGGCCUUUGAUAUUCCACCACUGCAUUAUACUUUUCCACGACCAACCGAGGUGAUCACGUCAGAGAUUAACCCAGUUGACGAAAUCGAAACUAGUCUGGCCCAAUUGUUCGUUGGGGCAACAUUUGAAGACAGUUUCCCAUAUAAGGCCGAGUUCCUGACAUCCCUGAAGGAUCAAUUUCCAAUUGGACAACCGAGUUUCUGCCCAUUCAGAAGGAGUUUCGGUAAAACUAAAGGGGUUUGUUAUUCAUGCGAAUUCAUGAAAUACUUCUGCAUCUGUAAAUAGCUAAUGAAAGCAUCUUUAUCUUUGACUAAAAUUUGCACAUGUAAAUAUUGUUUCCACUUGCUUUCUUUUUGUUUCGCUUUCAAUCAAAGGUUUUAUGAAAAUGCACAAGUGGUUCUUGUCAUGUUGUUUUGUUUAUUCGUUGUCAUAUUGCUUAUUCAUUUGUUUGUUGUAUGUUUGUUUGCUUAUUAUCCCACAUUCGUUAAUUCUUUCAGAUGGCCAAAAAUAAAACUAUUUGACCCUUUGGAUAUCACUAUUCUGGAAUUCAAUAAUGGCAAUCUCUAUAUCACUCACGACUUGGAGGUCUGGGAAUCUGAGCUUCAAAGCGAGAGUGAUAAUGAGGAGGUAUUCGAUUCUUUUGCAAAGGACUUUGAACAAUAUGAGGAGAAACCAAAACCGAACCUGGAAGAAACAGAAAAGGUUAACAUUGGCACUAAAGAUGAAGUUAAGGAGGUGCAAAUUAGUAUUCAUUUGAAUGAGAGGCAGAAAAAGGAGAUGCUUGAAUUCUUGACUGUGUUUCAGGAUGUAUUUGCAUGGUCCUAUGAUGAUAUGACUGGUAUUUCAACUGAUGUGGUAGUGCAUAAGUUGCCCACAGACCCUACUUUUCCACCCGUAAAGCAAAAACUCCGAAAAUUCAAACUAGAUAUGAGCCUCAAAAUAAAAGAGCAAAUUGAAAAACAUCUCAAAACCAACAUUAUCAUUGUUUCCCAUUACCCUAUUUAGCUUUCGAACCCAGUCCCUGUUCCAAAAAAGAAUGGAGAGGUGCGAGUUUGUGUUGAUUAUAGAGACCUCAAUAAGGCCAGUCCUAAAGAUGAUUUUCCUUUGCCAAAUAUUCACAUUCUCUUGGACAAUACCGCUGGGCAUGAGAUUGAAUCUUUUUGUGAUUGCUUCGCUGGAUACCACCAGAUUUUGAUGGCAGAAGAGGAUAGGGAGAAGACUGCUUUUGUAACAGCCCCACCUCUCCCUAAGGCGAACCAAAGGGUUCGGCGGGCCGCUUGCCCAACUCUCGCCGGGACUCAGUCGAUCACUACAGUCCUCAAUUAAAUUACAAUAUAAAAACCAAAUAUCCAUCAAACUCUCGAAGAAUUACAUCAAAUUCUCCAAUGGUUACAUAUUACAAAUGCAGCGGAAACUGAUUCCAAUCGUGGAACGUAUAUUUACAUCCAUAUCAAUUUCAAAUAUAUAUACAAGACCAACUCGUACAUAAAAUAGAUCCAAACUUAAACUAUACACGAUAUAAGCCAUCCAGUCACGUGAAUAAGCACUCCAAGCUUUUCUUCGCCUUGAGCCCUGUGGGGGGGGAAAUAAAACAUUUUUGGGGUGAGUUAGAAGCUCAGCGAGUAACCAUUAAAAUCAGUAAUCAAUUCAGUUUCACAGUCGUUCAUUUCAGUGAUGUCAUGAUUUCAAGAUCAAAUGUACAUUUAUUGCUCUCGUGAGCCAGCGAAAUCGUUGUACUUAAACACCCAACGCUCCAAACAAACAUUAAACAGUAAACAGUCAGUGGGGAGCCAUUUGCUCCAGAUGAACAGUACACAGAGGUGGAGACGUUGGUGUUCAGCACACGAAUUCCAAGCACUCAUUUAAGCCAAAACAUGUCAUGGGCCACAUGCAAGCACUCAUGAUAUGCAAUCAAGUAAAUAGUGCAAGAAACGGUUCAUAAGAAGCUUUAACAGUAGUUUGGGGUCACUCACCUCCACGGCUCAGAAACCAUCCAUCAUGUAUCAUUGCCUUGCUCAAAUCCAAGUCUUAGAUCACAAACUCAAUGCAAACAAGUCCUUUAAAAGUUCGGACUGCACUUCCCCUGAAUUUGCUUACUUUCCCAGCCAUCAUGGCCUCAUUAUUUCCUCAGCCAGUCCCAAAGGUACACACACAACAACAAGUUCAUCCAAUAGUCAUUCAGCAAGCUCCAAGUAGUACAAAGACAAGUCAAGCUAGGGAAAAGUCUGGAAAUGAAAGUUAAGUUCAAAACUAGAAAAACAGGUUUUGAUGUCAUUUUACGGUAAUGGUACCAAAGGCACUACGAUUGUCGGAUGAGGGUGUAAGACCCACCGUUUCGAAGCUAAGAACCAGGGCUACAACAAUGUAGAAGGUCACUCAGUCCAGUUCCUAGCACAACUAGGUCAAAUAUGCCAAAAAUACCAAACCAGAACCACUAAAACAGGUUCACAAAUCACACAAUGCUGUAAUGAACACAACUCAGUCUAUACAGGUCCAAUUGCCGAAAUUCCAAAGGCAUAUGUUAGCUAAGACAUCCAGCUACAUUUCCUCAGAAGACACAACAACAAAAUCCAAACCAAUUCCAGUCAAAACAAACGAUUACAAGCGCAGUUUUCACAUUCUGAGCAACCCAGAUCAGCAAUAGUAAAAACAACAUAUCUCACUCUACACUAAUCCAAAUGACCUGAAAUUUUGAAGGCACUUCAAACUCAUCAAUACCUACAACUUUCAUGUUUUGAGAAAAGUCCAAUUCGGCCUCUAACCCUAUGAUCUAAAACCGGACAGCAUUAGGGGUUUAUGAACCCUAACUUUUCACAAUUCAUUCCAAACCUAAAAUUGAUUGCAAAUAUCAACAAUUCACACCUACUAGGGUCAUUAUAGGCCAUUGCCAAUCAUCAUAAACAACCACACCAUCAUAAUCCAAUUAAACCAGAAAAAUCAUCAAUAAAAUAAAAACUUCACCAAAUCACCUCAAACCAAGAUGAAAACCAGAAAUUUCAGCACUUUAAUCACUAAUAAGCAUAACUUAAGCUUCAUUAAGUGUAAGAGGGAAUUCACACACACACUCACCUAGUAACCAAGAGAGAUAGAGAUGUUGGACACCUUAGCUCUUCAAACAAACUUCACUAAACUACCUACUAGCACCCAAGGAAGGAAUUUUAUGGAGUAAAAACUAAUUUAGGCAAGUAGUUUGGAUGAUUUGAGCUAGGAAUUUGCCAAGAUGUUGAAGAGUUUUGUCUUUCUUCUUGCUAGAGAGGGCCGGCCAUCCAAAGGUAAGAAAUGGUGAUUUUUGGGCAAUUUUUAAGAUAUUUAACCUUUGGUCAAAAAAAGUCAAAAAUUGGAAUAGUAAAUCUUAAAGUAAAACCAAUAAGAGGGUGACACUUGUCACCUCAUUAAUGCAAUCUUAUCACUUCUUUUUCCUCUCACAUCAAUCAAAUCUCACUCUCUACUUAUCUCUUAACACCCGAUAAAUUUUACACAGUAUCCGAAACUUAACCUUAUUGGCCGAAUUUUUCCGAACUUUUCGCACUAGUGAGUCCCACGUCCAUUAUACACUCUUAAUUUUCCAAAAACUCUCCAAGGCUAGAAAAAUCAUCUAAAAACUAUAAUUACUCAUAAAAAUUCCUCAGGAAAAUUUCCUAAGCCAGGAAAUGCAGAAAACAUUCUAUUAAAGGAAAUAAAACUCUCGGAAAAGAUUAGGGUUUUUACGGGUUCUCAAACUCUUUUUUUUUUUUCGGGGCGUCACAGCUUUUAUCACCCCUUGGGGCACAUUUUGCUACCGAGUGAUGCCCUUUGGUUUAAAAAUGCCGGAGCUACGUAUCAAAGGACCAUGACCACCCUGUUUCAUGAUAUGAUCCACCGGGAGAUGGAGGUCUACGUGGAUGACAUCAUAAUCAAGUCUAAAAGGGCAGAGAACCAUUUGGUUGAUUUGAAGAAGCUGUUCGAAAGGUUGCGAAAGUACAAUUUGAAACUAAAUCCUGCAAAGUGCGCCUUUGGGGCACCAGCUGGUAAAUUGUUGGGCUUCAUUGUUAGUAAAAGAGGCAUAGAGAUAGAUCCAGCAAAAUCAAAGCAAUUCGAGAUAUGCCAGUGCCGAAAACUCAGAAGGACGUGAAAAGUUUCUUAGGAAAGAUCAAUUUUAUUGGGAGAUUCAUUGCCCAACUAACUGCCACAUGCGAGCCGUUGUUCAAAUUGUUGAGAAAGAAUGUGCCAUUGUAUUGGAGUGAAGAAUGCCAACAAGCUUUUGAUAAGAUCAAGGAUUAUUUGUUACAUCCGCCAGUCUUGGUGCCACCCAAGCCGGGUCGACCAUUAAUCAUGUACCUAUCUGUGCUUGAAGAAGCAGUUGGUUGUGUCCUCGGGCAGCAUGAUGACUCCGGAAGGAAGGAGCAAGCCAUUUACUAUCUAAGCAAAAGUUCACGCAGUAUGAGGCUAAUUAUUCAUUCAUUGAGAAAAGCUGCUGUGCAUUGGCCUGGGCAGUUCAAAAGCUGAGACACUACCUGUUGAGCCAUACCACUUAUCUUAUUUCCCGAUCUGAUCCUUUGAAGUAUCUCUUGGAGAAGCCGAUGCUAACUGGACGUCUGGCUAAAUGGCAGAUAAUUCUCUCAGAGUUCGAUAUUGUUUUCACUUCACAAAAGGCUGUCAAGGGGCAAGCUAUAGCGAUCAUUUGGCAGAAAAUCCAAGGGAUGAUGAUUAUCAACCACUUCAUACUUAUUUCCCUGAUGAGAGAGUCUUAUUUGUAGGCGCCACAGACGAUAUAAGUGAGCAAAGCCCUGAAUGGAGGCUUUUCUUCGAUGGAGCUUCGAAUUCUCUCGGAGCUGGAAUUGGAGCUGUUUUGGUUUCACCCGAAGGGAAGCACUACCCUGCCGCUGCCAAAUUGCAAUUUGCUUGCACAAACAACAUGGCUGAAUAUGAAGCCUGCAUUUUUGGUCUCAAAAUGGCUUUAGAAAUGGAAAUCAAAGAGUUGAUAGCUUUCAGUGAUUCAGAUUUGCUCGUGCACCAAACCUUGAAGCAGUGGAUAACCAAAGAUUCAAAAAUUCUGCCCUACCAUUGUAGUCUGCUCACUCUGGCCAAGCAAUUUCAAAAUUUGGAGUUCAGACAUCUCCCGCGAGCCCGAAACGCAUUUGCUGAUGCUUUGGCCACCUUAGCUUCUAUGAUCCAGUAUCCAGAUAAAUUGAGGAUCGAACCAAUCCAGAUUCAACUUCAAGACAAGCCUGCCCACUGUUGGGUUGUAGACAAGUCCUCUGACAAUAUUCCUUGGUAUAAUGAUAUUAAGGAGUUUCUCAAAACUGGGUCUUACCCUCUGCAUGCUAGUACAAAGGACAAGAGUUUUCUGCGUAGAAUGGCUUCAAAAUUUUUCUUAAGUGGAGAAGUUUUGUACAAAAGAACCUCAGAUUUGAACUUUUAAAGUGCAUUGAUGAAGACGAAGCUCAAUAUAUGAUGAAAGAAGUGCAUAGUGGCGUUUGUGGACCUCACAUGAAUGGCCAUUUGCUAGCAAAGAAAAUCAUGAGAACCGGAUACUUCUGGCUUACUAUGGAGCGUGAUUGUAUAGAUUUUGUCCGGAGAUGUAUAAAAUGUCAAAUGCACGGUGACGUUAUACGCGCUCCACCCACUGAAUUGCAUAGUAUGAUCGCCCCAUGGCCCUGUUCAAUGUGGGGUAUGGACGUGAUUGGUACAAUUGAUCCUCCCGCUUCAAAUGGACAUCGAUUUAUAUUGGUGGCAAUUGAGUACUUUACUAAAUGGGUUGAAGCGGAGUCAUUCAAACAUGUAACGAAGAAGGUAGUUGCCAAUUUCUUGAGAGAUCACAUCAUCUGUCGCUUUGGAGUACCCGAAACGCUUAUUACAGACAAUGCCAAGAAUCUGAACAAUGACAUGGUAGAUGGACUAUGCGAGCAGUUCAAGAUCAGACACCGCAACUCUGCCAUUUAUAGGCCUCAGAUGAAUGGAGCUGUAGAAGCCGCAAACAAGAAUUUGAAAAAGAUUAUCCGCAAAAUGACUGAAAGGCAUCGCGAUUGGCAUGAAAAGUUGCCUUAUGCAUUAAUGGCGUACGGACUUCUAUCCGGACAUCGACUGGGGCAACGCCAUAUUCACUCAUGUAUGGAAUGGAAGCUGUAUUACCAGCUGAAGUUGAAAUUCCUUCGCUACGAAUCCUCAUGGAAGCUAAAUUGGAGGAGGCUGAUUGGAUGAAGCAGCGCCAUGAGCAAUUGACUUUGAUCGAUGAAAAGCGGCUCAAUGCUAUCUGUCAUGGUCAGUGCUAUCAGAAACGUGUGGCCGGGCUUACAACAAAAAAGUCCAUCGGCGUGCAUUCGAAGAAGGUGACAAAGUACUAAAGCGGAUUUUGCCAAUGCAAGAUGAAGCUAAAGGCAAAUUUGCUCCAAAUUGGCAAGGGCCGUUCAUUGUCCAAAAGGUAUUACCUGGCGGAGCACUUAUUUUGGCAGAAAUGGAUGGACGAACAUUCCCUCAACCCAUCAACUCAGACAUGUGCAAGAAGUUUUUCAUUUGAUCAUGCAAAUUUUCUUUAGAAAUUCAUGCAAACGGCGAAAUGCAAGUCAGGCCAUCUUCUUUUACACUUAAAACAUUUUAUCCUACUUGUCCCCUUUGAGCCAUCAGAAUUGACAAAUUUUCGCUUGAUAACCCCUGAGAAUUGCAAACCCCACACUGGGACAAAUUUAUUUUGAAAGAGAGAUGAUCAAAAAGAAAAGAGAACCCACACUGGGGCAAAUUUAGUUUUAAAAAAAAUGCAAAAGUGAGGAAAAUGCAAUGAAGAAAAUGCAAAUCAAACUGGGGCAAAUUUUCCUCAGUUUCGUUCAAAAUUGAAGACGAUUUCAAAAUAGUGCAAUCUCAAGUUAUUUCACACCUUGCAUCAAAAUUUGCUUUCAAGCCUCAACUUUUCUUGAAAAACACCCCACCUGACCUCAUUACAAAGCCCAAAGUCCUGGCUUUCGUCACUUGUUGUAUUUCUAUUAGGAAAUUUGUUAAUCAACUGGCAAGUGAUGCCAUAAUGCCUUCGCCUAAUCUCACAAGGGAAGUGCAUUUUACUGAUGCCAGAAAUCUUUAACUCAUAUUUCUGAGUCGAUCAUGGUUGAGAUAUUUCAUUGUUCUUUAGGUGAAAACCCGAAAGGGCGCCUAAAAAAAAAAAAAGGAAAAAAAAGAAAAAGAAAAAAAGAAAAGAAAAAAAGAGAAAAAACAAAAACAAAAAGGGUGGGGGCAACCUUGGUGAAAACCGAAAGGGCGCCAAGGCAGGUUUUCUCAACAGACGAGCACGAGAAGGAACAGCUGGUGACCUGGUUCAUUUAGACUUUUCCUCAUGUUUGUGAUACUUCUGCCAGUAUCGAAUUCCGAAGCAAAUAUAUCCAAAGUCUUGAAUAUGAUAUUCGUUGGCCAAAUUUGUAUUUUUCUUUACAAAUAUUCUUUUGCAAAAUGUAUCUUUAUAAACCUCUUGGUUUCUCUCGAUUAUUUGCGUUCGACUGCUUGUGGUUGUCUGCAUUCUUUUGCAUGCUCAUCUUUGCCUGACAUAGGAAAUCAUCUUGCAUAUAUCAUUGAUUUUUAUAUGACAAAUUUUUCAUGCAUCAUUCUUUCACCAUUGGAUUCGAAUGGAUGAUAAACCCUAAGGUUUGUGCAAGGAUAGGGGAUUCAAUCAUCUAUUAAAGUGAGUAAAAUGCAACAAAGCUGCUACAUAGAUUUGGUGACGUGGUAAAUACGUACUUUAUCAGUCUCAAGAAUUGAAAGGUUUCAAAAUUACAAGUUCACUAAGCAGACGCCGCAGAACAGAGGCAAAAGCAUCACAAGACUCAUGUUUACACGAUUCUCAAGGCAAACCGGAUCAAAUGAUGGUGGCAAGUCCAUUAUUUCUUCUUUUCUUGCAGGAACGUUGCGUUUACAAACGAAAACAACCACUCUCCUUUUCGCACCUAAAUCGAUGUCAGAAAAAGCUCCCAGUAAGCAAAGACGAAGUGAUAAUGUUAUUGGCAAAGCUUGAUCAUAAGAAACAACAUCAGCUAUCGCUUCAGCUACAGAGAUCAAAUCUCCCUCUUGGUACAAAAGUUUGAACUACUCCCAGGUAAAAACUCAAUUCAUUGUUUAAACCUCCCAGUGAAGUCCCGUUUUAAAUUCUUGUUCGGGUCAGUCCCGUUUUAAAUUUCUUGUUCGGGUCAGUCCGUUUUAAAUUUCUGUUCGGGUCAGUCCCGUUUUAAAUUUCUUGUUCGGGUCAGUCCGUUUUAAAUUCCUGUUCGGGUCAGUCCCGUUUUAAAUUUCUUGUUCGGGUCAGUCCCGUUUUAAAUUCCUGUUCGGGUCAGUCCCGUUUUAAAAAUUUCUUGUUCGGUCAGUCCCGUUUUAAAUUCCUUUCGGGUCAGUCCCGUUUUAAAUUUCUUGUUCGGGUCAGUCCGUUUUAAAUUCCUGUUCGGGUCAGUCUCAUUUUAAAUUUCUUGUUCGGUCAGUCCCUUUUAAAUUUCUUGUUGGGUAGUCCCGUUUUAAAUUCCUGUUCGGGUCAGUCCCGAUUUAAAUUUCAUGUUGAGGUCAGUCCUCGUUUCAAUAACGACAGUCAUUCAAGUAGUUGUAGCCAAAUAACACAGGUAAGUAUUUGGUGUCUAUUUCUUUGUCUCAAGUUUUUCCAAAACUCAGACAAAGAGGGGCAAACUGUAGACACCAAAUUUUUUAAAUAUUUUUUAUCCUAAUUUUAUUUUUAUUUUUUAGUAAUAAUUGUUAUCUAUUAUUUUAAUUCCGUAAUUUUAGUUCUUAAACCUUUAACAUUUGUAUAGUAUUUCAGUAUUUUUAGAUUAUCAUUAUCUAUUAUCUAUUAUUUUAGUUUUUCUAGUUUUGCAUUCAUUUUUACCCUUUUAGUUGUUUAUUUUUAUUGUAAGACUUUUUAGCAUAAAAUUUGUCAAAAAGAGAAAAUUAUGCAUGGAAAGUAUGUUUUAUUUCUUUUUACUGUUUAUUAAUUGGAAAAAGAAAAAAAGGAAAAGAGGAAAAAUCAUUAAUCCAACACAGGAAAAAUCUUAGCUUUUUAUCUUUUGUUACUAAUCUUGUACAUUUUAUUUACGUUUCGUUUAAAUCGUUAUUCUGUAUUAUUAUUGUUUAAUUAAGUGAUUGAAAAAAAAAAGGAAAAGUCCACAUUUUGGUUUCGGCUGCAGCAAAAAGGAUUUGCAGCUGCAUUUCUCAGCUAUUUUUGCCUGGGGUUGGCUCCGUUCGAUGGAUAGUACACACCAUCUGGCUUCAUCCAGACCAUCGGGGAUAGGGUUUAGUUUUGGGGUUCCUAUAUAAAAGCAAAGAGAGGACUGACGGCUAAAAAAAAAACCUGAAGGGUAAGGAAUCUGGGGGGUGACUGCUAGGUUUUAGAAAAGCAACAAAGGGAAAAGGGGCUGAGGGAGGGCGGCUGAGAAAAGAAAUCUGAUGACGGCUAGAAAAAGAAACCAACGAGAGAGGUUUACGGGCUGAGAGCUAGAAGAGGGAAAUGCAAGGAAAAACUAGGAACGAUAUAGAGAAUAAGCGAGGUAGGGGAGGGCUAAAAAGCGAGAAAAGGAAACCCGGAGUUGCUACGGGCUGAAAGGAUGGAAGCUACAGAAGAAACCAGGAGAGUUUUCAGAGAUCAACUUCUGCUCGUUUUUUUCGGACUCAACCCUGCCCAAGAAUCAUCAUUAGGUAAUCAUAACUCCAUUUCUUGUUCAUUCUAAUUCUUGAACGAAGUAGAAUACAUGAAAUCUGUGCCUUUUGGGUUCUUACUAUUGCUUGGUAUGACUUUAUCUCUUGAUGGAUAAUUUUAUCUGGAGUGGGAGAUCUGAGGCACUAAUUUCAUGUUGUUGAUGGGGAUGUGAUUCUUAUGGGAUUUGAUUGAUGGCCAUGUGAAUCUGGUUUGAAUGUUGCCAGCAUUCUUGAGAUUGAAUCUGUUGUUGCUGUUUUCUUGCGUUUUCCCUUGCAUGUUAGAUGGUCUUUCUGCUCUUACCAUUUGGUUUCUAAAAUCUGUUUUUCACCCAAGAGACAACUAUAUCUGCCCUUUGUUGCGUUCAGUCUAACACUCUCUAUUUCAUGGCUGGAUUUUGUUAUUCAAGGAAGCUUUAGUUUUUCUGUUUUGGCUGGGAAAUUCGUGGUCAUGACCUGGGUUUGGGGAUAGCAAUUUGGGUUUACUUGUAGCUUGAUUGAUAUAUUAUGUACGCAUGUACUGCAAGCCUUUUUCUUUAUGUUUCGAUUGUGUUUUUCAUACCCCGUCAUAUAGUUGGGUCUUUUAGGAUAGGCAGUUGCAUUGCCAUGAGUUUAAUAAUGCUGGGUUGGAAUUUCUGGUUUCGAAUUUUGCAUAUUUGAACAGCCAGUUCACGUUACCUUUCUGCAUUUUUGUGUCCGAGAGUGUCUGUUUGGUGCCUCCCCUCUCCUUGGCCUCAUAUUCUCUCAUUUCUGGCCUUGGACAAAUUGGGAACUGCAUUAAAUCAUUUCCUUGGUAUGUUCAAAUUGUAUAAGAAACUAAAAGCUGCAUUCUCUUCACUGUUUUCUUUAUCGAAGCAGCCCGCAAAGCUGAGCUUCCUCUUGUGUGUUUAGAUGUUAAGCUCUAGUGGACUUUUGUUUAGAUCAAAGUUUUUGAUGUUUGGUUGAAUUUGUGUUUGUUUGAAGUCGUGUUUUGAGGCUAAGAUCUGUGCUUGAAAAGUGAAAGCUGGUAGCUAGUUUCAUUGCAGAAUUUUCUUAGCAGCAGCCGAGAGUCAUUGCAGCAAACUUGGAAACAAAAGGAAGCAUGUUUCAUUUUUUUAGUUGCAGAAGUUUAAGCCUUUACGUAGUUGCAUGGAACUUUCAUGCAAAUGCUUUCAAAAAUUGCACCUUGACCCCUAGUUUGCUAAGCAAUGCUACAAAGGCCCAACUAUGUUCUAUUUUCUUGCGAUUAGGUCCUAGAAUAAUUGCAAUUUGAACCACCACUUGGCCCUUUCUUCGCUCUUGAACCUUUAGAGUUCCCAAAAUGUUUUAAUUGGGCUUGAAUGAUUGGUUAAUGUUUGCAAUUGGGUCCUUGGUAGUUUUCUAUUUUUAGAAAUUUGAAUAAUAGUUUACUUUUCUUGGAAAUUAUGAAUUAUUUGGUUUCAUUUAAGUCGCAAUUAAGGAAGAAUUUGGUGGUUUGUUAGUAACCCUUUUGAAGUUUCUAAGGUGUUCUGAGUUUCCUUUUUGCCUUUUAUUCUACUUAUCUUUAAAGUGGUGCAUUAAUCCCUUACUUUGAUGGUUUUAGCCCAAGUUAUCUCUUUCUUUGGUGACUCUAACCCAAGUUAAGUCUUGUUCACUUUACUAACAUCACAAACGGGGAGGUAUAACUUCUUUUAUCCUUUUUUGUCUCUCCUCUAUGUGAUCCAACGUGCUAAGUGAGAAUUGCAUGUCUACUUUGCUUUCCUUGUCUUUCCUUUAAUUCCUUUAAUUCCUUUCAUUUAUUUUUGCUUUUAUUAAUUUAUUCUUUUAUGGGGUAUGUGUACACCUCUUGGCUUGUAAUAGAUAGGGCUUGGAGAGCAUUUUUAUUCACUUUUCCCCUUCCCCAUUUGUUUUAGUUAGCCAAUGUAAUAGGUUUAUUAGCUUGGUUGCUUGUUUUGUUGCUACGUGUUAAUUUGCUUUAUUAGACUCUUGCAUUUAGUCGAGCAUGCUAAAUGUUAUGUGCUACGUGUUUAUAGGUGAUUGGCAUGUCUACUCGCUUUCUAUAGUGCAUAGAUAAUGUGAUGGAUGAAUGCGUCACCGUGGCUAGUCCAACGCUGGUCAUGGUUUUUCCCCUCGAUCUCUCGCAAGUCCAAUGCUUGUUAGAGAAUUUUAGAAAAGGGGCUAGUCCAAUGCUAGACCCAAUAGGCCGUCCCCUCUCGUUGGUACAUACUUGCAUGUCUCACUACAUUUCAUGCAUUUUUCUUAGGUUUUUAGCAUUUGGCAUGCUUCUCCAAUCCUUUCCCCUUCAUCUUAGGUUUUUGCAUCCUCAUGCUAGUUAUAGGGUACAUUUGCUUGAGAGUCCUCUUUCGGUAAGGGAAACGAGCGAGUGUGGCUACAAAAUAGCCUUAGCACGCUAGUUCUUCCUUCUAAUCAAAGGGAAAAUUAAAAUCGUGAAGUUAAGAGUCAUUCCCGUACCCGACUUGAUGCAUUCCUCUAGAUUCAUACACUCUCAUUUUUAUCAUAUCACUUCCUCACUUUCUUUAUCCACAUUCUCUCACUACUUAUAUUUUUGUCAAUCCACAUGCCAUGUUUGCACAUUUUUCUUCUUUUUCUAUCACUUAUUUAUUUUUCUACCUCACAAAUUGCACCCAAUUGCACUUAUAUAUUUACUACUAUUAUACCAUAUUUUCAUCCACUUGCACACAUACACCUUCAUUUUUCUCAAUUGGCACACUUGCACUUUUCUUACAUUUGCACACUUACACUCAUACUUGAGUCUUCAUUUGCAUUAUUCGUAACCUCUAUGAGGGCUUUCCUUACUGGCCAUCACAAUUCAUGUGAUUGGAACCAAAAAGCCUCAUAAGAGACAUUUUAGAUUUAGGAUUGCAUUUUUCUUUUUUUCGCAUCCAUUAGUCAUAUCCAACAUGCAACACAUAUUUUGGGUCGAAGAAUUAGGAAAAGAAGGACUAAGUCACGCAACUAGCUUUGGCUAGGGUAAGGGAGUGCCUUAGGCUUUGUCUUUGCCUUCUCCCUUAUCAAAUGUGACCCCCGAUCCCUUUUUUUGGUUACGUAGACCUAAAAAAUUCUUUAGAAAGGGUUUGUUUACUUUUCUUUCCAAAAAAAAAAAUCACUUUUUGGGUGACUUGGUACACCCUAACUCUAUACCAAGUGGCGACUCCUUUUCUAUCUAAAACCCUUUGUUUGGCCAAACCGUCGCAUUUCACAAUCCCACGGCCUUUUAUUUUCACUUUCACACACGUUCACGUAUAUAUCCCACACACUACUUUCACACCUCAAAAAGUGGGGCGUGACACUGACGUCAGCAGGAGAGGGGGUUGAGUUGGGUGGGCGUGAGCCUUUUCUCGGUGUCGCGCCCCACUUUUUGAUGUGUGAGAGUAGUGUGUAGGAGAUGUAUGUGAACGUGUGUGAAAGUGAAAAUAAAAGACCGUAGGAUUAUGAAAUGCGACGGUUUGGCCAAACAAAGGGUUUUAGAUAAAAAAGGAGUCGCCACUUGGUAUAGAGUUAGGGUGUACCAAGUCACCCAAAAAGUGAUUUUGUUUUUGGAAAAAAAGUAAACAAACCCUUUUUAAAGAAUUUUUUAGGUCUACGUAACCAAAAAAAGGGAUCGGGGGUCACAUUUGAUAAGGGAGAAGGUAAAGGCCAAGCCUAAGGCACUCCCUUACCCUAGCCAAAGCUAGUUGCGUGACUUAGCCCUUCUUUUCCUAAUUCUUCUACCCAAAGUAUGUGUUGCAUGUUGGAUAUGACUAAUGGAUACGAAAAAAGGAAAAAUGCAAUCCUAAAUCUAAAAUGUCUCUUAUGAGGCUUUUUGGUCCCAAUCACAUGAGUUGUGAUGGCCAAUAAGGAAAACUCUCAUAGAGGUCACGGGUAAUGCAAAUGAAGACCCAAAUAUGAGUGCAAGUGUGAAAAUGUAAGAAGAAUGCAAAAUAAAAUAAAAAUACAAAUACAAAUAUAAGUGCAAGUGUGCAAGUGUAAGAAAAGUGCAAGUGUGCCAAUUGAGAAAAUGAAGGUGUUUGUGUGCAAGUGGAUGAAAAUAUGGUAUAAUGGUAGUAAGUGCAAUUUGGGUGCAAUUUGUGAGGUAGAAAAUAAAUAGAAGAAAAAGAAUGUGCAAACAUGGCAUGUGGAUUGCGAAAAAUAUAAGUAGUGAGAAAAUGUGGAUAAAAAAGUGAGGAGGUGAUAUGAUAGAAAUGAAAGUGUAUGAACCUAGAGGAAUGCAUCAAGUCGGGUACGGGAAUGACUCCUAACUUCACGACUUUAAUUUUCCCUUUGAUUAGAAGGAAGGACUAGCGUGCUAAGGCUAUUUUGUAGCCACACUCGCUCGUUUCCCUUACCGAAAGGGGACUCUCAAGCAAAUGUACCCUAUAACUAGCAUGAGGAUGCAAAAACCGAAGAUGAAGGGGAAAGGAUGGAGGGGCAUGCCAAAUGCUAGAAAACUAAGAAAAAUGCAUGAAAUGUAGUGAGACAUGCAAGUAUGUACUAGCGAGGGAGAUCCCUAAGGCUCUAGCAUUGGACUAGCCCAUAUCUAUGAAUUCCUACUAGCGUUAGACUAGUGGAAAACGGGACAAUGAGCCACAACUAGCGUUGGACUAGUGUGGUGACAUGCAUUCAUCCAUCAUAUUCAUCUACGACUAUAGAAAGCAAGUAGACAUGCCAAUCGCCUAUAAACACGUAGCACAUAACACUUAGCAUGCUCGACUAAAUGCAAGAGCCUAAUAAAGCAAAUUAACACAUAGCAACAAAAGCAAGCAACCAAGCUAAUGAACCUAUUACAUUUGCUAGCUAGGCACACGUCUUCAGUAGGUCUUCAUCAAAUGCUCUCCAAGCCCUAUCUAUUACAAGCCAAGAGGUGUACACAUACCUGUUUCAAGACCAGAUUUCUAUUUUCGUGGGGAUUUCUAUUUUUGACCCUGAAAAUGCAUGAUUUGGCUUUGGAGGUCCCCAUAAUAAAUGUAAGUAUAGGUCUUGGCUUUGAAACACCAUAAGAUUCGUUUCAAUCCGAUAAGUGUAGCUUCAGUUGUGGUUGUUACGCCGAAAGGUGUAUUUUAUCGCCUAUGAUUUGUAUGUGAAAUUGUGGUUGAUUGCUAUGUUAUUUGGUGUUUGAUUGUAGGAUGGAAAGUGAAGAAAUUAAGGGGAAGUGCUGUCUGUUUAUUUUCUCGAAGUUUGAAUAAGUGAAAGUGAGAUUUAAAAUGUGAUUUGGGGAGGCAUUGGACUUACUUUUCUUAGACUUACUUAGGUCCACUUUAAUGGCGUUAUCUGAGCUACCUUUUAUUUGAACUUCUACAUUUUCGCAUGGUGAAUGAGACAACUGUUUUAAGCAUGAUACUUAGCUACAAAUGUCAAGUUUUGAACUUCAAAUGGUUACUCAUUUCUUUCCGAAACAAAGAAGAAUUGCCUAGGGUUUCUCGGCCGUAAAACCUAAUUUUAUCAAGUGAGGCUUUAGGUGUGAAUUCAGGGUUUAUUUAUUGUCUUUUUCUCGCUGUAAAAUCUAAAUGUACACUUUUACUUUAAAACUCACAUUUAUAUAUUGUAUUAGUAAGUAUUCAGAUUUUCUUUGAAUUACUUAAACUUUUGAUGGUUGAACUGUGAUAGUUUCUCUUGGUUAUAUUAGGGUUCCUUGGUGAUUGAGGGUAUCACCCGGAAGAAUACUUUGGAUAAUCUUUUGUUUAAAUAGGUGAGUGUUCUUUGUUUGUUAUGUUAUUAACUAUGUUACUUGUUGUGGAUAUUUGAUUAAAUGAUAGAUGUUUGUUCAAAAUGAAUUUUGUUAGGCGAGUGUGUACUUUAUUGCAUUCGACCUAAAUGAAACGUGAAAUUUUCAAUGUUAAGUGUUUACAUGUUAGUUGCACAUGUAUGUAAGCUUUUUGGCUGAAUUGGGGCCUUGCCCUUCGUUGCCGGUUGACUCGAGCCAGAAGCGGAUUCGGUCGGGCAAUUUGGUGACCCUGGGUGAAAGCUUGGUAUACUCGAGUAUUACCUUGUAUUCUAGUGGAGCUUGACCAACGUCCAGGAGGGGGUGAAUGAAAUGAAAGAAUGAACAAGGGUUUUACUUACAAAAAUGUUGUGACGCCCCGAAAGAAUGAGUGCGAGAACCCAAAAAAUUUCUAAGUUUCUAGGGUUUAUUUUACUGAUCGCCCGCCUUUUCGACAUUUUCUUUAUUAGAAAAUUUCCCAGAUAAUUUUAUUGAGUAAAUGUAGUUUUUAGAUGAUUUUUCUAGUAUCAGUUAGUUUUUGAGAAAUUAAGAACAUAUAUCGGACGUGGGACCCACUAGUGCGGAAAGUUCGGUAAAAUUCGGCCAAUUAGGUUAAGUAAUGGAUACUGGGCUUAUUUUAGCAGGUGCUAAGAGAUAACUAGUGGAUAUUAAGUGAGUUGGUGUGAGAGAGACAAUGGGAUAGAUAUGCAUUUAAUGAAGUGACAAGUGUCACUUGGAGAAUAAGUCUUGAGUUUGACUACUAUUCAUCCUUUUACCAUUUAAAUCAAAAAAUUGACCAAAAUUCACCCUUAUUUUUCAAGCUUCUUGGCCGGCCCUUGCUCAAGAAAAAAGAAGAAUAACUACUCAAUUUUUUUACCUUCAAUCUUGCUCAAUCUUUCAUUCCAACCGGUUAAUCUUCAAAUUACUCCAUAAAACCUAUUAGUUUAGGGGUAUUUAGGUGAUUGGUGAAGUUAUUUGGAAGCUUAAGGUGCUAAGAGGUCUCUUUCUUUGGUUACUAAGGUGAGUGACUCUGGAACCCUCUCUUCUAUCUAAUGAUGUUUAAUUAAGGACUUGUGGUGGUUAUAAGUGUGAUUUGGUGGAUUAUUUCUUGAUUUUAGUUAAGAUUAGUGAAUUUUUCUAUUUAUGUGGGAUUUUUCUGUUUUCAUAUGAUUAAUAUUAUGUGACCAUGUAUGAUGGUCGGAAAUGGUUUAGAAUGAAGCCUUAGUGUUAAGAUAGCGGCUAUUUGCGGAAAAUUUUCGCAUUGAACGGAAAAUUUUGGAAUUAGGGUUUCGAUUACCCCCUUUCUGCCUGGCACUGUUCAUCAUAGUUAGAGGCCGAAUUAGCCUUGGGUUAAAACAUGAAAGUUGUAGGAAAUGAUAUUUUAAAGAUGUCUGCAAAAUUACAGCUCAAUCGGAGUAACGUAGCUGGUGAAAAGACUGAAAUACUCCUGCUGCUCUGUUUCUAUCCGAACUUGAUAAUUGCUUCUGUAAUUGGUUAAUUUGGUUGGGAAUACUUCUGAUUUGGUUGUUGAUGUCUUCUUAAGAAAUGUAGCCAGGUGUCUUAGCUUUCGGAUGGAUUUGGAAUCACUUGAUUUGGACUUAGGUAGCCUGAAUUAUGGUUCGUUAACCAGAAUGCGGUUUGUUAACCUAUUUUUACGGUUCUAGUUUGGUACAUUGACAUUUUGACCUAGUUUCACUACCAAAAUGGACUGACUGACCUUCUUCAACAUUGUAGACCUUUCUGUUAGCUUCGAAACGGUAUAAAGUUCAUCCAAAUCUGAGUCCCGUAGCUCCAGUUAUGACCAAAACAAGAUCAGUUGUCAGAACUGCCUUCGAAUUUGGACAGUUCUGACAGGAAUGUUUGGACCCAUUUUCCUCCAUGCUCUGUAUCGAUUCAGCUUCUAGUCUAAACAUGAAAGUUAUAUCCUUAUGUCCUAGCUUUCCAACGCCUUUGGAAUUUCUUGAUUUAGAUUUGUGAGCUGUGAGUUAUGGUCCAGCAAACAAACCCUGUUCGUCACCCUAAGACGUAAGUUUCUGGUACUGUUUUCCAUAAUUUCGACCUGCUUCCAUUCAGAUCUAGAUUAAGGUGUCUUCAGGAGAAUUGUAUCUCUUCCUCAUAGCUUCAAAAUGGUGUCUCGUUCACCUUGGUCCGACAUUCCUAGCCUAACUUUUGAUCAAAACGGUUGGAGAUGGCAGAUUUGGCCAUUUCCAUUUGCCGUUCCGCGAGCACGCGUGCACCCAUUUUGCCGUUUCCGCACUUGCAUGUGCCGAUUUUGCCGUUUUGCUUGUUUUGGGCAUGUUAGUGGCCGUUUGUGAUAAUAUGUGAUACAAUCUUCUAUUCCAGACAGUGGUGAGCUAGUCGGAGCCGGUGGGGCCCACUACUAGCGAACACGCGCGAAGUGCUUUUGCUCUUGUACUACUUUUGUAUUUUGAGUAAGUAUUCAGGCCGUUUAUGUGUAUAAACUACUUAUGUGUUUUGAUGUGAAAAGGGGGACUUAGGCGAGGGUGUACUUUAUCAUACUCGACCUAAACCCUAGUUUGUACCUAUGUUUCUCCAUGAGAUGUGUAUAUAUGAAUUAUUUUGGGUUUGAACCCCUUGAACUUGGAGCUCGGGGUGACUUUCAUGAGUUCGUGAAAUAUGUUGAAGUUGUGGGUCCGAUCUCAAGAUCUGGAUGGACUAUUCGAGCCGGGCGGGGCUUGGUCGGAGCCAGUCCAACCUAGUCUGAGGUCACCAAGUUCGUAGGUUCCCGUUGUGAACCAAGUUUGUGACCCGAGCUUGUGACUCAAGCUCAAGUUUGUGAUUUCAUUCGCCCGGGCAAGUUUGUGAGGUGACUGGCCAGUAAGGGUGAUAAGGUGUUUGGUGGGUGUACAAGUGGAGUUCUACGGACCUUAUUUAUGGUCGACGGAGUGUCGACAGGAGAUCACGCAUGGCAAAUGACUUGGCUUUGGAGCCAACCUGUAUCCUUCCUUUGUAUUGUUACUUUUGUGCUUGACUUGACAUUUUGUGAAAUAGUUGUUUCUUUAAAUGUGAAAUUUACGCUUUUACCCCUAUUUACUUACUAAGCUUCUAGCUUACCCCUUUUCCUUUGUUUUCCUUAGCAGGGGACGACGCGGGGAACUUCUUGGCACCUUCAUUAGUUUAGUUAGGUUUGAUUGUAAUAGUCGGACAGUUAAGAUGUUUGUUUUUGUUUUGGUGGUUUGUAUAAGGACCCUCCUUAGGGUCUACCUUCUGCUGGUUGUUAUUAUAAUGUAUUAGAGUAGUUUGACUCGAUACUUUUGAAGAUGUAAAUAGAACUCUUUUGGCGUCAGAUAUAUUGUGAAUAGUACGCUUGUGGGUUUAUGUAGUUUUAUUGUUUUGAAAUUUUGAGUCCUGGCGCGAGCUAGGCAGGCGUCCCGCCGAUACCUUAGAGUUCGCCCUUGGGAGAAGCGGGGCGUCACAAAUGCAUUUUCAAAUGAUUGGAAGAAUAAGGGGAAUGACAGGGGAAUGAACGAACGAACGAAGGUAUGGCUCCUUGUGAGCCCGUGUCCUUUUAAUAAAUGUGUUAUUAUCGCUUUCCAUUGUAAAUGUUUCUUGAAUUAUUGAUACUCUAUGUUUAAUGUAUUGGAUUGAUUGUUUGAUUAUGUGUUUGGAACCUCACUGAGCUUUUAGCUCAUCCCUUUAGUUUUGUUUUCCUUAACAGGGGAAGGCGAGUCAGGACGAGAGAUUUGUAUCGACUAGCCUAGUCUAGUUUCUUGAAUUUGGUAAUGGUUCUCGCCCUAGUGCGUGGCACGGGCUGGAUGUAUGCAGAUUGAGAACCUUUGUAUAUUUGAUGGUUGUACUCCCUUUUGAGAUAGCAAUGUAUAUAAGUUUUGUUUUAAGUUUUGGAUCGUUGUUAUGUUUAUUCUUGUGGGUUUAUUCUGGUUUUGAUUGAGGAUUGAAGUGAACGACUGAGUCCCGGUGAGAGUUGGGCAGGCGGUCCGCCGAACCCUUUGGUUCACUUUAGGGGGAGGUGGGGCUGUCACAAAGAUGGUACCCUAAAAAAGUUUCCAUUAUGGUGCUACUCUAAAAAAGGAAAAAGAAAAAUAAUAAAAACUCCAUCACGGUAGAGGGCAUAUAUGAAAAAAUUCAUCAAAACAUCAGGGUAAUAUUUGUCUCGACAUAAAACUCAACAAGGAAUGAUCUUUCACUGAGUCAAGACAUUUGUAGCUUUCCAAGAUAUGAACCGGCCAAUCCUUGCGUAUACCAGGAAGUCACAACAUAUUGGCACGAGGAAAAAGCAAUAUACUGGACCUUUAUGAUCAACGAUACUGGAUCCUAGUUUUAAAAUACUUGUCUAUAAGUGGGGGAAAGUGAAGAAAUUUAACUUUUAGUCAUGUUUCUUGCAUAAGUUAAAACUCAAGUAAAUGGUCAAAAUGAUCACUAAACUAUUAAAAAUGUUCAUCGAUUUUUUUUAAGCAAAAAAAGUUACUCAACUCCCUAAAAUGAGCCUCUAUGAUCAUUUUGACCAAUUUAGCCUGUAAAUCGAGAUCCUAUUCUUGCUAACAUAAUUUUUUAUUAAAAAAAACCAAACUUUAGGGGUGGAUCCGUACUUUGGCUAAACUUCAUAGGAGAUAAAUACAAAAAAAAAAAACCACCAACAACAUCAUCCUUCUCCUCUUCCUCCUCCACCACUACCACCUACUCACCCAAAGCUAUUGUUUCACAACACCACCACUGCACCCUCUCCCCUCCCCUUCCUUCCCCUCCUUUAAAAUGUUCAUUUUAGAGAGUUGAGUGACUUGUCAAAAGAAAAGUUCGGUGAUCAACUCAUGCCAAUUUGUAUCCUACAAUCACCAUUUUAACCAAUCACUCCAAAAUAUAUGUCGUUGCUUCCAUAACUAUGGAAACUGAAUGCAUUAGGCAUGGUGCUUAGGCCCACAACCGCUGGUAGAAAAAAAAUGGAUUGAUAUAUAUACCCGAAAUCAUAUGUUACUAAUGAUUAAUUUGACUUCAGAAUAAUUGUGAUUUUUGGUCAUUAGGCCAAACAUAAGAUGCAAUUUUAACUACAGUGCAUCUUGGUUGCAAGAUAAGAGUUCAAACAUUUGUACCUUAAAUCCACUGAAUGCUAAACAAUAACAUUUAAUACAUAGACCCACAACAGUUGGAAGAAAAAAAAUGAUUGGUAUAUAUCUGAAAUCAUAGGUUUUUUUUUAUUUUUAAAUAUUUUCAGUAGGGGAGGAGUGAGAUUUAAGAAGUAAAGAAGAGGCAAAGGAAUUUGAACCCAAAAUCUUUGAUUCCUGGCAUCUCAAUCUAAUCAUAGGUUAUUAAUCUGUUUCUCCACUUAUUUAUCGAAGUCAACGUCAUUUUACUAUGGGAGGAUCCAACUGCAAAGGAACUAAAGAAAGCUACAUAGUCCCUACCUAUGCUUACAAUGCAUAAGACGAAAUUUGAUUUGCACUCGUUUUCUCAUUUUUGUCUGCCUCCUUAGGAACAUAUUUGUAAUUUGUGAAAAAAAAUCUGGCCCAACUCUAUUGCAUCUAGUAUAAAUGAUUUAUGCCUUAUGGGUUGAUAAAAUUACAGUUUUGUCAAUUUUGUGUUUGCAGAGGCCCCGUCCCGGACCUAGACGCGUGGCAGCCCAGCAAGGGCAGAGCUGGGCCUGGACCGCAGGCCCCUGGCACUCGUCCUGGGGGCUCACCGCCACUAGAGCUCUGAGUGGCUCCAGGGAAUAAUCCCUCAGAGGGCGGGGAGGAUCCCUCUCUGGGCGGGAUUGAGGCUAUAUCUGGCAGGUCCCGAAGCGUACGGAGGUCAGACCCUCACGCAGGUAUAAAUGGUAACGCACACCAACUACACAAGGUACGCUCACAUUAGCACAUUACCCCCAGCUGCUUUACUCCCCGUAAACUUCAUUCACCAGAGAACUAACUUGACCGUCGGAGUGCCCUCGGGGACGACCUUGGGGCCCCCUUGUUAGAUCACUCUCUUAUUAGUCUUGCAGGCUUGGAACCAGCUCUUCCCAUCAGCACGCCGAGCUAGUCAGGUCAGCUCGGUCCGGGGAAGCUCAGCACUUCUUUAGUUGGCGCCGUCUGUGGGAACGAGAGGUAAGUGCAGUUGCGUUGAUGGCGAGAAUGCAUUCCAAGCAGACCGUGGAGAGCGCCGGCCUUGGAGCCGGUGAGGGGUCCCGGCAAAUGGAGACCGGGAUGGAUCCGGGCGCUGGGGACUCAGCCCUGUCAGGGGAACGGAGACAGUAUAUUUUCCAGUUCAUGACGGAGAACCUCCCCAUGUUGGAAGACAUCAUCCGGCAGGCGAAGGAGAGGGGCGAAGCUGGUGGCGCAUAGACCUCCAAGGUGAAGGGGAAAGAAAACGAACCACUUCCCGACCCCUCGGAGGAUGAGUCACGUGACCAGCCCCCAGAAGGAAAUGGCCACGGACUCCCCCUCGCCCCGAGUCUCAGUGGUCGGGGAUAACGAAAGGUACUCCCGCGGCAGGUCUGCGGGGAGUAGGCCGAGAAACCCCUCCCCGCGCAAACUUGUGUGGAACGAGCCUGAUCGCUCUCCCGACCGAUCUAUUAAGAGCCGGCCGCGAAACCCUCCCUAGUGGAACCCUGUUCGAGACGAACUCGAGCAGAUCUUGCGGCCACAGUUGUACGAGGACAACUACACCACCUCGCCCUUCCCCUGGGAGAUAGAGGAUUACCCACUACCCCGGAGGUUCAAGAUCCCGAGCAUUGAGAUGUAUGACGCUUCAACCGACCUGGAAGACCACCUCUCGGUUUUCCUGACGCACAUGCGUCUGAAAACAGCCGCGGAUGAAAUCUGCUCCAAGACCUUUCCCAUAUUCCUAAAGGGGAAGGCUCAGCUCUGGUUUCAAGGUCUGGCACCGAGGUCUAUCCGGAGUUUUCCUGAACUGGCCAGACAGUUCGUCGCCCAAUUCGUUUGCUCGAAAGCUUAUUCGAAGAAUGUGACUCACCUAAUGGCUAUCAGGCAGAGGCCCGACGAGUUACUGAGGAAUUUCAUGACCCAUUUCAACGCGGAGAGUUUACAGGUCAGGGACAAAGACGAAAAGGUGGUCAUGGCCGCCUUCAUGAAUGGGCUCAGGGUAGAGGAGCUCUUCUACAAGUUGGCCGAGAAGCCUCAUGGAAAUCUGGAGGAGCUCUUGACCAGGGUGCACGCGGCCGCUAAUGCAGAGGAGGCGGGCCGCCUGAAGAGAGAGUCAGAUCGGGAGCUCGGAGAUCGGAAAGGACGGGAAAAUUCCCCGAGAACAAGGAUGGUCCGGCCAAGAAGAACGUCUUUGACCGGCUCUCGAGGGAGAAAACCCCUGCUCCGCCACCACUCCCGGAGAAAGGCUACACCCCCUUGAUUCGGCCUAGAACUCAGAUCCUGGCUGUUAUGGAGGCGGAAGGCCUGGGAGGCCAGCCGCCCAAGAUGGGGACACCUCGGAACAAAAAGAUCCAGGACCGGUACUGCACUUUCCAUCGCGACAUCGGACACGACACGAAGGGGUGUUGGGCCUUGCGGAAGGAGAUCGAGGAUCUGGUCCAGCGCGGCUUCUUGGGACGAUUCGUGCGGCAAUGUCACCCCGGCCAGGAGCCCGGACGCACCUACCGCGGAGAUCGAGGUGAGGGCCGGCAUCGCGACUGCCCUGAGCAGCGUGACGCGCUUCGUGGCCACUCCCCCGAUCAGGACACCCAGAACCUAGCGGGGGUGAUAAACAUCAUCGCUGGGAGUCCCACGGGGGGGGACAGUCAUGCAGCUCGGAAGAACUGACGACCUCCCCCGGGGGAAUGUUUCCUUGAAGCGCUUACGCGUGGAUGAGGAGAUCACUUUCGGACCAAGGGAUGUAGUUCCCCUAGCGUCCGGGAACCACGAGGCCAUCGUGAUAGACAUUGUCACCAACAACUAUCGGGUGAAGAAGGUGUAUAUCGACCAAGGGAGUGCGGUUGAUAUUAUGUUUUAUCGGGUGUUCAAGGAGCUCGGCUUAGAGGAUGGGCAGCUGACCCCGGUUCGGACAUCCCUUGUGGGCUUCACUGGACUGCCUAUCAACCCGGAGGGAAUGAUCACCCUGAUGGUCACGGUAGGGCAGGCCCCCAAAUGCCGGACUAUCCCUGUCAAUUUCGUGGGGGUCAAGCAACAAUUCCCGUACAAUGUGUUCCUGGGUCGGCCUGCUUUGAACGCCCUCCGAGCUAUUCUUUCCACGCUCCACCUCAGCGUCAAAUUCCCUACUCCGGGAGGGGUAGCCGAGGUGCACGGUGAUCCAAAGAUGGCCAGGGCUUGCUACUUGGCCAUGCUUCGGGGAUAGGAGAAGGUGAUUGCCCAGACGACCUGCUUGGAGCCAUACAUUCCAGGGGAGGAGGCCCGGCAGCUGGGCACCGAGGACGAGAUGGGGAGGUGCCCAGGUGAUCCGCAUCGGCGCGCUGCUGCCCCCGGAGGAGAAGGAGGGUUUGAAGGCCCUGCUAAGGGAAUACUCCCAGGUCUUUGCAUGGACGGUUGAGGACAUGCCCAGGAUUUCGACCGACCUGGCAGUCCACCACCUCAAUGUGGAUCCUCGUUUCAAGCCGGUGAAGCAGAAGAAAAGGAGUUUCGCCCCGGAGAGGAACAAGGUGAUCAAGAAGGAGGUCGGCAAGCUACUGGAAUCCAAGAUCAUCCUGGAGGUACAUUACCCGACCUGGUUGGCCAAUCCCGUCCUGGUGAAGAAGGAGGACCAGUCGUGGAGGAUGGUGUGUGGACUUCACAGAUCUCAAACAAGGCCUGUCAAGGACUGUUUUCCCCUGCCAAGGAUCGACAGGUUAGUAGACUCUACUGUGGGUUUUGAUGUUUUGUACUUUUUGGAUGCCUUCAAGGGAUACCACCAGAUAGAGAUGGCUGAGGAGGACCGGGAAAAGACUUCCUUCAUCACCGAGGAAGGAACUUACUGCUACCGGACCAUGCCAUUUGGGCUGAAAAAUGCUGGAGCUACCUACCAGCGCCUGGUCAAUAAACUGUUCCAAAAUCAGAUCGGUAGAAGCAUGGAGGUCUACGUGGACGACAUGAUCGUCAAAAGCCGAACCGACCAGCGGCUCAUUCCAGACCUGAGGGAAAUCUUGGAUAUCCUGUGGGAGAGCCGGAUGCGACUGACCCUGAAGAAAUGCACCUUCGGGGUCAGGUCGGGAAGGUUCCUGGGAUUCUUGUGUCCCGAGAAGGGAUCCGAGCCAACCCGGAUAAGCUCCAGGCUAUCAUGGACAUGGCCCCUCCGAGGAACGUAAAGGAGGUCCAGCAGCUUACGGGGAGGAUGGUUGCCCUGAGUAGGUUCCUCUCGCGUUCUGCGGUCAGGGGGCUGCCUUUCUUUCGAAUCCUGAAAGCUCCCAAAGACUUUGAAUGGACUGAAGAAUGCCAGAAAGCCUUUGCUGACCUGAAAGCAUAUCUGGCCGACCUGUCUACCUUGACCGCCCCGGAGCAGGGAGAAACCCUGUUCCUAUAAUUGUCUACCUGCAACGAGGCCGUCAGCGCGGUUUUGGUGCGGGGGACAGGGGGCUCAGAGGCCAAUAUACUACGUCAGCCGAGCUUUGCAAGGGCCGGAAACGCGAUACACGCCGGCGGAGAAACUGGUCCUUGCCUUGGUGCACGCGGCCCGUACGCUCCAACCUUACUUCCAGGCCCAUAGCAUCGUCGUCAUAACGGAUCAGCCCCUACGGCAGAUACUUACAAAGCCCGAGGUCUCGAGCAGGAUGACCAAGUGGACUGUCGAGCUGGCCGAGCACGACGUCGGCUAUCAGCCUCGCACCGCUAUCAAGGAUCAGGCCUUGGCAGACUUCCUUGCUGAGGGGGCUAGCUUGACCCUGACCGAGCCAAGCCCUUUGUGAGAGGACAUACGGCCGGAGGAGCCAUGGGUGCUAUUAGUAGACUGGGCCUCGAGUAAGGAAGGAAGCGGAGCCGGUCUGCUGCUCACCUCGCCCACUGGGGAAGAGCUGACCUACGCGCUCAGAUUUAGUUUUCCGGCAUCCAACAAUGAGGCUGAGUACGAGACCCUAUUGACAGGAUUGCGGAUAGCCCACCAGAUGGGUAUAACCGCGAUCAAAGUCCGGAGCGACUCUCAGCUCGUCGUCCACCAAGUUCGCGGGAAAUACGAGACCAAGAAGGAUGUCAUGAAGAAAUACCUGGCCAAGGUGCAGGAGGCAAUCGCCCUGUUCGACACUUUUGAAAUCGAGCGGGUGCCGAGAUCACAAAACAAGCGUGCGGACGCCCUAUCGAAACUGGCGUCCUCCUCGUUUGCACACCUGAGCAAGGAAGUCUUGGUAGAGUUGGUCAAACAAAAAAGUAUCGAUCAAGUCUAGGUCUUGGCUAUAGAUAGCCCAGCCACCUGGAUGACUCCUCUCAUCGACUUCCUUAGCUCGGGUGCCCUGCCAGGGGACAGGACCGAGGCCCGCCGACUUCAGCUCGGAGCUGCUAGGUACGCCUAUGCCGGGGGAACCCUCUACAGGAGGUCGUAUCUGUCCUCCUGGCUAAAAUGCGUGACUCCAGAGGAGGGCGACUACAUCCUUCGUGAAGUUCACGAGGGCUUAUGUGCGGCCCAUGUGGGAUCCGAGUACUGGCCAAAAAAGUGCCUUCUCCUAGACUCCUAUUGGCCCUCGGUGUUCCAAGAUGCCGCGGCCCUGGUUCAGAAAUGCAGAGCUUGCCAGGUGCACGCCCCACUACGUCACCAACCAGCCCGGGAAAUGGUCCCCAUCUAUAGCCUCUGGCCCUUCACCCAGUGGGGGAUAGACCUCCUGGGACCUUUCUCUCGAGCCCGGGAAGAUACGAGCACCUCGUGGUAGCCAUCGACUACUUCACGAAGUGGAUGGAAGCGGAGCCUCUGGCCACUAUCUCUGGGAGAGCAAUUCAAAAAUUCUUCUGGAGGAACAUAGUCUGCCGCUUCGGGAUUCCGCAUGUCUUAAUAUCCGACAACGGGCGCCAAUUUGCCGAAAACCCCUUCAAGAGCUGGUGCGCCGAGCUCGGGAUCAACCAGCACUUCACAUUGGUCGGCCACCCACAGGCCAACGGCCAAGUGGAAAGCGCUAACCGAACCAUUCUCCAAGGACUAAAAACUAGGCUGGAACUGGCCCAGUCUAACUGGCUAGAUGAACUCCCUAGUGUCCUCUGGGCUUACCGCACUAUGCCCAGGACGGCCACCCACGAGACCCCGUUUUCUCUGACUUACGAGGUAGAGGUGGUGGUACCCGCGGAGAUCGGUCUCCCCUCGCCUCGGACACAGAACUUCGUUGCGUCAUCCAACGAGGAAGAGCUGAGAUGUAGCUUGGACAUACUGGAGGCCAAGCGUGAGGAAGCGGCGAUACAGAUGGCUAAGUAUAAAAGCCAGCUUGAUGAGAAUAUAAAGACCAAGGCCCAUUCAAGCACAUGGGGAAUUGAAAGAUUCAAACGAAGACUAGUUGAUUGCACGAAUGCUUGAGUUUAGUAGGAUUAUUUGAUUUUCCUCGUUGAUUUUGGUUAUUUCUUGCUUUAGAAAGUCUAGGAAAUUAAACUAGUUUAAUUGCGGCCCAUUUGUUAGUAAGUAAGGCCCAAAAUCUUUCUUAAGUAUGUAGGGUAGUUUGGUCAACUUUUGGAUUAGGGUUAUUGCUUGUAAGGGCUAUAAAUAGCCCUACUUCCUCUUUGUUUCAGAUCAGUUUUUUUGGCUAGUAAAUACAAUUAGUGAGUUUUCACUUUCUCUUUGGCAAGAGAGUUUCCUUUGAAUACUUGAGAAUCUUCUCAAGUUAUUCACCCGAACUUAUCAAUCGAGUAUCUCCUUGAUUGUGGCGUUCUACUACCUCCAAUUUGGUUCGUUAAUUCGAGUAGUUACGGGUUGAGAUAAUAUCAAAAUUGUUCGUGACUUCUAGGGAUUAGUUGGGUCAAAUUUCCGCUGCCUAAGCCAUGGUGUUUUGGUUGUCUAGAUCGGGGUUUCACAUCACAGCUCGCUCGCUAUCACAACGCCAAAGUGAGGAACAUACAGUACCAGCCGGGAGACCUUGUCUUAAGAAAAAACUCGGUCAGCAGAGCUCAUAACUCCAACAAGCUCGACCCCAAUUGGGAGGGACCGUACAAGGUCCUGGAAGCGAGCCGGGCUGGUUACUGCAAGCUCGCGAAAAUGGAUGGAUCAGAGCUACCCCGCACUUGGCACUUCUCGAAUUUGCGAUUGUUCGUAGGAUAAACUAGGCCAGGAUGUCUUAUUGUCUGUUCUUCGGAACCCACAUACAAGUUCAUCAUUAAAUAAAUGUUCGAUUUUCAAGUUUUAAGUUCUUCGUUAUCAAUGCUGUUUAAUUUUUUUUUUUAGUUUAAGUCCUACACCAGCACACUCAAACAAUGCUAAAUGUCCUAGUGAGGGGCUGGGGUAAUGGACAGAGGGCCUUGAAAGCCCGAUGCUCGGCUCCAAGAGGUCGGCACGGAGGUCCGAAAGUUCGGCGCUCGACCCAGGAGAUCGGCACGGCUUCAAAGUUUAUGCUCGGCCCCAGGAGGUCGGCACGGCCCCAAGAGGUCGCGCGGCUUAAAGCUUCAAAAUCUGGAAGUUCGAUGGUGCUCAACCCCAAGAGGUCGGCACGGAUGAAUGAUCGACCCCAGGAGGCCGGCACGGCUUGAGGCUUUAAAAUCUGAAAGCCUGACGCUCGGCCCCAAGAGGUUGGCGCGGCGUGAACUAUUUUGGAUUUGUUAGAAUUCGAGAGUUCGACGUUCGACCCAGGAGGUCGGCAUGAAUGCCUUCAAAGUCAAACAUUCGACCCAGGAGGUCGGCAGGAAUAUCCUUAAAGUCUGGUGCUUAGCCCCAAGAGGCUGGCACGUCACCUUGAUGGGUCUAUUUGGUGCUCGACCCGGGAGGUCGGCACUUGGUUUUGAUAGCCUAAUUGCCUUUGACAAUUUAGCUGUUAGAUUAAAAAGGGGGUAUAUUUGGUGCUCGACCCAGGAAGUCGGCACAUGGCUUUGGUUGCUAGAGUUUGGCGCUGGCGAGAAUUGCAAGGUAGUUUCCUUCGAGUUUUAUAUAUGUAUUCAAAGCCUAUCUAUUACAAAACUCCAAGUCGGUAGUUUCCUUCGAGUUUUAUGCAUUCGAAGCCUAUCUAUUACAAAGUUGCAGAGGCCCCGUCCCGGGCCUAGACGCGUUGUAACAUCCCGAAUAUUAGGAGGUUGUUUGUGAAGAAAAUAUUAAAGUAUAUUUCUUCGGGUUUGAUUUAAAACCUUAUUUCGUUUUAAACGACUAGAAACCCUAAUGUUUUAAUCAAAAACCCUAGUUUACUUGUGACUAAACGGUUUCUUAAAUCUUUCAUAUUUUACUAGAGAUUCUAAUGUUAAUUAUUGAAAUUGUAAAUUCCUCACGUUUUCUUAAAAAAUUUCCUUUUAUUUGAAAAUUAUUAUUUAUUAAGGCCCUACUACCCAAUUGUUCAACAAUAAGUGCAGAUGAACCUGGAAAUAGGGUUUUACACUUCGGUUUCAAGAUUUGAGCAAAAUUAGGGUUUUCGCGGGAGUAUGAGCUAGAACUUGAGAGGAAAAAGCGAGAGAAAAGUGAGGAAGAAAAAGGAGAGAGUAGGGCCGAAACCCUAGGAAAGAAAAAGGCAACAAGUGGGUCGGCUAUGAGAGAAGAAAAUAAGGGGAAGCUAAGCUUGCUAGCAAAAGCCAAAGAUGUAAGGCGAGCUUUGUCUUCCAACCAACUCUUACUUAUGCUUGUGUGCAAAGAAGAGUUGGUCAAUUCAUCCAUACCUACUGACUCCUUGCCUUCUACUAUUUUACCUCUCUUGCAGGAAUUUGAGGACAUAUUUCCUGAGGAUGUACCUGAUGGACUACCACCGCUAAGGGGAAUCGAGCACCAAAUCGAUCUCAUUCCUGGAGCACCAUUGCCUAACAAACCAGCCUAUAGAAUGGGUCCUGAGGAAACAAAGGAAUUGCAAAGGCAAGUGGAGGAAUUGCUAAGGAAAGGUUGGGCUAGAGAAAGUCUAAGUCCAUGCGCUGUACCAGUGAUUCUCGUGCCAAAGAAAGAUGGAGCGUGGAGAAUGUGCACCGACUGUCGAGCAGUCAAUGCAAUCACGGUAAAAUAUCGUCACCCUAUCCCUAGGUUAGAUGAUAUGUUAGAUGAAUUGCAUGGUGCCAUUAUAUUUACUAAAAUUGAUUUGAAAAGUGGUUACCACCAAAUAAGAAUGAAAGAGGGAGAUGAGUGGAAAACCGCUUUCAAAACUAAACAUGGUCUAUACGAGUGGUUAGUAAUGCCAUUUGGUUUAACUAAUGCACCUAGUACCUUCAUGCGUUUAAUGAACCAUGUUUUGAGACCUUUUCUUGGGAAAUUUGUUGUGGUAGAUAGGUUCUCCAAAAUGGCUCACUUUAUUGCAUGUCAUAAGACGGAUGAUGCUUUACACAUUGCUGAUUUAUUCUUUAAAGAGGUUGUUCGUUUGCAUGGCAUACCUAGGACUAUAGUAUCUGAUAGAGAUGUCAAGUUUUUGAGCUAUUUUUGGAAAUCUUUAUGGGGUCGGUUGGGAACCAAACUGUUGUUCUCUACCUCUAGUCAUCCUCAAACGGACGGACAAACUGAGGUAGUCAAUAGGACUUUAUCCACACUCCUACGUGCAAUCAUAAAGAAAAAUAUCAAGUCAUGGGAGGAGUGUCUACCUCAUGUUGAGUUUGCAUACAAUAGGGCUGUGCAUAGUGCUACACAAUUCUCGCCUUUUGAAGUUGUGUAUGGUUUGAACCCCUUAACUCCCUUAGAUUUGUUGCCAUUACCUUCUUCUGAGCAUAUGAACUUAGAUGGCAAGAAGAAAGCUGAAUUCGUGAGAUCAUUACAUGACAAGGUUCGUACCAACAUCGAGAGGAGGACGGCCCAAUAUGUCCAACAAGCCAAUAAGCACAGGCGCAAGCUUGUCUUUGAACCAGGUGAUUGGGUCUGGUUACAUUUGCGCAAGGAGAGGUUUCCAAAACAACGGCAAAGCAAGCUGUCACCACGAGGAGAUGGGCCUUUUCAAGUUAUUGAGCGCAUCAAUGACAACGCAUACCGCUUAGAUCUGCCUGGUGAGUAUACUGUUAGUGCUACAUUCAAUGUUGCUGAUCUAAUUCCAUUUAUUGCAGGGGACGAGUACGAUUUGAGGGCAAAUCCUUUUCAAGAGGAGGGGAAUGAUGCGGUUGAGCACGAGGCCCAAAGUGUACAAGUAAACCCUGUGAAGGUGCCCCAAGGCCCAGUGACACGAGGACGAGUUAAGAGAUUCAAGGAGUCCCUCCAAGCCUUGGUACAUGCCAUCCAAACCCAAGAGAAACCGGGCAUUGAAGGAAUUGAGUUGGAACAUCCUUGCACGACUACUAAAAUGCUGCUUACAAUUGAAGAUGCAAGUGUUCAAGCUCCAAACGGCGGGCUGAGCUGCAGUUAAGUACCCGAGGCCUAUGAUCUAUAGUUAGUUGGGCUAGCUUUCGGUCAAGUGAAGGCCCAAGGGGCUGGCCGAACUUUCCUUGUUAUUUUUCCAGUUUAUUAGGUCUUAGUCACGGCUAUUAAUAGCUUCAAGCCGCAUGUUACAUUCAGUUUUUGAGAGUAUUGAAUAAAAUUUUCAGAAUUUCGUCCAUUCCUUGUGGCAAAUUCCCUUAGCUUGUGAAAGCUAAGUUGAACAUCCUAGAGUUGAUCCUAGGCUGUUCUUGACUUAUCAAUCAAGCACACAUACUUGAUUGUGGCGUCCUCUACCGUUAAAUCUGUUCUUGAGUGGUCCAAGUUCAGGUUCAACUCCAUCCAAUCUUCAUCGUGUUCCUCUAGAUCCGAAGUUGCUUCCGCGUCUCGCAUCAUUAUUUCUGCUAGUUCCUUACAUUUUCGUGCAUUUCAUAGGCUAAAGUUGUUUCUUUUUCGCCGUUUUUCUAUGUUUGGGUAUAGCCAGGGCUGAUGGCUCUUGCUUUUCUUACCAUUUUGUUUCUAAAAUCUAUAGUCAACUCUGUCUUUUUUCUUUUGCAUUUCAUCCGACACUCUGGUUUCAUGUCUGGGUUUUGUUAUUCGAAGAAGGCUAAGGUUUACUUCUGUUGGGGCUGAGAAAUCCGUAGGUUUGGUCUAGUUUUGGGGACGGAAGUUUGGGGUCUUUUCUAUAGGUUUUAGCUGAUGGGUUUGUUCGUUCACAGCUGUUGCUUUGCUCGUCUUUGUGCGCAAUCUGGGUUGGAGAAUUCUAGGGAAUGCAUAGUUUAUGGUUGGGUCUUGAUGAUAGGAUGCAUAAGGUGUUGUUUUGGUUCGAGAGAUUGCCAUUCGUUUGAAUUUUGUUGGCCGCAUAUGUCCUGAAUCCCAUUGUUGGAAGUUGCAAAAAAAAAAAAAAGUUGCUGGAAAAUGGAUUUUAGCUUGCCGAAAGUUCUUAUUGCAUGAUUUGUGUUGGGUUGAGUCCUGUGGAAGUAGUUGGUAGGCCUGCAUUUCCAUUUGAGUUCAUGAUUCACAGCUGUCUUCCUGCAUAGUUGAAAGCUGGAAAUUGCAGAAAAAUUUCAGGAGUUGCCGAAGACUUUAUUACAGAAAGUUUACUUUUUCCGUAGCUUGCAUGGAGUUGGCCUAGAAAUUUUUCAUUCAAAAAAACCCUUUUAAACUAUACUUUAGGUCAAAUUGUCGUAUUUUCAAGUCCCAUUUAGACCCAUGUUUGUCAUUUUCUUUUUAAAUUUAAAAUUCAUUUUCCAAUCAAAAAUUGAAUCAAAAGCCAUUUUCCUAAACUCGUCUUUUAUUUUUCUUUAUUUAAAAAAUGGGGCGCGACAUCUCUUGGCGGGUUGUGGGUAUUUUCAAACUGACCAAGAGACAUGUGAGCUGAAUUAUCAUAACCAUGACGUCUGCGAGUAUCAUUCAAUCAAAGAGGGCCAAUGUGUGGUGGCGUUCGAUUUGAGGAUUCAUACUACCAACCCUUGUUCGUGUCAUUCAUUUCCAUCCAUAUUUGAGGACAAAUCCUUCUCAAGUGGAGGGGACUGAUGUGUGCAUGGGUGGCGGGACCUUGAAGGUUUAAAGGAUGUUAAUCAAGUUACCUACACAUUGAUCCAAGCCCACGAGGAGCCAAGUGAUGGUUGUUAGUUUGGGCUCUAGCCCGCUAGUUAGUCUUUGUAGUUUUUCCAACUAAAGGGAGUCGGCCACCUGGUGGGCCUUUUUUAGUCUUGAACCGUCAAGUUAUUGUUUGGAUUAGUUACUAGUUGUAAGGCUUGUUGAGUCAUGGAUUUGGCCCACCUUGUCCAAGGAUGGCCGAACCCCUUUUCCCUUUCCUUUAGUCAUUAGAUUUUCAUUAGUCCUUUAGCCUAUAUAAAGGCUUGCUUUGUAAGGUUUUAGGGUAGACGUUUCAUCAAUAAAGUUUGAUUAUUUUCGAUUCAUCUUGUUAAGAGAGAUUCGAGCCUUCUACUUGCUUUGGCAAGGGUUAUUGAGCAAUCUUGCAUCUUGUCCUUGAUUGUUCUACCGACUUGUCCACUUGAGUAACCACCUCGAUUGGAGUCGUUGUUCUACCGUCUUAAACCAACUCGUGUCGUCCGUGUUGGUUUUAAGACCCGCAAUCCAAGCGUAGGACAAUCUCGCUAGAUCCUUGGACAAACAUGCUACGUGUCUCGAAACAAGUUGAUCAAGGACCGUAUCCUAGGUUGUUUCUUGACUUAUCAAUCAAGUACACACACUUGAUUGUAGCAUCCUCUACCGUCGAGUCCGCUCUUGAGUGGUCCAAGUUUGGGUUCGAUUUCAUCAACUUUGUAACGUGUCCUCUAAGGUCUAAGGUUUGCUUUCGCGCGUCGUCUCCUUGGUUCCUGUAGAUCAAGGAUCACAUCAGUUGGUAAUCUGAACUAGUUAGAGGUAUCACGUAUAUCCCCUUUUCUUGUUUUUGCAUCUGUUUUCGUCCUCCAAAAUUUGUAGCGACAGUGUUAGGGUUUGUGUUGGGUCGUUGGUUUCUUGUUGUCAAGUCCGAAAUUUGUUUUGCUUAUUUUCAUUGUCGUGUUUGUUUUCUUAGUUGUUGUCCGCCUCUUUAAUCGUGUUUGCACAAGUAUUCUAUCCACAGUUCAACCGUGAAUCUGGUCUAGUUGUGUUAGAGUUGUGGAGUCGCAAAACAAAACAAAAAAAAAAAACAUAUUGUGGCAACUAGGGUUUUGGCCUCUUCUUGUCGCACCUUAAGAUUGAUUUGUUCUUGUGUUGCAAUCUGUCCAGAUUUUCUUGUUCAUCAAUUGCUACUAGUUUUGUUUAGAUUGUGGUAUAAUUCUUGUUGAUUAUUGUUGUUGUUUGGGUCGUGAAAACAGCCUCACAAAAGUAAAAAAAAAAAAAAGUGUCAGAUACCUUAUUGUCCUUGAGUCGUUUGCUGGAAAUUGUUUUUGGGACUGCCGAAUGUGUUUUGUCCUUGUUCUCGGACUUUGUGUUGCAUCUUGCCAAAAACUUGAACACCAAAACAUAUUUGGGGAAGUUCUUGAGCUUCUUGAACGAAUUUCUUGAAAUUCUUGGACCACCAAAGACUACCUUGGGGAAGUUCUUGAAACCUUCCUUCCAAACCGUGGGAGUUCUUGAUACUUGAACCAAUCUUCAAUCUUGUCUUGGCAAAUCUUGAAUUUAGAUCUGAAUUCAAGGAGCUUUUGGAACUGGAAUUACAUUACUUGAAAGAAUCUGUUAAGCCAAAAAAAAGGGAUACAAAAAAAGAAAAGAAAUGAAAAAGAAAAGACAAAAAAAAAGGGAAAGAAAGAUAUUGGCUCUAGUUUCCUAAUUGUGAACCAAGUUCCACCUUGACUCCAACUAAUCCUAAUUCUUUUGGGAUUAAAAGCAGCCAAGAACCCAUCAACCAAAGGCCCAAGUUCCCUUCCAACCAACCUAAAACAGCCUACCUUGUACCCCAAAUCCGUUUCCAAAACCCAAAGCCAACUGCCACACCUUGUAAGCCAAAACAACCUGUAUUCUUGAAUCGGUUGAGUAGUGCAUUGUGAUCCGAUUUGAUUGAAUUUUAAGGACUGACCUAUACACCAAAACAACACCCUUAAAGUACCAAAAACUCAGCAAGCCUUGACCAAAAACAUCAAGAAAAUCGUAGCUCAGAUUUCCAGCAAUAAGUUACUCUUUCUUAGGGUCUUGUCUAGGUUUUCUUAAAAUUUCAGCCUUGAGUUGCUAGUCCAUCUUGUGUCCAGUUCGUUAGUCUUCAUAUUUAAGUCUUGGUUAGCGUGUUCACCUCAUACUUGUCCACUCAUUGCUGCUAUCUUGUGUCACUUGUUGACUAGUCAAGAACUAUCCUUAAGGUGACGCCUAGGUUGUUCAACCCGAGCAACUAGCAAGCUAAGGAAUUGCUUGGUGAGAUUAUUAGAGAGCAGCGAGCGUGAGUUAAACACGAGUGUGAGUGAUCUAUAUAUUGGAUAAAAAAAAAGAGAGAGGUAGUUGCUUUUAUUUGUUUUUUGCAGGUUUACAUUAACAUGUCAAGUGGAAUUGGUGACCAAACAAUGGACCUUAAACUACACAUGGAGGCCAUGAUGGGGGAAUUCAAGCGAAUGCUUAAGAGUUCCAUUGAACCUUUUGUAUGAAAGGAUUGACCAAUUGGAGAACUCUAGGCUACCACCUAAUUCGAGCAAGGGGAGAGAAUCAGCAUACUCAAAUGAUGAGGAGGAAGCGUUUGAGGGGAGGUACCAAACUGAUCAACAUAUACAAAAGUGAGGAAAUGAUGCCAUUAAGGAUGUCAAAUUCAAAAUUCCUUCCUUCCAAGGCAAGUCAGAUCCCGAGACUUACUUGGAAUGGGAAAGGAAGAUCGAGUUGGUUUACGAGUGCCACACUUACACGGAGGAGCAAAAGGUGAAACUUGCAGCCGUGGAGUUCACAGACUACGCCUCCAUUUGGUGGGAUCAACUUCGACUUAGCCAAAGGAGAAAUCGUGAGAGACUCGUGGAGACUUGGGAAGAGAUGAGGAGCCUAAUGAGAAAAAGGUUCAUGCCAAGCUACUAUAGCCGAGAUUUACACCAACGGCUACAAGCUCUCACUCAAAGGUCCAUGUUAGUCGAUGACUAUUACAAGGAAAUGGAGAUGGCUAUUAUGAAGGAAGAUUUACGUGACGAUGGAGAAGCCACUAUGGCUCGAUUUUUGCAUGGUCUGAGGCCUGAGAUUGCCAAAGUAGUGGAGUUCCAACACUACCUCGAUAUGAAUGAGAUGUUGGAGAAGGCUGUGACUGUGGAACGGCGUCUCAAGAGGAGGGGUAGUGUGACGGCCCCACCUCCCCCUAGGGCGUACCCCAGGGUUUAGCGGACCGCCGCCCAACUCUCGCCAGGACUCACUCACUCGUAUCUCAAGAAAAAAAACUAAGAACGUACAUCCAUAGAAAAUGAAUAACACAUCCACUUAAUAUAUACAUUGAUACUCAAAUCCAGAUACAAAGCUUCUACACACCAAAAUACUCCAAAAUGUUUACAAAUCGAGUACAAUCAACCCUAGUCGGGUACUAGCGUGAGUACAUAUUCAAAAUUCAAAACAACUAGGCUAUGCUAGUCUGUACAUGUCUCAUGCCUCGCUCGUACCUCCUGUAAGAAAAACAAAUGGUGUGGAAUGAGCUAAAAGCCCAGUGAGGUUCCAAAUAACAAAUUGACCAUUUUGAAAGUACGAAUAUCAACGUAGCAAGUUAAUGGCAUCAAAAGUUCAUAAGAAUGAACAAUAAUAUUUCAAGUAGCAAAUCUCAAAGUGAGCGAGUGUAAAAGUUUUUCAAAAGAAAUAAUAAUCCAAUAAAUAAUAAUCAUUCCAACGUAUAAGGAUACGGAUGGCUCUCAGGAGCCAAAUUCCCAUCGCAUCACCAGAGUUUGAUCAAGUAAUAGUUGACACUCCGUCAACCUUCAAGUAAGUAACCAAUCCAGUAGAGCAUCACUUACACUACUCUCCGUCCACCAUUCACACCCCUUACUGGGCCCAAAAUCCUCAAUAAACACGGGUGGUAAUACUCAAGUAUACCGAUUAGUCGAGGAGAUAUCACUCCACUCGACAUAACUAACGACCCAUGGUUCGUUAUCUAAUCGACCAAGCCCUUGCCGGCUUGACUCAAUUAACUAGCCAAUGGGGUUUGGGGUCCCCAAAAGUCGAUGAGAUAACACUCCAAUCGACUAAAUUAAAAUAAAAGUACGGAGACGGGAAUGAGAGCCACCUCUCACUCGGAUUGAGUGUGGUACAUACUGCCGCUCCGCACUUACAAUUCAAGUACAAGUAUAUCAAGUUAAUUGCAACAAUUAACAAGUAUAGAUCAUGUUAGGGCAAGUGCGAUAAAGUACACUCUUGCCCAAUCAACAAAUUUCAUAUAAAUUAUGUACAAGUAUUGUGAACAAGUGUCCAGGUCAACCAGGUAUUUGGAAGCACUCACCCAAAAUGCGGUGCCUUUACGAGUUACGUUCGGGUAUUACUCCGUGUGCGGAGUCCAAAUCUGCGAUAAAACAUUGUUUAAGAAUUUUUAAAAGUAACUAAGGCUCGAAACUUAAACGUUCUGCUCAAUAAGAAUCAAGAAAUUGAAAUUCACUUGGAGAAUAUUAGUGAAACAGUCGCUCGCUUUUCAAACUAUAUAACUUUGUAACAUUAUACUUGGAAAUGUCAUUUGAGUCAAAAGUGCAAGGAAAACGUAUUCCGAGCAGUCAUUAUUUUAUUUCUCAAGGGUACAAGUUCAGCCAAGUCCUUACUGAUAGACCUCGAUAAAAGAAGAUGUAAUAUCUGUGAGGACUCGCAAAUUCCUUACAUAUUUCUCAAAAAAUUCCCUUUUAUUUGAAAAUUAUUUGGUAAUUAUUAUUUCAUGUUAUCCAUGGUUCAAUCACCCUAGAAAAGUGCCAAUGACCAUAGGAAAUUAGGAUUUUCCUAUUCGUUUUUAAUUCAAGGUGAAAUCGGAUUUUUCGUGUAACCGCAGUAUAAUUAUCCGGUACCGAGUAAGGAUCAAAUUUGGUGCUUAAGAGUGACUUUUAAGUGAGAAAUAAUAUGUGAAUGGAAGCAAUGAUAAAAAGUUAGUGAAUUGGAAGUAAAAACUCUAGUACGUGCAAUUUAAGAGAAAACGCGUCACACCGACGUGUACCGUGCACUACCGAUUGAACCACCACUUGACCACCACUUUCUUGCCAUACAAGUUUAUUACUAAUGGAGCAAAAUAUCUCCUCUCUCAUGAUGACAUCUUGGCCGAAAUUAAAGGGCUAAAAUGCAAGGAAGGAAAGAGAAAAUUUUUGUGGUGGAAAUCAAGCCAAGUGUUGGCUAAACUUGUGGACACAAUUUGUUCUAAUCUUCUUGUCUUCUUAUAAGACCAAUUAAGCUUCAUUCUUCCCCAAUUUUCUGCUGCAUAGCCGAGCUAGGAGAGAGAGGAAAGGGAGAGCAAGAGAAAACAAAAAUUUCUUCUUGAUUUGCACCAUCCAAGUGCAAGAAACAAAUUCUAAACCGAUUAAAGUGUGAAUUGUGAUCUUGGGAAGCUAGGGAAGCUAAAAUUUUCAAGAGGAAGUGAAGUGGUACUCUUGCAAGCUUUGUUUUUUGAGGUAUGUGCUGCCUAUACUUGCUAUAUGGAUGAUCUAUGUUGUAUCUAAGCUUAGAUAAGUGGUUGUAGUGAUGAUGGGAGCAAGAAAUCAAGAAAGGUUCCAUUAACAAUCAAAAAAAUUCCAGAUUUCUGGAAAUUUCUUUCCCUUUUCUGUCCGGUUUUGUUGCCUCAUUCUAGAGGCCGAAUUGGCCUUAGGUCAAAACAUGAAAGUUGUAGAGAAUGGUAUUUUAUAGUUACCGACAAAAUUUCAGCUCAAUCGGAGCAAUGUAGCUUAUGAAAAGAUGAAACUACCCUCGCUGAUCUAGGUUACUUUCCAGAAUUCUGCGUGGACAGUUUAGUCUCUUUGGUUGUGUUUGUUCACUAUAAUCCGUUCAGAUUUAGCCAAUUAUCAAAACAUUAAAGUUUUAUUACCCUGUAUUAGCUUUUCAACGCCGCCAAGAACGUCUUAAACGGACCUCGGUAGACUGGGAUAUGGUCAUUUGAAUGCAGUGCGGUUAAUUAACCGACUAGUUGGAUUUUGGAUCUGUAAAGUGGGAAUUUGACUAGAUUGCAAUGUAAAUCUGACUAAGUCAUCUUCAUGAGAAUUGUAUAAAUUUGUCUUAGCUUCGAAACGGCAUAAGUUUCAUCCCAAUCCGAUAAGUGUAACUCCGGUUGUGACCGUUAUACAUGAACCCGUCAAAACUGUCUUUUGUCAAAUUGCAUUUCCGCACUUGUUAUUACUUUGAUUUUUGUUCUUAUAUUGUCUUGAGCCUAUGAAACGGCUAUUAUGAUGAGUUUGUGCUGUACAUGACUUUGGGAUUGGCUGCAAAAAAAUCAUGAAGCCAUAAAUGGCUGGAAAAUUAGGUAAACACAAAGGGCAUGCUGCCCAAAUUUCACCCGAAAGCUAAGUUCUAUUUGAACUUGUAUAAUACUAUGACCGUUUUUCCAUCUUAAAAACAUGAUCCCUCUUCAAUUGGAAACUCCAAAUGUUUACUUACUCUUACCAAAUAAAGAGGAGUAGUUUAGGAUUUUCUUGAGUAUUUUGUCCUCUCUUUUUCAUGAAUUUCAUUAAGACAAUUAGUCUAUAAUAUCUACUUGAAUAUGAGAUAAGUUUCAACCAUAUAAACGAUUCCGAAAACGGUAUUUCUUAGUCUAUCUAGUUGGAUUUUGACUUGUCUUUAGUUCAAGUGUUUCCAUUAGAAAAUUUUAUAACCCUUUUGAGUUUGGUUUUAUGUGUGGUCUAUGAAAUCCUAGUUAUUUUUGUCCACGGGUCCAAAUGUCCUCGUUCCACUUUAAAGUCUUUUUAUACGUUCUACUCAUCAUUUGUCGAGCUUCUUUGAUUGCACCUAAUUGUUUGUGAUAAAUGGGUGGUAAUAUUCUUUUCAUUUAAUCUUAGGUUUUCUCGGUGACUAAAGAUAAUAUCCGGAAGGAUAUUUUGCACGUUAUUGUGCGUAAAUAGGUGAGUGUUCUAUAUACCCGUUGUUUUCUGUGAUUAUGUGGAUUGUUGGGACUAUGUGAUUAUUUGUGAAAAUAUGAUUAAAUGUUAAUUGUUUUCUAUGAUCUCUAAAAUGAACUUUUGCAAGGUGAGUGUUCCAUAUAGGAAUACGUAAUUGAAUAAACCUAAGACAUGCUCGUUUCAUGACUAUUAUGUGUUAAGUACAUGGAUUAAGUAUUUACCAUACUCAUGCCUAUAUAAAUAAUGUAUACUUGCAUUGAAUAUCGAUAUGAAUUGGUUAAAUGAUUAACCAUAUCAAAUGACUAUACGAACUCGAUACAUGCUAUAUGAAGUUUUCCAUCAUUGUUAGGCGAGUGUGUACUUUACCUCACUCGACCUAUUCAAUUGAUGAAUUUUACCUUUUGUCGAAUUACUUGGUUACUUGUGCAUGUUGUAAGCUCUAAGCUGAACUUGGGCCCCGCCUCGGUUACUGACCUACUCGAGCCAGGACUGGGCUCGGUCAGGUAGGUUGGAACCCUGGACAACCGUCGGUAUACUCGAGUAUUACCACUGGAGGGAUAAGGUGAUGGCCAGUCAACCGUGGGGAUCCGGAAGUUAUAAGGUGCAGAGGACCGACAAAGUUCCACCGGAACACCGUAUCCUUCAGUAUAUGGUUACCGUGUAUCAUGAUAAUUGUUCCAUGCUAAAAUGCCAACAUGAAAUCAUGUGCUAUACCUGUGAUAUGCUCCAUACCUGUAAUAAGUCCCAACCACUCAUGAACUAUACAUAAGGUUUUCUGGAUUAAUUGUUAUUACAUGACUACUGUUCCUUGUUUAAUUACUUGUUUAUAUAUAUAGAACCUCACUGGGCUUUUUAGCUCAUACCAUGUCAAUUGUUUUCCUUAGCAGGGGAAGGCGAGCAAGGACGAGAGUUCUGUAUAGUCUAGUUGAUCUAAUUCUUUGGCCUUGUAAUGGUUCUCGCCCUAGUGCUUGGCACGGGCUGGUUGUAUGAGGAAUGAGAACCCUUGUAUAUUCGAUGUUUGUACUUGAAUGGUAAAAACUUUGAAGACUUCUGGUGUGUAGAAGUUUCUUAUCUUUUACUUGAGCAUCUAUUGUCUAUGGAUGUAUAUACAUGAUACGAGUGAGUGAGUCCUGGCGAGAGUUGGGCAGGCGACCCGCCGAACUCUUUGGUACGCCCUAGGGUGAGGUGGGGCCGUCACAAUAUCCUAGAUGGUUCAAGCAGUAAUCACUCUUAACCCUUACUCAAGUUGCAAGUAUGUCUACCUUGCCCUUGAACGUAAAUUUGGGCACGCCCAUUGUAUUUUCCUAUUUUCCAGCCAUUUAUGGUUUCAUUCUUUUCCUCAAUCAAGCCCAAAGUUACACACUAAACAAUCUCAUUCCAAUAGCCAUUCAAUAGGCUCAAGGUAAUACAAGUACAAAAUCAAAUUAAUGACAUGUGCGGAAAUGAGGUUUAGCAAAAGAUAGAUUUGACGUGUUUUUACGUAACGUACACAAUCGAAGCUACGCUUAUCAGAUUGGGAUGCAAUAUAUACCGUUUCGAAGCUAACACAAAGGGCUACAAUUUUGAUGAAGAUCACUUAAUCCAAAUUCCAGUGUAACCCAGUCAAAUUCCCAAUUCACAGAACCAAUUUCCAACUAAUAAACCAGUUAAUAAACCAGUUAACCGCACUACCUUCAAAUGGCCAUAUCUCAAGCUACCAAAGUCCGUUUAAGACGUUCUUGAAGGCGUUGAAAAGUAAGACAAAGUACUAAAACUUUAAUGUUUUAACUAAAAGCUAGUUCAGUACGUAUCCAGGUGAACAAAUGCAACCAACUUAGUGUACUGGCAAAACUGUUCGCUGAUUUUACUCCUAGGGCAGUCAAGGUAUUUUCAUCUUUUCAUUGGCUACAUUGCUCCAAUUGAGGUGAAAUUUUGUAGGCAACCAUAAAAUACAUUAUCUAUAACUUUCAUGUUUUGUGCCAAGCUUGAUUCAGCCUCUAACAUGAUAAAAUAGAAUCAGGCAGAACUGAAGCUAAAUUUUCCAGAAAUCUGGAAUUUUGCUAUAUUCAAGCUAUAAUUCACAUUUUUACCUUGAAACUACCACUAAUUUCACCUUCACAAGAUCAUAUACCAUAUAUAUACAUCAUACCACAACUAACCCACAAGAAACCUGAUGCGAGACGCGGAAGCAACUUCGGAUCUAGAGGAACACGAUGAAGAUUGGAAGGAGUUGAACCUGAACUUGGACCACUCAAGAACAGAUUUAACGGUAGAGGACGCCACAAUCAAGUAUGUGUGCUUGAUUGAUAAGUCAAGAACAGCCUAGGAUCAACUCUAGGAUGUUCAACUUAGCUUUCACAAGCUAAGGGAAUUUGCCACAAGGAAUGGACGAAAUUCUGGAAAUUUUAUUCAAUACUCUCAAAAAACUGAAUGUAACAUGCGGCUUGAGGCUAUUAAUAGCCGUGACUAAGACCUAAUAAACUGGAAAAAUAACAAGGAAAGUUCGGCCAGCCCCUUGGGCCUUCACUUGACCGAAAGCUAGCCCAACUAACUAUAGAUCAUAGGCCUCGGGGGCGUUGCCCCCGAACCCCCACCGGGGGCUUCGCUGCGCCCCCGGGCCCCCAAGCCAGGGGCGCGUCGCCCCCUUGGACCCCCGACUCGCUGACCGGUCAGCGAGAUUGAUGCGAUUGAGCACGAGACCCAAAGUGUACAAGUAGACCCUGUGAAGGUGCCCCUAGGGCCGGUGACACGAGCACGAGCUAAGAGAUUCAAGGAGUCCCUCCAAGCCUUGGUACGUGCCAUCCAAAUCCAAGAGAAACCGGCCAUUGAAGGAAUUGAGUUGGAAUAUCCUUGCACGACUACUAAAAUGCUGCUUACAAUUGAAGAUGCAAGUGUUCAAGCUCCAAAUAGCGGGCCAAGCUGAAGUUAAGUACCCUCGCUGAGCCGUACGGGGAUCUCGCUGUUACAUUCAGUUUUUGAGAGUAUUGAAUAAAAUUUCCAGAAUUUCGUCCAUUCCUUGUGACAAAUUCCCUUAGCUUGUGAAAGCUAAGUUGAACAUCCUAGAGUUGAUCCUAGGCUGUUCUUGACUUAUCAAUCAAGUACACAUACUUGAUUGUGGCGUCCUCUACCGUUAAAUCUGUUCUUGAGUGGUCCAAGUUCAGAUUCAACUCCAUCAAAUCUUCAUCGUGUUCCUCUAGAUCCGAAGUAGCUUCCGCGUCUCGCAUCAGAGAUCCCCGUACGGCUCAGCGAGGGUACUUAACUGCAGCUUAGCCCGCUAUCUGGAGCUUGAACACUUGCAUCUUCAAUUGUAAGCAGCAUUUUAGUAGUCGUGCAAGGAUAUUCCAACUCAAUUCCUUCAAUGGCCGGUUUAUCUUGGAUUUGGAUGGCACGUACCAAGGCUUGGAGGGACUCCUUGAAUCUCUUAGCUCGUGCUCGUGUCACCGGGCCUAGGGGCACCUUCACAGGGUCUACUUGUACACUUUGGGUCUCGUGCUCAAUCGCAUCAUUCCCCUCUUCUUGAAAAGGAUUUGCCCUCAAAUCGUACUCGUCCCCUGCAAUAAAUGGAUUUAGAUCAGCAACAUUGAAUGUAGCACUAAUAUUGUACUCACCAGGCAGAUCUAAGCGGUAUGCAUUGUCGUUGAUGCGCUCAAUGACUUGAAAAGGCCCAUCUCCUCUUGGUGACAGCUUGCUUUUCCGUUGGUUUGGAAAUCUCUCCUUGCGCAAAUGUAACCAGACCCAAUCACCUGGUUCAAAGACAAGCUUGCGCCUGUGCUUAUUAGCUUGUUGGACAUAUUGGGCCGUCCUCCUCUCGAUAUUGGUACGAACCUUGUCAUGUAAUGAUCUCACGAACUCAGCAUUCUUCUUGCCAUCUAAGUUCAUAUGCUCAGAAGAAGGUAAUGGCAACAAAUCUAAGGGAGUUAAGGGGUUCAAACCAUACACAACUUCAAAAGGCGAGAAUUGUGUAGCACUAUGCACAGCCCUAUUGUAUGCAAACUCAACAUGAGGUAGACACUCCUCCCAUGACUUGAUAUUUUUCUUUAUGAUUGCAUGUAGGAGUGUGGAUAAAGUCCUAUUGACUACCUCAGUUUGUCCGUCCGUUUGAGGAUGACUAGAGGUAGAGAACAACAGUUUGGUUCCCAACCGACCCCAUAAAGAUUUCCAAAAAUAGCUCAAAAACUUGACAUCUCUAUCAGAUACUAUAGUCCUAGGUAUGCCAUGCAAACGAACAACCUCUUUAAAGAAUAAAUCAGCAAUGUGUAAAGCAUCAUCCGUCUUAUGACAUGCAACAAAGUGAGCCAUUUUGGAGAACCUAUCUACCACAACAAAUAUAGAGUCAUGGCCACGCUUUGAACGAGGUAACCCAAGCACGAAAUCCAUGGAAAUGUCAACCCAAGGUUGGUGAGGUAUGGGUAAAGGAGUAUACAAACCGUUUGGGUUGACCCGAGACUUAGCUUUGUGGCACACGCCACAUCUUUCAACAAUCCUCUCCACGUCCUUGCGCAUGCGAGGCCAAUGGAAGUGUUCCUGUAAUACAGCUAAUGUCUUGGUGACACCAAAGUGUCCCAUUAGUCCACCACUAUGUGACUCCUGAAUAAGUAAGUUACGUAUGGACCCUCGACCAACUUGGUAAGAUAAAAUAAGAACCCAUCAUGUACGAAGAAUUUUUCAAAGUCAGAUUUUCCCCAAUUCGCAUAAGCGUUCGCAAAAUCCAAGUCAUUCUUAUACAACUCCUUCAUGAGUUCAAAGCCUAGGAGUUUAGCAUCUAAAGCAGUGAGCAAAAUGUGUCUACGAGAUAAAGCGUCAGCUACGACAUUAGAUUUACCUGUUUUGUAUUUGAUGACGUAUGGAAAAGACUCAAUGAAGGCUACCCAUCGGGCAUGUCGUUUGCUCAGCUUUUGUUGUCCUUUUAGGUGCUUGAGAGACUCAUGGUCAGUUUUGAUGACGAAUUCCCGUGCACGUAGGUAGUGUUGCCAUGUCUCCAAAGCACGUACAAGGGCAAACAUCUCCUUGUCAUAAGUUGAAUAGUUGAGGACCGCGCCAUUUAAUUUCUCACUAAAGUAGGCAAUCGGUCUCCCUCCUUGCAUGAGUACGGCUCCUACUCCUACACCUGAUGCAUCACAUUCCACUUCAAAAGUGAGAUCAAAGUUAGGUAUUGCAAGGAGUGGUGCAUGUGUGAGUUUGUGUUUCAGCAAUUGGAAAGCCUUAUCUUGGGCUUCCCCCCAAAAGAACUUCUCGUUCUUCUUUAUGACUGCGGUAAGAGGUGCAGCGAUGGUGCUAAAAUCCUUCACAAAACGACGGUAGAAGCUUGCUAAUCCAUGAAAGCUGCGCACAUCACUUACUGAGGUAGGUGUUGGCCACUCUUGGAUGGACUUAAUCUUCUCUUCAUCUACAUGAAUGCCCUGCGCACUUACAACAUAUCCUAGAAACACAACACGAUCAGUGCAAAAUGUGCACUUCUUAAGGUUGGCAUAUAGCCUUUCCCUUCGAAGUACUUCAAAGAUGGCUUUGAGGUGCUCAAGGUGUUCCUCUAAGCUUCUGCUAUAAAUCAGAAUAUCAUCAAAGUAAACCACUACAAAUUUCCCAAGAAAAGGUCUCAAAACAUGGUUCAUUAAACGCAUGAAGGUACUAGGUGCAUUAGUUAAACCAAAUGGCAUUACUAACCACUCGUAUAGACCAUGUUUAGUUUUGAAAGCGGUUUUCCACUCAUCUCCCUCUUUCAUUCUUAUUUGGUGGUAACCACUUUUCAAAUCAAUUUUAGUAAAUAUAAUGGCACCAUGCAAUUCAUCUAACAUAUCAUCUAACCUAGGGAUAGGGUGACGAUAUUUUACCGUGAUUGCAUUGACUGCUCGACAGUCGGUGCACAUUCUCCACGCUCCAUCUUUCUUUGGCACGAGAAUCACUGGUACAGCUCAUGGACUUAGACUUUCUCUAGCCCAACCUUUCCUUAGCAAUUCCUCCACUUGCCUUUGCAAUUCCUUUGUUUCCUCAGGACCCAUUCUAUAGGCUGGUUUGUUAGGCAAUGGUGCUCCAGGAAUGAGAUCGAUUUGGUGCUCGAUUCCCCUUAGUGGUGGUAGUCCAUCAGGUACAUCCUCAGGAAAUAUGUCCUCAAAUUCCUGCAAGAGAGGUAAAAUAGUAGAAGGUAAGGAGUCAGUGGAUAUGGAUGAAGUGACCAACUUUUCUUUGCACACAAGCAUAAGUAAGAGUUGGUUGGAAGACAAAGCUCGCCUUACAUCUUUGGCUUUUGCUAGCAAGCUUAGCUUCCCCUUAUUUUCUUCUCUCAUAGCCGACCCACUUGUUGCCUUUUUCUUCCCUAGGGGUUCGGCCCUUCUCUCUCCUUUUUCUUCCUCACUUUUCUCUCGCUUUUUCCUCUCAAGUUCUAGCUCAUACUCCUUUUGGAGCCUCAUUUGAUCUUCAUACACUUGUUUUGGGGUGAGAGGUACAAGUGUCACCUUUCUAUUGCAAUGAGUAAAGACAUAUUUAUUAGCUCUUCCCUUGAAUUCAACAUCGCGAUCAUAUUGCCAAGGCCGUCCAAGAAUGAGGUGACUUGCUUGCAUUGGCACGACAUCACAAGUAAUCUCGUCUUCAUACUUGCCAAUUCGGAAUGGCACUUUCACUUGUCUAAACACACGUAUUUCCCCUUCAUUGUUCAACCAUUGAAGGCGAUAAGGUCUUGGAUGUUUGAUAACUUGGAACCCUAGCAUUUCUACCAUGAGUAGACUAGCGACAUUGGCACAACUCCCACUAUCAAUAACAACACUACACACCUUAUCCUUGAUAUGACACCUUGUGUAGAAAAGGUUGUCCCGUUGUACCUCCAUUUCCUCCUCUUUGGCGCGAGUAGUGAGGACCUUUCGAACCACUAGGCAUCCAAUCUCCUCAUGCGUAGGUAUCUCCUCACUCGAUUCAUUCUCUUCCUCUUCUAGAGGUGGCAUCCCCUCGUACUCCUCUUCCUCAUCUGAUACAAUUUCCCCAUUUGGCAACAUCAGCAUGGUCCUUUGGCUGGGGCAUUGAGAAGCGAUGUGGCCAAAUCCUUGACACUUAAAGCACUUGGUGAGACGGCCACGUGGUUUGGAAGCUGCAUUAUUAGCCUUAAAGUCAGGCUUGGGCGUCGCCUUGGAAGGGAGGCCAUUCGGCCUUGGAGGGUAAGAAGGAGCUGCGGCCUUCUCCUCCCUUUUUGGUUGAGAAGUGUGCCAAUUUCCAGCUUGAUAAGUAGUGCUUUGUCGUGCAGUACCCCUCCUCUUGAGGCGCCGUUCAAUUGUAACCGCCUUCUCUAGCAUUUCAUUCAUGUCGAGGUAGUGUUGGAGUUCCACUACUUCAGCAAUCUCGGGCCUCAAUCCAUGUAGAAAACGAGCCAUCGUGGCCUCUCCAUCUUCACGCAAAUCCGCCUUCAUGAUGGCCAUUUCCAUCUCCUUGUAAUAAUCCUCAACUGACAUGGACCCUUGGUUGAGAGCUUGUAGCCGACGAUGUAGAUCUCGGCUAUAGUAGCUCGGAACGAAUCUUUUUCUCAUCAGACUCCUCAUUUCCUCCCAAGUUUCCACAGGUCUCUCACGAUUUCUCCUUCGGCUUAGUCUAAGUUGGUCCCACCAAAUGGAGGCGUAGUCAGUGAAUUCUACGGCUGCUAGUUUCACCUUUUGCUCCUCCGUAUAGGUGUGGCAUUCAUAGACUAACUCAAUUUUCCGUUCCCACUCCAAGUACGCCUCGGGGUCCGACUUGCCUUGGAAUGAGGGAAUCUUGAGUUUGACACCUUUAAUGGUGUCAUCUCCUCGACGUUGGAACCUUUGAUCAUUUUGGUACCUUCCCUCAAACGCUUCCUCUUCAUCGUUUGAGCGUGCCGAUUCUUUGCCCUUACUCGGGGUAGGUGGAGGUCUCGAGUUCUCCAACUGAUCAAUUCGAUCAUGCAAUGGCUCAAUUUCAUUCUUAAGCAAUCGUUUGAACUCCCUCAUCAUGGCUUCCAACUGUAGUUUGAUGUCCAUGGUUUGUUCACCAACUUCACUAGACAUAUUUAGUCCACCUGCAAAACAAAUAAACAAAACGAGUUCCUCUUUUUUUUUUUUUAAUACAAUGUAUAGGUCACUCACACUCGUGUUUCACUCAAGUGUAUCACUCUCUAAUAAUCUUACCAAGCAAUUCCUUGGCUUGCUAGUUGCUCGAGUUGAACAAACCAGGCGUCACCGUAGUGUACGUUCUUGACUAGUCAACAAGUGACACACAAGCUAGUAGCAAUAAAUGGAGGUUAAUGACUAAGACCUAGACACGACUCAAGACUCAGAAUAUAGCUGGACAAUAACUAACAACUCAAAAGCUGUUUUCUUCUGCACAACAGCUCAUCAAGGGGGUUUUGCCACGUAAUGGGCUAGUCAAUCUUGUUUCGAAAAGGGAAAUUAGAGGAGUGGUGUUGAGUUUGCAUGGUUGGGUCCAAAAAAUUCUUGAGCUGGUCGAAUGUUUGCUGAAAAGAAACAAUUCAGGAUUGUCGAACCUUUUUGCAUAGAAUUUUCCAGCCUUUGCAUGAUUUUUCUUCUGUGUUUUGAUUUGUUUGAAUGUUGAAAUGGUAGGUUAUGAUGCUUAGAUUGGUUUUGGGUGUUUGGGUCUAAAAAUACUUGAGAUGUGAUUGAAUGUUUGCUGGCCCAAUAGACAAUAAGCAGCCGAACCACUUUGCAUGAAAGUUUCCAAGAAGGUUGCAUCAGCUCUUGUUGUGAGAACCCGUAAUUUUUCCAAUUUCUAGGUUUUAUUAUAUUUCUAGGUUUUCUUAUUUUCAAUGAUUUCUUUUCUGCACUUUCUGUAUCCGGAAAAUUUUCUAGAUAAAUUUUAUGAGUAAAUAUAAUUUUUAGAUGAUUUUUCUAGUAUUGAAUAGGUUUUGAGAAAUUAAGAGUGAAUACCGGACGUGGGACCCACUAGUGCGAAAUGUUCGGCAAUUUUCGGCCAGCUAGGUUAAGUUUUGGAUACAGGAUUUAAUUUACCAGGUGUUAAGGGAUAAGUAGAGGAUGUUAUUUGGAUUGGUGUGAGAGGGAACAAAGAGAUAGAGAUUCAUUAAUUAGGUGACAAGUGUCACCAUUUGAUUGGAUUGACUUGUAUGACCACUAUUCAUGUCUUUACCAAAUUAAUAUCAAAAUUGACCAAAAAUUUCCUUAUUUUCUUCUCUCCUUGGCCGAUUCUCUUCAAGCAACAAAAGGGAAAGAAAAACUCUCCAAACUCUUGCUUCAAUCUUGCUCAAAUUCAACCAAUCAACCGUUUAAUCUUGUUUUUGUACCAUAGAAACCCUUAAGGGAGUGAUAGUGAGUUGUUUUGUGAAGUAAUUUGGAAGAUUUAAGUGCAAGGUUGCUCCAUUCCUUUGGGUAUCAAGGUGAGUAGUGAAGAAACUCCUUUUCUCUUUCCAAUAAUGCUUAAUGAGCAACCUAAGUGAGUUAAAGUGAUGAUAUUUGGUGUUAUUUCAUGAUUUUGGUUGAGAUUGAUGACACUUUCUAUUUAAUUAGGAUUUUUCUGUUUUCAUAUGAUUAUUAUUAUGUGGUUAUGUAUGAUGAUUGGAAAUGAUAUUUGAGGAAGCUAGGAGGUGGAAAAAGUGAUUAAUUGCAAGAAAUUUCUGUUUUGGAAGAAAAUUGAAAAAAACUAGGGUUCCUUGUUCUUCAUUCUGUCCGAAAUUUUAGGUCCUAGUUAGAGGCCGAAUUGGCCUUGGCUUAAAACAUCAAAGUUGUAGGUAAUGACAUUUUAGAGGUGCCUACAAAAUUUCAGGUCAAUCGGAGUAGUGUAGAGUGAGAUAAGUCGAAAUUACUAUUGCUAUUCUGGUUUUACCCGAAAUCGAGAUUUGCGACAGUAAUUGGGUGUUUUGGUCUGAAUUACUUCCGAAUUGGUUGUUGAGGCCUUCUGAUGAAAUUUAGCCCUGUAUCUUAGCUUUCAGCGGUUUUGGAAUUUCUGGAUUCGGACUUGUAGAGCCUGAGUUAUGAUGUUUCCGCUAGAAUGCGUUUUGGUGAAUCUGUUUUACGUUUUUGAUGUGGUAUCUUGCAUUUUUGACCUGUUUGCACUCAAAAAUGGGUUGAGUGACCUUCUGUGAUGUUGUAGCCCUGUCUUUUAGCUUCGAAAUGGUGGGUCUUACACCUUCAUCCGAUAAUUCUAGGGCAUUUGGUGCCAUUACCGCAAAAAGAGGUCAAAAACUGUUUUUUCAAGGCCAAAGCUAAUUGCAUUUUCGAAUUUUCUGGUUUUCUCUAAUGUUUGUAUAUGUUUAUGGAACCCUAUUGGGUCAUAUUUGGCAUUGAUUUAUGAUUCGUUAUCGAGUCUCAUUGUACUUGUUUACAUGUUUUAAGGCUUACUCUUAUUCCGGUCAUUUCCUAGCUAACUUUUGUACUUGUACUACUUUGAGCCUAGUGAACGGCUUUUGGAAAAUGAGAUGAAUUUUGUGUGAGAUGUUGGAACUGAUUUGAGGAAAUAAUGAAGCCAUGAUGGCUGGAAAAUAGGUAAAAACAAGGGAUAUGCUGCCGAAAUUUUACUUGAAGGCUAGUUGGAUUUACUUGUGAUUUGAGCAAAGGGCUUUUGGGUUGUUUGCGCCUCGGUCUUCAUGUUACCUUUUCGUUUCCAAGAAAAUCAUGUUUUCCACCCUUGCAUUAGUAUUUAUUUGGCAAGGCGUACGACGUGUAGUCGAGCCUCACUUGUGCAUUCCGUUUACUCGAUUUUGGAUAUGAAACCUUCAAUUAGUUUACUUUGAUUAUUUUAGGGUUUCUUGGCGAUUAAGGCCAAUCUGAAGUGAAAACUUUUGAAGUUGAGCCGGUGAGUGUACCACUCCCCUCCAUUGCUGUUUAACUUGAUUUCUGCUCUGCAAUCUGUUUAAUUUGUUUGAGACGAGGGUGUACUUUAUCACACUCGUUCUCUUGUCUGUUCAUAUGUCAAUUUUGGUGUCAAUCUGAAUCUGUAUCUGUAUCUGAUAUCUGUAUCUGUAUCUGUUCGGACUUCGUUUGGAAACUUGUAACCAACGACCUUUCUGUGACCUAUGAGCUCAAAUCCUGUGGCUAAGUUAUUCGAGUCGGGCCGGCAAGGGCCUGGACGAUUAGAUAACGAACCACGGUAGUCUGUUCGGGGAUUUUUGGGUAUUGAGACCCUUGAUUCCGGUAUACUCGAGUAUUUACCAUUUCUGUUUCUGUUGAGGUGAGCGGGCCCGGUAAAGGGGUGUUUGGUGGACGGAAUUCGGUGUAAAGAGUGGUCUACGGACGCGUUGGUUCUAUAUACGUUGACGGAGAGUCAACUGGUUUGGAUCAAGUAUGCGCUGGAAAUUUGGCUCCUGAGAGCCACCCGUAUCCUUCUGAUUUGAAUCAUUGGUUCCUUUGCUUUACAUCUGGCAUGUGUACUUGAUUUGCUAAACGUGAAAUGCCAUGAUUUUAUUGCUAUCUGUUUGGUACCUCAUUGAGCGCAAGCUCACCCCUUUCUGUUCCCUUUUGUUUUCCUUACAGGAAAAUAAACACUUUUGGACUGGAUUUGACAAAAGGCUGCCAAAUUGAGCUAGUUGAACGUAUCUUUUGUAUAGCUCAUGUAUUAAAAUCCUAAAUAUACUUUUCGGGCGUUUUCUCUUUUGAUUUGGCAAACCGUGUAUAUAUAUUAACUUUUGAAAACUUUUGUAUGUCAUUUUGAUUUGUAAACGCUAAAGUUCAGAUGUGAAUGUUUGUUAGCUAUUUCGGUUGGGUUCUGACGGGUCGGUUACUAUUCAUGGCCAACUCCGGAUUUCAUUUUUUUUUAUUUUGGGUUAUUUUACCAUUUUGACUUGUUUACGCUCGUUUGUAAGUUCCGGAUUGCAAUAGAUAGCUCUAGUCUGCAUCGUUAGUCCUGGCGAGAGUUGGGCAGGCGACCCGCCAAACCCUCUGGUUCGCCUUAGGGAGAGGUGGGGCCGUCACACUUGUUAUGUUUCUUGCUUGUUAGCUGUUAAAGUUUUGGGCCUUGUGGUUUAGUUUCACACUAUGAUUUUGGUUAACAUUUUCUGUUUUGAACAAAGCUGUCCUUGUGGGUCUGAAAUCUGCGUUUGGAAAUGAAAGUCACAAUUAGUUUUAUUGCCAAAAGGCUUCACCCGUUGCCAAAGCUUCCAAAUUGCAGCAAUCUUCUUCCAUUUUGCAUAAAGGUUUGCAUAAUUUCCUGCCAUGUUUUGUUUGUUAGAUGUGGAAUUUGUUUGUUUUGCUGCUCAACACAAUGUUUGGAUAGAUGAAAGAGUUUUAGUCAAAGAUACUUGGAAUUUGCUUAUGAAAUGGAAAUGCAACCAGCGGUUGUUUUAAUUUCAGAAGAUGUUCAUUGCAGAAAAUUGUGUUUCCUACGUAUGCAUGCAUGGAGAUUUUUUUUGAAUUUUUGUUCUAACCCCUCAAGUCUCCUCUUGUGUCAUUAUGACCCAGAAAGUGGAAAAACUAAUCAAUUUGGUCCUUGUAAUUUUGCAGCAAUGCUACAAAGACUCAAUUGAGUUCUAAUUUCUUGCAAAUAGGUCUUAGAAUAAUUGAAUUUUGAGCCAUUACUUGACCUUUUCUUUGCCCUUGGACCCUUGAAGUUCCUAAAAAUGUUUAAUUAGGCUUGAGUGCUUGGUUAAUGUUCGCAUUUGAGUCCUUGGUAGCCUCAAUUUUUCAACUCGAUUGCUUGUUUGCUUUCAUUAACUACCAUGUUUUGUUUAGAUUGUACUCAAUGCAUGAAUUUGUGAACUUUGUGCCUAAAUGAGUUUGUGUUUACCUAUUUUCUUUAAUUUGCCUAAAUAAAUUGGUACCUUGACCUUUUCUUGCUCGUGGACCUUUUGUGACAGCCCACUUUCCCCUUAGGCGAACCAGAGGGUUCAGCGGACCGCCUGCCCAGCUCUCGCCGGGACUCAGUCGUUCACUCACACAAAUCAGAAAUAGAACCACAAGAAAGAGCAAAACUAGGAUCCAAAACUUACAACAAAACUUAUAUGCAUUGCUAUCUCAGAAAGAAGUAUAACCGCUGAGAAUACAAAAGUUCUCAAGUCACCAUACAACCAGCCGUGCCAAGCACUAGGGCGAGAACCAAAACAAAACCAAAACUAGACCCCGCCAGUCGAUACAGAGCUCUCGCCCCUGCUCGCCUUCCCCUGCUAAGGAAAACAAAACUAAAGGGGUGAGCUAAAAGUUCAGUGAGGUUCCGAACACAUAGGCAACAAGGAGUUCAAAGCAUUCAUUACAUGUUACCAAUAAUUCAAAUACAAAAGAAAGCAAUAAACACAUUCAUUAAAAGGAUACGUGCUCACAAGGAGCCAUUCGUUCAUUCAUUCGUUCAUUCCUUCUCCUUUCGUUCCCUUAUACCUUUAAUCAUUUGAAAAUGAAUUUGUAUAUAAGUAAAACCCUCAUUCAUUCAUUCGUUCACCAGGCUCCACCAACCUCCACCAACCUACAAGGUAAUACUCGAGUAUACCAAAACGUUCACCCAGAUCCCUAAUCGCCGACCGAGUCCGCUUCUGGCUUGAGACGACCGGUAACAAGGGCAAUGGCCAGUUCAGCCAAAAGGCUUACAUUCAUGCACAAAUAACAUUUCAAUCAUUCAAUCAUUGAAAAUUUCACAAUCGUUUAGGCCGAGUGCGAUAAAGUACACACUUGCCUAGAAAACUCGUUUUAACAAUCAUUGAAAGCAUAUAACAUGUUAUCAAUCAUUCAUACCAGCCAUAUAAUCAUGAAACAUAUCAAACAGGGAACACUCACUUAUACACGCAAAAUAACGUCCACUUCUCAAUCACCAAUGAAACCUAAAAGUAAACAAAGAACACAUUACAAUCCAUCUAGCAUGAUUUGGAUGAAAUCAAGGAUUACCCGACUACUCGCGAGUAAACGUAUAAAAUGACUUUUAAAGUGUCAAUAGAGCAUAUGGAUUCGUGGACGGAAAUUACUAGGGUUCAUAAACCAACCGUGAAACCAAACUCAAAAGGUUAUGAAAUUUCCGGCAGAAAACACUUUAACCAACGACAAAUCGAAAUCCAAUAAGGUAAGCUAAGAAGUAUUGUUUCCGGAAUCGUUUAUGUAGCUCAAAAUCAAUAGACUAUAUGCCUUGAUGAAAAUCAUGAAAAGGUGGCAAAACUAUCUCACUUUCACUCUUAAAACUUCACUUAAAAGUUAUUCACUUGUGGCCGAGAGAACCCUAGGUCAACCUUUAUAUUUUGGUAAAUAGUAAGUAAACGUUUGGAAUUUCAACCCAAAGAGAUAUUAGGUUUUAGACUGGUAAAAUGAUCAUUUUAUUUGUCAAGCGAAAAUAUACAAGUUCAAAUAGAAAUUUAGCCCUCGGCCACCUUUUGAAAGAGCGGUAACAUUUUCAGUAAAUACGUCCAAUUCGUCACAAAAUACAUUCACAAAAUCACUUUAACUUGCUCACAUUACAAGAAGAUAAACGGACGGCAUGUCCCUUGUGUUUACCAAUUUUCCAACCAUUAAUGGCUUCAUUAUUUUUCUCAAAUCAGUCCCAACAUCUCAUAUAGAAUAAUCUCAUUUCCAAAAGCCGUUCACUAGGCUUAAAGUCAUAUAAAUACAAAAAUCAAGCUAGAAACAUUUUCGGAUAAAAACAGUUUUUGACAUCAUUUUGUGGUUUUGGCACCAUUGGCGCUACGAUUAUCGGAUGGAGGUGCAAGACACACCGUUUCGAAGCUAACAGAUAGGGCUACAAUGUUGGAGAAGGCCACUCAGUCCAGUUUGUAGUGAAACUAGGUCGAAAUUGACAUAUAUGAAACCAGAAUCUCACAAACAGGUUGGCUAACCGCACAAUUGUUAAACAACAAUAACUCAGGCUACCGAAGUCCGAUUGAAGUAUAUCUUAUGGUGUUUCGAACCUAAAACACAACCCUACAUUUCUUAUGAAGAUCUCCAAGGCCAAAUCAUGCAUUUUCAUGAUCCAAAAUGGAAAACUACACCAAAACCAGAAUUCUGGGCGCGAAACAGGUUUCAUGAACAGUCAAGGGUAUUUCAGUUAUUUCACAUGAUACAGUGGUUAGAUCAAGCUGAAAUUUUGUAGGAAACUAUUUUAUACUAUUGGAUACAACUUUCAUGUUUUGGCCAAAAUCUAAUUCGGUAAGGAUCAUGGUGAAAAGUCCGGUAAGAUUGGGUGAAAAGACAACCCUGUUCGCUGAACUCCUACCUAAACCAGUCUGGGUAUUUCCGUCAUAUCUCAGGCUACCGAGCUCGGAUUGAGCUGAAAAUUUACAGGAAACUAGAAAACAUCAUUCCCUACAACUUGCAUGUUUUGUUCUAAGGCCAAUUCGGCCUCUAACCUGGUCGAACAGAAACGGGCAGAAAGGAAAAAAAAAUGGACCCUAAUAUGGAAAUUCAUGCAUUCAUGUGCCAAUCUUCCACAAAACAAUAUCUAAAACAACUAAAAACCACUAAUAAGCAAUUAAUUGAAGUAAAGAGGAAGUUUGUAAGCAAGGUACCUUGACACCUCAAGAAAGAUGAUAACUUAGGGUUUUUCUUUCACAAAUCCCUCCACUAAAAGCUUUAAUCCUCCUUAAUAAGUAACUUUGAUGGAGUAAUCUUCACUUUUAAUGGUUUGGAAAUCAAGAUUGGAGCAAGGGAUUGAAGUACAAGAUGAAGGAUUUCCUCUCUUUUCUCUCCUCAAAAUUUCAGCCAACAAGGUGAAAAAUGAAGAAACAUUUGGUCAAAAUGGAUGUUUAGUAAAGUUAAGAAAAGUUAGUCAAAGUCCCCAUCCAAUGGUUUCAUGACACUUGUCCCUCUCAUUAAUAUCAUGCCUAACUUUUUUUUGUCUUUCUCACACCUAUCCACUUGGUACCUCUAAAUAUCUCAUAACACCCGGUAAAUUAAACCCAGUAUCCAAAACUUAACCUAACUAGCCGAAAUUUUCCGAAUUUUUCGCACUAGCGGGUCCCACGUUCGAUAUACGCUCUUAAUUUCUCAAAAACUAACCGAUACUAGAAAAAUCAUUUAAAAACUAUAUUUACUCAUAAAAUUGAUCUAGAAAAAUUUUCUAAUAAAGAAAAUGCAGAAAACGUGCAAUUAAGAAAAGUACGGGUCCUCACACCUUUUGAGUUCUAAAAUGUUUCAAUUGGCCUUGAUGGUUUGGUUAAUGGUUGAUAUUGGGUCCUUAGUCACCUUUAUAUUUUAGAAUUUGAUCAAUGAUUCCGUUUUCUUGGUCUUCAUGCAUUAUUUGAUAAUCUUUAAGUUGCAAUUGAGGAAGGAUUCGAUGAUUUGGUAGAUUCCGAUUGUCUUAUGCAUGUUUUACCAUUCAGUUGGUACAUUAAUCCUUUGUUUUGAUGGUUUUUUAGCCCAAGUUAUCCUUUUCUUUGGUGACUAUAGCCCAAGUUAAGUCUUGUCCACUUUAUUAGCACCACAAAAGGGAGAGGUAUAAUUUCUUUUAUCCUUUUUUUGUCUCUCCUAUGUGAUCCAACGUGCUACGUGAGAAUUGCAUGUCUACUUGCUUCCCUUGUUUUUCUUAAUUCCUUUCAUUUACUUCAUUUACUUUUACUUUCAUUAAGUUAUUCUUUUAUGGGGUAUGUGUACACCUCUUGGCUUGUAAUAGAUAGGGUUUGGCGAGCAUUCUUGUCCAUUCUUCCCUUUCCCCUUUUUGUUUUAGUUAGGAAAUGUAAUAGGUUCAUUAGCUUGGUUAUUUGCCUUUAUUGCUAUGUGUUAAUUUGCUUUAUUAGGUUUUUGCAUUUAGUCGAGCAUGCUAAGUGUUACGUGCUACGUGUUUAUGGGUGAUUCGCAUGUCUACUCGCUUUCUAUAGUCAUAGAUGAAUAUGAUGGAUGAAUGCAGGUCACCACACUAGUCCAACGCUAGUUGUGGCCCCCUUUUCCGUUACCACACUAGUCCAACGCUAGUUGUGGCUCAUUAUCCAUUUCCACUAGUCCAACGCUAGUAGGAAUUCAUAGAAAGGGCUAGUCCAACGCUAGAUCAAUAGGCCGUCCCCCUUUCGUUAGUGCAUAUUUGCAUGUUCACUACAUAUCAUGCAUUUUUUUUUAGUUUUAUCAUUUGUAUGUUCCUCGAACCCUUUUUCCCCUCAUUUUAGGUUUUUUGCAUCUCAUGCUAGUUAUAGGGUACAUUUACUUGAGAGUCCCCUUUCGAUAAGGGAAACGAGCGAGUUUGCCUACAAAAUAGCCUUAGCACGCUAGUUUUUCCUUCUAAUCCAAGGGAAAAUCAAAGUCGUAAAGUUAGGAGUCCUUCCCGUGCCCGACUUGAUGCAUUCCCUUAGGGUCAUACACUUGCAUUUUUUUUAUAUAUCUCCUCCUCACUCUUUAGCCACAUUUUCUCACUACUUACACUUUCUCACCACUUUCUUCCUAUCACUUAUUUAUUUUUCUAUCUCACAAAUGGCACCAAAUUGCACUUAUAUGUAUCUACUAUCCUAUUUUCAUUCAUUUACACACACAAACACCUUUAUUUUCUCACACUUGCACACUUACACUUGAGUCCUCACUUGCAUUAAUCACGACUUCUAUGAGAGCUUUCCUUAUUGGCCACCACAAUUCAUGUGGUUGGGACUUAAAAGCCUCAUGAGAAAUAUUUUAGGUUUAUGAUUGCAUUUUUCUUUCCUUUUUGCAUCCAUUAGUCCUAUCCAACAUGCGAUACAUACCUUGGGUAGAAUAAUUAGGAAAAGUGGGGUUAAGUCACGCAACUAGCUUUGGCUAGGGUAAGGGAGUGCCUUAGGCGUUGCCUUUGCCUUCUCCCUUAUCAAAUGUGACCCCCGAUCCCUUUCUUUGGUUACGAAAACCUAAAAGUUCUUUAAAAGGGUUUAUUUACUUUUUCGUUCAAAAACAAAAAUCAUUUUUUGGGUGACUUGGUACACCCUAACUCUAUACCAAGUGGCGACUCCAUUUUUCAUACAAAAACCCUUUUUGAACUUUAUUUGGCCAAACCGUCGCAUUUCACAAUCCCACGGCCUUUAUUUUCACUUUCACACAUGUUCACAUACAUAUCUCACACACCACACACACCAUAUGUCAAAAAGUGGGGUGCGACAGUCCUAUCACAUAUGUCCAAAUAGGGAAUGGUUUACAACAUAUGAACAGAUAGAUGGCAGAAAUGUCGUGAUGGCUAAUAGCACUGUCUGCAAGGCUGUUGGAAUCGGUUCGAUUAAGAUUAGGACACAUACUGGAAAAAUUGCCACACUGAACGAAGUUAGGCACGUCCCCAAAAUGAUGAAGAAUCUGAUAUUACUUAGUACUCUUGACAGUAAGGGUUUUAGGUUCAGCGGAGGAAGUGGAGAGUUGUGCAUCAGUAAAGGUUCAUUAGUGGUUCUCAAAGGAGUUAAGCAUGGCACCUUGUACAUCUUAGAAGGUUCUACGCUAACAGGUUCUGCUGCUGCUGCUGUUGCAUCUUCUGAAGAUCGCAGGUCUGAUAUGACCAAGUUGUGGCACAUUAGGCUAGGUCAUAUGAGCGAAAGGGGAUGCAGAUUCUGUCUAAACGUGAUCUUCUAGAAGGCCACAAGGUCACUGAUCUUGGAUUCUGUGAACAUUGUACUUUCGGUAAAUUACAUCGCAGAAAGUUUGGGAAGGCAAUUCACAGGACAAAAGACACACUGGAUUACAUCCAUUCUGACUGUUGGGGUCCUUCACGAGUUGAGUCUUUGGGAGGCUGUCGGUUUUUUUUAACCUUGAUUGAUGAUUAUUCAAGGAUGACUUGGGUAAUCGUUAUGAAGGAAAAAGGUGAAGCUUUCAAGAAUUUCAAGCAGUGGAAGGCCUUAGUGGAGAAUCAAACUGGAAAGAAGAUCAAAAAGCUGAGAACUGAUAAUGGUCUGGAAUUCUGUUCAAAGGAGUUCGAUGAGUUCUGCAAAGAUGAAGGAAUUACUCGGCAUCACACAGUUUGACACACACCACAACAAAAUGGUGUAGCAGAACGCAUGAAUCAGACACUUCUAGAGAGAGCACGGUGUAUGCUCUUCAAUACUGGUUUGCCAAGGAGGUUCUGGGCCAAAGCAGUGCGCACGGCCUGCUUCUUGAUCAAUCGUGCAUCUCAUACAGGUAUAGACUGCAAGAUACCUUAUGAAGUGUGGUCUAGUAUGUCUCCUACUUACUCAAAUUUGAAGGCUUUUGGUUGUACUGCGUAUUAUCAUAUCAGUGAGGGCAAACUAGAACCAAGGGCUAAAAAGGGAGUGUUUCUGGGAUAUGGAGAUGGGGUUAAAGGGUAUAGAAUCUGGUCACCCUCAGAAAAGAAAGUUAUACUUAGUAGAAAUGUAAUUUUUGAUGAAAACUCUAUACUUAACCCUCCUGUGAAGACUGUUGUUGAAGAAAGUGCAGGUGUUGAUAAACAGGUGGAGCUACAAAUCAUUCAAAAUGGUUUUGAAUCACAGCAGCAAUUUAGUGAUCGUCAACAGCUAUCCUGUGAAACUGAACCUCCUGCAGAAGUAGAGUCUCCAGAACCUACAUCAGAAGAAAGGUUGGCACCUAUAUCCUAUACUGUGUCAGAAACUCAGCAGCAUGGUAUUGCUUAUGAUCGUACGAGGAGAGUAGGAGUACAAGCUCCUAGCAGGUAUCGGGAUUUUGUAGGUUAUGCAUUUCAGGUUGUUGAGGAGGUGAAUUCUCCCGAGCCCUCUACCUAUAGAGAAGCUAUUUCAGGCAGUGAGUCAGCUCAAUGGCUUGCUGCAAUGGGUGAUGAAAUGGAGUCGUUACACAAGAACGGCACUUGGGAAUUGGUCAAACGGCCAGCAGAGAGAAAGGUUGUGACUUGCAAAUGGGUCUUUAAAAGGAAGGAAAGGAUUUCUCCAGCUGAGGGCAUUAAGUAUAAAGCAUGUGUUGUUGCAAAAGGGUUCAUUCAAAGAGAAGGAGUAGACUACAAUGAGAUUUUCUCACCAGUGGUCAGACACACUUCUAUCAGGGUGCUACUAGCAAUGGUUGCACAUCAGGACUUAGAACUUGAACAGCUAGACGUGAAGACAGCUUUCCUACAUGGAGAGUUAGAUGAAAAGAUUUAUAUGACUCAGCCAGAUGGAUUCUAUGUUCCGGGAAAAAAUGAUUAUGUAUGCAAGUUGAAGAAAUCCUUGUAUGGAUUAAAGCAGUCCCCAAGGCAGUGGUACAAAAGAUUUGAUGGCUACAUGAUUGAGCUAGGCUACAACAGAAGUCAGUAUGAUUGUUGUGUAUAUCACAACAAACUUGAAGAUGGUUCGAUGAUCUAUUUGAUUUUGUAUGUAGAUGAUAUGCUCAUAGCUGCGAGGAACAAAGCUGAUAUACAGAAGUUGAAAAGUCUUCUCAGUGCAGAGUUUGAGAUGAAAGACUUGGGUGCAGCAUAGAAAAUUUUGGGAAUGGAGAUUUUCAGGGAUAGAAGUAAGAAGAAACUUUUCUUAUCACAAAAGAGUUAUAUUGAGAAGGUACUAUCCAGAUUUGGCAUAUCUACAUCAAAACCCUUGAGUACUCCGAGUGUAGCGAAUGCUCAACUAUCAAUUACACUCGCACCACAGUCAGAAGCUGAGAUAGAGUAUAUGGCUAAGGUUCUCUAUUCUAGUGCAGUGGGUAGUUUGAUGUAUGCUAUGGUCUGCACUAGACCUGAUCUGGCACAUGCAGUCAGUGUUGUUAGCAAAUUUAUGGGUAAUCCUGGGAAGGAGCACUGGCUGGCUGUGAAGCGAUUUUUUUGGUACUUGAGGGGUACAUCUGACAUUGGUCUCAUCUAUGGAGGUGAUACAGAGUGUUUGGUUAUAGGCUAUUUAGAUUCUGAUUAUGCUGGAGAUGUUGAUAGUAGGAGGUUGAUGACUGGUUAUGUUUUCACUCUUGGGCAUGCUGUAGUUAGUUGGAAAGCAACUCUACAACCUACAGUGACUCUGUCCACUACUGAGGCAGAGUAUAUGGCACUGACAGAGGCUGCUAAACAGGGAAUUUGGUUAAAGGGGCUGGUUGGAAAUCUUGGCCUACAUCAGGAUCAGGCAAAUAUAUAUUGUGAUAGUCUCAGUGCAAUAUGUCUAGCCAAGGAUCAAGUUCAUCAUGAGAGAACUAAACACAUUGAUGUCCGAUAUCACUUCUUGAGAUCUGAGACAAGGAUCAAGGUGAAGAAAAUUGGCACUGCUGACAAUCCUGCUGAUAUGUUCACCAAGCCGGUCCCUCAUAGCAAGUUCAAACAUUGUUUGGAUUUGCUAAAUGUCCUAAGUUUCUGAUGGCCCUUUAUGGGCAUUCUGAUGGUAUUUAGAGAUAAUUCUCUGAGUACAUCUGGCACUUCAUUGGUGCGUCUGUUACAUCUUUUUCGGGGAAGAUUCAAGUCAAGGUGGAGAUUUAUUGAGAUGUCUUGAAUUAGAUCUUCGACCUUCGCUGAGCUGUACGGGGGUCUCGCUGAGCUUACGGUAUAUAUUAGUUACCAUGUCUGUUUUAUUUCGGGUCUUGUUUUGGGCCUAUUUUUAGGUCCAGUCUAUUUGGUUGUAUAUAUAUACACUUUAUUUUAGUCUGUAAACUAUUCCGAUUACAACCCCAAUAAAAUCUGAUUUCCCCCAAAUUGUUCUUGUUUAUUCUUGUUUGUUCUUCUGUUCCGCUGCAUCUGUUAUAACAUUCUUCAACAAAGAUUUUAAGCAAACAAGUUCUUCUUGGAUUCUUUGAACUGGAUAAUUAACAAGAGCAUUUGAACUGGUCUUAGAACUCGUCAAAUCCACCAUACUUUCUAGAAGAAAAUCAAUAAAGCCCAACUCAUUGGUCCUAGGAAAGUAGGAUGAUGUCGUUUCUGGACAUUUUUCUGCAACUGCUGCCUUGAUAUGGUUAAUAUUUUCAAGCAAAUCAAAAGAUGCAAGAUCCAUUUCCUAGACCAAUCCAUCUUUCAUGGCAUGCAGAGAAAGAUGAAGUACAAGACAUCCUGCAUCACAGACCACGAUCCGAGUAAGAUCUCUCAUUUCCUCAUCAAACUUCUUUGGCUUCUCCUUGAGAAUGCUUCUCACGGAUCUUAUUCCAUCGUAGAUCAUUUGCAGUUGAUCCUUCAGAGAAGUCAUACAAAAUACAGUAUCAGACCAGUAUAUCUUCCAAAGAUUGAAUAGGAGGGAACUGAUGAAGUCCCUUACUGCAUCCUCACAAUCGUCCCCGUAUGAGAGUCCAGGUGACUUUGAAGCAGUCGGCCUGGAUGCAAGUUGCAUGGACAUGGGGCUCUACGGGAAUAAUAUUUUGCAGCAGUACCGACACGCCUUUCUGGAUUUUCUCGCACAGUUCGUAUUGGUAAAUAAACCGAUGCUUAAAAGAGAGGCAUGCUGCGUUGACAGUCACAGCUUGGAUGUGACUCAGUAAAGGUCCCAAUAGCUUCUCUUCAAUGCCACACAGCGUGACAAAACACAUGAAGUUUUUCAAGAGUUUUAGCUUCUCUUCAAGGCCUUCGAAUAGUUUUACUACAUCCUGACCUCCAGAUUCUCACCGCCUAAAUAUAAAUAGAAAAUUCUCUCUUAGGAAGUCAGAAAAAGCUACUAAAAUCUCAAGAACAGAGUCCAGGAAUUCCAUAAGGUCGUCUUUUUUAACUGGCGAAUUAGAUGACUGCUUCGAUGAAAUCUAAGAAAAUGGCAUACCAUUCGUAGAUUUUCCGAUUCAAAGAUCUGACGUCAUUUCCUAAUGCAAAGGCCGAAUAGAAAGGUCCAUCAAUAUAUGGGUCUUUCACAGCAGCAAAAUCAAUAGAGUUAAUCUUUGGUCCCCAUUUGGAAAUGGCAUCUUCAAUCCUGAGUACCAGAGCUCCUAGACUUGCAUGAUGAAUAUCUACAUUGUGGUCAGAUGCCAAAUUCACAUAAUUGUUGCCCCACUUUUUGGCAUACAGGAGAAAUAUUCUCAGAAAUCUUAGCCCAUCUAUUAGAUUUCUCAAAUCACGCGCCUUGUCAUCAGGACAAAACUUCAUCAUCGACUGCAGAUUAUCCAACUAAGGUUGAAUAAGGACAAGUGCUACUACUGGAGGCCAUCUAAUCAAAGGAAGAUGAACGAAAGAAACAAGAGUGAAUCGCACAGUCAAAUGCUCUGCUCUUUUGCUACACAGAGAUUGCAAAAUGCUAGUAUAUACUUCACUACUGGAUAUAUCAAAUUAAUUAAUGGAGUGUGUAAUAGAAAAAGAAAAGGUCUAUGGAUAUUUCCUGAAAGAUGAAAGAAGUCUCUUUUAGGAAACCAGUAGUAUGCGCACUUGAUGAUAUUACCAGUAGUAUGCGCACUUGAUGAUAUUACCUGGAAAGAUGAAAAAGUUUUUCAGAAAAAUGACUCAAUUGCAAAAGCGUUUCACAUUUGGAACAAAGACCGCAAGCAACAAAGCAUCAGACAUUGCCAACUCUUUCUAUGCGUUUUCAUGUCCUUUCGAUAAUAAACUAAUACAACAAGCACAUGGUGGUCCAACUUGUUCAUGUGAACUGAUCAGGGACACUAUUGACUAACAAAUGACAUAAAGAAAAGCAAAUUGUUUAGGUUACAACACAAAUUUUAUAAUUUCAUAUCAAGACAUACAUGCCCAAAUGAAAAGGAUAAACUACUAAUAACCCCAUAUAGUUUUGUAUAUUAUCACGUAACCUUCUAAAGUUCAAAAUAUUCACAUAACUCUAUUGCAUUUUUAUGCAAAGUGGAAGAUGAAUAGAAAGUACGGUCAAUUAUUACAGUUGAUCCAGAGAUGUUUUAAAAUACCUGUGAUCAAAUUAUAAUGUCCACUUAACUCUCUUCUGAUUUUGUAUAAAUAUCCACUUAAUCCCAUAUAGUUUCGCAUCCCUCCAAAUAAUCUUCCGGUUGUAAGGUGGUUAGAUUCUUGUUCUAUCCAUGUGUUUAAGGGAGGCGGAUGCUGGCAUUUCAACUAGCAAUGUUAGGAAUGUUAUUUUUCAUCCAAUUUUUACUUAGGAGUUGUGUAGAUAUAUCAAAAUGUUAGGAGUUGGGUUAAUAGUAAUUUCCUUAAUGCACGAGACCUUGCAUCUUUCCAUGAAAUUAGCAUUCACACGAUCAAAGUCAUCUAGAACUAGAAUAUAUAUAUAUAUAUAUAUAUAUAUAUUGAGAGAGCUAGAACUAGAAUAUUCGAUUCAGAUGCCUCAAGCUCAAUUAGGCAGCAUACGCAUUUCCACAAAACCAAAUGCUUUCACACUCAUCUAUAGAGAAUUUAAUACUUGCAUUGGGUUUCAUCUAUGGUGCAAAGCUGACUCAUCUAUGCAUGGUGGGAAGAGCGAUUAGGGGCAGGAGUGGUCAUUAGACCGCUCCUGAACGGUCUCCUCACAAGCACAAACGUGAGGCAAGAAAUGAUCCAUGUCAGGAAGCCUUAAGCAGGGGUAAAAAAUGACGCCGUUCCAAAAAAGAAAUUGUGACUUCCAAACGGGAUCAGACGGACCAAACGGAAGAGUUGAAAUUUUGAAAAUCAAGUUGAAAUUUUGAAAAUUUGAAUUAGCCACACAAAACAAAAUUGAGGGAAGAGAAUAGGCGUCCUGCUGAAGGUAGCAAUUGACAGAAAACUGGGUGGAGAGAGUUGGGGUAUGGUGUUGCGUGAAUAGUGAAGAAAGCAAACAAUGCAGUGAGAGUGUUGUAUGCAUUUUGAAGCUGGGUAUGAGAGUGUUAUAUCCAUUUUGAAUGUGGGCAAGGCAGGUGGCAAGGUAGAAGCAAACAGAGGAAAUUCAUGAUCUCACGAAGCCAGAUUUUGUCCUUCAACUUAAGAGCAGAAGCAACUGCGCUCUCCGAGUUUGGUGAAACAUAAAACGUAUUAGCAACCAAGGUAACGUGACUGAACCAUGUCAGCAACUGUGGCCAAUCAUUUGUCACCCAAUGCACAUCUGUUAAAUGAAGGAUAAAAUUAGAGUCACUAAAGACAUAAUAUAAAGAUUAUAGAAGAAUAGUGAAGUUAUACCGUAUGUGUGUAUGUGUGUGUGAGCAUUCAGCUUUUCAGUGAUGGACUAUAAUGGGAUAGUAGUUAUCCGAAGACCUAGGGAUAUGUAUUCAAGUAAAGCAUCGAGCAAAAUUAGGGAAAGAUGAGAGAAACAAAGUCACAUUUAACAAGUGAAUGAAUGUACAUCCUGUUGUAAAUUAGUUAUAGGUUAUAGCCACCGUAUUACAAUUAAUAUGAAUCAUUGUGCAUCCAGUAGUUGGUCCAUACUCAUCACGCAAUCUUAGUUUGCCCCUCUCUUGAUCAUGCAGUGUGUAUAAAAUGGAGGUGUAGAGUUGAAUGAGGUGAAACAGAGGAAAAGACAUAUAUGUGAAUAAUAAAUGGGUGUACCUGGUGUUGUAAGUGAAUUACAUGAUGUAAUUUAUAUAUUACAAUGAGUAGAAAAUGUUUGUUUGGCCCUCAAAUGUAGAAAUAGUAGAAAAUGCGGAGUUGGCUUAGACGGUUGUCAUUAACGAAUGACAUAAGGUCUAGUGAGCUAAGGAACCUAGAACCUAAAUAUAAUCACCAGAGUGGAUGUACAUACAAUUUAAAUAGGCUUAUAUCAUGUGACCAGCACAUUACAGUUUGUAUAACUUAGUGUACAGGGAGUUGUAUUUGUACAUAGAUAAUGCCGUUGUCUUAGAGUAAAAGUAAAGUGAUGUGAAUCAUUAAUCAUGUUGAUAAGUGUAAUAAUAGGAUUUGGUAUAUGAGAAUAUACAUUUAUGUUGUCGUUUAUGUACAUAUUACUCAUGAAGUGUUGCAAAUUAGGGUGUUUGAUGCAUAAUUAGUAGGAGCAAAAGUAAUAGAUUGCAACAAAUUGGCAGAAGAUGGGACCCCUGAUUUAGGAAUGGAGUUCAACAGUAAAAAUGAUGCGUACAAGUUUUACAACAAAUAUGCCUUUAAAAUGAGUUUUAGUGUACACAAAAACUAUCUAAAUAAAAACAAAGACGGGGUGACCACGUUUAGGAGAUGUAGUUGCUGCAAGGAAGGUGUGAAGCGCAAGUACGAAAGUGAUGUGAUGCCAAAGAGGACACGAGUGCUGAUGAAAAUAGGGUGUGAAGCUAAAAUGGUUAUCGUGUUACUUAGAGGGACAAUGAAGUACCAUGUGCAUGACCUUGUCUUAGAGCAUAACCGUGAGUUGCACAUUGCUCAAUGUUCGCACAUGAUGCCAUCACAAAGAAAAGCGAGUGACCCUCAAGGAUUCCAAACUGAAAUAAGCGAGGAUGCUGGGUCAUUGAAACAGAGUCAUGAGUUUAUAAGAAAGGAGGCAGGUGGAAUGGGUAAUGUGGGAUAUACUUGGGAUGGCCUUAAAUGAUAUCUUCGUACGAGACGGGAAAGAAACUUGAAAUAUGGAGAAGCAGGUAGCAUGCUGAAUUAUUUUCAAGAGCAAAAACUCAAGAAUCCAUCCUUUUUUCAUGCUGUACAGCUGGAAUGUGACAGCAGAUAACGAAUAUCUUUUGGGCUGAUGCAGGAAUUGUCGCGCCCAAUUUUUAAUGAAAAAUAAAAUUACGAGUUUAUAUAAAAUGAAUUUUGAUUAAUUUUGAGUGAAAAAUGAGUUUUUGAUUUUUAGAAAAUAAAUAAAGAAAAAGGGCCUAAAAUGGGACUCAAAAAGUGCGAUGAUUUUGGCUCAAAAUAAUAGUUUAAAAAGGGUUCUAAGAAAAUAUAGGAGUCGCCACUUGGUAUUGAAUUAAGGUGUACCAAGUCACCUAAAAAUGAAUUUCAAAAUAAAUAAAUAAAAAAAGAGAAAACCCUUUUUCAACGACUCCAAGUUUUCAAAAAUCAGAAAAAAAGUUUGGGAGUCAUAGUUGAAAAAAGGGAAGGCAAGGAUAAAAUCCAAAGCACCCUUUCAAUCUAACCAAGGCUAGUUGCGUGAUUUAGCCAAAUAUUUUCUUAAUUUAACCUAAAAACUUAUCACAUUUGGAUGUUACUAUAUGAAUGCAAACUUAGACCUAAUGGUUAUCGAAAGGGUCAAUAUGUCUCUUCGAAUUUUAGUUUGUACAAAUCGCAUUAAUUGCGACUCCCAAAAGUGACUUUUUGAAGAGGUUACGAAUAUGUAAAAUAUGAGACUCGAAGAAAAGAAAAGAAAAUAAUAAUAUACAAAUAUAUAUGACCUAAAGGAAUGCAUCAUAACGGGUGCGGGGAAUUAAGAUUCGUAACUCAAUUUUCCCUUUUAUAGAGGGAAUACGAGCGUGCUAAGGUUAAGAAGCCAUACUCGUCCAUAUCCCAUAUUUAAAGGGUUAUUUUCUAAUCUAAUCAAGCAAAUGAUCUAACCUAUUUCUAAUUUUCCUUAAAUGAAAAUAUGCAAGUCUAAUGUCAUGUCUUAUAUGCAGGGAUAAGGAAUAUAUAUACAGGGAAAAUAUCAUGCAAAAAUGGUAAGGAUCCUAAAAAGUAGAAAACAUGCAUGAAAUGUAGUGAUUUGUCAUGCAAACAUGAUCUAGCGCAUGGUCGGUUCCGAGGGGUCUAGCGUUGGACUAACCCAUGUCUAUAAGUUCUCACUAGCGUUGGACUAGUGAGAAAUUAAAAAAAGAGCCACAACUAGCGUUGGACUAGUGUGGUGACGUUAUGCGUUUAUUAUAAUCAAAUAAAUCAUAUGAAACAUAAUAAAAGCAAAUAAACUCAUAAAUCACAUAUAGCGCAUAACACAUAAGCAUGAUAUCUAGAUGCAAAGACCUUAGGAAAGCGAGUAAACACAUAAAUCACACAAGCAUGCAAACACAUAAACAAAUGAAAGCGAAUAAAGACCUAACUAUUACAUUUAGGGGCCCUAACUACAAUCUAAAGGGGAAAGAAUGAAAUGAAAUGAAAUGAUAACCUAACUAUUACAAUUUGAUAAUUAAAUGCCUCUCAAAUAACUAAAAAUUAAAUUAAAAUAAAUAUACAAAUUAAAACAAAUGAAAUGAAUAAAUAAAUAGAUGAAAUAAAAAUUCGAAAAAGCAUGCAAUUACACACGUAAAGUCACAUAGGAGCACGUAUGAUCAAGUAAAAUCAAAAUAAAGGAGUAGAGUGUACCUGCCUUGAAUUGGUGACCUAAUAAAAUUAAUUUUCUCUUAUUUACCUCCAACACAAAGAAAAUGGUUAAGGUACCACUUUAAUUAACAAAUAAUCAUAAGAGAUGGAAAUAACAUGAAAUUGAAUCAAUUAAAGUAUUUAAAUAAAAGUAAACAACCCAUAUUCAAGCAAUUUAAAACAAGUGGGGACUUGAUUGGAAGAAUUAAAGAAGUUUGAGGUCAAAUUAUUAUUAUUACAAAUAUUAAGAGUCUAAAUUAAAAUAAAAUAAAAUUAAGGGCUUAAGAUGAAACCUACCAAAACCAAAUGCUAAAAUUCACAAAAAUAAAUCAAAAUCCUCUCACCAAACCCCAAACAAAAUAUUACUCAUUCUAAAUCAUUUGUACAAAAAUCCAAAUCAAAAACUAUAAAUCUAUCAAAAAUUAUUAACCCUCAUAUUUCAUUCUAAAAUUCACAAAUAAUCUGUCCAAAAAUUACAUUAAAAAAAACAAAGAAAAAUAACAUUUUAAAUUUUAAAGGGACAAGAUUGAUAUUUUCAAUUUUCUGGGCCACAGAAGAAUUACUUAAAAAACCAGGGGUUAAAGUGUAAUUUUCGGAAAUGUUCAUGCAGCAUAGUCGAAGACUUCAUCGUCUUCGUUGGGUUUCUUUUUGCUGCAAUUUUUCUACCGCAACUUUGCGGCCAUUUUCUCAAGAGUUCAAGCCCAAAUGCCUGUGACUUAUAUACCAAAUUACAGACAAAAUCCAUCCCAAUAUCAUGCAAUGAGUUCUGACAAGAUAGAUUGCAAAACAAAUGGACUGAUUGCAGGUUAGGAAAAAAGAAAAACAGCAAGAAAACUGAAAAAAAAAAAAACAAGGCCCAGGAACAAGAAAGCAAAUAAAAGUGAAAUGAGUUGGGACAUUAUUUUGGAAUGAUACCUGAGGAAGCUUGUUUUUGAAUCGAAAUCCAAACAGGAAAGCACACGAAAGAGUUGUUGGAGUUGAUUCGUUGUAGCUUUCGACAUGUAACAGCGAAACGGGAUUAGCCACUUCAGGGUCAAAUUUGAUGGUUUUCCUGAUGUUUUUUCUCCGCGAUUUUUGAAUAAGAAUUUCUCUCCUGAUGUCGGACAGUAUGUAGCAAUCAACGGCUUGGUGAAUGACACCGAAUUGAUGAAGAAAAUCUUUUCUUAAGAAGGCUGGAUGAUCAGCUGUAGACACCAAAAAUUUCAUUUAUUUAAUUCUGUUUAGUUUUUAUUUUUAUUUUAGUUUUAUUGUAUUGAUUAAAUGAUAAUUAGUAUGUAUUUUUGCUUUUUUUAUAAAUUAGGUUCACAAUUUCUAUUUUUAAGGUAUUUUUUCAUUAAAUUUCUAAAAAAGGAAAAAUUCUCACAAAAAUUAAAAAUUUGUCUUUAAACCUUUUCAAAUUCAUUUUUUUAAGAUAAAUAAAAUUAAGCAAUGAGGAAUUAAUGUUUUUUUUAUUACUUAAAUUGUCUUUGGAAAACGUCAUAAAUAAAUAAAAAAAGAAGACAAGUGUAAUAUGGGUUAUUCGAUAAGUGUAUUAGGAGAUAGUAGCCAAGUGGGGCACAUGCAAUAGGGACAAGUGUCCCUUUAGUUCUUUAACAAUACAACACCUAGAAGGUGAGGUGUGGGACACUUGGAGGCCUAGGAUAAUUUGGAAGAAAAAAAAACCACAAAAAGAAAAUACAAAAGAAAAGGGUUGGCGGCUAGGGUUUGUGGGGGCUGAGAAAACUGAGAUAUGUAGAGAGAAAAACUAAGAGAGCUUGGGUGGAGAGUCUUCGGCUGAGUGAAGAAAGGGUGAAGAAAAACAGAAGGUGAGUUGGAGGGAAGCAAAAGGCAAAGGAAACAGGCAAGAAAGGGGCGACGGCAAGAAACCAGAGGGAAAAACUGAGAGACAGGAGAGGGGUAAGAGUGAAGCAAGGAAGAAAAUCUCGGACAGCUGAACAAAGGAGGGAGGAAACCAGUAGGAAAAGGAAGAAAGGAAGGAGUUUGGUGGCUGAGAAGGAAGAGCUAGGGCUACGGGAAAGAGCCAAGUAAGGAAGGAAACCAAAAAACUGAGGGAAGAAAGGAAAGAAAGAGAGCCGUGGGGAGCUGUGUGAAACCAAGCAAAGAAAAAGGAUGAGAGGUAGCUACAGGCUGAGGAAAAAGAUGGAGUAACAAGAGAGCUGGAGAGAGGAAAAGAAAGGACCUGGGUAAGAAAAGCUUUCGGCUAAGGGAGUAAGAAAGAAACAAGGAAGAGACCGGGAGAGUGAAAGGGAGAGAGAGGGAGGAACGGCUGAACAAGGAGGGUUUCUGCCUUCUGGACAGGGGAACCAAAGCAAAAGAGGGAAAAACUAGAGAGGAACCUGGGGAAAUUUGGGAAGGAGCUUUGGACGAGACCUUAACUUCUUUGCUUCACCAGACUUACGAAGUUUGCCCACUGACUUCACAUCACUUCACCAUCGAUUCAGUCUAUCAACUACUCGCAGGUAACGAAUACACCUUGAUUUAGCCAACUCAACCCUUUCUAUGAAGUUCGGUGAACCCUCGCAUGAGUUUUCUCGGUUAAUGCAUACUUCAUCUGUUAGCUCCCCUUUUUGUGAUCUCUUUUGAUUCAAAGAUCUGUGUUUUAAUGGCUAAAGAUUCACUAAAAGAGUAUUAGAAAUGGUUAGAUGUUAGAUCUUGAUGUCAUGGCCACAUAGUUGUCGAUUCUUGUUGGUCCCCCGGUUUGGUCUGUUUUUUUCAAAAGUCAGAGCCAAUUUCUUUUGCGGUUUUCUUCAUCCAAAUCUUCUCUGUUUGAUCUUCCAGAGUUGUGCACCAUAGUUGAGAUCAUGUCAAUUAAAUGGGUUGGAGUUUUGUCGGUUUUAGAUUGAUGAACUAAUGGGUUUUGUUUGAGUUUUGUAUGAGAAUACAUGUGUGGGAUGAACUGCAAGUUCGCAGCAGAAAAGGCUUCGUCCAGACUGCAUUUUUUCCGAAUAAAUGAUCAUGACUGUGGUUGACAAUGACUGUGAUUAUACUUUGUGAUGUUGUUGCGCUAUUGAUAGGUUUGGUGUCGGCUCCUUUGUUCAUUUAACGAGUAUCCGAAACUAUGAAUCCAAUUUAGAAGCCAUGAACACCUCUUGUGUUUAGUAAUCCGCAUAUGUAAUCAUCUCAACUCUUGUGUAUAUGAAGUCUGUAUAGUUGAUAAACUAAAAAGUUGUACUUUUGGUCCAUGUUUGUGCGUGUAAUCUGCGUCUAAGAACUCUUGGGGAUGUAAAGAAUGUGAUUUGGGUACGUGCAAUGGUGUUGUCUUGGCUUGAAAGUUUGAUACUCGCUUGGAUCUUGAUUCCAUCCGUGCGGCAUGAAAACCCAGCAACUGGUGGAAAGUUUUUCUUGAAUGAACCUAGAGUUGCUAGCUUUUUCCUCAUUCCAGAUUUUCCUCUCUCUUGUGUGCAUAACAUGGUGUCUUGAUGAUGAGUUUAUGAAAUGUAAUGAGAACUUGGAGGCCGAUCCUUGUUGUUGUUAAAGUUUUUUCUCGCUGCAUGAGGUUGCUGAGGUUUAAAAGCAUAAGAAAAGUUGCAGAAACUCUUCUUCUUCGUAGCUUGCCUGCAAAUCAAAAGAAAAAUUGCAUUUUAACCCCUCAAGUUUCCCUUUAUUUCGCUAUGGCCCAGAAAAUUAGAAAAUUUAAUCAAUUUUGUUCCUUUAAAAGGUUAUUUUUUCUUUGGUAUGUCUUAAUGUGUUUUUUGGACAGAUUGUUUAGGAAUUUUAGGAUAAAAUUUAGAGGUUUAAUAAUUUCUUGAUAGAUUGAUAGUUUUGAUUUGUUUCUUAGUAAAAUAAUUAGAAAUUUUGCGUGAUUUUGUUGUUUAACUAUAGCAAAUGGGUUUUCAUUCAUUUUGUGAAGUUUACCAUUUGAUUUUGAUAGGCUUCAUCUUAAUCUCUUUAUUUUAUUUUAUUUUAAUUUAAACCCCUUAAUAUUUGCAAUAAUAAUGACUUGACCCCUCAAACUUCUUUAAUUCUUUCAAUUGGGUCCUCAUUUGUUUUAAUUUGUUCACUAUAGAUUGUUUAUUUUAUUUGGAUACUUUGAGUGAUUCAAUUUCAUGUUUAUUUCAUAUGAUUAUUUGCUAAUUAAAGUGAUGCCUUGACCCUUUUUAUUUUUUUGCAGGAUAUAUAAGAAAAUCUUUUAUCUCAUUUAGUCACCAAUUCAAGAGAGGUACAUUCUACUCCUUUAUUUUGAUUUAUUUGAUAUUGUGUACUCCUGUGUGACUCUAUGUGUGAAAUUGCAUGUUUUUAUUUAUUUCUUUAUCCACUUUAUUUGUUAAUUUUGUGUAUUUAUUUUAAUUUAAUUUUUAAUUAUUUGGAAGGCAAUUAAAUGCCAAAAUUGUAAUAGUUAGGCUAUUAUUUAUUUCAUUCUUUACCCCUUUAGAUUGUAAUUAAGGCCCCUCAAAUGUAAUAUUUAAGGUUUUAUUUGUUUUUAUUUGCUUUAUGUGUUUGCAUGCUUGUGUGUUAUGUGUUACUCGCUUUCUUAGGACCUUGCAUCUAGAUAUCAUGUUUAUGUAUAUUGUGUUUAUGUGAUCCUAUGUGUUUACUUGCUUUAUCAUGUUUUAUAUGACUAAUUUAGUUAUAAUCAAUGUGUGAUGUCACCACACUAGUUUAAUGCUAGUUGUGGCUCCUUUCUCGAUUCCACACUAGUCCAACGCUUGUGGUUCCUUUUUUCGAUUUCUCACUAGUCCAACGCUAAUGAGAAAAUAGAGACAUAGGUUAGUCCAAUGUUAGACCCUUAGGAACUGUUCGCGCAUUAGACCAUUUUUGUGUGACACAAUCACUACAUUUUCAUGCAUAUUUUUCACUUUUUACGGUUUUAUCAUUUUGCAUGACAUUUCCUCCUUAUAACGUAUAUCCCUUAUCCCAUAUUUUCCUUUAUAUAUAUCCCUUAUUCCAUCUUCCCCAUAUGUAUAUUCCUUAUCCCUAUGUAUGAGACAUGACAUUAGACUUGCAUUUCAUUUAAGGAAACUUAGGAGUAGAUUAGUUGUGAAGACCCGAAAAAAAUUUCUUAUUUUAUCGAAUAUUAAUGGUUUAAUUAAGUAUUUAUCCACCUGUUUUCCCCAAAUAAUUUAUUACGACCAUUUUAAAUCCAUUCGUAUGGAAUAAUGUCUUCAUUAUGUUUUGAAAGUGUCCCGUUAACAACUUCAAUUUUCGGAAGGAUUGGUUAGGCGAGAAAUAGUGAACACGAGUGUUUCGAGGUGAUAUUAUAUUCAAAAGUAUGAUUAUCCUGGGAAAUUAAGAACGGACAAUAGCAGAUUAAGAAAAGUUAAUCGAGAAUUAAAGGUGAAUAAGUUCUAAGUGAGCAUAUACUACUCACGCGGAUAGUUUUCCAAAAGAUGUAUGGAUACAAUUAUUGGAGAUUUGAGGAGUUAAUACUCGACUCAUGUGAGGACUCGUAAAAACUAUUAUUUUAUUUAAACCUAAAUUUAUGGCUUAAUAAAUUAUUUAAUUGGAUUUUUGCCACGGGGAAUAUUUUCUAGUCUUAUUAGACCUAAAUGCAUGAUAAUAUAACUUCGUUAUAUUUUUAAAGUGACUCGUUUCAAAAAUUAAUUUCCUGGAGCGCGUUUAGUAAAAAUAGUGAAUAGUGGGGAUUUUAUCCGCGUAGGAGCACAAUAAGCUUGGAAUAUUGGAGACUUGUACCAUGGUCCUAAAAUAGGUAAUCGUAUGAAUAAAUAUUCAAGUGAUAGUUAGUAGUGCAAUCGUUAUAUGAAUUUAUCGAAGUUCGCGUUAUAACGUUAAAAUUGUCGGUACGCGUUUUCACACGCGCGCUUUAUUUGAGGGACUUUAGACCCUUAUUUUGGGACAAUUAAGAGUGAAUAAUAUUUACAGGAAUAUAAAUGCAUUGGAGGUUUAGUGCACUAGUGAACCAAACGCGCGAGAAAAUCGAGCUCUAAUCGCGCCAAACGCACCCUAAUGUGAGUUGACUAAUGGGUGAUUUGAGGCCACAAGUUAAUGUCUUCUCUUGGAAGCUUAGAAAUCUGAUCACACUCUCUCCUCUACCCAAGACAGCCGACCAGCUCUUCCUUCCUCUCCAACUCCAUUGUUCCAAAAAUUUCUUACCCAAAUCACCACCAAAACAUCUCCAAAUUCAACCAAACUUGCACCAUACUUAGCUUAACACUAGGAGAUCAUUUUGAGCUGCAAAAGGGUGCUGGAAAUCACGGUUUCUUGGAGCAUUUUGAGGGCCAAAAAUUCUGAUUUGGUACACUAAGAAGAUAUAACAUGAUCCAUCACCUUAAACUUGAUUUAUAGUAGUAGAUAUGCAUCUCUAAGUACUUGCAUGUGUGUAUGGGUGACUUGAUAUUGUUGGAAAUUUGAAAAGUGGGCUCUAGGAAUUCCCACACUUGGGUUGUUGCUGAUUUGAUGAUUAAUGGUGGAUAUAUUGUUGGUUUAGUGGUUAAAAUGAUGGAUAAAUGGUGUGUAAUUGAUAGAAACUUCAUUGGGUGCAAGAAGCAAAAAUUUUCCGAAACUACCCCUGUUUUGUUCGGCCAUGAUCAGGCCCAUUUUUGGUGAUUUAUUGGCAUGAACCUGAUGUUUAUAUGUUAUAUGAUAUGUGUAAAAAUUUUCAUUGGAAAACAUUGACGUUUGGAUGGGCAAAUGAAUUCUUUUGAGAAACUAGCAAAUCUGGAAAACUGUUCGCGUAUGAUUCUGACCAGUGGUAGUAUUUCGGUUAUAACUCUGUCCUCGGAUGUCGAAAUCAUGUGCCGCUGGUGGCGUUUGAAACUAGACAUUCCUGGAUUUAAUUGGUAAAAUGCACGUUCUGAUUCUUGUGAGUGAGCCGAACCACUCGUUUUAAGUUAGCUGCUGUCUCUCGGAUUUGCUGGAAUGGCUUGUAGAGGCAGCAACUUGAGGCUCAAUUUUGAGCUGGUUGCUUGCCGAAUUUCAAAACAUUUCCUUCUGUGAACUUUUAGUCCUAUGAAUGUAGUUUCCAACGCCAUAAACACGCUCAAUUCCAAGCUAAAUUGACUGAGUUGUGACUAAAAUAAAAGGACUGCCCUGUUUUGGAAAAACGUAAUAUUUGGGCUGGUUUUGGACAAAAACCGUGAGUGAUCUUAUUAAUUGAAAUUUCGAUGCUAAACCAUUACCAAAGGUAUCAUGGUUGUAUCUUAGACCAUUAUUUCACAAAUGAACCAUGGUUGGAUAGCUUUCUUGGUUAAACGAUUUGAAUUGGGAAAGAAAGUCAAAAGGCAGAUUGCCUUAGAAAUUUUCCGAAACUUUGGAUGAUUAGUUAACUACCUUCCCGAGGGUAUUUUUCCCUGAAUUUGACAGAGAGAUACCUUCCAUAUAGUAUUGAAAUACUGCCAAUUUUUGUAUCAGUCCAAGUUCGUUUCGAUACCUAAUUAAAUUUCUAGUGUUGGAGGUUCAAAUCUGGAAAAUUCUUCUCCAGUCUCGAAAUUUCCCAACUUUGAGCUACCGUAUCUCGGUACCCAAAACUUCGAUUCUUGAUCCGCUUGCUUUGCUAUAAACCUCACUUGCAACUCUAUUUGAGUUAUAAAUUUCAAAGGCCGGUUUGCAACGUGUAAAUCGUGCCGAAUUUUCAAAGUUGGCCGAAAUCCAACUUAAUUCUGCUUGUAAACGAGUCUGCACCUUCAAGCCCAUUUUUUGAGCACUUUCCACUUCGAUUCAUGGAAAAGUGUCUUCUAAGAACUUUUAACACUUUCCAAAAGGUUUCCAACGGUAUAAAGUUUUCCAAUUUUUGACUUAUAUCGGAGAGAUACGAAUUUUCAAAGAUUCAUAACAAAAUUGAAUUUUUCAAUUUUCACGGCAAAGGAGUUUUUCCAAAAACUCUUAAUUUUCUUAGCAUUAUUCAAACGUUUUGCCUCGAUUUUCAUGAUAAAAACUCAAUUAAUAUUGUACUUAAUAAAACGCAAGUUGAAUCUCGAUUUACGAGUAAUUGAGGUUCAUUUUUGUGAAAUAUUCCUUAGAUUGUACUAAUGUACAAUCUUACUUGAUAAUUGAGAUACUUGAGUAAUUAUCCACCAUUAACUGCCAGGCACACAAGGAGACCUUCAAGAGGAUCUCACCGUGGACACUUGAACUCCAGCGAAUAAUCUUUAUUAAAUUGCUCGGUGAGUGUCAAGUGUGUGAAUCUUUGAUACUUGCUUAAUUGUGGUAAUUAUUAGAGAUUUUAAAAAAAUAAGGCGGGGUGUGUACUUUAUCGCAUCCGUUCUGAUUUCAAAUGAAUGAAUGAAAUGUAUUGAAUGAAUGAAUGAAAUGCAAUGCUAUGUAAUGGUUACAUAUGUCAUUGGAGUGAACCUCCUCGACUUUCAAAUGAAUGGGGGACGCCCAAACUCAUAGGCCGACCUUGAACUCGAGCCGGCAAUGGGCUUGGUCGGGAACUUGGGCGAGCCAUGAGAUUAUAAGCUCGACCUAAUAAGAGGUCUUGCUUGGCAUACUCGUCGAGUAUCGCCCUAAAAUAGACUUGUGGGCCCUUGGGGUGUACGGUGGACGGAGGGAAGUAAGUGGUGACCUACGGAAAUGGAAAUACCGACCCGGUUGACAGGAGGGUCAAUACGGGAAGGUAUACGAAUGACAACGGCAGAGCGAGUGGAACUUAGCUCCUGAGAGCUACUAUAUCCUUGAAUUGUUUCUGAUUAUUUUUCCUGCUCAAAUGGUACUUUAUUGAAAUAUCACGGUUUUAUUUAAUAAAGUUGAGAUUGCUAUUUGAACAAUGUGCUUGCAUGUGUGUCCUUGGCCUCACGAGCGUUUUGCUCACCCUGUAGAUUUGUUUUCCUUAACAGGACUGGAAAUGGAGUUAACGCGGAGAAAUCUCCUUUUAGAUAUAUUGUGUUUUAGGGUUUCAAGUGUAUUUUGGCUCGACCCCUUUAUGAUUGUACUUUUGGAAGUUUAAUGUAUCAUUCGGAUAUAUGGGGUGUAUAUUUUGGAAUUUAAGUUGUAUUAUGAAGGCACGACGUGCGGGUGGCAAGCUGAUAGGUACCUUGUGAUGUGACCCUGAGAACUGUAUAGAUAUUGUUAAACAUGAACGUUUCCGCACUAUAUGUAUUUGCACUAAUUUGAUUGUGGUAUCUAGUAUCGCCUUAAGCUUGAACGUUUAUUGCUUGAGUCCUGGCGAGAGCUAGGCAGGCAUUCCGCGGAUACCCUUUGGUGCGCCUUAGGGAGAAGUGGGGGCGUCACAUUAGUGCAUUUGCUUGAUUAAAUAGAGAAAAUACCCUUUGAAUAUGGGAUAUGGACGAGUGUGGCUUUCUAACCUUAGCACGCUCAUAUUCCUCUGUCAAAGGAAAAAUUAAAAGUCACGAAUAUUAGUUCCCCGCACCCGUUAUGAUGCAUUCCUUUAGGUCAUGUAUUUUCGUAUAUCAUUAUUUUCUUUCCUUUUCUUUUAUUUUCCUUCGAGUCUCAUAUUUUGCACAUUCGUGACUUCUUCAAAUAAUCACUUUGGGCAUCGCAAUUAAUGCGAUUUGCACUAAUUAAAAUUCGAAGAUACAUGUCACUACAAGAAAAACUGCUUAUAGAGGCGCAUCAAAAUGUCACAAGUCACGCUUUAUUGAGGCACAUACUUAGUGUGCCAUGUAAAACCUAUGUCACAAAAGCUUUUUAAGGCACAAUUAAGUACCACGACACAGGAAACAAUUCAGACAUUUAGAAGUGCCAACACAAGGUUAUAAUGGUUUCACCAAAAAAUGCCUUAAUUGGGAUUCAACUUUCAAGAACUCGACUUUUUAGAGGCACAAAACAAUGCCAUCUUAACUUUAGGUUGACACUUAAAAAUGCCUUAACAGUCCGUUCUGAGAUAGUAGUAUUUGUCACAAAAUGGUUGUUAUUGAGGCAUGCAAGUAUGCCACUAUAUAGCUUAAUGUAGAUACUGGCAAAUGCCUCUAUAUCAACCUUUAAAAGUGUUUUAAAAUGCCUCAAAAACCUGCUAUGUAACAAGAAAAUUUCUACUACGAAAAACCCUUAUCAUUACGCUUUCAAGUGCCUCAAUAGACUGGAAUUUUUUUUUUAUGCCAGCCACAGGUACUGCUGUGAAUAUAACAUUCCUAUUGUGUCAAUAUAAUCGUACAUUCAUAUUGGACAUCUCACAUUCAAUGACCAAAACCAGCAAUAUUUGAUUAAAAAUCCACUUUCAAAUUGUCACCAUAACCAAUAAUUACAAUUAAAAUACUUAUAACUCCUGGUAGUUUUCCAACCAACCAAUUAAACUUUCAUCCUUGGAAAAAAAAACAUAAUAUUUGUUUUAACAUUCAUCAAACAGCUAGAAUGUCCUACUAAUUGUUUGCCACGAUUUCACCUAAAUAGCACCAGAUAAAUUAAAAUCAACUAAACCGCUAGUAGACCAACUUCUUGUAAUAUGUGCAGCAACACUUUGUCCUUUUACAGUUAGAGCACUUCCAUAUAAGUGGAUAAGUAUCCAUAUGCUGCAACACCUUCUCCACUUUUUGAAUUUCAGCACAUCAGUCUUCGCAAAUUUUUACCUAUAGCACAAGUAUGUUAUGUAUUAAAAUCUAUCGUAAUUAUCGAAUGAAACAAACAUAUGAGAUAUUAACAGUUAACAUAAUUUGAAAGCUAGAAAAGGAAAAACAUACUAGUUUUGUUGGCCAAGUUAUAGGAGCACCAAUUGAAUCAGCAAUUGUCUGCAAAGGCACAUAAGGCCUAAUCAAAUGCUCAUCACGUUCAACCACAACUUGAACUAGCUCUUCACACCAAUUCGAACCUGGUGGUUGGCCCCAACUAUUGUAGAAGGAUCAAGGGAUUGAAGCCGUCCAAUUGCCACAACUUUUGUUGGCUCAUCUAAGCUAAAAAGAGAAAUCCAGUCUCCCUCCUACAUGAAAAUGCAAAACUCGAAACAUCAGAAAACUAACCAUAUGCAAAGCAGUCACAUCAAAAUUCCAGUCCAUGUUGUGUAGUAAGUAAUAUUAUAGUAAGAAAACUAUGAAUCAUACUUCUACAAAAGUCCACAACUACUCAGAGUAACAUGUAACAAAUAUAAAAAUAACUAAACUAAAAUUGCUUUCAAACUGUAAUAGCAAAACAUAUCUACAUGGUCGGACCAUUUCAAGGAAAUCCCUUUCAAGCAAAACAGCAAAAGUGUUACUAAUGUUGAUACAGCCAGCAGCGCAUAUCAAAUAUCUAUCGAAUAGCCUUUGGGAUACUCAGUUAGCAUAUUUCCAUCAACUCUACGCUUCAGUCAGAUUGGAGAAAUUAAAAGCUUCAACAUUACAGUUCAAGUAAUUAACACAGCACAGAGAAAUGUAAUCUUUGGUCAGCAUCAUCUUAGUAAUCUUUGGUCAUUCACGCAAAGAGUAACAUGAGAUAAAUAUAAAAAUAAAUAAACUAAAAUUGCUUUCAUAUUGUAAUACCAAAACAUGCCUAAAUAUCAGAUCAUUAUCAAGCAAAGAGGACUGGCAUUACCGAACAAAUGUAUUAAAAAACUUACUUUAAGAGGUCUAAGACUGGAACUUGAGGUUGAGAUAUGAUUAGAUGAUGUUGAAGUGAUUCUUGAUUGAUUCAGCAAGUUAUGACCAUUUUCUUGCUCUAAAUAAGUUUUCAGGUUAGCAAGUUCUCUUGCUUGAUCUUUAAUUUGUUCCUCUUGCUGAGCAAAUUUUGCCUUCAUCUCUAAUAUUUCAUGUUUUUGAUCCUACACUAGUCGUUGAGAUCCAUUUCGACUGAAAUCAUCACCCCAUACAUCAGUUGGACAUAUACCAAAACCAUACAUCCGUACAUGUCCAUGCUUGUCUUGCCCAACUACUUGUGCAAAUACAUCAUUUUUCCCAAUAGGAUCUUCAGUAUCAGGAGGCAAUUGACUAACCUUUUCAUUCAUUGCAAGCUGCAAAAGUGUAAAGAGUAAGACAAUGAUUACAUUUGUACAAUCCUAAUAUAGAUUAGAAAGUAAUGGAUAGAUCUUUCUAAUAUAUUUUAAAGCAAGUAAACAGCAUAAUGAAAGAUUUUACUUACCAUAAUAUUAGCUGCUGCACUACUAGAUGGGUUUCCUUUGUUAUCAGUGUAGCAGUGAUUGAACAUUUCAACUCGUGAAGGAUUGCGGCCUAAUUUUUUCUUCUGUAUCAAAAAGAAUUUUUGUUUAAACAAAUUGAAAUAAUAUUAAAUAAAGCAUAAUAGAAUAGCCAGAAAUGUUUACCAUGUUUGCUCGAAUCUGGGCAAAUGAUUUCUUCCCGGUAUUAUGAUUAAUGGUCUUCAUUGCCCUUGAUUUUUUAUUUUUUUCACUAAUUUUCUAUAUCACAUACAAAUAAUUUAGAAAUAACUCUAAAAUACUGAUAUACUAUUACAUAAAGGGAAUAUACUACUUGGCGGCGUCUUGAGGCGGUGUGUCAAGUGGUUGAGCCACACAUUAGGUGGUGUUUAGGGGUAGGCCUUGUGGAUUUUUGGAAGGACCGAUGGGUUCUUCAUGAUCCAUUAGAGAGUGUGAUGGCUCUGAGAGGCCUCACUUUCUUGUCUCGGAGUUUAUUACUAGGGAUGGAUGGGAUGAAUUGCGUCUUGCCCGGUGGGUUCCGAGUUUUGUCAUUCAUGCGAUCACGGACAUGCCCUUCGACUUAUCUCAGAAAGAUAGGAUGGUUUGGUUGCCUUCGCCGACGGGUUGUUUCUCGGUUAAGUCGGCGUGGGAGGUGCUCCGGCAAAGGAGGCAUAAAUCCUUGGUUGACUCAUUACUAUGGCCUUCGGUGUUGCCAACAAAAAUGUCAUUUUUUGCUUGGAGAUUGGUGCGCAAUUUCCUCCCUUUGGAUGUGACGUUGCGGUCGCGGGGUUUGUCUUUUCCCUCUAGAUGCGGGUGUUGUUACCUGGAGGAGGAGGCUCUUUUGCAUGUCUUUUUAACUGGACUGGUUGCUUCGGAAGUGUGGCGGCGACUGUCUGGCCAUUUUGGAUUUCAGUUGCGUAAUUGCUCGAGCAUGGCAUCAGUUUCUCUUGGUACUUGACGUCGUCUUCCUCUUCGAAAAACCAUAUUCGGACAUUUAUGCCAGUCGUAGUGUGCUGGUUUCUUUGGUCUGCAAGGAACCAGGAACAUUUUCAGGGCGUGCGAUGAGGAGUGGAAAAGGUAAUCCGCGAGGUGGAUUGUUUUUUGGAACAGCUUGGGAGGGCAAAUAAGCUUCGUCGGUCGCAUUUCACAGGUGAUGCUGAUUGUGAUUUGCUGCGUUUGAUCACAGCCCCUCCGCGGAGGAGGACCCCUUGUGCGGUUGCAUGGGAGAAACUGUGAGGACUCGCAAAAUUUACUUAUUUAAUCUCCUAUUUCUAGCUUAUUUAAUUAUUUAUUUGGUCUUUUACUCCGAAUAUUAUUUUCUAAGCUCUUGAGACCUAAUUACAUGGAAAUAUAGUUUCAUUAUAUUUUUAAAAUGACUUGUUUCAAAAAUUAAUUUCCGGAAGCUCGUUUAGUGAAAAUAGUGAACACGUCUUUGGAAAUCUUGACUGAUUGAGAGUACAAUAGGUUUGAAAUAUUGGAGACAUGUACAAUGGACCUAAAUUAGGCAUUUUAAUGUUUAAAUACUCGAGUGAUGGUUAGUAGUACGGUCGUUAUAAGAAUUUCUCGGAGGUUUCGCAUUAUAGCGAUAAAAUUGACGGUACACGUUUCCACACGCGUGACUUUAUUUGAGGGACUUUAGACCCUUAUUUCGGGAUAAUUAAGAGUGAAUAUUAUCUACAUGAAUAUAAAUGCAUUAGAGGUUUAGUGCACUGGUGAACCAAACGCGCGAGAAAUCGAGCCUUAAUCGCGCCAAACGGCUCCUAAUGUGAGUUGACUAAUGGGUGAUUUGAGACCACAAGUUAAUGUCUUCUCUUGGAAGCUUAGAAAUCUGAUCACACUCUCUCUCUUGCUCCCUCAUCUGGCCGAACAACAAGCAAGAAAAACAGCUCAAGAGUUCUUCAAAUUCCUCCAUCAAAUCUUCACCAAAUCUUCUCUAAUUCACUUCAAAUUUCACCUACACUUAGUAUAACACUUGAGGAGUAUUUUGAGCUGCAAAAGGGAGCUGAAAAGUCACGGUUUUCUGGAGCAAAGAGUGACCAAAAUUUCUGAUCUAGUCAUCCAAGAAGGUAGCAAAUCAUCCAACCCAUAGAUCUUAGUUUUUGUAAGAUAUAUUGCACAUAUAAGGUUAUAUAAUCAUGUGGGUAGUCUUGUUUAUGGUAUAAAUGUGAAAGUGGGCUCUAUGAACUCCCACUCUUGGGUUGUUGCUGAUUUGUUGAUUGAUGGUGGAUAUAUUGUUGGUUUAGUGGUUAAAAUGAUGGAUUAAUGGUGUGUAAUUGAUAGAAACUUCAUUGGGUGCAAGAAGCAAAAGUUUCCGAUUUUGCCCCUGCCUUGUCCGACCAUUUUGUGCACAAUUUUGAGGUUCUAAUGACUUGAUUAUGUUGUUUAAAUGUUAUUGUGAGUGUGUACAAAAUUUCAUUGAAAAAUAACAUGAUUUGGUUGGUCAAAUGAGUUGAUUUCCAAAGUUAGCAAAACUGGAAAAUGAAUCCCGUAUUGCCCAGGCAGUCAUUUUGUAUCAGCCAUAACUCUUUCCUCCGAUGUCAAAUUUAAGUGCCGUUUGCGGCACUGGAAACUAGACAUUCCCAGAUUUCCAUUGGUACCAAAUUCACUUUCUGGUUCCACUUGAGUGAGCCACACCAUUCGAUUGAAAAUCACUGUCCUGUUUCGUUUCUCUCCAGGAGACAGGACAGGACUUGUAUCUUGAUGCUCAAAAACGAGCUGUUUGUGGAUAGAAUUUCGGAAUGGUUUCUUCUGAUAAAAUUUGCCUUUAUGAGAGAGCUUUCCAACGCCAUCAACCACGCUCAAUUCCAGGUUGAAUUGAGUGAGGUUUGGCCAUAUUUCGAAACUGAUGCAGUGAGUAAAAAUCCUCUUUUGACUAGUUGAAUGGCCUAGCUUGAUUUGGGACUUGUUGUUUUGGAAACUUUGAUGUCCAACAUCUACCAAACUUUAUAUUAGAUGUUCCUUGGACUUUGUUUUACAAAUAAACCAGAUUUGGGUUGGUUGCAUUGGACAAAAUGUUUAAAAAGAAAGAAGAGCUAGAAGACAGUUUUGCCUUGGGAAAUUUCUAGAACUUUGAUGGUUUAGUUAACUACCUUCUCGUGUGAAUUUUCAAAUGAAAUUUGAUAGAGGAGUGGUCCUCAUAUGGAGGUUUAAUUGUGCAAAAUUUUGAUAUUCUAAGACCAUUUUGAUAUGCAAAUGAUGACCCGAAAUUGCUCUUCGAAUCUGGAAAACUUUUCCUUUUCUCUUAGCCGAUUAGCCAAUCUUGACUUGGGACUUGUCAUUCGAAAUUCUUGGUAUAAAUCACCUACCAAAUACAGCUUGGAUGUUUCUUAGACAUUAUCUACGCAAAUGAACCAUAUUUGAGAGGUUUUUAGUGGCCAAAUGUUUGAGAAAAGGAAAACAAAGGUACGAGGCAGAUUGCCUUGGAAAUUCUUGAAAACUUCAACAGUUUUGUUAAUUGACUCUUCGUGCUAGAUUUUGCUUGAAAAUUUGCAGAGGAAUAACCCCUAUAUGGUAGUGUAAUACUGCUAAAUUUGGUGCCAUUCCAAGUCCGUUUCAGUGUUCAACCAACGUCCCAAAGUUCAUGUUUAAAUCUGAAAAUUCUUGAUCGAGGAGGAAAUUUUAGCCAACUUUGAGCUGCUAUAUCUUGGCGCUCAAAACUUUGAUCCUUGUUCCGUUUGUUUUGUUUUAAACUUUGAUUGUAACUCUAAUUGAGUUCUAAAUUUUGGAGGAUAGUUCGUAUUGUGUGAAUUUUUCUGGAUUUUCAAAGUUGGUCAAAAACCAACCCCAAAACUGUCAUAAUGGUCCCAAGCAGCAACUUUGAGUCAAUUUUUGAAUAUCUUCCGUUUGGAAUCCUGGAAAAGUAUCUUCUAGGAACUUUUAGUGCUUUUGAAGAAGUUUCCAACGGUAUCAAGCUUUCUAAUUAUGGACCUACAUAGUGCAAGAUACGAUUUUUCUAAAUUGACACCCAAAGCUGAAAUUUGUCAAUUUCUUAGAAAAUGAGAUUUUAGAAACUUGCCUUCUUUUCUCGAUACCGAUUGAACAUUUUGAACUCGAUUUCAUGGAAAAUGUUAGUCUCUCUCUUUAGACUUUAAGAACUCCUCUUGAAUCUCGAUUUACGAGUAAUUGAGGUUCAUUUUCAUAAGAUUUCCUUAGAUUGCUAGCGUACAAUCUUUCUCGAUAAUUAGAGAUUUGUAGUGAUAUUGAGUGGUAGUUGAUUAUUGUUUACUCAGGCACUCGAGGGAAUCUCCAGAGGAACUCGGAGCGGACACCUAAAAUGCUUGUUUGAGAACUACUCGCUUGUUUUGACUAGGUGAGUGUUCCAUAUAGGAAUACGUAAUUGAAUAAGUCUAGGACACGCUUAUUUCAUGAUUAUUAAGUGUUAAGUGCUAUGUGUUAAGUAUUUACCAUACUCAUGCCUAUUUAAGGAAUGUAUACUUGCAUUGUAUAUCUACAUGAAUUGGUUAAAUGAUUAACCAUAUCAAAUGACCAUAUGAACUCGAUACAUGCUUAACUUGCUAGAUUGCUUGCUUAGCCUACUCGAUUUUGAAAAUGGAGUCGAGUGUGUACUUUAUCGCACUCGUUCUCUUUUGAGAUGAAUAACUCAUGCUUGGAAAUGCUCGAAUAACAUGACUUGGUAUGCUAAGGUUGCAUACGUCGUUGGAGUGAAUCUCCUCGACUCUCACAUGGUAAAAAUGGGAUAACGGCCAAUGAUGGCCUAUUCAUAUGACAAAUGCCUGUCAAUUAACCGUCACUACUUAACCGUUAACCGUUAACCGUCAACCGUUAACCGUGAACCGUUUACCAACCAUAUGACUACUUGAUUACUUGACUAUUUGCUCACAUGAUUUCCAAUCUACAUGACUAUUCGAUAUCCGUGAAUUACAUGCUCCCAUGAAAUCAACUUGUAUUGCUUACGUGCUUACGUGCUAAGUAUCUACUUGAUUACUUAUUAUCAUGAAUCACAUGUUAUAUGAAGCUGUCCAUCAUUAUUAGGCGAGUGUGUACUUUACCUCACUCGACCUACUCAAAUGAUGAAUUUUACCUUUUGUCGAAUUACUUGGUUACCUGUGCAUGUUGUAAGCUCUAAGCUGAACUUGGGCCCUGCCCUUGGUUACUGACCUACUCGAGCCAGGACUGGGCUCGGUCGGGUAGGUUGGAACCCUGGGCCACCGUUUCGGUAUACUCGAGUAUUACCACUGGAGGGAUAAGGCGAUGGCCAGACCGUACCGUGGGAUCCGGAAGUCAUAAGGUGCAGAUGACCGACAGAGUUCCACUGGAACACCGUAUCCUACAGUAUAUGUUUACCUGGUAUCAUGAUAAUUGUUUCAUGCUAAAAUGCCAAUAUGAAAUCCUGAGCUAUGCCUGUAAUAAGCUUCACUCGUGAACUAUACAUGCCAAUGUCUUGAACCAUAAUAACUGUCUCAUGAUAAAUGUCUCAAAUUACCGUACAAUGAUUAUCACCUCAUGAUAACAUGCCAUUGUGUAACCUUGAACCAUGCAUAUGAUAUGCCCAAUCUACUUGAUUUAUUUGAACUGUUAGAGUGUCUUGGAACCUCACUGGGUGUGUAGCUCAUCCACGUUGUGGUUUUCUUUUACAGGGUUCGAGACCAAGGGUGCUCGUGAGUAGUACUAGAUUGUUUCUUUUGAAGAUUUAAGUUAUAUUAUAACGGAUGGCUAUUGUACCCUUUUCCGUUGGGUUGUAUUUAAGCUUGAAAGCUGUAUAAUUGUAAGUGUGAGAUAUUUGAAGUACUUUAAUUAUGUAUUGAAGUUACUUAAAGUAUUUCGAGCUUUUGAAUGAUGGAUUGUAGUGAGUCCUGGCGAGAGUGGGCAGGCGUCCCGCGGAUACCCUUUGGUUCGCCUUAGGGAGAAGUGGGGGCGUCACAGUUGGUAUCAGAGCUUAGGCUUCAGAUCUUUGUAGUGUAUCUAGGCUUAAAUGUUUAGGAUGCCGGACUGUGGGACUGUUCUGAAAGUUAAAUGAUUGCUUGUAGCGAUGAAAUUUAGAGCCACUUCACGUGGUCUCUACAAGGAGUAAGAUAGGGCCAAGUGGUGUUAUGGUCCUUACUAUGUGAUUGAGUAAAGACUUAAGUGCCCUUCUAGAAAUGUAAGCUGUGAAUCAUGAAUGUUAUAGGUUGUAAAACCUUUAUCUUGAUAAUUGGAGGGAAUUUGAUAUGUAUGUUGGGUAGGAAUCUCGAAUGUGGUGAUUUACUCUUGGGACCGGCCGGCUCGAGUGUGAAUUAUCCUAUUUUGGAUUCUUGUACCGAGUAUUUGAGAGUUGAUGGCAACCAUAAGGACUUUAUAUCUCCAUUUGUGGGAAUAAGAAUGAAUCGAUAUUUCAUGUGAAUGGUUACAGGAAACCAAUAAUUGUUUGGUUAAGAUGGUACAAUAAUUAAGAGUGGAAGAUGAAAAAGAUCGCAACCCAAAAGAUCCUUGUGUUGGGAUUGAAAUCGAGCAUGUUAGGGAACGAGAAUCGUCUAGUUCCAAUUAAUCUAGUGAUUCUACUUGUGAUCUUUCAUAGUGAGACGAUGGGAGUAGAACUUAAGAGUUUGCGCCUUGGAGAUGAAUGUACUUGUGAUAAUCACUUGUUUAUUUUUGUUAUUGACUUUGACUUGGCAUGAACUUUACUUGGCCAUAAUUUGUGUUAUGAUUUAAUGAACUCUAGUUUGUGUUUACUUGCAUAGUGAUAAUGUUAUUUGUGAAAGUGUCUUCAUCCUCUUUAAAUGUUGCUACUGGUAUAUGAGUAUAGUUCAAUUUUAACUAAGUGUGAGGUUUAUGCAUGUGCGUAUAGAUUAGUUGUGAACAUGGAAACUAGAGGACAACGAAAGGGACGUCAACCUAGACAACCCCGAAAUGAAAGAGUAGCUAAUGGGUCCGAUAUUGAUCAAAACGUUGAGCUAAGUGCUGUGGACUAGGUACAAGAUGAGCAUAGGUAUUGUAGUGACCAUUGAAGACCUCGCUCCUUGUGUAAACUCGUGGAACGUGGUCGAUUCUAAUGUCUUGAGGGUACACAUAGUUUGAUCCUCCAAAGACGUGAACAGCGUUGAAAUCAUCCGAUUCCAUGAAUGGGAACCAAAUUGAUCUAACUCCUAGAAGACAAACUCCAUGGAAACUCGCAAAUUGUACAAGUGACUUUGGGAUGGAACAUUGUAAGAUCAAAGCGAUUGCACUUUCUUAACCUGCACAAAACAAGGAACACUAGACAGAGCAAUGUUAAGGUGGCAAUAAACCCCCUCACUCUCAUUUUUGUUGAAACUUAAAAUCUCAGUCAAUACUUUGGAUGUUUCAAUCUCUUUCUCAUGCUCAAUAGCUGUCUUUUUCCUCUCAUUAUUUUCAACCUCUUUCUCCUUUUCAACUCCCUCGGAUUUUACCUCAUCAGUCACAAUUUCCUCAUCUAGCUCUUUUUUCAUACUAUAAUGCUCAUGCUCACUUUUCAUGUAUGCUAGAUCAGUACAAAGUUGGUCAUAAAUAAGUGGUACAAGUGCAGAACGACGACCAUUAAAUAAGAAGGAAUACUUAUUAGUAUGUCCAUCAUAUUUAACUUCUCGCCUCAACAUCCACGCCUUGCCCAGCAACACAUGUGUCAUUUGAAUUGGGACUACAUCACACAACACCUCAUCCACAUACUUGCCAAUUUGAAUAGGUACAAGUGUGUGCUUAGUAACCCAAACAUCACCAUGAGCACUCGGCAACUUAUACGGUUGAAGAUGAUCAAUAGUUGGAAGAUUUAAUUUGUGAACCAUGAUAGCGCUUGCAAGAUUGAUUUCACAACUCUUAUCAAUGGCCAAGCUGCAUGUUUUAUCUUUGACACCACAACGAGUAUAAAACCAAUCAUGCAACUGAGAUUUGACGAUAUCCAAUUGCUCAUCUACACCACGUAAUGCUACUUCUUUGACUCCCUUAGGAUCAAGAAGAAGAUGUUGUAAGCUAGCUUUUAAAUGCCUCGUAUUCGCCAUGAUGUAUGAGGAAACCUGCAAAAAAUUAGUGAAACAAAAGAUAUUUUUCCUCGCCACACAAGCUCACAUGUUUACACUCGUCACUCGUGUACCACUCAAGUGUUUAAAACACUCUAAUUAACUCACCAAGGUAUUUUCAAGGCUCCUCGGUCAACUCCUCGAACAAGUUAGAACUCCUUCUAGUGUGGAUCGACUUACCAACCAGGGUCACAAGAUUGUAGCACUUUGAACGAAAAAAAAAUAAAGGAUGAAGGGACUGACCACGACUCAAAGAAUGACUCAAAGUUGAAUUUUAAGGAUCCUAGACAAAACUCUACCCAAAACUGGAAUUUUGAGCUGCUGGUUGCUGCAUUUUUGGGCAAUGUUUUGGUAGAUAAAUGGACACUUAGAGGAUUCAGAAUGACACUUAAAACUGACCUAAUGAUGCACAAAAAUUUCCAGAAUUCAUGAUUGGACAGAAAUCCCCAAUGGUUGCAAAGAUGGAAUCCGAAUGGAAGAUGAAUUUGUGUUGCGGUAGGACUGUUUUGGAAACCCAAGGCUGGCUUUUCUUCCUUAAUCCUUUGGAAAUGAGGAUUAGUCUUCCUAUUUACUGGUUCCCAUGAAUUCUAAGGUCAAGUUCAAGAUUGGAAUUGAUUUGGUUGUUUUUGGGAACAAGGGUGGAAAAUUUGACUUGAACAGGUUGGAAAAUUUGACUUGAAUAGGUUGGGAAAUUUGACUUGAAUAGGCUGAAUGUUCUUCUUCUUCCUUUGUUUUUGUUUUAUAAUCAGCCAAGAAGAGUCAAAUUUCGUGGCUAAAAUGUUCUUAGUCAAGAAAGAAGAUUGUUGUGGUGAAGACAAGGAUUUUGGCAGCUGGAAUUUUGUUGCCUUGUUGUUUACCAAGAUUUGGUUCCCAAAACCCAGAAACUUCAAGAUUCUUUCAAGAAUUCAAGAUGUUAAUUUCCAGAAUUCAAGAAACACGAAAUUGAAGAUGAUUUCCUCCCCAAACAAUACAAGAUUUCACGAUUUGAUCAAGACAGAUUUGCAGGAAUUUUUGAUCAAGUUUUGUAAGGUUAGCCAGCUAUUUUUUUUUUUUUUGUAUGUAAACAAGAACACAAGGUAAUAACUAGAUAGGACUCUAAAACCCUUGCUACAAACUGAUUUUUUUCGGAUGAACAGUAACCUCGAAUGAUCAAAUAGAACAAAAGACUGGAAUUGAAUGGAUAUAACAGGAUAGAAACAAGACUCAAACAAAGAAUCAAGAAUAAGACACAAAAAAAAAGGCUGGACCAAACAAGGCUAACCACAGCAAUUAACAACAACUAGACACAAGUUCAUGUCGUAACAAAUCUGGAAAAAUAACGCAAGAACACGAAGUAACAAAUCUGGAAAUUGCGGAUAGCAACUUAGAACACGAAAACAGAAUUUUCGACAACUUGACUCGAAAAGCAAAUAAAAAAAAGGAUAUAACGUGAUACCUCUUAAUUAGCUCUGAUUACCAACUGAUACGAACGUCGCCAACCUUGUGACGAAACCCGUAAUAGAUUAGCUUCAGGAUCGACAAGAGGACACCAAGUUUGAAGCGGAUGACCUCAACCCGUUAAUCACGUGGUUAACGAACCUUGGUAUAAUGGUAGAAGACGCCACAACCUAGUGCGAUUCUAGAUUGAUAAGUCACGAACACCUAGAGAAAUUCUAAGGUAUUCAAGAAGCCUUGGAGGAAACCAAGAAAACUCUCAAAAUCUGAUUUAUUGAUUGAAUGCCUAAACCAUUGGAAGUGUGGGCUAUUUAUAGCCUUACAUAGAGAUGAACAACUAAAUGUGGAACUAGUCUAGAGUUGUGGUCUUGACUAAGACUAACAAUUGUAGGCUUGACUAUUUCCAUAAGACUAAGAAUUGUGGGCUUGAUCAAACCUUAUGAGGUCAUCCCUUAGGUAAACAACCUUAUGAGGUCAUUGCUUAGGUAAAUAACCUUAUGAGAUCAUCGCUUAGGUAAAUAAAGCAAGGCUAUGGACCAUUAAGCCCUUAUUACAAUGACUUAACUAAAACAGCAAAUGUGACUAGAGAAGGUCACACAUGGUUCUCUUUGGCGUGCACUACAUGGAUGACUUUCAUUCCUUCAUGCUCAAGCCCCUCCAUGACCUUGGGAACAAUUUCUUGGCCUUGUAUCUCAUGAACAAGUCCUUGGAGUUCCUCCCUCAUCUUCUUAGCUCGUGCUCGAGUUACGGGUCCUAGGGGAACUCGAAUAGUUCGCAAUGGUGUCUCUUGGUUCGUAUCACCAAGUGUCCAAAUCAGAUCAAACUUUCCAAUUUCCGAAUCUUGAAUUCUUGAAUUUUCCUAAAACCGUUGGAGCAAUUGUAACACCCGAUUGGGCUGAGUUUUAGGUAGUAGAGUGCCCAUUAUUUGAGCAGCCUAAGGCCACCCAAAAUACUCCAAAACCCUUACCAAAAAGACCACGGACCAGCAGCUCAACAAAUUCCAGAAAAUUGGGUUUCGGGUAGAGUUUUCUAGGAUUUUCAAAAUUUCAGCAUUCAAGUUAAUUGUCUUACUUUCUUUUGAGUUGUUAGUUAUUGUCCAGCUAUAUUCUGAGUCUUGAGUCGUGUCUAGGUCUUAGUCAUUAACCUCCAUUUAUUGCUACUAGCUUGUGUGUCACCUGUUGACUAGUCAAGAACGUACAUUGCGGUGACGCCUAGUUUGUUCAACUCAAACAACUAGCAAGCCAAGGAAUUGCUUGGUAAGAUUAUUAGAGAGUGAUACACUUGAGUGAAACACGAGUGUGAGUGACCUAUACAUCGUAUUAAAAAAAAGAGAGAGAGAGGAACUCGUUUUGUUUAUUUGUUUUGCAGGUGGACUAAAUAUGUCUAGUGAAGUUGGUGAACAAACCAUGGACAUCAAACUACAGUUGGAAGCCAUGAUGAGGGAGUUCAAACGAUUGCUUAAGAAUGAAAUUGAGCCAUUGCAUGAUCGAAUUGAUCAGUUGGAGAACUCGAGACCUCCACCUACCCCGAGUAAGGGCAAAGAAUCGGCAUACUCAAACGAUGAAGAGGAAGCAUUUGAGGGAAGGUACCAAAAUGAUCAAAGGUUCCAACGUCGAGGAGACGACACCAUUAAAGGUGUCAAACUCAAGAUUCCCUUAUUCCAAGGCAAGUCGGAUCCCGAGGCGUACUUGGAAUGGGAACGAAAAAUUGAGUUAGUCUAUGAAUGCCACACCUAUACGGAGGAGCAAAAGGUGAAACUAGCAGCCGUAGAAUUCACUGACUACGCCUCCAUUUGGUGGGACCAACUUAGACUAAGCCGAAGGAGAAAUCGUGAGAGACCUGUGGAAACUUGGGAGGAAAUGAGGAGUCUGAUGAGAAAAAGGUUCAUUCCGAGCUACUAUAGCCGAGAUCUACACCGUCGGCUACAAGCUCUCAACCAAGGGUCCAUGUCAGUUGAGGAUUAUUACAAGGAGAUGGAAAUGGCCAUCAUGAAGGCGGAUUUGCGUGAAGAUGGAGAGGCCACGAUGGCUCGUUUUCUACAUGGAUUGAGGCCCGAGAUUGCUGAAGUAGUGGAACUCCAACACUACCUCGACAUGAAUGAAAUGCUAGAGAAGGCGGUUACCAUUGAACGGCGCCUCAAGAGGAGGGGUACUGCACGACAAAGCACUACUUAUCAAGCUGGAAAUUGGCGCACUUCUCAACCAAAAAGGGAGGAGAAGGCCGCAGCUCCUUCUUACCCUCCAAGGCCGAAUGGCCUCCCUUCCAAGGCAGCGCCCAAGCCUGACUUUAAGGCUAAUAAUGCAGCUUCCCAACCACGUGGUCGAGACACCAAGUGCUUUAAGUGUCAAGGAUUUGGCCACAUCGCUUCUCAAUGCCCCAGCCAAAGGACCAUGCUGAUGUUGCCAAAUGGGGAAAUUGUAUCAGAUGAGGAAGAGGAGUACGAGGGGAUGCCACCUCUAGAAGAGGAAGAGAAUGAAUCGAGUGAGGAGAUACCUACGCAUGAGGAGAUUGGAUGCCUAGUGGUUCGAAAGGUCCUCACUACCCGCGCCAAAGAGGAGGAAAUGGAGGUACAACGGGACAACCUUUUCUACACAAGGUGUCAUAUCAAGGAUAAGGUGUGUAGUGUUGUUAUUGAUAGUGGGAGUUGUGCCAAUGUCGCUAGUCUACUCAUGGUAGAAAUGCUAGGGCUCCAAGUUAUCAAACAUCCAAGACCUUAUCGCCUUCAAUGGUUGAACAAUGAAGGGGAAAUACGUGUGUUUAGACAAGUGAAAGUGCCAUUCCGAAUUGGCAAGUAUGAAGACGAGAUUACUUGUGAUGUCGUGCCCGUGCAAGCAAGUCACCUCAUUCUUGGACGGCCUUGGCAAUAUGAUCGCGAUGUCGAAUUCAAGGGAAGAGCUAAUAAAUAUGUCUUUACUCAUUGCAAUAGAAAGGUGACACUUGUACCUCUCACCCCAAAACAAGUGUAUGAAGAUCAAAUGAGGCUCCAAAAGGAGUAUGAGCUAGAACUUGAGAGGAAAAAGCGAGAGAAAAGUGAGGAAGAAAAAGGAGAGAGAAGGGCCGAACCCCUAGGGAAGAAAAAGGCAACAAGUGGGUCGGCUAUGAGAGAAGAAAAUAAGGGGAAGCUAAGCUUGCUAGCAAAAGCCAAAGAUGUAAGGCGAGCUUUGUCUUCCAACCAACUCUUACUUAUGCUUGUGUGCAAAGAAGAGUUGGUCACUUCAUCCAUAUCCACUGACUCCUUGCCUUCUACUAUUUUACCUCUCUUGCAGGAAUUUGAGGACAUAUUUCCUGAGGAUGUACCUGAUGGACUACCACCACUAAGGGGAAUCGAGCACCAAAUCGAUCUCAUUCCUGGAGCACCAUUGCCUAACAAACCAGCCUAUAGAAUGGGUCCUGAGGAAACAAAGGAAUUGCAAAGGCAAGUGGAGGAAUUGCUAAGGAAAGGUUGGGCUAGAGAAAGUCUAAGUCCAUGCGCUGUACCAGUGAUUCUCGUGCCAAAGAAAGAUGGAGCGUGGAGAAUGUGCACCGACUGUCGAGCAGUCAAUGCAAUCACGGUAAAAUAUCGUCACCCUAUCCCUAGGUUAGAUGAUAUGUUAGAUGAAUUGCAUGGUGCCAUUAUAUUUACUAAAAUUGAUUUGAAAAGUGGUUACCACCAAAUAAGAAUGAAAGAGGGAGAUGAGUGGAAAACCGCUUUCAAAACUAAACAUGGUCUAUACGAGUGGUUAGUAAUGCCAUUUGGUUUAACUAAUGCACCUAGUACCUUCAUGCGUUUAAUGAACCAUGUUUUGAGACCUUUUCUUGGGAAAUUUGUAGUGGUUUACUUUGAUGAUAUUCUGAUUUAUAGCAGAAGCUUAGAGGAACACCUUGAGCACCUCAAAGCCAUCUUUGAAGUACUUCGAAGGGAAAGGCUAUAUGCCAACCUUAAGAAGUGCACAUUUUGCACUGAUCGUGUUGUGUUUCUAGGAUAUGUUGUAAGUGCGCAGGGCAUUCAUGUAGAUGAAGAGAAGAUUAAGUCCAUCCAAGAGUGGCCAACACCUACCUCAGUAAGUGAUGUGCGCAGCUUUCAUGGAUUAGCAAGCUUCUACCGUCGUUUUGUGAAGGAUUUUAGCACCAUCGCUGCACCUCUUACCGCAGUCAUAAAGAAGAACGAGAAGUUCUUUUGGGGGGAAGCCCAAGAUAAGGCUUUCCAAUUGCUGAAACACAAACUCACACAUGCACCACUCCUUGCAAUACCUAACUUUGAUCUCACUUUUGAAGUGGAAUGUGAUGCAUCAGGUGUAGGAGUAGGAGCCGUACUCAUGCAAGGAGGGAGACCGAUUGCCUACUUUAGUGAGAAAUUAAAUGGCGCGGUCCUCAACUAUUCAACUUAUGACAAGGAGAUGUUUGCCCUUGUACGUGCUUUGGAGACAUGGCAACACUACCUACGUGCUCGGGAAUUCGUCAUCAAAACUGACCAUGAGUCUCUCAAGCACCUAAAAGGACAACAAAAGCUGAGCAAACGACAUGCCCGAUGGGUAGCCUUCAUUGAGUCUUUUCCAUACGUCAUCAAAUACAAAACAGGUAAGUCUAAUGUCGUAGCUGACGCUUUAUCUCGUAGACACAUUUUGCUCACUGCUUUAGAUGCUAAACUCCUAGGCUUUGAACUCAUGAAGGAAUUGUAUAAGAAUGACUUGGAUUUUGCGAACGCUUAUGCGAAUUGGGGAAAAUCUGACUUUGAAAAAUUCUUCGUACAUGAUGGGUUCUUAUUUUAUCUUACCAAGUUGUGCAUUCCUCGAGGGUCCAUACGUGACUUACUUAUUCAGGAGUCACAUAGUGGUGGACUAAUGGGACACUUUGGUGUCACCAAGACAUUAGCUGUAUUACAGGAACACUUCCAUUGGCCUCGCAUGCGCAAGGACGUGGAGAGGAUUGUUGAAAGAUGUGGCGUGUGCCACAAAGCUAAGUCUCGGGUCAACCCAAACGGUUUGUAUACUCCUUUACCCAUACCUCACCAACCUUGGGUUGACAUUUCCAUGGAUUUCGUGCUUGGGUUACCUCGUUCAAAGUGUGGCCAUGACUCUAUAUUUGUUGUGGUAAAUAGGUUCUCCAAAAUGGCUCACUUUAUUGCAUGUCAUAAGACGGAUGAUGCUUUACACAUUGCUGAUUUAUUCUUUAAAGAGGUUGUUCGUUUGCAUGGCAUACCUAGGACUAUAGUAUCUGAUAGAGAUGUCAAGUUUUUGAGCUAUUUUUGGAAAUCUUUAUGGGGUCGGUUGGGAACCAAACUGUUGUUCUCUACCUCUAGUCAUCCUCAAACGGACGGACAAACUGAGGUAGUCAAUAGGACUUUAUCCACACUCCUACGUGCAAUCAUCAAGAAAAAUAUCAAGUCAUGGGAGGAGUGUCUACCUCAUGUUGAGUUUGCAUACAAUAGGGCUGUGCAUAGUGCUACACAAUUCUCGCCUUUUGAAGUUGUGUAUGGUUUUAACCCCUUAACUCCCUUAGAUUUGUUGCCAUUACCUUCUUCUGAGCGUAUGAACUUAGAUGACAAGAAGAAAGCUGAGUUCGUGAGAUCAUUACAUGACAAGGUUCGUACCAAUAUCGAGAGGAGGACGGCCCAAUAUGUCCAACAAGCUAAUAAGCACAGGCGCAAGCUUGUCUUUGAACCAGGUGAGUGGGUCUGGUUACAUUUACGCAAGGAGAGAUUUCCAAACCAACGGAAAAGCAAGUUGUCACCAAGAGGAGAUGGGCCUUUUCAAGUCAUUGAGCGCAUCAACGACAAUGCAUACCGCUUAGAUCUGCCUGGUGAGUACAAAGUUAGUGCUACAUUCAAUGUUGCUGAUCUAAGUCCAUUCAUUGCAGGGGACGAGUACGAUUUGAGGGCAAAUCCUUUUCAAGAGGAGGGGAAUGAUGCGAUUGAGCACGAGACCCAAAGUGUACAAGUAGACCCUGUGAAGGUGCCCCUAGGCCCAGUGACACGAGCACGAGCUAAGAGAUUCAAGGAGUCCCUCCAAGCUUUGGUACGUGCCAUCCAAAUCCAAGAGAAACCGGCCAUUGAAGGAAUUGAGUUGGAAUAUCCUUGCACGACUACUAAAAUGCUGCUUACAAUUGAAGAUGCAAGUGUUCAAGCUCCAAAUAGCGGGCUAAGCCGCAGUUAAGUACCCUCGCUGAGCCGUACGAGGAUCUCGCUGCCCGGUCAGCGAGUCGGGGGUCCAAGGGGGCGACGCGCCCCUGGCUUGGGGGCCCGGGGGCGCAGCGAAGCCCCCGGUGGGGGUUCGGGGGCAACGCCCCCGAGGCUUAUGGUCUAUAGUUAGUUGGGCUAGCUUUCGGUCAAGUGAAGGCCCAAGGGGCUGGCCGAACUUUCCUUGUUAUUUUUCCAGUUAUUAGGUCUUAGUCACGGCUAUUAAUAGCCUGAAACCGCAUGUUACAUUCAGUUUUUGAGAGUAUUGAAUAAAAUUUCCAGAAUUUCGUCCAUUCCUUGUGGCAAAUUCCCUUAGCUUGUGAAAGCUAAGUUGAACAUCCUAGAGUCGAUCCUAGGCUGUUCUUGACUUAUCAAUCAAGCACACAUACUUGAUUGUGGCGUCCUCUACCGUUAAAUCUGUUCUUGAGUGGUCCAAGUUCGGGUUCAACUCCAUCCAAUCUUCAUCGUGUUCCUCUAGAUCCGAAGUAGCUUCCGUGUCUCGCAUCAUCAAGCCUAUAAUUGUUAGUCUUAGUCAAGACCACAACUCUAGACUAGUUCCACAUUUAGUUGUUCAUCUCUAUGUAAGGCUAUAAAUAGCCCACACUUCCAAUGGUUUAGGCAUUUCAAUCAAUAAAUCAGAUUUUGAGAGUUUUCUUGGUUUCUCCAAGGCUUCUUGAAUACCUUAGAAUUUCUCUAGGUGCUCGUGACUUAUCAAUCUAGAAUCGCACUUGGUUGUGGCGUCUUCUACCAUUAUACCAAGGUUCGUUAACCACGUGAUUAACGGAUUGAGGUCAUCCGCUUCAAACUUGGUGUCCUCUUGUCGAUCCUGAAGCUAAUCUUUUACGGGUUUCGUCACAAGGUUGGCGACGUUCGUAUCAGUUGGUAAUCAGAGCUAAUUAAGAGGUAUCACGUUAUAUCCUUUUUUUUAUUUGCUUUUCGAGUCAAGUUGUCGAAAAUUCUGUUUUCGUGUUCUAAGUUGCUAUCCGCAAUUUCCAGAUUUGUUACUUCGUGUUCUUGCGUUAUUUUUCCAGAUUUGUUACGACAUAAACUUGUGUCUAGUUGUUGUUAAUUGCUGUGGUUAGCCUGGUUUGGUCCAGCCUUUUUUUUUGUGUCUUAUUCUUGAUUCUUUGUUUGAGUCUUGUUUCUAUCCUGUUAUAUCCAUUCAAUUCCAGUCUUUUGUUCUAUUUGAUCAUUCGAGGUUACUGUUCAUCCGAAAAAAAUCAGUUUGUAGCAAGGGUUUUAGAGUCCUAUCUAGUUAUUACCUUGUGUUCUUGUUUACAUACAAAAAAAAAAAAUAGCUGGCUAACCUUACAAAACUUGAUCAAAAAUUCCUGCAAAUCUGUCUUGAUCAAAACUUGGGUUUCUUGAAGUUCCUGAUUGUUUAAAACCACAAUCUUGAAGUUCUUGAAACUUUAGUUGGGAUUCUUGAAGACAACCAAAAUCUGUCUUGAUCAAAUCGUGAAAUCUUGGAUUGUUUGGGGAGGAAAUCAUCUUCAAUUUCGUAUUUCUUGAAUUCUGGAAAUUAACAUCUUGAAUUCUUGAAAGAAUCUUGAAGUUUCUGGGUUUUGGGAACCAAAUCUUGGUAAACAACAAGGCAACAAAAUUCCAGCUGCCAAAAUCCUUGUCUUCACCACAACAAUCUUCUUUCUUGACUAAGAACAUUUUAGCCACGAAAUUUGACUCUUCUUGGCUGAUUAUAAAACAAAAACAAAGGAAGAAGAAGAACAUUUAGCCUAUUCAAGUCAAAUUUCCCAACCUAUUCAAGUCAAAUUUUCCAACCUGUUCAAGUCAAAUUUUCCACCCUUGUUCCCAAAAACAACCAAAUCAGUUCCAAUCUUGAACUUGACCUUAGAAUUUGUGGGAACCAGCAAAUAGGAAAACUAAUCCUUGUUUCCAAAGGAUCAAGAAAGAAAAGUCAGCCUUGGGUUUCCAAAACAAUCCUACCGCAACACAAAUUCAUCUUCCAUUCAGAUUCCAUCUUUGCAACCAUUGGGGAUUUCUGUCCAAUCAUUAAUUCUGAAAAUUUUCGUGCAUCAUUAGGUCAGUUUUAAGUGUCUUUCUGAAUCCUCUAAGUGUCCAUUUACCUACCAAAACACUGACCAGAAAUGCAGCAACUAGCAGCUCAAAAUUCCAGUUUUGGGUAGAGUUUUGUCUAGGAUCCUUAAAAUUCAACUUUGAGUCAUUCAUUGAGUCGUGGUUAGUCCCUUCAUCUUUUGUUCUUUUUUUUUUUCGUUCAAAGUGCUACAAUCUUGUGACCCUGGUUGGUAAGUCGAUCCACACUAGAAGGAGUUCUAACUUCUUCGAGGAGUUGACUGAGGAGCCUUGAAAAUACCUUGGUGAAUUCAUUAGAGUGUUCAAACACGAGAGCGAGAGUAAACACGUGAGGAAGUGUGCGAGAUAAACUUUGCUUCUUUCCAUUAUUAUUUUUUUCCCUACCAUGGCUAACGAGGGGGGAGCAAGCUCCCAAGCUUUUGAUCUUAAACUUUUCACAGAAGCAAUCAAAGGCGAAUUGGGACGCAUGAUGGACCAAAAACUUGAACUGACAGCUUAGAGUUGUCUCAUGGAAGCUCCAAAGGCAGCCGUGGAAAGGCUUAUGCAGAUGAGUCUAGCGACUCUAACUCAGACAACAAUUAUGAGCAUAAGCAAAGUAGGUCCAAGCGCAAUGCUAGGCCUUCAAAUGACCACAUUCCGGGCAUAAAGAUGAAAAUUCCGCCUUUCCAAGGACGAUCAGACCCCGAUGCCUACUUAGAGUGGGAGAAGCGGAUUGAACUUGUCUUCGAUUGCAAUACUUACUCGGAGGAGCAAAAGGUCAAGUUGGCCGUGGUCGAAUUCACCGACUACGCCGUUGUGUGGUGGGAUCAACUCUCCACUAGUAGAAGGAGGAGUCGUGAACCUACCAUACACACUUGGACGGAGCUAAGACGACUAAUGAGGAAGCAUUUCGUACCAAGUCACUACUACCGUGACUUGUACCAAAAGCUUCAAACCCUCAACCAAGGAGCACGAAGUGUCGAGGACUAUCACAAGGAAAUGGAAAUACUCAUGCUACGGGCAGACAUCACGGAGGAUCGAGAAGCAACAAUGGCAGGCUUCUUGAACGGACUAAGGCCCGAAAUCGCUGACCAAGUAGAGUUACACCACUAUGUGGAACUUGGGGAUUUGGUGGAAAAGGCCAUCAAGAUUGAAAGGAGGAUUAAGAGGAGGGGUUCGACUCGGAGUUACUCCAACUUUUCACCCUCUUAUCUCCUAACUACACCACCAAAGAAAGAGGAUAAAGGGCCGAGUAAUUCCAUCCCUUCAAGACCAAGGCGGGAUAUGACUAAGUGGGAGUCUAAGGCAACACCAAAGACUGCCAUUGAGUCGAGCAUGGGGCGAAAUCGAGAUACUAGAUGCUUCAAAUGCCAAGGCCGAGGGCAUAUUGCUAGCCAAUGCCCGAACCAAUGCACUAUGAUCAUCUUACCCAAUGGUGAGUUUCUCACCGAUGAUGAGGAUGAGAAGGAGGAGUUGCCAUCCCUUGAGGAAGAAGAGGAAGCAUUGCCUGUCGAUGAACGAGUUGGACUCGUUGUUAGACGAGCCUUAGCAACCCAAGUGAAAGCUGCCGACCAUGCACAAAGGGAGAACAUUUUCUACACCCGUUGCUAUAUCAAAGGCAAGGUAUGUAGUUUGAUCAUAGAUGGAGGUAGUUGUGCUAACGUCGCUAGUGCCUUGAUGGUGGAGAAACUAGCACUACCCACUCUACGACAUCCAACACCUUAUCGUUUGCAAUGGUUGAACGAUAGUGGGGAUGUUCGUGUGACCAAGCAAGUCCAAGUACCUUUCCGAAUUGGAAAGUAUGAGGACGUGGUGUUAUGCGACGUGGUCCCUAUGCAAGCAUGUCACAUACUAUUGGGGAGACCAUGGCAAUUCGACAAGGGAGUUACAUUCGAUGGCAUUACCAAUAAAUACUCCUUCAAGCAAGGCGAGAAGAGGAUUGUGCUUGUGCCACUCACUCCUAUCCAAGUUCGUGAAGAUCAAGAAAGCCUGAUCAAGGAGAGCGAGCUUGAGAAUGAGAAGAAAAAAAUAGAAAAAAUCGAGAGCUCAACAGAAAAUGAUAAGGCCGAGAAAAUUGAGAGGAAAAAAACAUAUAGUGAGCCGGCCAAAAUUGAAAAGAGAGAGAAAAGGCAAAAUCUAUUGAUAAAAGCCAAUGUAGUAAGAAAAGCUUUGAGUGUUAAUACACCCAUCUUUGUACUUUUGUGCAAAGAGGUGUUGGUUGUUACAAGUGAUCUUACUAACACUCUACCAACUAGUAUUGUCUCUCUUUUGCAGGAUUAUGAGGAUGUCUUUCCCGAUGAGAUUCCAAAUGGACUACCACCAAUAAGGGGAAUUGAGCAUCAAAUUGACUUGGUUCCAGGUGCCCCACUUCCUAACAGACCAGCCUACAAAAUGGGUCCAGAUGAGACAAAGGAGCUCCAACGCCAAAUCGAAGAGCUUCUAACAAAGGGAUGGGCACGAGAAAGCUUGAGCCCAUGUGCGGUUCCCGUCAUCUUGGUGCCUAAAAAGGAUGGAAGUUGGCGAAUGUGCACUGACUGUAGGGCUGUUAAUGCAAUAACGGUAAAAUAUCGUCACCCUAUUCCUAGACUUGAUGAUAUGUUAGAUGAGCUAUAUGGUGCUGUGAUUUUCACUAAAAUUGAUCUAAAAAGCGGUUAUCAUCAAAUUAGGAUGAAAGAGGGGGAUGAAUGGAAAACGGCCUUUAAAACCAAACAUGGCUUGUACGAGUGGUUAGUUAUGCCAUUUGGACUAACUAAUGCACCUAGUACGUUCAUGAGGUUGAUGAACCAUGUACUUCGUCCAUUCCUUGGAAAAUUUGUAGUUGUAUAUUUUGACGAUAUCCUGAUUUAUAGUAGGAGCUUCGAUGAGCAUGUUGAACAUGUGAAGCUUGUUCUUGAUGUACUUCGAAGGGAAAAGCUCUAUGCUAACCUUAAGAAGUGCUCCUUUUGUACUGAUCAACUUGUCUUCCUAGGCUUUGUUGUGAGUAAACAGGGAAUCAAAGUGGACGAGGAGAAGGUUAAACCAAUUCGAGAAUGGCCUACUCCAAGCACGGUGGGUGAGGUACGUAGCUUCCAUGGUCUUGCUAGUUUUUAUAGACGAUUUGUUAAAGAUUUUAGUACCAUUACUGCACCUCUAACUGCUGUAAUUAAGAAAAAUGAGCCAUUUGUGUGGAGAGAUGCUCAAGUACGUGCUUUCCAAAUGCUUAAACAUCAACUCACACAUGCACCACUACUUGCAUUACCAUGCUUUGACAAGAUGUUUGAAAUAGAGUGUGAUGCAUCUGGGGUGGGUAUUGGAGCUGUCCUAAUGCAAGAGGGCAAACCAAUUGCAUACUUUAGUGAAAAACUCAAUGGAGCAGCUUUGAACUAUUCCACUUAUGAUAAGGAGUUGUACUCCUUAAUCCGUGCUUUAGAAACUUGGCAACAUUACUUGAGACCAAGGGAAUUUGUCAUACACACUGAUCAUGAGUCGCUUAAGCACAUUAAGUCACAACACAAGUUGAAUAAGCGUCAUGUUAGAUGGAUUGCAUUUAUUGAAACCUUCCCUUAUGUGAUUAAGUACAAAGUGGGGAAAACUAAUGUUGUUGCUGAUGCAUUAUCACGUCGGUACUCUUUGCUCACUCAACUUGAUGCAAGGUUGUUAGGAUUUGAAUUAGUUAAAGAGUUAUACACCAAUGACCCAGAUUUCUCAGGUAUUUAUGAUUCUUGUGGUUCAGCAACUCAAGGUAAAUUCUACAUCCUUGAUGGAUUUCUUUUCUACCUCAAUCGACUAUGCAUACCUAAUUGCUCUAUUCGCUCUUUACUAGUUAGAGAAGCACACGGAGGUGGCUUGAUGGGACACUUUGGCGUGGCUAAAACCUUAGCUAUCCUUCAAGAGCACUUCCAUUGGCCAAGGAUGAAACGAGAUGUGGAGCGAAUGGUGGCUAAAUGCAUUACUUGCCACAAAUCUAAGUCUAAACUUCAACCCUAUGGCCUUUAUAGUCCUUUACCUGUACCUAAGGAACCUUGGACCGACAUUUCCAUGGAUUUUGUUUUAGGGUUGCCUAGGUCAAAGAGGGGAAAUGAUAGCAUCUUUGUUAUUGUUGACAGAUUUUCAAAAAUGGCACAUUUUAUACCAUGUCACAAAACAGAUGAUGCAUCGCACAUUGUUGAUUUGUUUUUCAAAGAAAUCAUUAGAUUGCAUGGCAUGCCUAGGACAAUUGUCUCUGAUAGGGAUGUCAAAUUUUUGAGUUACUUUUGGAAAACUUUGUGGGGAAAAUUGGGUACCAAAUUGCUAUUUUCUACUACUAGUCACCCACAAACUGAUGGCCAAACUGAGGUUGUCAAUCGUACACUAUCUACACUCUUGCGUGCCAUCAUUAGAAAAAACAUUAGAACCUGGGAAGAGUGUUUACCCCAUGUUGAGUUUGCAUACAAUCGCACGGUGCAUAGUUCUACUCAUUUUUCACCAUUUGAAAUAGUCUAUGAUUUUAACCCUUUAACACCACUAGACUUGUCACAUUUACCUUCUUCUGAGCACAUUAACAUGGAUGGUGCUAAACGAGCAGAUUUUGUCAAGAAAUUACACGAGCAGGUACGCCUAAACAUUGAGCGAAGGAUGGACCAAGUUGCUCAACGGGUUAACAAGGGACGCCAACGCGUUGUGUUUGAACCUGGUGACUGGGUGUGGUUACAUCUACGCAAGGAAAGGUUCCCAGUCCAAAGGCGCAAUAAAUUACUUCCCCGAGGAGAUGGGCCGUUCCAAGUCAUCAAGCGCAUCAAUGACAAUGCUUACAAACUGGACCUACCCGGUGAGUACAAUGUGAGCGCUACAUUCAAUGUCUCUGAUCUAUCUCCUUUUCUUGCAGACGAUGAAGCUGAUUUGAGGACAAAUCCUUUUGAAGAGGAGGGGGAUGAUACGAACCAAGAGACACCAUUGAGAACUAUUCGAGUUUCCUUAGGACCCGUAACUCGAGCACGAGCUAAGAAGAUUAUGGAGGAACUCCAAGGACUUGUUCAUGAGAUACAAGGCCAAGAAAUUGUCCCCAAAGUCAUUGAGGGGCUUGAGCAUGAAGGAAUGAAAGUCAUCCAUGUAGUGCACGUCAAAGAGAACCAUGUGUGACCCUUCUCUAGUCACAUUUGCUGUUUUAGUUAAGUCAUUGUAAUAAGGGUUUAAUGGUCCAUAGCCUUGCUUUAUUUACCUAAGCGAUGACCUCAUAAGGUCAUUUACCUAAGCGAUGACCUCAUAAGGUUGUUUACCUAAGGGAUGACCUCAUAAGGUUUGGUCAAGCCUAUAAUUGUUAGUCUUAGUCAAGACCACAACUCUAGACUAGUUCCACAUUUAGUUGUUCAUCUCUAUGUAAGGCUAUAAAUAGCCCACACUUCCAAUGGUUUAGGCAUUUCAAUCAAUAAAUUAGAUUUUGAGAGUUUUCUUGGUUUCUCCAAGGCUUCUUGAAUACCUUAGAAUUUCUCUAGGUGUUCGUGACUUAUCAAUCUAGAAUCGCACUAGGUUGUGACGUCUUCUACCAUUAUACCAAGGUUCGUUAACCACGUGAUUAACGGGUUGAGGUCAUCCGCUUCAAACUUGGUGUCCUCUUGUCGAUCCUGAAGCUAAUCUUUUACGGGUUUCGUCACAAGGUUGGCGACGUUCGUAUCAUAUAUGCCCAUGACCAUGACUUUGGGGAAGUCUAUGCAUCUUGUAUGAAGAGUCCACAUGGAAAGUACUUCUUGCACAAUGGAUUUUUGUUUUAUAUGAAUAAAUUGUGUGUCCCUAAUCUUCCAUUCGUGAUCUUUUGAUUCGAGAGGCACAUAGUGGUGGUCUCAUGGGACACUUUAGCAUUGUUAAGACUCUAGCCAUGUUACAAGAGCACUUUUACUGGCCUCACAUGCGUAGGGAUGUUGAACGCAUGGUUGGUAGAUGUGUCACUUGUCAUAAGGCGAAGUCCGAAACAAAUCCAUACAGCCUAUAUACCCCAUUGCAUAUUCCUCACUAUCCUUGGGUAGACUUGUCUGUGGACUUUGUCUUAAGACUACCUAGGUCACCAAGGGGUAAUGAUUCCAUCUUUGUCGUAGUUGAUAGAUUCUCUAAGAUGGCACAUUUUAUCCCCUGUCACAAAACUGACGAUGCAUCUCACAUUCCUAAUUUGUUCUUCAAAGAAAUUGUCCGUUUGCAUGGCAUGUGAUACGAACCAAGAGACACCAUUGCGAACUAUUCGAGUUCCCCUAGGACCCGUAACUCGAGCACGAGCUAAGAAGAUGAGGGAGGAACUCCAAGGACUUGUUCAUGAGAUACAAGGCCAAGAAAUUGUCCCCAAGGUCAUUGAGGGGCUUGAGCAUGAAGGAAUGAAAGUCAUCCAUGUAGUGCACGUCAAAGAGAACCAUGUGUGACCCUUCUCUAGUCACAUGUGCUGUUUUAGUUAAGUCAUUGUAAUAAGGGUUUAAUGGUCCAUAGCCUUGCUUUAUUUACCUAAGCGAUGACCUCAUAAGGUCAUUUACCUAAGCGAUGACCUCAUAAGGUUUGGUCAAGCCUAUAAUUGUUAGUCUUAGUCAAGACCACAACUCUAGACUAGUUCCACAUUUAGUUGUUCAUCUCUAUGUAAGGCUAUAAAUAGCCCACACUUCCAAUGGUUUAUGCAUUCAAUCAAUAAAUCAGAUUUUGAGAGUUUUCUUGGUUUCUCCAAGGCUUCUUGAAUACCUUAGAAUUUCUCUAGGUGUUCGUGACUUAUCAAUCUAGAAUCGCACUAGGUUGUGGCGUCUUCUACCAUUAUACCAAGGUUCGUUAACCACGUGAUUAACGGGUUGAGGUCAUCCGCUUCAAACUUGGUGUCCUCUUGUCGAUCCUGAAGCUAAUCUUUUACGGGUUUCGUCACAAGGUUGGCGACGUUCGUAUCAGUUGGUAAUCAGAGCUAAUUAAGAGGUAUCACGUUAUAUCCUUUUUUUUUAUUUGCUUUUCGAGUCAAGUUGUCGAAAAUUCUGUUUUCGUGUUCUAAGUUGCUAUCCGCAAUUUCCAGAUUUGUUACUUCGUGUUCUUGCGUUAUUUUUCCAGAUUUGUUACGACAUAAACUUGUGUCUAGUUGUUGUUAAUUGCUGUGGUUAGCCUGGUUUGGUCCAGCCUUUUUUUUUGUGUCUUAUUCUUGAUUCCUUGUUUGAGUCUUGUUUCUAUCCUGUUAUAUCCAUUCAAUUCCAGUCUUUUGUUCUAUUUGAUCAUUCGAGGUUACUGUUCAUCCGAAAAAAAUCAGUUUGUAGCAAGGGUUUUAGAGUCCUAUCUAGUUAUUACCUUGUGUUCUUGUUUACAUACAAAAAAAAAAAUAGCUGGCUAACCUUACAAAAAUUCCUGGAAAUCUGUCUUGACCAAAACUUGGGUUUCUUGAAGUUCCUGAUUGUUUAAAACCACAAUCUUGAAGUUCUUGGAACUUUAGUUGGGAUUCUUGAAGCCAACCAAAAUCUGUCUUGAUCAAAUCGUGAAAUCUUGGAUUGUUUAGGGAGGAAAUCAUCUUCAAUUUUGUGUUUCUUGAAUUCUGGGAAUUAACAUCUUGAAUUCUUGAAAGAAUCUUGAAGUUUCUGGGUUUUGGGAACCAAAUCUUGGUAAACAACAAGGCUGCAAAUUUUCAGCUGCCAAAAUCCUUGUCUUCACCACAACAAUCUUCUUUCUUGACUAAGAACAUUUUAGCCACGAAAUUUGGCUCUUCUUGGCUGAUUAGAAAACAAAAACAAAGGAAGAAGAAGAAUAUUCAGCCUAUUCAAGUCAAAUUUCCCAACCUAUUCAAGUCAAAUUUUCCAACCUGUUCAAGUCAAAUUUUCCACCCUUGUUCCCAAAAACAACCAAAUCAGUUCCAAUCUUGAACUUGACCUUAGAAUUUAUGGGAACCAGCAAAUAGGAAGACUAAUCCUUGUUUCCAAAGGAUUAAAGAAGAAAAGUCAGCCUUGGGUUUCCAAAACAGUCCUACCACAACACAAAUUCAUCUUCCAUUCGGAUUCCAUCUUUGCAACCAUUGGGGAAUUUCUGUCCAAUCAUUAAUUCUGGAAAUUUUCGUGCAUCAUUAGGUUAGUUUUAAGUGUCAUUCUGAAUCCUCUAAGUGUCCAUUUAUCUACCAAAACACUGCCCAGAAAUGCAGCAACCAGCAGCUCAAAAUUCCAGUUUUGGGUAGAGUUUUUGUCUAGGAUCCUUAAAAUUCAACUUUGAGUCAUUCAUUGAGUCGUGGUCAGUCCCUUCAUCUUUUGUUCUUUUUUCGUUCAAAGUGCUACAAUCUUGUGACCCUGGUUGGUAAGUCGAUCCACACUAGAAGGAGUUCUAACUUCUUCGAGGAGUUGACCGAGGAGCCUUGAAAAUACCUUGGUGAGUUCUUAGAGUGUUCAAACACGAGAGCGAGAGUAAACACGUGAGGAAGUGUGCGAGAUAAACUUUGCUUCUUUCCAUUAUUAUUUUUUUUUACCCUACCAUGGCUAACGAGGGGGGAGCAAGCUCCCAAGCUUUUGAUCUUAAACUUUUCACAGAAGCAAUCAAAGGCGAAUUGGGACGCAUGAUGGACCAAAAACUUGAACUGAUGCACCAACGCAUUGACAGCUUAGAGUUGUCUCAUGGAAGCUCCAAAGGCAGCCGUGGAAAGGCUUAUGCAGAUGAGUCUAGCGACUCUAACUCAGACAACAAUUAUGAGCAUAAGCAAAGUAGGUCCAAGCGUGAUGCUAGGCCUUCAAAUGACCACAUUCCGGGCAUAAAGAUGAAAAUUCCGCCUUUCCAAGGACGAUCAGACCCCGAUGCCUACUUAGAGUGGGAGAAGCGGAUUGAACUUGUCUUCGAUUGCAAUACUUACUCGGAGGAGCAAAAGGUCAAGUUGGCCGUGGUCGAAUUCACCGACUACGCCGUUGUGUGGUGGGAUCAACUCUCCACUAGUCGAAGGAGGAGUCGUGAACCUACCAUACACACUUGGACGGAGCUAAGACGACUAAUGAGGAAGCGUUUCGUACCAAGUCACUACUACCGUGACUUGUACCAAAAGCUUCAAACCCUCAACCAAGGAGCACGAAGUGUCGAGGACUAUCACAAGGAAAUGGAAAUACUCAUGCUACGGGCAGACAUCAUGGAGGAUCGAGAAGCAACAAUGGCACGCUUCUUGAACGGACUAAGGCCCGAAAUCGCUGACCAAGUAGAGUUACACCACUAUGUGGAACUUGGGGAUUUGGUGGAAAAGGCCAUCAAGAUUGAAAGGAGGAUUAAGAGGAGGGGUUCGACUCGGAGUUACUCCAACUUUUCACCCUCUUAUCUCCGAACUACACCACCAAAGAAAGAGGAUAAAGGGCCGAGUAAUUCCAUCCCUUCAAGACCAAGGCCGGAUAUGACUAAGUGGGAGUCUAAGGCAACACCAAAGACUGCCAUUGAGUCGAGCAUGGGGCGAAAUCGAGAUACUAGAUGCUUCAAAUGCCAAGGCCGAGGGCAUAUUGCUAGCCAAUGCCCGAACCAACGCACUAUGAUCAUCUUACCCAAUGGUGAGUUUUUCACCGAUGAUGAAGAUGAGAAGGAGGAGUUGCCAUCCCUUGAGGAAGAAGAGGAAGCAUUACCCGUCGAUGAACGAGUUGGACUCGUUGUCAGACGAGCCUUAGCAACCCAAGUGAAAGCUGCCGACCAUGCACAAAGGGAGAACAUUUUCUACACCCGUUGCUAUAUCAAAGGCAAGGUAUGUAGUUUGAUCAUAGAUGGAGGUAGUUGUGCUAACGUCGCUAGUGCCUUGAUGGUGGAGAAACUAGCACUAUCCACUCUACGACAUCCAACACCUUAUCGUUUGCAAUGGUUGAACGAUAGUGGGGAUGUUCGUGUGACCAAGCAAGUCCAAGUACCUUUCCGAAUUGGAUAAGUAUGAGGACGUGGUGUUAUGCGACGUGGUCCCUAUGCAAGCAUGUCACAUACUAUUGGGGAGACCAUGGCAAUUCGACAAGGGAGUUACAUUCGAUGGCAUUACCAAUAAAUACUCCUUCAAGCAAAGCGAGAAGAGGAUUGUGCUUGUGCCACUCACUCCUAUCCAAGUUCGUGAAGAUCAAGAAAACCUGAUCAAGGAGAGCGAGCUUGAGAAUGAGAAGAAAAAAAUAAAAAAAAUCGAGAGCUCAACCGAAAAUGAUAAGGCCGAGAAAAUUGAGAGGAAAAAAACAUAUAGUGAGCCGGCCAAAAUUGAAAAGAGAGAGAAAAGGCAAAAUCUAUUGAUAAAAGCCAAUGUAGUAAGAAAAGCUUUGAGUGUUAAUACACCCAUCUUUGUACUUUUGUGCAAAGAGGUGUUGGUUGUUACAAGUGAUCUUACUAACACUCUACCAACUAGUAUUGUCUCUCUCUUGCAGGAUUAUGAGGAUGUCUUUCCCGAUGAGAUUCCAAAUGGACUACCACCAAUAAGGGGAAUUGAGCAUCAAAUUGACUUGGUUCCAGGUGCCCCACUUCCUAACAGACCAGCCUACAAAAUGCGUCCAGAUGAGACAAAGGAGCUCCAACGCCAAAUCGAAGAGCCCCCAUUCAAGGCUUUAUUCUUCCCAUGAAAUAGCUUCAACUCAAGCAUAUAAAUAUCAAGCCAACAACUCACUACAUCAAGCAUAUAACUGUCACCUAUUCAAGUUAGAAAAUGAAACCUCAAGCUGAAAUUCCUAAUCACAAGCUAGAAGUUUCUUUAGGCAAGUCAAACUAGCAUAUAAAAGCUAGAUAUUUCACAUAACAAAACUACCAAACCAUGGCCAACACUUAAGUAUCAUGUGUGGACAGAAAAGUACCAUAAAACUGAAAAUUUCACACAACAACUCAAAUCAUGAUAUUUUCUCAUAAAACAACCGAAAUUGAAACCCUAAACCUCCAGUUUGCAUAUAUUAAAGUAGAGGAAAGUUUAUUGUCAAUGUUACCCUGUAACCUCAAGAAAGAUGAAAACUUAGAACUUCUUCCUCCAAAAUCACUCCACCAACACCUUGAAAUCUACCUUAGUUAUCAUUUCUAUAGAGUAGUUUGCAAAUUAGUUAGUUGAAACUCAAAAUUCAAGUACAAAUUGAGGUUAGAGUUGAAGGUCUCUCUUUGAUUUUUCUUCUCCAUUUGUUCAGCCAAGCAAGAGGAAAAUGAAAACAAUUUGGUCAACUUUUUGAUUUAGUCGAGGUGAAAAAUGUGACAUAAACUUUAAUCUUGGUAAAAGAAGAGUUAAAACUUGGCUACUAUUCUUGCUAGCUCUCAAACCCAUACACUAUCCAUUGAAUAAUUUCUUCCUUUCGAAUGACAAACGAAAAAUUUUUGCUUAACUUAAAGACUAAAUAUAGGGAUAGAUUCAUGGGCAAGGAUCCAAUACUGCCCAACCACCAAUUUUUUUUAUAGCACUUAUUAAAAUGGCAGGUAUCAUGUUCACUGUUCCUAACGAGAAUACACUUACUACAUAAAAAUUUCACUACGCAUAAUUCAAUGAUUACAACUAUUUCAGGUAAAAUCUCACUAAUGGCUAACUUUGACUAGGAAUGUCUUAAGAUGCUAUUCGAUUAGACAAAUGCACUAAUUCAAACUCAUUCCGCACCUCUUCUAGAAUCCCUUUGUAUUUCUUUUUAAAUUCUAUGUUCUGAUGCAGUGGUUCAAUUUUCUCCAAGUAUUCUUGUUCUCAUCAUCCUCCCAGUACUCAGCUAAUCUCUUUUGGAACUCUACUUCCAUUCGAAUAAUCUCUAUUUUCUUAUGCAGAUCAGUCAUUUUGUCAUCUCACCGAUUCACUUAACUCGAUGAUAGCUUGCCAGGCAAAUCAAAGGAGCAGAAUAAGUAACUAUUUACAAUUGGAACUCUAGUCAUAUAACUUUUGAGCUCAUUCACUUCCAAUCUAACCACGAGGAAUUAAACUUAGCUAUUUUCAAAUGAGAUAGACAAGGGAGUAGAAUACAGGUAGGGCAAUAUCUCAAAAUAUUAUGCCACUCAUUCUUAUUUGGGGAGUUUAACAUAAGGAGUAUUCUUAUUACUUAUGUACAUAAUGAAAUCCUAAAGUGUACUUCGUAUCUCAAAAGUUUCACACCCUAUCUCAAGCUUUUGUAUACAGGUAUAGAAUCCAAUUCUUUUCUCAAAUCCCCAUGCAUAAUUCCAAAACUCACGAUCUCGCCACGAUAAUAAUCGAGUCAAGUCCAUACUUAGACAUUAGUGGAUAGUUGUUAAGGAGUAUAGGAAAGAAUAUCACAAGAGGGGUAGAAAUAUCCAUAUAGUUGCAAUCAAACCACCUCAUAUUCAAAAUAAACACUUAUCAAGUCUUCACAGUCAUAGGAGAAGGAAAUAGGUCUUCAGUGCAAAUCUCUCGACGUACACUAUAAUUUAGCCACCGUCUAUAGAAACCCUAACAGACUAUUUCUAGAUUAGUCCAUGAUAACUUCCGAGAUCCAUUCCCUCAAUCAGUCCAUUAACUAGGUCAAGUGUUAGAAUCUUUCGCGCCUGACUUUUACCAUUAAAAUUUAUCUCAAGUGCAAUCAAGAUAUAGACCAUUAUUCCAGUGCUCUCCACUUUUGGUACUCAAGUACAAGAAUCCACAAUAAGGUAAUUCACAACUCGAGCCGGCCGGUCCCAAGAGUAAAUCACCCGUAUUAGAGAUUCCUACCCGACGUACAUACCUAUUUCUCCCAAGGACAUUGAUAAGGGUUUAUACUUAUAAUAGUCAUGAUUCAUAGCUUACGCCCAAAAACACCACUUGACCCCAAACUCACUCCGCGCAGGGACCACGUGAAGCAGCAAAAUAUCUUCCAUUCUUUCAAACCAGUUCUCGGCAGCUUUGGAAUCUGGUCCUCUAAGAAAUUUAAGGGAAGCGAACUUUGGAACCGUCUCAGGGCCCUAUCUUCACUUACUUCAAGGUUCCUUUACUAGUUACCCGAUACUUGACCUCGAUGGUCAACGAAACGGGCCAGUAAACAUUAGAUCAGUCAUACAAUUGAUAGCUGUAGCUACCUGGACUUCUUCUCCACAUUCGGGUCCUUGGUUCUAAUUGACUACAGACCUUUAUUCCUCCUCUUAUUCUUGGACCUACCUAGAUCCACACUCAUGGCCCCUACUAUACUGUCAUCUAGUCUCCAUUAUUACUCACUAGUCUAGGGCCUUAAGUAUUAUAACUAAUGGGUGAGUACGCGUCGAUACAUAACAGAUACUUAUUCAUUCUAAAAAAACUAAAUAAAAGGAAAAUCAGAGUCACGAUAGGCGAGUAAAAUGCAAAGUAAUUUGAAUGCGAUGCCAAAAUAAAGUCAUAGCCAAAAUCAAAAGUCAAGUCAAAGGUCAAAAGUCAAAUCAUAAGGUCAUUUACCUAAGCGAUGACCUCAUAAGGUUGUUUACCUAAGGGAUGACCUCAUAAGGUUUGGUCAAGCCUAUAAUUGUUAGUCUUAGUCAAGACCACAACUCUAGACUAGUUCCACAUUUAGUUGUUCAUCUCUAUGUAAGGCUAUAAAUAGCCCACACUUCCAAUGGUUUAGGCAUUCAAUCAAUAAAAUUCAAGAUUUUGAGAGUUGCUUGAUUUCUCCAAGCUUCUUGAAUACCUCUAAAUUUCUCUAGUGUUCGUGACUUAUCAAUCUAGAAUGCGCACUAGGUGUGCAGUCUUCUACCAUUAUACAAAGGUUCGUUAACCACGUGAUUAACGGGUUGAGGUCAUCCGCUUCAAACUUGGUGUCCUCUUGUCGAUCCUGAAGCUAAUCUUUUACGGGUUUCGUCACAAGGUUGGCGACGUUCGUAUCAGCAUGCCUAAGACCAUUGUUAGUGAUAGAGAUGUAAAGUUCUUGAGUUACUUUUGGAAGACUUUGUGGUCUAAACUGGGCAUUAGAUUAUUAUUCUCCACCACCAGUCAUCCACAAAGCGAUAGACAAACUGAAGUUGUCAAUCACACACUUGGCACUCUACUUCGGGCUUUGAUUGAAAAGAAUCUUAAAACUUGGGAAGAGUGUUUGCCUUAUGUCGAACUGGCCUACAAUCGAACUGUUCAUAGUGCCACACACUACUCACUUUUUGAGAUUGUUUAUGGCUUUAACCCGCUGACCCCCCUUGAUUUAGUACCCUUACCUUCCUCUGAGCACACAAGCUUAGAUAGGAAAAAGAAAUCCGAUUUUGUGUGCAGGUUACAUGAAGCCGUUCGAACAAACAUUGAGAGGCAUACUCAAUAAUACAUCCAGCAAGCCAACAAGCACCGUUAUAAGAUGGUUUUUGAACUUGGAGAUUGGGUUUGGCUACACUUGCGAAAAGAGAGAUUUCCCAAGCAGCGUCAAAGCAAGUUGUCCCCAAGAGGUGAUGGAUCCUUUCGAGUACUCCAACGAGUCAAUGACAACGCUUACAAAUUGGAGCUACCUGGGGAAUACAAUGUUAGCAUGACCUUCAAUGUCGCGGAUUUGAGCCCGUACCUUGACGAGGAGGAUCUAGAUUUGAGGGCAAAUCCUUCUCAAGAGAAGGGGACUAAUGUGUGCAUGGACCUCAGCCCACGUAAUAACCCAAUCCGAGUUCCAUUGGGCCCAGUCACACGUGCACUAGCCAAGCUCUUCAAAGAAUCCCUCCAAGGCCUUAUUCGAAUGGUCCAAGACGAACAUGGAGUCCAUAGAGAUAUUGAAGGCUUCGAAGGAGACAAGCAAGUCAUCCACACCAUGAUCCAAGCCCAUGAAGAGUCAAGUGGGCCUCCAAGUGAAUUGGCCGAAUAGAGCUUUAGGCCUUGUGUUUACUUAGAGUAGAUUAGUAGCUUUAGGAGAGCAUGGGCUGGCCCAUCCUGACACCAAGAUGGCUGAAUGCUUCCCUUAGCUUUUUAGUAACCUUUAGCCUAUAAAAAGGCUAGCUUUGUAAGGUUUUAGGGAGACGUUUUAUCAAUAAAACUUUGAUUAUUUCGGUUCUUCUUAGUAAGAGGGAUUCAAGCCUUUACUUGCUCUUGGCAAGGGAGUUGAGCAAUCUUGCAUCUUGUCCUUGAUUGUUCCAUCGACCUAUCCACUGGAGUAUCCACCUACCAUUGGAGUCGUCGUUCUACCGCCUUUAAUCAAAUCACACGCCCGUUUGAUUCUAGGUUCUGCAAUCCAAGCGUUGGACUGCCUUGCUAGAUCCUUGGGCAACGUGCUAUGUGUCUCAAACAAGUUGAUCGAGGACUGUAUCAAAGCCUCAGGGUUGUUUUUGCCUUGGAAUGAAUCUUAAGUCCCUUGAUCUCAUUCUUGGGUGUAUCCCUCCUUGGUCUCUCGGCCCUUUCCUCAUUCUCACUAGCCGAAUUUUCAUCACUAUGUGAACCUUUGGUGCCAUGGUUACUUCUGUUGCGCGAUCUGGAACGAGAGUCCCUCGUGAGCCUCUUGGAUAGCUCAUCAAAACUAGUGUGCAAUUCGCCUGAGCUCAUUCUUCAUGGUCGUGAACAUCAAUGAGUAGUCAUUGGUUGGUUGAGCUUGCUCCAUGUCACUCUCUUAGUCCUGCAAAAGGUUAGUGAAUAAGAAAAUAGAGCAAAUAGAACCUUACUUCACUCCCUUAGUGUUUCACUCACUCUCGUAUGUUCACUCAAAGCACUCUAAGGAUAUUACCAAAUUACCUUUACCUGUUGGAUUAGGUAGUUGAGAAAUGCCGCACAAGUCCAAUAAAUGUCACCAAUUAUCCACACAAUUAAUCAAGAAGGCGAGACACAAAGCGGAUGCAAAAGGAAGCAAGAAUGCACAGUUUUUGGAAGAUUCCAAGUGGCGGAUAGCAAUGGAAGAGGCGCUAAUGUGAAUAAGAACAAAUGAAACCCUAGCUUCCUAAAAUGAAGGAGUGCAUUCCUAAAACGUAGAAGUGUGUUCCUAAAAUGUAGGAGUGUGUCCAAGUGGAAACAAAAGAGUUAUCCAAGCUAUCUACUUAGUUUCCUAAUUGAUUUUGGAAAACAAGUUAGUUUGGAAACCUUUUAGAAAAACCUUUUCUUGAACAACUUUAUUAGCUUCCAAAUUCCUUUCCAAGAAGAAUCGCAAAUCAGAUUUGGUGUCCAACUCCUCCAACUGAAAAUUCAGAUUGUUCUCCUUUCCAAUUCCCUUUACUAAGUCGGUUGGGACUCUAUAAAAGCCCCAAGCAAAUCCGACACUCUCACACACUCAAGACCAGAUUUGGAUUUGGCCUCCUUUGUACAACCCCUCAAGAUAAUUUUCAGUCCUCUCUCACAACAAUGGAGAACCAACAAAGUGAUGCACACAACCCUACUCAAGCUCCCAAGAAAUUCACUCCAAAACUAAGGAAACCCUUUACCACUGCAAGGGAGUACAAAAAGAUGUUUACUCAAAGGGUGAUGAAACAAGCUCCCAAGAAACAAGAAAUUCAAGAACUCCAAGAGGUGGAGGAUCAAAACUUUUGAGUACUUUUCCUUUUGUUUGAAUUUUCUGUUUUUGGGGUAUAAAGCACACUGUAAGAAACUGAUUUGGCAAUAAAAUUCAACUUUCCUAUCUUUUUUUUUUUUUUUUUACUCUUGCCACCCGAAUGGCUUUCUUUCUUUUCUUUUUGUUUCUAUUUUUUUUGACUUAACAAAUGUCACAAGCACUUGGCCGAAUGGAUCAAAACCAAAAUCUGGUCAGCCCUCUAUCUUCCCCACAAUCAGCGAUCAAGAACUCCAAGUUCUUACAAGGACUUCCAAGAUAAUUAUCAAGAACUUCAAGAACUUCAAAAUAGCAAUCAAGAAAUUCAAGAAACCUUAGAUUCUUGUAGGUUCUUUUCAAGAUUCGCAAGUACCAACUAAUUUCACCACAAAUCAGAUUUGAAAAUUAAGUGAAACAACUUGGAUGACUCACAACAAACUUGGACAGAUUUGGGACGAAGAAAAACCCUAGCUGCACAAACGAAACCCUAGCCGCUGCCCCACUUGUUUUCUUAUUGCUCAAGUGAUGACUAACGACCAAGACAGAUUUGACACAAACAACGAGCAAGGCUAUGGGCAGACUUGAUGAGCAACCUUCGGCCAACAACUAGAACAAAUUGCAGCAACACAUAAAGACUACACGGACAGAAUUUUGUUCUUCUUUUUUUUUUGGACAACAAGAUGCAAUAAUGACAGACAGAUUAGAAACAAGACUCGAUAACACGAACAGCAUGCAUGACACAAGGAACAAAAAUGACAUGGACAAAUUUUUUUUUUUAAUAAUGCAGCGGAAAUAACACAAACCCUAACGACACAACUACGAAAAAAACAAGGAUAUAAUGAAAGAUACCUCCACCUAACCUCUGGAGCCAACUGAUACGGUCCUCGAUCAACUCGUUUCAAGACACGUAGCACGUUUGCCCAAGGAUCUAGUGAGGUUGUCCAACGCUUGGAUUGCGGAACGGAUGACACGAAUUGAUUGAAGGUGGUAGGACGACGACUCCAAACGAGGUGAAUAUUCAAGUGGAUAGGUCGGUAGAACAAUCAAGGACAAUCCCGAGAUUGCUCAAGAACCCUUGCCAAAGCAAGUGAAAGGUUCGACUGCUUUCAAUAAUUGAAGAGAAACAAAUCAGAAUUUUAUUAUGAAAAUUGUGUGUCCUUUAACCGUACAAAGUGAGCCUUUAUAUAGGCUAAGGGGCUAAUGAAACCUAAGGAGGUUCGGCCACUCCUUGGACAAGGUGGGCUGACCCAUGAAUCAAUAAAACAAUCUAAUCCAACUCUAAACAAUUGAAACCUAGUACUAAGGCCUAAGGCCUAGUCGGCCAUCCCACUUAGGGCCCACUUGAUUUUUCAUGGGGUUGGAUCAUCGUGUAGACAAUUUGAUUAUUCUCUUCCAAGCCUUCAAUGUCCCUAUAAACUCCUUGUUGGUCUUGGACAUUCCGCACAAGGGCUUGGAGUGACUCCUUGAAGCGCUUGGCCCGUGCACGUGUGACUGGGCCCAAUGGAACUCGAACUGGGUCAUUACUUGGGCUAAGAUCCAUGAACACAUCAACUAGUGGUGUGUAUGACUUAAUGUAGUAGUUUAUGCAACUUUUGAAGACGUAAUUGUGUAAAUGGAACUCUCUUUUGCAUGAAGUCUAUUUUCUCAUUUUUAAGUAUCGAGUCCUAGCGCGAACUAGGCUGACGGUCUGUUAAGUCCUUUGGUACGUCUCAGGGGUAUUGUGGGGUCGUCACAGGUGGUAUCAGAGAGUAUAGAUUAAAGGACUUGGGUAGUUGGGAAAUAUGUUAUAGGACAUAUAAGUAUUCAAUUACCUUUAAGUUGAAUCGUAUUGAUUAAGAUGAAAUGCCGGAUAACUGAUUAAGUAAUAUUUUGUUGUGUAGGUAUGGAGGCUGGUGGACCUAACGAUAUCGGUGGACCUAGCGAUGUCGGAGUAAGAGCCAAGAGUGUAGGUGGACCGAUGAACUAGGUGGUGCAUCGACGAGUCCUUAGAUAUCAGAAGAGGGUCGAGGAGCCCUAUAUGUUAUAUUCUCCCUUCAGUCGGAUGAAUCGAUCGUGUGAGUGUCGACAUACUUAUGGAUACCCUGACGAGGUUGUUAUGGUUAUAGAUGGCGCGCGUCGUCGCCUAGGUAAGGCGGUUGACACUCUGAGGGCAUAGUUAGAGGAGGCCAAAGGAGUGGGCCAUGGACAGGCCAUGCACCUGCGUGACUUCGAGGCAGGGUUACGAGUUGAGGAGGAGCGGACGUAUACUCUCGAUCGUCAGCUUGAGGAGACCUACUGCCAUCUCUUUGCUUUGAAGGGUAGAUGAGAGAGAGAGGGAGCCCUUGGUAUUAUGCGAGACAAUGAGAUUCUUUUGGAUGUGGCUGCAGAGGUGCCACCUAGAGCUGGCGGCGCGAGGCCGAUAAAAAGGAAAAGACUCUAUGGGCUCUGUAGGGGAUUUCUACUAGGGCCGUUACUCUGACCUAUUUUGUUGACUCUUUUUGGAACCGGUGUGCUCAUGAACUAACAUGUUUUGUACUAGUUGGAUGUUGGCUAUUAUGUGGACUGAUAUGUGUAUACUUUUGCUGUGAAUUGUAUACAUAUAGUGUAUCAUAUUUUGAUAUUUUCAUUAUUUCGUGCCUUUUUAUAAUUUUCAAUGCUUUAAACUCAUACCAUAUUUUGUUCCCAAUUAUAGAAGUUAUAUAAAAAUCAAAUGGAGACCCGUGGUCGAGGUGGGGGUAGAGGACGAGGACAAGGAACUAAAGGGGUAACCAAUGAAAAUGCAAAUAGACAAGCCAAGACCCAAGUAGCUACAGCCAUACGGCGAAUGGUUGAUUUGUUAGAACAAAUGAUCAACCAACAGGGUCAAGACCAGGUACAACAUCUCGGAAAUCAUGAGGGAGAGGACCGUGCCUGUGAGGACCAAAACAUUUACUUAUUUUAAACUCAUAUUAUUGGCUUAUUUAAAUAUUUAUCCACCCAUUUUCUCUGAAUAAUUUAUUUUAACCCUUUUAGAACCAUUUACAUGGAACUAUGACUUGCCUAUAUUUUUAAAAUGUCCCAUUAAUAAAUUUAAUUUUUAGAAGCUCGUUUAGCGAAAUUUAGUAAAUACGUGUUUGGAGGCAAUAUUCGAUUUGAGAGUACAGUGACCUUGGAGAUUUGAGGACUCAUGCGUUAGUCUUAAAAUAGUUAUUUUAGGAUUAAUUACCCUAGUAUUGGUUAGUUAUAUCAUCGUUACAAGAAUUUCUUAGAAAUUGCACUUUAUAGCGCGCGAGUCGGAAGUUCGCAUUUCCACGCGUGCGACUAAUUGAAGGACUUUAGAAUUUAUUUUAGACUACUAAGAAUGAAUAAUAAUAGUGUUAAAGGAAGUGCAUUAGAGGUUUAGUGCACAACUGAAACAAACUCGAGAGAAAACGGACACGAAACUUGCGCUCGGGAAACACUAUUCAAAGUUGACUUUUGCUUAAAUUUGAACCACCAACCAUCAAACUUCUCCAAGAAGCCUUUUGGAUCAGCCUUUUCUCUCUCUUUUCAUCCUCAAGGGCCGGCCAUCCUCAAGCAAAGAAGAAGGAGAAGAGUCUCUUUUCAUUUCACCUCAUCUGAGCUUCCAUUUCACUCUAAAUUUCUCACACAAACUCACAAACACUUGGAGAUUCACUUGCCCUUGGUGGAGGACCUCAUUCUUGCCGGUUUUUCUUAGGAGUUUUGGGACAAAAAUUUCUGAUUUUGCACGAAGGAGUAGAAGGUAAUCAUCCGAUCACUUAAUCUUAGUUCUAGUUGGUUAAAUUUUGCUAGGAAGCUUGUAGCUUCAUGGUUAUUGUUGUGGAUUGAGUUUAAAUGUUGAGUGGGCUCUAUGAAAUCCCACAAUGGAUAUAUUGGACUGAUAUGGUGAUUAUGAGUGUUGUUGGUGUUAAUUAUGUGUUAAUCAAGUGGAUGUAAGUUGGAAAAGUGAAAGGAAAAUCAAAGGAAGAUUGUAUAGGAAGAGGCCGAAUUCUGCCCUGUUUUUGUCAAAGAUUUAAUCCAAAAUUUUGGUGCUCAAAUGACCUUGAAUCUGAUAUAGAUAUAUUGUGUAGGAUAUGUGGAAAGUUUUCACCAAAAAUCAUGUGAAUUUGUUGGGUAAAAGUUGAAAUUUCGAAAUGGUACAAAUCUGGAAAAUUGGGUUCGGGUGUUCUGGACAGAGCAUUUUUGAAUGACCAUAACUCUCUGCUCGGACGUCAAAAUCAAGUGCUAUUUGUGGCAUUUAAAAAUAGACAUCUGUAGUUUUCUAAUGGUAUAUCAUGCACCUUUUAAUUUGAAGUGAGUCAUCUGUAGUGACUGAUCAAAGUUAACUGCCCUGUUCUGUCAGUGCAACCGAGAAAAUUAUAGAAGCUGCAACUUGUGGCUCCAUUUUCUCUUACUUUUCAACUGAAUUUCAAAAUGACUUCUUUUGAUGAAAUGUAGCCUGUUGAAUGUAGUUUCCAACGCCACCAACCAUGUUCUAUUUCAAGCUGAAUUGAGUGAGAUAUAGUCCAAUUCCCGAACUGUACCGAAUCUGGAAAACCAUAAUUUUAGCUAGCUGAAUGGCCUAGCUUGACUUGGGACAUGUUGUUUUGAAAAUUUUGAUACCAAUCACCUACCAGAUGUAUAUUAGAUAUUUUUUAUACCUUUCUUUCACAAAUGAGUCAUAUUUGGGUUUAUUUCAUUAGACCAAAUGUUUGAAAGAGACAAGAAAACAGAUUUGCUUUGGAAAUUCCUUAAACUUUGGUAGUUUUGUUAACUACCUUCCCGUGCGAAUUUUCAAAUGAAAUUUGAUAGAGGAGUAGUCCUCUUGUAGAAGUUAAAUUGUACCAAUUUUGGUGUCAUUCUAAGUAUCUUGUUUGAUAUACAAACAAGAUACUGAAGUUGUCCUUCCAAAUUUGGAAAAUGGACCGAACAGUCCUUAAUUUUAACCAAUUUUGAGCAGCUAUAUCUUGAUGCUCAAAACUCCAAUUCUAGUUCUGCUUGUUGUGUUUUAAACCUUGAUUGAAAUUCUAAUUGAGGUACAAAUUUCAGAGGCUAGUUCACUUUCUAUGAAUUUUGCUGAAUUUUCAAAGUUUGCCAAAAACCAAGAUUGAAACUGUCUUGUGGUGCGAAUCAGCCACUUUAAGUUGAAAUUUGAAUGUUUUCCAUUUAGAAUCUUGGAAACUCUUCACUACCCUUCGAUAUUGAAUGACCGUUUUAGACUUGAUUUCUUGAGGGAAAACAGUUUUUCCUUGCAUUGUUAAACGCCACUUUUAAACCUUGAAUUUUGAGCAAUUAAGGCUCUAUUUCAUGGUAUUUUAUUAGAUUGUACAAGUGUACAAUCUCCCUUGUUAAUAAGGGAUUUAUAAGUGAUAGUUAAUUAUUAUUUGCUCAGGCACUCAAGGGAACCUUCAAGAGAAUCUCACAGUGGACGCCUAAACCCUUAUUUGGGCACUGCUUCCUUGUUUUUGAUUGGUGAGUGUCAAGUGUGUGUAUAAGUGUUACGUGCUUAAUUGCUAUUAGUGAUUGGGUAUUUUGAAAAUGCCGAGUUGAGUGUGUACUUUAUCGCACUCGUUGUCAUUUAAGUGAAGUGUAUUUGAAUUACUUAAAGUGAAUUACUUGAAGUGAAUUACUUGAAGUGAAUUACGUGAAGUGAAAAUUUAAGUGAAGUGUUUCAGUGAUUAUUUAUGCUAUGAUUGCAUAAGUCGAUUAGAGUGAAUCUCCUCGACUCUCAGUGAUAAUAACGGGGACGCCCAAAUCUCAUCGACCGACCUUGCGACUCGAGCCGGCAUGGGCUUGAUCGAGAAGUUUGGUGAGCCAUGGGAAAAGUGUAUAAGUGUGAUCUAUUGGAGAGAUCUCGCUUGGUAUACUCGAGUAGUAUCGCCUUAUAUAAAAGAAGAGCGGGCCCGACACUGGGGUAUGUAAUGGUGAACGGGGAACGAGUAAGUGAAGUCUCUACAGACUAAAUACUGACCCGGUUGACGGAGUGUCAUCGCGGGGAGAUAAUUGAUCGAGCAUUGGCAAAGCAAGUGGAACUUAGCUCCUGAAAACUUCCAUAUCCUUGAAUUGUUUCUGGUUACUUUUCUUACUUGAAUUGUUAAUUACUUGAAUACUACUGUUUUACUUGCUAAAUUGUGAUUGCUACUUAGAUUACGUGUUUGCAUAUGUGUUCUUGGCCUCACGAGCAAUCGCUCACCCUAUAGAUUUGUUUUUCUUAACAAGAACCGAUAUGAAGUAACACUCGGAGAAGCCUUUUGGGUGAACUUUUGAUUAGAGAUUUGAGUGUAUUUAACUAGACAAUUUGGAAGUUGUAUAUUUUGACAAGGGGAUGUACCUUGAACUUGUGAUGUAGGCUUAAAUGCUUAUGUAUGGAAAUGAUUUCGUACUUUUAUUCCGAUUGUUAGUAUUGUACCUUUAAGUUUGAACUGGAAUUGUAGUGAGUCCUGACAAGAGCUGGGUAGGCGUCCUGCUGAUACCCUUUGAUUUGCCUUAGGGUGAAGUUGGAGUGUCACAGUUGGUAUUAGAGCGCUAGGUUAGAAAUCUAUUUAGGAGAUACAUUAGAGACUUUAUUUCUAAGAAUAGAAAUGAGAUAACCUAGUUAUACCCUAAGUUAUAUUUGAGCGAGUUCGUAACUUUAAGUUUAUAAUCUGAAAAUUGUAGUUGUUUUGCAGGGAUGGAGAAUGGGAAUGGAGGACCUGCUGCUAAUGGUAAUGGCCAUGCUAAUGGCUAUGUGGAGCCCCUUAGGUCCAUUUACUAUAUGCACAAGGUGGAGGAGCUCGUGUGCAUUAUUCACCUUGUACUAGGUAUCCUCGAUGUGUCUGUAGGACGAUAUAUGCUUACCCAAAUAACCUAGUAUUUUUGCCCUUGACGAUGAGCGACAUCAGUUGGUGGAUGCCAACAAAGAUCUGCUUCAGGAGAUGGAGGAGCUGAGCAUUAUGGUGAAUGCUUAGAGUGCUAGGAUUGCUGCGCUGGAGGGGACAUUAGUGAGUGAGAUGGCUAAGGCUGAGGCCACCCGUGAUGAGUUUCAGAGAGUUAGGGCUCGACUUACUAGGAUAGGUGAGGAGAUCCGUGGAUCAUGGCCGAUGCCACUAUGCUGAUUAAUGAGGUGAUGGGGGUUGUACAGAGUCCAGUUCAGGACUGCACUGAGGAAGAUUCGGAGGAGGAUCUAGAGGAGGACCCUGAGGAGGAUGUUCCACCUGAUAGCCCCUGAGGACUAGGCUAAAGUAGUUGGGGUGAUGCUAGUGCAAAGGCUUGCUUGACUAUGUGGUCUACUUUUGAGGCACUUGACUUUACUUUAGUCGUACAUGACUAAAAGGACCUUUAUGGCGGCACCUGUGUGCUAUACUUUUAAAAUUUUUCCCAUGACUUGCUAAUUGUAUGAACUUUAAUGUGUAAAUACAUGUUAAUUAUUGUUAUUUUUAAUGCUUUCAAGAUUGGCUCUUGUUUUAAGAAAUUCCUCGCGUGAUCACUUUUAUUUCUUGCACUAGGCACCACUAUAAUUAUGGAUGGACGAAAGGGUGGACGAGGUUGUGGGCGAGGGUCUAGGCAAGUCCAACCUCAAGAGGAUGACCAGGGAUUGGCAACUGGGCCGACCCAAGGGCAAUGAAAUUUAAAGGGUAAUCAAGUGGCUACUGCCAUUAAUAGGAUAACUGAUAUCCUUAAGUGGUUAGCCGAGAGACAGGGUCCAGGGUCACUUAACCAGCCCGGGGGCCAAGAUAGAGGGGAAGAUAGGACUUUGGAGAGGUUCCUGAAGUUUAACCCGCUUAAGUUCACUGGAGAACCUAACCCUGAGGUAGCGUAGAAUCGGUUGGAGAGGAUGACCAAUAUAUUCGCUGCCUUAGACUAUACCAAAGAUAGACGAGUGAAUUUUACUGCUUUCCAAUUUGAGGGAGUAGCACGUGCCUGGUGGGACAUGAUAAAGGGAAAGUGGGAGAGAGCCCAAACCCCCUUGGAGGACUUGGGAGAAUUUCACGAGAGAUUUCAAUGAGAAGUUCCUUCCGCCUCUGAUCCAAGAGAACGGGAGGACGAGUUUAUAAAGUUGAAACAAGGAACUCUUGGCGUAGCUGAGUAUGUAGGGAAAUUUACUAAACUUUCUAAGUAAGCUCCCGAAUUGGUGACCAAUGAGCGGAAAAGAAAAAGACGGUUUGUACAAUGGCUAAAUGUAGAAAUCCAGGAGGGCUUGGUUGCAGCCCAAAUCUCUACAUUUACUAAGGUUUUAGAGAAAGCGCAAAGAGUUGAGAGUGCAAGAAUGCAAGUUAGGGAUUUCCACAAAAAGAAAAGGAACUUUUCUAAUCAUACUUCUGGACAGGCUAGUAAGAGUGCCUUGUCUUCCAAGAUGGGAAGAGGAAUGGGAGAAGUAAGGACCGCUGGAGUUUCAAGGGGAGCUCUAUCCAGAGGAGGCCGUAGUGGGCCAGUUCAAACGAGAGGAGUGCCUUCUAGUGGCUCUGCCAUAACCUCUCAAGUUACUUGUUGCUACUGUGGUAAACCAAAUCACUCAGAGAAUGAUUGUUGGAGGAAGUCGGGAAAGUGUUUGUUCUGUGGUAGUGCUGAACAUCAACUCACAAGUUGUCUGAAGGCGCCAACAAUAGGAGGUAGCACUCAAAGGCCAGAAAAGUCACUUCUAAGCAGACUAGUGCUGGAGAGAGUCAACCAAGAGUACCGACUAGGGUUUAUGCACUGGAUCAUCAACAGAUUCCCGAUGCGACUGAGGUGGUUGAAGGUACGAUCCCUAUUUUCUACCGUUUAGCUAAGGUUUUAAUUGAUCCGGGUGCAACGCAUUCUUUUGUAAACCCUAAUUUCAUGGGUGGAAUAGACUUGAAGCCAAUUAAAUUAUCUUAUGAUUUGGAGGUUAAAACACCUAUUGGGGAUCGAAGUUUACUAGCUAUUUUGGUGUAUAAAGAUUGUGAGAUAUGGGAUCGAAGUUACUGGCCAAUCUGAUGGGUUUAGCGAUUAAGGGAUAUGAUGUGAUCCCAGGAAUAGACUGGUUAUCCCGUAAUGUUCAGUUGAGCUGUAAGACGAAAACGAUAGAAUUGUACAUUUCGAGAGAGGCGAGCCUGAAAUUGGAUGUGAGGAGUAGAUUAGCCUCAUCUGAACUUAUUUCAGGGAUCCGAGGUAGGAAAAUAUUAAGAGAGUUCAGGGAUAUCUGGCUUUCCUUAUCAAUACCCCUAGUGAUAAAGUAAAAUUAGAAAACAUGCCUGUAGUGAAGAAGUAUCCAGAUGUCUUUCCCGAAGAGCUAAAAUCUUUACCUCCGGAAAGAGAUAUAGUUUUUAAGAUUGAUGUGACUCCGGGAGUAGCACCUAUCUCUAAGACGCCGUAUAGAAUGGCUCCAACUGAAUUGAAAGAGUUGAAAUUAUAAUUACAGGAUUUGCUAGAGUGGGGUUUUAUAAAGGAGAGUGAUUCACUGUGGGGAGCCCCGGUUUUAUUUGUCAAGAAGAAAUAUGGGAGUUUAAGACUGUGCAUAGAUUAUCGAGGCUUGAAUGAUGUUACUAUUAAGAAUAAGUACCCAUUGCCCGACAUUAAUGAAUUGUUUGACCAAUUACAAGGAGCGGUAGUAUUUUCAAAGUUGGAUCUUAGACAGGGUUACUACCAGUUGAGAAUUUUGAAAAAAGAUAUACCCAAAACUGCUUUUAACUUGAGGUAUGGACACUUUGAAUUUGCCGUAAUGCCAUUCGGGUUAACAAAUGCACUUGCUGCUUUUAUGGAUUUGAUGCAUAGGGUCUUUAAGUCUUAUCUGGACCAAUCUGUGGUAGUAUUCAUUGGUGACAUACUAGUGUACUCUAAAACUAUGAAGGAUCACGAGAAACAUUUGGAAAUUAUUUUACAAACUUUGAGGGAACAUCAAUUGUAUGCUAAGUUUAACAAGUGUGAAUUUUGGCUGAAAGAAGUGACAUUCUUAGGUCACAUAAUUUCUAAGGAUGGGUUUAAAGUGGAUGCAGCCAAAGUUGAAGCAGUUUCUAAAUGGAAACGACCGAAAAAUCCUACUAAAGUUUGAAGUUUUAUAGGGUUAGCAGAAUAUUACCGGAGAUUUAUCAAGGAUUUUUCUAAGAUUGCUGGACCAAUGACAGAGUUAACUAAGAAAAGUGGGAAGUUUAUAUGAAGUCUUAAGUGUGAAGAGAAUUUCCAAGAGUUAAAGAAACAUUUGACCCCGUAUUAGCUCUACGAAUAGGAAGGAUAGUUUUGUGGUUUAUAUAGAUGCUUCCAAGGAAGGUUUGGGAUGUGUAUUAAUACAAAAUGAGAAAGUGAUAGCACAUGCCUGUAGGAAAUUAAAGCCGCACGAAAGAAAUUACCCGACCCAUGAUUUGGAGUUAGCGGCUGUAGUGUUUGCAUUAAAGAAGUGGAGGCAUUACCUUUAUGAAGUAACGUUUGAGGUUUUUACUGACCACAAAAGUUUUAAGUACUUAUUUUCUCAAAAGGAGCUAAAUUUGAGACAAGUAGGUGGAUGGAAUUCUUCGAAGACUAUGAUUGCAUGAUAAAGUAUCAUCCAGGGAAAGCCAAUGUAGUGGCCGAUGUUUUGAGUCGUCAAGUGCAAGUGGCGGGAUUGAUGAUUAAAGAGUUGCACUUGUUGGAAGAGGUCAGUUAUUGAAGUCCUCGACUUGAACAGAGGAAGGUAAUUCUUGGGAAUAGUGUCGUGAAUUCCACUUUGUUGGAACGUAUCAAAGGAACUCAGGAAAAGGAAUCUGAAGUGCAAAAGUGGUUGGAAAAAGUCAAAAAGGGAGAAAAGUCGGUUUUGACUUGGGAAUGAAUGGUAUAUUGAGGUUUCGGAAUCUGAUAGUAGUGCCAAAGGAUGAAGGACUUAAAAAGGAAAUUUUGGAAAAAGCACACCGAUCGAAAUUUACGGUACACCCUGGAGGGAAUAAAAUGUACCAAGCCUUAAAGAGUUUGUAUUGGUGGGAGAGCAUGAAAAAGGAAAUUACUCAGUUUGUCCAGACCUGUUUGAUUUGUCAACAGGUUAAAACUGAAUAUCAGAAACCAUCAGGACUUUUACAAUCUUUGGAGAUACCAGAGUGGAAGUGGGAAAACAUCACCAUGGAUUUUAUAUCUGAGUUACCUAGGACACAAAGAGGUCAUGAUGCCAUUUGGGUAAUAGUGGGUAGAUUGUCCAAAUUGCCUCAUUUUCUGCCGAUUAGUAUGAAGUACCCGUUGGAGAAGUUGGCUAAGUUAUACUUGGAUGAGAUUAUCAGGUUACACAGAAUACCUAUAAGUAUUGUGUUCGAUAGAGACCCUAGGUUUGUUUCGAGAUUCUGGCAAAAGAUACAAGAAGUGUUGGAGACUAAAUUGAAUUUAGUACUACUUACCAUCCCCAGACAGAUGGACAGUCUGAGAGGACGAUUCAGAUGCUCGAGGACAUGUAAGAAUUUGUACUUUGAAUUUUGAGGAGAGUUGGAGUAAGUAUUCGACAUUGGUGGAAUUUGGUUAUAACAACAGUUUUUAUUCUUCAAUUCAAAUGGUCCCGUACGAAGCACUUUAUGGUCGGAAAUGUAGAUUUCCGAUUUGUUCGGAUAAAGUAGGUGAACAAAAGAUCUUAAACCCGACUACAAUCCCUUGGAUUGAGGAGGCGAACGAAAAAGUGAAGUUGGUACGCUAGAGGAUUCAAACCGCAGAAAGUCGUCAGACGAGUUAUGCAGAUAACCGAAUGAAGGACUUAGAAUUUGCGAUUGGAGAUCGAGUCUUUCUUACGAUUACUCCUCUGAAAGCAAGUUUGAUGGCAGGUAGAGGAAAGAAGUUACAACUGAGAUUUGUAGAACCUUAUAAGGUUAUCCAACGCGUGGGAAAUGUAGCGUAUAAGUUGGAAUUGCCACCGAGUCUAUCUCGGAUUCACAAUGUUUUCCAUAUGUCCAUGCUCAAGAAAUAUCACCCAGACCCUUCUCAUAUCCUACAACUGGAAGAUAUUGAAAUUGAUGAGACGCUGACCUAUGAGGAGAAACCGAUCAAGCUUCUAGAUCGUAAGGUAAAAGAAUUGAGGAACAAGCGGAUUCCGUUGGUGAAAGUUCUCUAGAGGAACUAUGGACUCGAGAAAGUAACCUGGGAGGUUGAAGAAGAAAUUCGAAGAAAAUAUCCAAACCUAUUCUCAAAUCAAGGUAUAAUUUCGAGGACGAAAUAUGACAACCCCGCCUCCCCCUAAGGCGAACCAGAGGGUUCGGCGGACCGCCUGCCCACCUCUCACCGGGACUCAGUCGUUCACUCCAGUCUUCAAUUAAAAUCAAAAUAAAACACAGGAAUAAAUAUAACGAUAAUCCAAAACUUAACGCAAAACUUAUGUACAUUAGAGUACAAACAUCGAAUAUACAAAGGUUCUCAAUUCUUCAUACAUCCACCCGUGCCAAGCACUAGGGCGAGAACCAUUACAAAAGAAAACCAAGAAACUAGUCUAGGCUAGUCUAUCCAAAACUCCCGUCCUGGCUUGCCUUCCAUGUUAAGGAAAACAAAACUAAAGGGAUGAGCUAAAAGCUCAGUAAGGUUCCGAACACAUAACCAAACAAUCAAUCCAAUACAUUAAACAUAGAGUAUCAAUAAUUCAAGAAACAUUUACAAUGGAAAGUGAUAAUAACACAUUCAUUAAAAGGAUACAGGCUCACAGGGAGCCAUGCUUUCGUUCAUUCAUUCGUUCCCCUGACAUUUCCCCUUAUUUCUCCAAUUGUUUGACAAUGCAUUUUUGUAAGUAAAACCCUCGUUCGUUCGUUCAUUUCAUUUCAUUCACCCCCUCCUGGGCGUUGGCCAGGCUCCACCAACCUACAAGGUAAUACUCGAGUAUACCAACGUUGACGCCCAGGGUUACCAUAUCGCCCAACUGAGUCCGUUUCUGACUCGAGUCGAUCGGUAAUGAAGGGCAGGGCCCAGUUCAGCCAAACGGCUUACAUUCAUGCGCAACUAGCAUUUAAUCAUUUAAUCAUUGAAAAUUUGACAUUUAUUUAGGUCGAGUACGAUAAAGUACAUACUCGCCUAGAAAACUCGUUUUAACAAUCAUUGAAAGUACUUAACACAUUAUCAAUCAAUAAUAACAAGCCAAUAAGUCAAGAAAAUAUAACAAACAAGAACACUCACCUAUAUACGCAAAACAACGUGCAAAAUAUCCUUCCGGAUAUUAUCUUUAGUCACCAAGAAAACCUAAGAUUAAACAAGAAAGAAUAUUACAGCUCAUCUAACACAAACAAUUAGGUGAAAUCAAAGAACUCGACAAUUGAUGAGUAGAACGUAUAAAAGACUUUAAAGUGAAACGAGGACAUUUGGACCCGUGGACAAAAAUAACUAGGGUUUUAUAGUCGAAACGUAAAACCCAACUGAAAAGGGUUAUAAAAUUUUCCAAUGGAAACACUUGAACCAAAGACAAGUCGGAAUCCAACUAGAUAGGCUAAGAAAUACUGUUUUCGAGAUCAUUUAUAUGGUUCAAAAUCAUCCCAUAUUCAAGUAGAUAUUAUAGACUAAAUGUCUUAAUGAAAUUUAUGUAAAAGGGAGGACAAAUACCCAUGAAAACCCUAAACCACUCCUUUUUAUUUGGUAAGCGUAAGUAAACAUUUGGAGUUUCCAAUUGAAGAAGGAUCAUGUUUUAAGAUGAAAAAUGGUCAUAGUAUUUGCCAAACGAAAAUAUACAAAUUCAAAUAGAAACUUAGCCCUCGAGCGAAAAUUUGGACAGCACGCCCUUUGUAUUUACUUAUUUUUCCAGCAAUUUAUGGCUUCAUUGUUUUCCUCAAUCAAUCCCAAAGUCACACACAAUAUCAUCUCAUUUCAAUAGCCAUUCCAUAGGCUCAAAGUCAUAUAAGUAAAAAAAUCAAGCUAACAACAUGUGCAGAAAUGAAGUUUAACAAAAGACAGAUUUGACGGGUUUUACGUAACGGACACAUCAGAAGCUAUGCUUAUCGGAUUGGGAUGUAAUUUAUACCGUUUCGAAGCUAAGACAGAGAGCUACAAUUUUGAUGAAGACCACUUAGUCCAAAUUCCAGUGUAACCUAGUCAAAUUCCCAAUUCCCAAAACCAAGUUCCAACUAAUUGGCUAAUUAACCGUACUGCCUUUAAAUGGCCAUAUCGUAGGCUACCAAAAUCCGUUUAAGGCGUUCUUGGAGGCGUUGAAAAUCUAAGACAAAGACCUACAACUUUCAUGAAGACCACUCAGUCCAGUUCUCACCCUAACUAGGUCAAAUUUACCAAAACAACUCCAGAUUUUUCAGUUUGAAAUUCACUACGGAAAUCAACUAGCAGUCCUGCUUUAUUCACUCAUAUCUAAGCACACACAACUCCAAUUCAGGUAAUUCCAAAGCCAUUUGAAAGCUAAGAUACAAGGUUAUAAUUCUUAAGAAAACAUCAUCAACCAAUUGGGUAAUAUUACUGGUCAAACUAACCACUUACAAAGGCUGAUUUUCAUUUUCGGACAGAAACAGGGCAGCAAUGGUAUUUCGAUCUUUUCACAGGCUACGUUGCUCAGAUUGAGCUGAAAUUUUGCAGGCAACUACAAAACAUCAUUUUCUACAACUUUUAUAUUUUGUGCUAAGACUAGUUCUGUGACAGCCCCACAUUCUCCUAAGGCGAACCAAAGGGGUUAGCGGACUGCCUGCCCAGCUCUCGCCAGGACUAACGGGAUAGUUCAAAGCGAUCUCAAACGUUCUGGAACAUACACGCGCGCAUAAACAAGUUAAAAUCACAAAAUAUAAAAAAUGAAAAUCGGAGCCGAACAUGAACAGUAACCGACACGUCAGAAUCCGGCCGGAAUCUAGCCAGAUUUCAGGCCGGAUUCAUGGCCAGAGAGCAAGGCCGGAUUUCCUAAAAAUCCUAGGGCAAUCCGGCCGCUAAUCCGGCCAGAAAUUGGCCGGUUUCGACCCUAUCCUUUUGCCGCCAAAUUUUUUUUUUUCGCUGUUUGAAAUCCGAAACUGUCCAAAAUCCAACCAAACACCAAUCAAACCCAUACCACUUGAAAUUUAGCAUUUACAUACCAAAAUAGCAUACAAAAGUUUCCAAUCCCAUUUACACAUGUGCGGUUUCAAUCUUACAAUUCAAAAGAGGGAACGGUCAAAAUACAUUCUAGGGUUUCAUUCUUCGAGGAGCUAUACAAAAUGUAUGCAUAACUAGCUCAACUCGGCAACCAACUAUCAAAGCCAUUCCAAAAAUAUUCAAAUUCCUGUAAGGAAAACAAAAGAAAUAGAGUGAGCUUACGCCCAGUGAAAUACUAUCACUUAAGCAGCAAAGUUCAUAUAAGCAUAAAGCUUUUCAUUCCAAUUCAUCAAAAGUAAGCCAAGAACACACAUCAAUAGUGUUAAUAAAAGGAUAUGGAUAGCUCUCAAGAGCCCCUUUCCUCGCUUGCAAACUUGAUCGGACUUCAUUGACUCUCCGUCAAUGUUUAAAAGUAACCAACCGUAGGCUCCACUUGACUUCCAUUCCUUCCACCCAACAUACCCCUACCGGACCCGAACUCCAAACAAUAGAAAUUUGGUAAUACUCGAGUAUAUCGGAACCAAGAGUCUCAUACUCAAUGAUUCCUUAUAACAGUCCCCAUGGCUCCUCAAUUUUCACGACCAAGCCCUUGCCGGCUCGAUUCAAUUGACUACCAAUGGGGUUGAGUUCAGUAGCAACAGUAAUGGCCGUUGGAUACUCGUCCAAAUGACACCACAUCAAGUCUUUGCAUGUAUCACUCAAUUAUACAGUAAACAGUCAUAUACGAUAAAAGGGUGAGAGUGAUCAAGUACACCCUCACCUCAAUCAAGGUUAACAAUGCAAUUAAGCCAUCAAAUCAUCCAUUUCAAGUGUAGCAAAGCCACAUAGUAACAAACAAGUGAGUAGUACACUCACCAAGCAAGCAAAUGAUAUUUCAUGUACUUCCGCCCAAAGAGCGUCUUGAACCACCGUGUCGUCCUAAAACAUUCAAAUAAGCGCAAUAAGACUCGAUUACAAGUCAUCAAUCUAUUCCACAUACUACCAAAAUAAGGCUCUAUUAGAACGUAUAAGUACUAGAGUAAACUUGGGAAGUCCGGAAAUGGAAGUUAAGAUCUAACCCUAAAAACAGUUUUUGACAUCAUUUAGCGGUUUUGGCACCAUUGGCACUACGAUUAUCGGAUGGAUGUACAAUAUACACCGUUUCGAAACUAAAAGAAAGGGUUACAAUGUUGAAGAAGGACACUCAGUCUAGUUUGUAGUGCCACUAGGUCAAAAGUUCAAUGUACCACACUAGAAUCGCAAAAAUAGGUUAGCAAACCGUAUUCCGGUUAAAUAACAUAAUUCAGGCUACCUAAGUCCAAUUCAAGUGAUUCCAAAGCCAUCCAAAAGCUAUGAUACCAGGCUAUAUUUCUUAAGAAGACAUCAACAACCAAAUCAGUAGUAUUUCCAAUCAAAUUAACCAAUUACCAAGGCUGAUUGCCAAGUUCAGACAAAAACAGGACAGCAGGGGUAUUUCAGUCUUUUUAUAGGCUACGUUACUCCGAUUGCCCUGAAAUUUUGUAAGAAACUAUAAAAUAUUAUUCCCUACAACUUUCAUAUUUUAAUCCAAGGCUAAUUCGGCCACUGGCUAAGUGUAACAGUACCGGGCAGAAUGGGUUCAAUUGCAACCGUAAUUCCGAAUUUUCCCGUUCAAUGCGAAAAUUUUCUGCAAAUAGCUACAAUUUACACACUAAGGCUUCAUUCUAAACCAUUCCCAACCAUCAUCCAUGGCCACACAAUAUUAAUCAUAUGAAGACAGAAAAAUCAUGAAUAAAUAUAAAACUUCACCAAUUUCUACCAAAAAUCAUGAAACAACACCUAAUAUCACCACUUCAUCUCAUAUAAGUCACUAAUUAAACAUUAUUGAGAAGAAAGAGAGGUCCCUUAGUUAUUUACCUUAAAACCCUAGAAAAGGAGCAACUUUACACCUUAAUCCUCCAAACCACUCCACAACCAAGCUUAACUUCAUUAAACUAAGAGGUUUUAUGGACAGGACGCGAGAUUGCUCAAUAACCCUUGCCAAGCAAGUUAAAGGCUCGAAUUCUUUAUGAAAGAAAACGAAUGCACUAAGAAUUUUAUUAAUCAAAAACUAGUUUUUAACCUUACAAGGCUAGCCUAUUUAUAGGCUCAAUGAAGUAACGAAAACCCUAAAGAAACUUAAAGGGAAGGUCGGCUACCUUGUCUUCAAGGUGGGCCGGCCCAUGCCUUCUACGAAACACUAGUCCAACUAAAUAGAAAAACAACGACUAAGGCCCUACUCGGCCGAUUCGUAAGGAGGCCCACUGGAGUCUUCCUGGGCUUGGACCAAAGUGUAAGUUGCUUGAUUGAUCCUUUCCAAGCCUUCAAUAUCUCUAUAGCCUCCAUGUUAAUCGUGGACAACUCGAACAAGGGCUUGGAGGGAUUCUUUGAAGAGCUUGGCCCGUGCACGUGUGACUGGGCCCAAUGGGACUUGGACUGGGCCCUGGUUCAUGCACACAUCACUUCUUUUAUCGAGAUUAAGGUUUGCAUCAUAUUUUUCACCUUGACUAAAUCAACAAUUUGACUGAAUUGUCUUCAUCUUCCCUCUUACUUGGCCGAACCAAGAGAGAAGAGAAACCAAAGAGAGACCUCCAACUCCAACCUCAAUUUUGUACUUGAAUCUGAAGUUACUCCAUGGAAAUGUUAACUAAGAAAGAUUUCAAGGUAUUGGUGGAGCGCUUUUUGAGGAUGAAGCCCUGGAUUUCCAUCUUUCUUGAGGUUACAAGGUAACUUUGGCUAGCAAUUUUCCUCUACUACCAAUAUAGGUAAACUAGUGGAUUAAGGUAGUACUUUUGGCAGCUUUAUGGAAAAUUUGAUGGGUUGAACUAGUGUUAACCAUGGUCUGAUAGCUUUGUUAUGACUUGCCUAAAGAAAAUUCUAGCUUGUGAUUAAGAAUUUCAGUUUUGGGUUUCAUUUUGCUAAACUUGAGUAGAGACGGUUAUAUGCUUGAUGUAGUGAGUUGUGGGCUUGAUAUUUAUAUGCUUGAGUUGAAGCUAUUUCAUGGGAAGAAUGAAGCCUUGAAUGGGCUAGGAAAAGUUAGUAAACACAAAGGAUGUGCCGCUGAAAAUUUUUUCGCAGGGAACCUUGGAAGGUUUUAUAGAAUUUGUUAUAUCUUGAUGUAGAAAAGUCAAAAUUGAGUUUCAUUUAUUAUGUUUGAAACUAGGUUCAGAGUAUCAGUAUUGUUCUCAAUUCCCAUGAAUAUCUAUGAUUUUUCAAAGUUGACUGAAACUGUAUACCUGUUCUGUCUGUUACUGGGUGAAGCAGCAACUUUAGGUUGGAAUUUAACCGACUCAUGGAUUGGAUCUUACAAUGGUACCUUCUAUAAAGUUGUAACAAUUUGAAUCCAUAUUCCGACGGUAUAAAGUUUUAAGUUUUUGGACAUAAGAAUCUCAAGAUAAGAUUUUCAAAUGAGAUCACGCAAAACUAAAACAAAAAAAAAAUUCUAUUUUUCCUAGGAUUAUUCCUACUUACAUUCUCAACUUUAGGAUUGGAAUUGGUAAACUAUUUGAGGUUGGUUUAUGAGUGGAAUCGAGACUUAAAUGAAAGGAAAAUGACUUCUUCAAACCACCUUAGGUCGGACAGUUUACAACUUUGCAUUUUGAACAUCUUUUCUACUUUCUCUAAACGUAUGGCUAUAAGUGAUACUUUUCUGCUCUAAAUGACUUUUGCAACAUUGAUUAGUAAAGACAUAAGGAUUAUUCUUCGAUGGGAACAAGCUGGUAUUAUAUUUCGAUAGGUUAUACAACUAUGAAACUUGUAAAUUGAUACAUGUUCUAAAUAAAGAUUUGGAGCUUCAAUUCCUACAUAAUAUGGCUUUGUAUUGCUGGUCUUACUAAAGCAUGCGUUCACAGGACUCGAGAGAGUUAAAAAGGAUAUUCAUCGAAAAUAUUUUGAACUACUCAAUAAUCAAGCUGAGAAUUUCGAGGGCGAAAUUCUUUAAGGGGGAGAGAGUAUGAGAACCCUCAUUUUUAAAAUACAAUUUCCCCAAACUACAUGCCUUGCACCAAGAUUUAAACCACCUCUUAUAUGCCCUAGCAUUAUAUUUCACAAUGUGUUACAACAAAUCCCUUGUAUGGACCCUCACUUUAAAACACAAUUUUCUUAUUUACAUGCCUUAUUAUAAGAUCUAGACCAUUUAAUAUAUGCCCUUACAUAUUAUUUUCUAUGUGUUAUAAUAAUUUCCAUGCAUUUCAUUUCAAUUCAUUUUACCUGAAGUAAAAUAUAUCCUUGAGCUAGGUUGUAAAUAAAUCACCACUUGUAAUUGUCCAAGUGUUCUUUUAUUAGUGGUAGAGACUUUAUGUGAGAGAUUAGAGGUGUUGAAUAAUUAUUGGUGCAUUUGGAAAGGUAAGAAUGGCAUUAGUCAAAGAAUUAAGAGAAAUUGUGUACAAGAAUUAGGCCAAGUGGCAAAAUCCUAGCCAUGCAUCUUGUUUGACCAAAGAUUAGAUGAAUUUUAAACCAAUUUUUGCUCCAUUCCUCCACCAUAAUUUCGUGCCCUUCUUAGCUUCCAAGAGAAGGAGAGAAACUCCAUUUUAAAGCUUUCUAAACCUAGUGUGAGCUUGAGAGAAAAAUCAAAAGAGAAAGAUCUAGAGUUAGUGAGAAACUUUCCUCCAAUCCUUGAGCUUUCAUUUUGGUGGAUUGUUUUGGUGAUUUGAGCACCUUGUAAGUAAGGUAAGUACUCUUUAAUUUGGGGGUUUUAUGUGUUAGAUCAUCUACUAUAAGCUCUAAUCAUGAAUUGCAAGUUGUUGUGGUUGGAAUUGAAAGUUAACCCCUUGAAUUAAACAAGUAGUGGAUGAAUUGUUAGUAUGCACACCAAGUGUUUGAUGAAAUGUUCAACUCUUAUUCAUUUAUGUUUAUGAGGUAUUGAUAUGUUUUAAAACCUUAUAUGGUUAGAUGUAACACUUGAGAUGUGCAAAAGGUGAAAAUAAUGAGAAGAGUGAAAGUUGGGAAACAAUUAAGGAUGCUGACCGAAACUGUUCAGCUUGCUGUCCGGUUUUUGCCCUGAUGUUUCAUGCAUAUUUUGGCUACAAAUGUGAGUGAUAUAUGUUGGGUUAUGUGUGUAGAGGUUGUCUACAAAAAAUUAGCCAAUUUGGUUGAGUAAAUUUUGAGUUGCAAGCAAAGGGACAAAACUGGACUAGGUCCAGAAACUUUCUGUCCAGCGAUGUUGUAAAGGCUAUAACGUUUUACUCACUGAUCUGAAUUGAGUACCGUUUGUGGCAUUGGAAAAUAGACUCUUAGAGCUUUAAAAUGGUACCUGGCUCAUGUUCCGGUUCGUCCCGAGCAAUCCGUGGCAAGUCGUGGAAGUCGGCUGCCCGUGCGGUACUGUUCAUCCGAGGCAGUCCAGAAAUUUCUUUUGUCUUCUUAAUUUUGAGCCACUUAAGCUGGGAUUUUGGAAAUGGUUUCUUCACGACAAAUUUAACCUUAAGAACCUAGUUUCCAACGCAAUUGACGGAACCUAAUUCUGACUCUCCUACCAUGAACAGUGACCAUUUUCCCGAGGCUGGUCGGGCGAGACAGUUUAACCGUAAUGAAACUUUUGAGCUUCGGUAAAACCCUUCUUUUGCCGAACUUUCAUGUACAUACCAAACUUGUUUUCUUAUCAACUUUUCCCAUGGUUUGGACCUCAUUUGCAUGAUAGAUUAAGUAGCUUAGGCUACUCACUUGGUCUCUUAAUGAACCUAUACUUGAGUAAGGAACGAAUCCAAUUGUUAAUGGUUUCGCUCGUUGACCUAGGUUUGGGCAACAAAGGUGAUCGUAACUGAGACGUUUGAUGUCAAUUGCUACUUUUGCUUGACAGGUGAGUGUUUCACUACUUGCUACUUGUUAUGUGGAAUACUUGCAUACUUGAAAUCGUUGAUUUGCUAUUGUUUGAGCCAAACACUGUUUCAGUUAAAAUCGAGGCGAGUGUGUACUUUAUCGCACUUGACCUUCCUUGUUUUCCACUGAGGCUCUACUUACUGAAUGAAGUAAUAUGAAAUGAGAUAUUGCUAUACAUGACCGUGCUUAAGUUGCGUGGAUGACAUUCCGCCAACUACUGUUACUGUUUGGGUACCCAACCUCAUAGGUGAGUCGGUUGUAUCGAGCCAGCAAGGGCUUGGUUGAGAAGGCCGAUAAACCUUGAGGACUGUUUACUGUUCACUGGAAAUUGAAUCUUGCCUGGAUGUCCCUGGUGAAGCAUAGCCGUUGUGCUUGCUUGUUGUGUUGUCCAGCACCACCAGUGAUAAAAUCCUCGACUUGAUACUGCUUUAUUGGAAUCCUUGAGCAUUGGAAACUCGGAUUCCUGGUAUACUCGAGUAUUACCAAACUACUGUUUAUGGAGUGCAGGCCCGGUGGGGGGUUGUUUGGGGGACGGAGACUGGUGAAAGUGUUGUUCUACGGACCUAUAUACUGUUACAAGUGUUGACGGAGUGUCAACAGGAGGCAAUUAUGAUCAAGCUCAAGUGGACCUUUGGCUUUUGAAAGCCACCCGUAUCCUUGAAUUGAAUUGUGAUUAAACUGUUAUUUUGUUGUAUGGUGUUUAGUUGGCUAUUUUGUGAUUUUAUGUGGCUAUGUGUUUACUUGUUUACCUGGAACCUCACUGGGCUUUAGCUCACCCCAUUCCCUUUGUUUUCCUUAACAGAUCGGGAAGGGAUUUGAUCGAGGGCUUUCUUAGCUUUAUUUUGCCGUUCUUGCGUUUUGAGGUUGUAACUUUCGUUUAAGCAGACUUGUAAGCUUAAAUUCUUAAGGGUGAUUUAUAUUAUGUAAAUUUGAGUGAAGCGUGGUAAGUUGGCAUACGAUGAUAUAUGUACUAAGCUGAAUUGUUGGAUUAGUGAUCAUGUUUGAGUUAGUGUUUCAAUCCCCUGCAUUGUCAAAUGUUACAUUCGUUUCAUUGAUGAUAUUAGUACUUUGAACGACUGAGUCCCGGCGAGAGUUAGGCAGGCAGUCCGCUGAUACCCUAGGGUUUGCCCAAGGGAGAGGUGGGGCUGUCACAAUGGACCCCUUAGCCGACUCAUGGGUUUCUAAUCUUCAGUGAUGGCCGAAACUAGGACAACAAGCCUAGCUUCGUUGAGGCCUUCGAUGAACUUUGGCUCUCCACUCGACUCUCGGGCCGCACGAACCAAUGUUUAUAGUGUCUCAUUUAAUCUCUUCGCGCGAGCUCGUGUCAUAAGCCCCAAUGGCACCUUCACUUUCUCCACUUGGAUAGCUCCCUCAACCUCCUCAUCAGAACUCGUAUCACGUAGUGCCCGGAUCUAGACGAGGAAUCAAGUUGGUGAGCGAAGUAACACUCGAAACCCUAACUCUAUGAUGCAAACCUUGGACUCAACCUCAACCUAUAACACUUGAGUAAUUGAGACAAUGUUAUAAGUAGAGGAACGCCACAAUCAAGGCGUGUACUUCUCAAUCGAAUACCCUCGAGUAAUUCUCAAGUAUUCAAUGGGACUCUCUUAGACAAGAGAAAAGUGUAAACACUCAAAUUUCUGAAAUAUUAUUCAAUGAAUAAAACUGUUGGUGGUGUGGGCUAUUUAUAGCCUUACAUAGCAAAGAAAACCUAAAGUGAUUUGGAAUCACUUAUUUCCUAAAAAUAAGGACUUAGUUUCGGCUGCCUUGUGGAUUAGUGGGCUUGGCCAAAUCUAUGAGGGCUUGCAUCAACUAAAUAAAACAAGAUAAUAGACUAUUAAAAGCAAAAGGUGGAUAUUUCAAUAGAUCUAAUUGAUAUUUUUCCAAUCGCAGAUAAACAAAGCAACCUUUCGUCAUUAAUCUUCGGAGGUGAAGGUGAAUUUCAUAUGAAUUUUCCUGUUUGUUCACAAGAAGUUUGUGAUAUUCCCUUUCUUUGGUAUACCUAAUCUUGUUGGUGAAUUUUUGAAGUAAAAAUCGUGACACGAGCCCCCCUGUUAAAAACCCCCCAAUGGAUCUAGGAAUGACCUCCUGUGCUUGUGUACAAAUUAAAGCUUGUUGAAAGUAAGCCCUUAUUUCAAACACUUAACUCAAGAAAACAAAAAACGAGACUUUAAUCCUCGAAUGGAGCUCCAAACUCCAUUUCGCUUGACUUUUGGGCUUGAAUGAGAGUGUAACGGAUUGUUUUGUCUUGCUCAAGUUUGGUUUCAAGACGUGCAUGGUCAAUUCCCUCAUAGGUGGUACAAACGAGUGCUUGCAUGGACUCUUUGAUCUUCUUGGCACGAGCCCUUGUCAUUGGGCCAUUGAAUUCCAUGCGGCUCUCCUUCAUGGGCUCAAGGUUGGCCACCCCUCCUCUUGCAUCAUUCCCCUCCUCUUGAAGGCGAUUUGUCCCCAAAUCAAGCUCAUCGUCUGCAAGAAAAGGGCUUAAAUUAGCCACAUUAAAGGUUCACCGUACUCACCCGGUAGGUUCAAUUUGUAUGCGUUGUCAUCGAUGCGCUCCACUACUUGGAAAGGACCAUCCCCUCUUGGCAAGAGUUUGUUGCGUCGAGCCACGGGGAACCUCUCCUUGCACAUGUGAAUCCACACCCAGUCACCUGGCUCAAAAAUCAUCUUACGACGACCCUUGUUAGCAUGACGAAUAAACUGGAAUGUGCGUUUCUCAAUAUUAUCUCUUACCUUUUGGUGCAAGGCACGCAUUUGCUCAGCUCAUUUCAAUCCAUCCAUGUUAGUUCGUUCAGUCACAGGUAAAGGUGAUAAAUCUAAAGGUGUGAGAGGAUUAAACCUAUAAACGACUUCAAAUGGGGAGUAGUGUGUGGUACUAUGGACUAUGCGGUUGUAGGCAAACUCAACAUGUGGCAAACAAUCUUCCCAUGAUUUCAAAUUCCUUUUGAUAAUUGCACGCAACAAGGUGGAAAGUGUCCUAUUAACCACUUCAGUUUGACCAUUAGUUUAAGCGUGACUAGAAGUAGAGAAUAAGAGUUUAGUUCCUAGUUUACCCCAUAAAGUUUUCUAGAAAUAGCUAAGGAACUUGACAUCUCUAUCACUAACGAUGGUGCAUGGCAUACCAUGCAAUCUAAUAAUUUCCCUAAAGAACAGGUCAGCUAUGUGUUUAGCAUUGUUAGUUUUGUGACAUGGAAUGAAGUGUGCCAUUUUUUAAAUCGAUCUACAACCACGUACACAGAGUCAUGACCAUACCUAGUCCUAGGUAGUCCAAGUACAAAGUCCAUAGAAAGGUCAAUCCAUGGAGUAGUAGGAAUGGGUAAUGAAGUGUAGAGUCCACAGGGGUUUACCUUAGACUUGGCAUGGUGACAAGUCACACACCUUUGAGCCAUGCGUUCUAUAUCGCACUUCAUUUUGGGCCAAUAAAAGUGCUCUUGGAGGAUAGCCAGUGUUUUGGUGACUCCGAAAUGGGCCAUAAGACCUCCACCAUGUGCUUCCUUAACAAGUAGCUCUUGCAUGGAGCAAGCGGGAAUGCAUAGUUUGUCCUUGAAGAACAAAUACCCUUGAGAAAUAGAGUAGUUCUCACCGUUGAACCAUGGAAGGUCAACAAAAAUAGCUCCAAAGUCUGGGUCAUUAGUGUAAGCAUUUUUAAGUAAUUCAAAUCCAAGAAGUUUAGCAUCAAGAGUGGUAAUGAGUGUGUACAAAACCACAUUGCUCUUCCCGGCCUUGUAUUUGAUUACAAAUGGGAAACUAUCAAUGAAGGCCACCCAUCGAGCGUGUCGCUUUGAUGUGUGUACGGACCUCAACCCACAUAAUGACCCAGUCCAAGUCCCAUUGGGCCUAGUCACAUGUGCGCGAGCCAAGCUCUUCAAAGAAUCCCUCCAAGGCCUUGUUCAAAUGGUUCAAGACCAACAUGGAGUCCAUAGAGAUAUUGAAGGCUUAGAAGGAGACAAGAAAGUCAUCUACACCAUGAUCCAAGCCCAUGAAGAGUCAAGUGGGCCUCCAAGUAAGUUGGCCGAAUAGGGCUUUAGGUCUUAGUGAUUACUUAGAGUUAGAUUAGACGCUUUAGUAGAGCAUGGGCCGGCCCAUCUUGACACCAAGAUGGCCGAAUGCUUCCCUUAGGAUUUUUAGUAACCUUUAGCCUAUAAAAAGGCUAGCUUUGUGAGGUUUGAAGGUAGACGUUUUAAAAAUAAAGUUUGUUUAUUUUCGAUUCUUCUUGUUAAGAGAGAUUCGAGCUUCUACUUGCUUUGGCAAGGGUUAUUGAGCAAUCUUACGUCUUAUCCAUGAUUGUUCUACCGACCUAUCCAUUUGCGUAACCACCUCGAUUGGAGUCAUCGUUUUACCGCCUGUAAUCAAAUCGUGUCGUCCGUUUGAUUCUAGGUUCCGCAAUCCAAGCGUUGGACCACCUCGCUAGAUCCUUGGGCAACGUGCUACGUGUCUCGAAACAAGUUGAUCGAGGACCGUAUCAAUUGCCUUCAGAGCUUUGGUUGAGGUAUCUUCCGUUAUAUCCAUUGUUUUUGUCUUUAUUUGUCAUCCAGAAUUCCUUGUUUCUGUUGCCGUGUUGGAAAAAAAAAAAGAAUUUCUGUCGGCGCUUUGUUCCUUUGUUUUCCGUGUCAAAACUGGUUCCUUUAUGUUAAAUCUCUGACCGUAGUCUUGAUCACUCGUUGCAUUAACGAAUUCUAGCCGUAAGUGUGUUCCAUUCUGUCCAAGUUGUGUCUUGUAGUGCGUCUUCAAUUUCUGACCGUAGUACCUUGAAAAUCAAGUUUAGUGUUCCGUCGUUGGCAUCACUUUCUAUCCAAAGUUGCUGUCCGUGGUUGUGUGCACUCAUGGUGUCCAAAAAUUCUGGUUGAACAUGCAAAUCUGUCUUGCUAGUUAGUAGUUGCUUGAGCAACAAGAAGACCCACUUGGGUGGCGGCUAGGGUUUCCUUCUUCGCUAGAGUUCAUUGUUUUUCGUCAAAUCUGUCCAUGCAUGUGUCGUUGUUCCCGUUGAUAACCUGACCGUAUCUUGUGUCCUUGUUGCAUCCAAAUUCUGUCCAAGUAGGUAGUCCAAGCCGAAGCCACAAGAAGGCAAGUAGGCGACGGCUAGGGUUUAGCUUUGACGGCAAGGGUUUAUUUUUUUCAAAUCUGUCCAACUCGGUUCAUGAGUCAUCCAAACUGUUUUCUUAAUUUUCUAAUCUGAUUUUGGGUUAAAACUUGUUGGUGUGGUGAAAUCUUAAAGAGAAUCUACAAGAUUUUAGAGUUUCUUGAAGUUCUUGGUUACUACCUAGAAGUUCUUGAAAAUCUUGAAAGUAUCUUACUAGUUCUUAAGGGACUUGGGUUGUGCAUUAUUACGAGUUGUGGGGCUGACAUUAUUUCUGGAAUUUUACUACUUCAGCCAAGUAUUUGUGUUGUUCUUUAAGUAAAAAAAAAAUAGAAACGAAAAAGAAAAGAAAGAAAACCAUUCGACUAGGACAAGAGGGUCGAACAAGAAAAAAAAAAUGGAAGAACUCGGUUCUUUAUUGCCAAGACAACUACCAUUACAUCUUGUUUCUAAACCAAACCAGAAAAUUGCAAAAGGAAAGAAACUCAAAAGUUUUGUCCUACCUCUUCUUGCAAUUCUUGAUCACCUUGUGCCUUGAUAACUUGAACUGCCUUGAUAACUUGAACCACCCUUCGAGGUUCUUGAAUUUAUUGACCACUUUGUUUCUUGAAAACUUGAACCUCCCUUCAAAUAAACAACUUCCCAUACUCUCUUGUGGUGGUGAAGGGCUUCCUUGGCCUAGGAGUAAAGUUCUUGGGAGCGGCUUGAGCAACUCGUGGGGGUGAAGCUUGUGUGAGGGCACUUGCAUCUUCUUGCCGCGAAGCCAUAGUUGAAGCUGUCUUGGUUGUUGCACAAUGGGGGAAGACCGAAUCUGGUUUGUGUGUGUGAGAGCUCGGGUUGUGUGUGAGAGGAGUCGGCUGCCUUAAGGAACUUUAUAGAGUCCCAACCGACCUUGGUGAGGGAAUUUUGGAGGAGAAAGAAAAUCUGGAAAAUUCGGUGGACAAGGUAGAAACCAAAUCUGAUUUGCUAGCCCACUUGUAGAGGAUUUUGGGGGUUACUAAAGUUAUUCAAGAAAGGGUUUCUAACAGAGUUUCCAAACUUAACUUGUUUUUCCAAAAUAAGUAAAACACUUGGAUAACUCCUUUGUUUUCCACUUGGCUACUCCCCUACUUUCUCUCCUACGUUUUAGGAUACCACUCCUACAUUUUAGGAAUCUACUCCUACCUUUUGGAAACUAGUGUUUCUUGUCCUUAGGGUGCCUUCCUUGCUGUCCACCACUACCUCCCUCCAAAAUCGGCCAUUCCACCUCAUUUUUCAUCCACGUUUGUGUCUUACACCCUUGAUUACUCUUGUGGAAAAGGUUGGUGAACGGUUAUUGGGCUCGAGCAGCAUUUCUCACCUACCUAAACCGACAGGUAAAGGUGUUGGGUAAGAUCUUUUGCGAGAACCCGUAAUUUUUUUCCAUUUUCUAGGUUUUAGUAUCUUUCAUGGCUUGUUUUUUGCAUUUUCGUGAUUAGGAAAAUUUCUAGAUAAUUUUUGUGAGUAAAUAGAGUUUUUAGGUGAUUUUUCUAGUGUUUUUAGGUGAUUUUUUCAGGUGAUUUUGAAAAAUUAAGAGCGUAUGCCGGACGUGGGACCCGCUAGUGCGAAAAGUUCGGAAAAAUUCGGCCAACUAGGUUAAGUUUUGGAUAUUGGGUUUAAAUUAUCGGGUGUUAAGAGAUAAGUAGAGGUUGCUAUUUGGAUUGGUUUGAGAGGAAACAAAAAGAUAGAGAUGCAUUAAUUAGGUGACAAGUGUCACCAUAGGGUUGGUAGAAACUUUUGACCAUUAUUUCUUGUUUUACCAUUUGACUUAAAUAAACCAAAAAUUACGAAAAAUCAUCAAAAAUCUUACCUAUUGUGGCCGGCUCUCUCUCUCUCUCUCUCUUUCUCUCUCUCUCUCUCUCUCUAAGCAAAAGAAAGAAAACUCUCCAAGCUUUGCUCCAAUCUACCAAAUCAACCAUUGAAUCUUGUUUUUGCUCCAUAGAAAACAUUAAGGGAGUGAUAGUGAGGUGUUUUGUGGAGUUAUUUGGAAAAUUAAGAGGACUAGUUGCUCUCUCUCUCUUAUUUCUAAGGUGAGUUGUGAAGAACCACUCUCCUCCCUCUAAUGAUGCUUAAUUUAUGAUUAGUGGUGGUAUAAGAUGCAACUUUAUGGAUUAUAUUUUGAUUUUUGGUUGAAUUGGUGAAGUUUUAUAAUUAUUGGUGAUUUUUUUGUUUUAAUAUGAAUAUGAUUGUGUGGCUAUGUAUGAUAAUUGGAAUUGGUAUGUAAGGGAUCUAGGAGGUGGAAAAAGUGGAUAAUUGCAAACAAUUUCUGUUUUAGAAAGAAAAUUGGAAAGUAGGGUUUCUUUGAUCUACAUUCUGCCUGGCAUAGUAGCUCAUAGUUAGGGGCCGAAUUGGCCUUGGGUUAAAACAUAAAAGUUGUAGGAAAUGAUAUUUUAGAGAUGCCUACAAAAUUUCAGGUCAAUCGGAGUAGUGUAGCUUGAGAAAAGUCGAAAUUACCCUUGCUAUCCUGGUUUUACCCGAAUUUGAGAAUUGUGUCAAUAAUUGGUUAUUUUGGUUAGAAAUGCUUCAGAGUUGGUUGUUGAGGUCUUCUGAUGAAAUAUAUCCCUGUUUCUAAGCUUUCGGAUGGCUUUGGAAUUACUGGAUUUGGACUUAGGUAGCUUGUUUUAUGAUGUUUACACCAGAAUGCGUUUUGUGAAUCUGUUUUUCCGGUUCUGGUGUAGUAUCUUGCAUUUUUGACCUUGUUACACUCGAAACUAGACAGAGUUGCCUUCUGGAACAUUGUAGCCCUAUCUCUUAGCUUCGAAAUGGUGGGUCUUGCACCUUCAUCUGAUAAUGGUAGUGCCUUUGGUGCCAUUACCGCAAAAUGAGGUCAAAAACUAUUUUUUCAGGGCUAAAGCUAAUUCCAUUUCCGGAUUUUUCUGGUUUCCUCUAAUGCUUGUAUAUGCUUAUGGAACCCUAUUGGGUCAUAUUUGGCAUUGGUUUAUGACUCGUUAUCGAGUCUCAUUGUACUUUUUUGCAUGUUUUAGGGCGUGACGGUGGUUCACGACGUUUUUUUGACGGAAGUGCAUGAAACACCAUUUGCAAGUUUGGUGAGUGUACUACUCACUUGUGUGUUACUAUAUGGCUUUGACACUUGAAUUUGAUGCGUUGAAUGUUAAAUGAUUGAAGUGAGGGUGUACUUUAUCACUCUCACUUAUUGCUUAUCAUGUCAUUGGAAUGUUACAUGAAAUGAAAGUACUUGACUUGGUGUCGUUUGGACGAGUAUCCAAUGACCAUGAUUGUUACCAUUGAGCUCAACCCCAUUGGUAGUUGAUCGAAUCGAGUCGGCAAGGGCUUGGUCGUGCCAAUUAAUGAACCUUGGGGACUGUUAUAGAAUCUUGUAGUAUGAGAAACUCUCGAUUCCGGUAUACUCGAGUAAUACCACAGUGCAAGUGUUUGGAGUUCGGGCCCGAUAGGGGAAUGUUAGGUGGAAGGAAUGGAAGUAAAGUGAAGUCUACGGUUGGUUACUUUUAAACAUUGACGGAGAGUCAAUGAGAUCCGAUCAAGAAUGCAAACGAGGAAAAGGGCUCUUGAGAGUCGCCCGUAUCCUUUUAUCAUCGUUAUUGAUGUGUGUCUUUAUUUACUUUUGAUGAAUUGGACUGAAAAGCUUGAUGCAUCUAUGAACUUGGUUGCUUGGAGUAGUAUUAUCUCACUGGGCAAUUAGCUCACCCUAUUCCCUUUUGUUUUCCUUACAGGAAAAUAAAUACUUUUGCACUGCAAUUGAUAGUUGGUUGCCGAAUUGAGCUAGUUGGACAUAUCUUUUGUAUAGCUCAUUGACUGAAACCCUAAAUGUACUUUUGGGUCAAUUUCUCUUUUGAUUUGGCAAACUGUAUUUGUAUCCACUUUUGAAUAACUUUGGUAUGCCACUUUGGAUUGUAUAUGCUAAAUUUCAACAUGUAAAUACUCGCUUGACGUUUGGUUGGGUUUUGACGUGUCGGUUACUAUUCGUGGCCGACUCCGAUUUCAUUUUUUUUAUUUUGGGAUUUUAACUUGUUUACGCGCGUUCUAUGGUCCGGAACAUAUUAGAUCGCUCUAAGCUGAACCUUAGUCCUAACGAGAGUUGGGCAGGCAGUCCGCUAACCCCUUUGGUUCGCCUUAGGGGAAGGUGGGGCCGUCACAGGUGGUAUCAGAACCUAGGUUUGAAUUGGCCUGGGUGUAUUAGAAUUGCUUGAUUUGAGGAUUCUUUUGAUUACGUCCUUUAAGAUUAUUUAUGCUUAUUUACUCAUUUGGUGUAGGAUGGACGGUCAGGGUGACCCUAAUAGUCCCCCAGCUGGAGAGCAACCUCGUGAAGCGCUUCCAGUGAUCCCCUACCAGAUUCGGCCAGGAGGGGUCGUGGUUCGUUGGAGCCCAGCUAACCGCCUCAGACGGUGUGAGUGUCGACAUAAGUAUGCUUACCCUAACACUCUAGUGUUGGCCGUGGCCGAGGAGCGUAAGGAGUUGGCCGGAGAGAAUGCUCAACUUGAGGUCGAGGUGACCCAGCUUAGGGCGGCCAAUGAGAGACAGGCCGAGCGUAUUAAGGGUUUGGAGUACGACGUGCUAGAGGUAGAGGAUAGGGUUGAUGACCUCUGCACUCAGCUUAGGGAGACACGUGAGCGCGAGUCCAAGAGAGCUCAAAAGGUUAAGGUUCGAGCUGCAUCGAUCUUGAACCUUUGCGCGGACGUGGUCGAGGGCGUGAGUGACGAGGACUCUUGUGCGGGGCCUGAGGCUGGGGUUGGAUCCACUCCGUCCAGUGGGUCUACUAGCUCGUCGUCGGACUAGGUUAUGACUCCUAGGGUCUUUGAGAUAGUUUUGUUUCUAUACAUAGGGCGGAUAGGGAAAGAGCCUUAGCUAAUCGUUUUGUACGUCUAGAUUAGUUAUGUGUAUAUUUCUUUUGAUGAGGCCAUUCCCUUGGGGAUUGUCCAUGUUUGUACUUGACUUGACUGCUUGUUGCUAUGUGUGUUGUGUGCCUUGUUUGGAAUGUAUAUAUAUGUUUUUAAAAGUUUUUGGGUUUUACUUACAUGCAUUGUUAUUAUAUUGGUUUAGUACAAUUGCCUAGACCAAGUAAAGUUUAUGGAAGGAACAUGUAGUGGACGGGGACGUGGGCGCGAAAAUAGACAACCCAUACCGGAUAGGGGUACUGGGAAAACUUCAUCUGGACCUAACCUUGACCCCAAUGUGCAAAUCGCUGCCGCUAUGCAGCAAAUGACCAACCUGCUGGCACAAGUGGUGCAGCAACAAGGCCAGAAUCCAGACCCUAAUCCUGGAAACCCUGGCAAUCAUGUCGAGAGCGAAGACAGAGCUCUCGAACGAUUUCAAAAGUUUGCUCCACCCAAGUUCAUUAGGGGAUCCGAUCCGGAUGUUGCCGAAAGGUGGCUCGAAAAGAUGGUCGAUAUUUUCGCUGCCCUGCACUAUACCGAAGAACGACAGGUAACUUUUGCCGUUUUCCAGCUUGAAGGGGCGGCCCGUUCCUGGUGGAAUGUCAUACGGCAAAAAUGGGAACGGGAACAAACGCCCAGGACUUGGGUAAAUUUUAUGAGAGAGUUUAACACGAAAUUUUUCCCUCCUCUAGUUCAGGAGAGGAAGGAAGAUGAGUUUAUUCGACUCCGCCAAGGGGCUCAAUCCGUAGCGGAGUAUGAAAGCCAGUUCACGCGCUUAUCUAAGUUUGCCCCUGAGUUAAUUGUGAUGGAACAACGGCGGAUCAGGCGUUUUAUUCAGGGCCUGAAUGUGAAAAUUCAGAAGGACCUUGUGGUGGCCCAGAUUAACGCUUUUAGCGAGGCCGUUGAGAAAACCCAACGAGUAGAGAGUGCCAAGGUCCAAGUACGGAACUUCCAGGCGAAGAAGCGGGGUUUUCCUGGAAGCAGCUCUGGACAAGGGGAUAAAAGUACUCCCUCCAAGUUUGGACGAGGAGCUGGAGGUGGACGACAGACAGGUUUCGGCAGAGGGGCUCAGUCCAGGGGUGGCUCAGCCGGAAGAGGCCAAGGCGGAAACUUCCAGAAGGGUUCCGGUUUGGCAUCCCGUGGGCCUUGUGGAUACUGCGGAAAGCCGAAUCACUCCGAAGAUAGUUGCUGGAAGAAAGGGGGCAAAUGCCUGCAUUGCGGAAGCGCAGACCACCAGCUUGCUACCUGCCCACUUUUAAAGCAAGACGGAAAUGGGGCUCAAACCGCGCCAAAGACCAAUGCUGGACCAGUCAGGGGAGAUGGGCCCAAACCUAAGGUGCCAGCUCGAGUGUAUUCCUUAGAGCCCCAACAGGUCCCAGAUUCCUCGGAGGUCGUAGAAGGUACGAUCCCUAUUUUUCACCGCUUUGCCAAAGUUUUAAUUGAUCCUGGUGCCACCCAUUCCUUUGUUAACCCUGCUUUCAUGUGUGGCAUCGAUAUAAAACCUGCUAGUUUACCAUACGACCUAGAAGUUAGUACACCUACGGGGAAUCAACGUUUGGUUACUAGUAUGGUUUAUAAGGAUUGUGAAGUGUGGGUAGGAGAGAAGAGAUUGUUAGGGGAUUUGAUAAACUUAGUCCUCAAAGGGUAUGAUGUGAUAUUGGGUAUGGAUUGGCUAGCCAAGUAUAAUGCCCAACUGGACUGUAAAACAAAAGUGGUAGAAUUCCGCAUCCCUGGUGAGGCAACCAUAAAGUUGGAUAUGAGGGGUAGGUUAGCCUCAUCUGCUUUGAUUUCGGGCAUUCGGGCUAGGAAACUGCUAAGUAGAGAGGCGCAAGGAUUUUUAGCCUUUCUGAUUAAUACCCCCACGGAUAAGUUAAAGGUGGAAGACAUGACCAUAGUAAAGGAAUUUCCGGAUAUAUUCCCUGAUGAGUUAGUAGCUCUACCUCCGGAAAGAGAGAUUGAAUUCAAAAUAGACCUGCUACCGGGAUCCUCACCUAUCUCAAAAACACCAUACCGAAUGGCUCUUGCUGAGCUCAAGGAGCUAAAGUUGCAAUUACAGGAUCUUUUGGAGCGGGGAUUCAUUCAAGAGAGUGGGUCUCCUUGGGGAGCCCCUGUGCUGUUUGUGAAGAAAAAGGACGGUGGGUUGAGAAUGUGUAUCGAUUAUGUGACAGCCCCACCUUCCCCUAAGGCGUACCAAAGGAGUUAGCGGACUGCCUGCCCAACUCUCGCCAGGACUACUAAAACGGUCAAACACUAACUCAAGUCGUUCGGGAAAAUAUUGGCGCGCUUAAUCAACCCAAUAAAUGAGAAACGGGAAACAAAAGGCAAAACGUAAAGCGAAUAGUUGCUGCCACGUCACAAUCCGCCAAGAUCCCAUUGAUUACAAGAAAUUUCCAACAAUCACUGAAAAGAGUAUAUACAAGCCAAGUACAAUCCACUGGAUAGGAAUACACCCUAUUACAAACCACUUUUGUAUGGUUACAAGACAAAAGAAAACAUUUAAAUCCAAGUACAACAAAGGUUCCAACUAUUGAGGAGCUAUACAAAAUCUCUCAACUAGCUCCACUCAACUUACGCAUCACAGUCAAAAGUCCAAAAGAUAAUUCCCUGUAAGGAAAACAAAAUUUACGAAGUGAGCUUUCGCCCAAUGAGGUACUGUCACGUACAUAUACCAAGAUCACAUAAACUCAAGAGCAUUCAGUCCAAAUACGUUCGUCAAGUAAGUAAAAGCAAUAACACCCAAAUGUAAGGAAUAAAAGGAUACGGAUGGCUCUCAAGAGCCCUUUUCCUCUUUUGCCAUACUUGAUCUCAUCCCAUUGACUCUCCGUCAAUGUAUACCAGGUAAUCAUGACCGUAGACCCCUCUUUACUCCAAUUAUCUGUCCACCUCACUUUCCCCUUACCGGGCCCGAACACCACACAGUACAGAAUUGGUAUUACUCGAGUAUACCGGAAAUCAAGGGUCUCAUACCCAAAGAUUCCCAAAAUACAGUCCCCAUGGCUUGUCAAAUGUCCCCGACCAAGUCCUUACUGGCUCGAGUCCAUUGACUUCCAAUGAGGUAGAGCUCAGAGUGAACAGUAAAGGUUCAGAGAUACAGUAAGCAAUGGUAUCCAAUCGACACCAAAUCAAGUACAUUCAAGAGUAUUCAAGUUAUAUCAUAACCAAACAAGUAGGCCAGAGAGUACGAGAGUGGUAAAGUACACCCUCGCCUCACCUAGUCCAAACAAUCAUCACAACUAGUCCAAAACACAGAAUUCAAGUACAAGAAAGCCACGGAAUAACAAAUAUGUGAGUAGUACACUCACCAAGUCAAACAAAGAAAUUUAACAAGUUUUCGCCCGACGUGAGCCUCGGAUCACCGGCACGCCCUAUAAUAAUCAAGAAAGUGCAAUUAAGACUCAAACACGAGUCGAAUACCUUUUAAUAGGAACUAUUAAGGUAAAACCCAAAUAUAGCUUGGAAAUGAAAAAUACAUAAUAUUUAGGGUUAAAAGUAGAAACAACCCUAAAAUUAUUCAUUUCUAGUCAAUCUCAACCCAACUCACAAGGAUCCAAUGCCCUAGACACUCGGACAGCAUUUCCCCUAAAAUUUCAGCUUUUCCAACCUACAAGACACCAAUAAAAACCAUCCAACACAACCACAAGCACCCAAACAAUUCAUAAGGCAUUCAAUAUACUUCAUUAGGGUCACAAUACCCCUCAAUAAUAGCCAAUUAGAAGCUCAACAAUCAACCAUAGCAAAGCCCCAAUUGAAACCCUAAAUCUGAAAUUUUUCGCACAAGCGGCAAUUUCCGCAAUUAACUACAAUUAACGCACAAGUGAGCUAUAAAACACCAUUUGGAACCACCAAAUCAAACCCAAUCAUAUCCAUCAUAUGAAACCAGAAAAUUCCAAGAAAAAUCAGAAAAUUGGGAAACUUCACUCCAAUCCACCAAAUCUUCCGUACAAUCACGUAUAUAGCUACUAUAAGGCACCAUUUGGCCAAAAUUAGAAACAAAAGAUGAGUUCCAAGCAAUAUACCUUAGAUCUUCAAGAAAGGUUGAAGCUUAGAGAGUUUUCUUCCAAAAUAACACCACCAAGUUCUUCAAACACCCGUAGCAAGAUGAUUUUAUGGACUAAUUCAAGAAAUAAUCGGUUGAUUCUCAAGAUUGGAGCAAGAUUUGAAGAUAGAAGGUUGAAGGUUUCUUUUCUUUGUUGGCUAGAGAGGUUCGGCCAUGAGGAGCUGAAGAAUGAAGAUGAUUUGAUCCAAUUUUGACUUUUAAGUGAAGACAAAGAAAGUUAGGCAAAGUUAGGUAUGGUUGGUCCAACCACAUUUGGACACGUGGCACCUUGUUUUCACUUAGAGUUAUCCUCUUAUCCCUCCAAGGUUAAUUCAUCUAGGUAACCUCUAAUCAUCUCCUAACACCUAGUAAUAAAAUCCCUUUAUGCAAAAAUUUAACCGAAUCGGCCGAAUUUCUCUCACUAAAUGCACUAGCGGGUCCCACGUCCAAAAUACGUUCCAAAUUUCUCACGAACUACCUUAUACUAGAAAAAUGAUUUAAAAACUAUAUUUACUGAUAAAAUGUUAAUAAAAGUAAUAUAAUAAAGAAAAUACAAGAAAACGGUGCACAGGAAUAAAAUAAUAAAUAAAUAAAUAAUUUUUUUUUUCUCUGGGUUCUCACAUCCUCUCCUCCUUAAGAAAAUUUCGCCCUCGAAAUUGCUCACCUGGGUUACUAAACAGCUCAGGAUAUUUCUUUUGCAUUUCUUCCUCCAGUUCCCAAGUUGCCUCUUCUAUACCAUGAUUCCUCCAUAAAACCUUUACUAAGGGAAUUUGUUUAUUCCUCAGUUCCUUAAUCCUUCGAUCGAGUAGUUGUACAGGUCUCUCUUCGUAAGUGAGUGCCUUAUUUAACUCAAUCUCCUCUGGUCGCACGAUGUGGGUUGGGUCAGGAUAGUACUUUUUCAACAUCGAGACAUGGAAAACGUCAUGAAUCCGAGCUAAACUUGGUGGCAACUCGAGUCGGUACGCUACUUUUCCAACUCGUUGAAGAAUUUUGUAAGGCCCCACGAACCGUGGUUGAAGUUUCUUUCCUCUCCCCGCAGUGACGCUUCGUAGUGGCGUGAUUUUAAGGAAGACACGGUCUCCAACUUCGAACUCCAAAUCUUUCCUUCGGUUAUCUGCGUAGCUCUUUUGUCGGCUUUGAGCUGUUUGGAGUCUUUGACGGAUCAAUUUAACCUUUUCUUGCGCAUCCUCCAUCCAAGGAAUGGUUGUUGGAUCUAGAACUUUCUUUUCCCCCACUUCAUCCCAAUAAAUGGGCGAACGACACUUUCGUCCGUAGAGAGCUUCGUAUGGUGCCAUUUGAAUGGACGAAUGGAAACUAUUAUUAUAGGCAAACUCCACUAAAGUCAUAUGUUGGCCCCAAUUACCCCCAAAAUCUAGAAUACACGUUCGUAACAUAUCCUCGAGGGUUUGAAUUGUUCGCUCCGACUGUCCAUCCGUCUGGGGGUGAUAAGUUGUACUAAGGUUAAUUUUGGUCCCUAAGUGCUCCUGAAAUUUUUGCCAAAACCUUGAUACAAAACGAGGAUCUCGGUCUGAAACUAUACUCACUGGAACCCCAUGUAACCUCACAAUUUCAUUCAGGUACAACCGAGCCAGUUUAUCCAGGGAAUCUUUCACAUUCACAGGUAAGAAAUGGGCCGAUUUGGUCAACCGAUCAACGAUCACCCAAACGGCAUCAUGUCCUUUUUGAGUUCUUGGCAAUCCAGAAACAAAGUCCAUCGUGAUAUUUUCCCACUUCCAUUCAGGUAUCUCAAGAGGUUGUAACAGUCCAGAGGGUUUUUGGUGUUCAGCCUUAACUUGCUGGCAAAUCAGACAGGUUUGGAUAUAUUGAGCAAUCUCCCUCUUCAUUUUAUCCCACCAGUACAACCGUCGCAAAUCUUGGUACAUCUUAUUACUACCAGGAUGGAUCGUGUAUUUUGAUCGAUGGGCUUCCUCCAAAAUUUCUCUUUUCAGGUUUUCAUCAUUGGCCACCACUACUCGAUUCCUAUAUCUUAAAAUCCCUUCGGGACCCAAAUUGAAAUCAGGUAAUGCUUCCUUUUCUACUUUUUCCUUCCACUUUUGUACCAUCGGAUCCUUCUCUUGGGCUUCUUUAAUUCGAUCAAGAAUAGUAGAGGUUACCCGAAUAUUCCCAAAAGUUAUUUUCUUACAUCCCAAUCUAGGGUUCCACUCACUAGCUGCUCCUAACAUCUCCCACUCCUUGACCAUCAACCCGGCUACUUGAGCCUUCCGACUUAGGGCGUCCGCUACUACGUUAGCCUUACCAGGAUGGUAGUUGAUCGUGCAGUCAUAAUCCUCUAAGAGUUCCAUCCACCGACGUUGCCUCAUAUUCAACUCUUUUUGGGAGAACAGGUACUUAAGACUCUUAUGGUCUGAAUAAACCUCAAAGGUAAUCCCGUAAAGAUAGUGUCUCCACUUUUUCAGAGCAAAGACCACAGCAGCUAACUCCAAGUCAUGGGUAGGGUAGUUUUGUUCAUGGGUUUUUAGUUUCCUAGAGGCAAAGGCAAUCACAUUCUUAUUUUGCAUUAACACACACCCCAAACCUUCCUUCGAAGCAUCGGUAUAAACAGUGAAACUGUCCUUCCCACUAGGCAAGGCCAAAACAGGAGCUCUGGUUAACCUUCGCUUUAACUCCUGAAAACUGGUUUCACACCUAGUAUCCCACACAAAACGACCGUUUUUCUUCGUCAGGUCGGUUAAAGGGCCGGCCAGUUUAGAAAAGUCUUUAAUAAAGCGUCUAUAGUACCCAGCCAACCCUAAGAAACUGCGAAUUUCAGUGGGAUUUUCUGGCCUCUUCCAUUCAGCCACCGCCUCUACUUUCGCGGGGUCUACUGUAAUACCUUCUUUUGAAAUCACAUGUCCUAAGAAAGAGAUUUUCUCCAGCCAAAAUUCACACUUACUAAAUUUGGCGUAUAGCUGAUGAUCUCUCAGGGUUUGUAACACUAACUUCAAAUGUUGCUCAUGUUCCUCACGGGUUUUAGAAUAGACCAAAAUGUCGUCAAUGAACACGACAACGAAUCGGUCCAGGUAGGGUUUGAAAACUCGAUGCAUCAAAUCCAUAAAGGCGGCAGGGGCAUUGGUCAACCCGAAAGGCAUGACCGCAAACUCAAAAUGCCCAUAUCUAGAAUUGAAAGCAGUUUUGGGUACAUCUUCUUGCUUAAUUAGCAACUGGUAGUAACCCUGUCGGAGAUCUAACUUUGAAAAGACCACUGCGCCUUGUAGCUGGUCGAACAGUUCAUCGAUGUGGGGAAGUGGGUAUUUGUUCUUAAUGGUCAUGUUGUUUAGUCCCCGAUAGUCGAUACACAGUCUUAACGUUCCAUCCUUCUUCUUAACAAAUAGUACCGGAGCCCCCCAAGGAAAUCCACUCUCACGAAUAAACCCACGCUCCAACAAGUCUUGCAACUGCAACUUCAGUUCCUUGAGUUCAGCAGGUGCCAUUCGAUAGGGGGUCUUAGAGAUAGGUGACGCUCCUGGCAAUAGGUCAAUCUUAAACUCUAUCUCCCUCUCCGGAGGUAAAGUUACUAAUUCAUCAGGAAACACAUCCGGAUAUUCACUUACAGUAGGCACAUCCUCAACCCUCAGCUUAUCAGUGGGAGUAUUUAUAAGAAAAGCUAGAAACCCUUGGGCCCCUCUGUACAGAAAUUUUCUAGCCCGAAUACCCGAAAUCAAUGCAGAUGAGGCUAAACUACCUCUUACAUCUAGCCUUAAGGUCGCCUCCCCCGGUAUACGAAAUUCCACUACUUUUCUCUUACAAUCGAGCUGUGCAUCGUACUUAGCUAGCCAGUCCAUACCCAAUAUAACGUCGUACCCCUUAAUGGCCAAACUUAUAAGAUUCCCUAAAAGCUUUCUCUCUCCUACCCAUAUUUCACAAUUCGCAUACAUCAAACCAGUAAUCAAAUGUUGGUUUCCCGUAGGAGUACUAACCUCUAAGUCAUAAGGCAAGCUAACGGGUUUUAUAUCAAUACCGCACAUAAAAUCGGGGUUAACAAAGGAAUGGGUAGCACCAGGGUCUAUCAAAAUCCUAGCUAGACGAUGGAAAACAGGGAUCGUACCUUCUACAACCCCAGAGGAAUCAGGGACUUGUUGUUGCUCAAGGGAGUAAACCCGAGCUGGCACCUUUGGCUUUGUCCCUUCUACCUUGGACUGUCCCGAGUUGGCCUUCAACGACUGAGUGGUUGCUCUCGCCUCCCGAGGUAACACUGGGCAGUUAGCUAUUUGAUGCUCUGCACUCCCGCAGCGCAAGCAUCUUCUCUCCUUCCUCCAACAGUUGUCCUCAGUGUGGUUUGGUUUUCCACAAAAUCCACAGGGUCCGCGUGCAACUGAGGCCGAACUUCCUUGUGAGGUGCUCUUCUGCGGGCCCCGUCCAUUGUGACCACCCCUCGGCGGAGUCCCUCGUGUCAUCCCCGGUUGCCUUCCUCCACCGGCUCCUCUUCCAAACUUGGGAGGGGUCCCUUUAUCCCCUUGGGUCGAACUACUCGCAGAGAACCCCCGUUUUUUCACCUGAAAAUUCCUUACUUGAAGCCUUGCAUUUUCAACUCGCAAAGCUUUCUCCACGGCGUCACUAAAAGUGUGGAUCUGGGCUACCGCCAGAUCCUUUUGAAUUUCCACAUUGAGCCCCUGAGUAAAACGCCGAACUCUCCUUUGCUCCGUCAGAAUGAGUUCAGGGGCAAACUUGGAUAAACGAGUAAACUGGCUCUCGUACUCAGCCACUGAUUGAGUCCCUUGGCGGAGCCUAAUAAACUCGUCCUCCCUUUUUUCUUGGACUAGAGGGGGAAAGUAUUUUGCGUUGAAGUCCCUCACAAAAUUUACCCAUGUUCUUGGGGUUUGUUCCCGGUCCCAUUUCAUGCGUAUCACAUUCCACCAAGAACGCGCGGCUCCUUCCAAUUGAAAGACAGCGAAAGUAACCUGUCUCUCCUCUGAGUAGUGUAGGGCGGUAAAAAUAUCUAUCAUUUUCUCUAACCACUUUUCGGCCACGUCCGGAUCUGGCCCGCCUAGAAAUUUUGGCGGAGAGAACUUCUGAAAUCUCUCCAGGGCCCGAUCUUCACUUUCUACUACAUGGCCAGGGUUCCCAGGUUGCUGGAUAGGAGGUUGGCCCUGCUGUUGCACUACGUGGGCUAACAGGUCAGUCAUUUGCUGCAUAGCAGCGGCUAUCUGGGCAUUAGGGUCAACCCUAGGUUCAGGGUUUGAUUCAGUCGUGGUAUCCCUAAUACCCUCGUCAGUUGUGGGUUGCCUAACCCCACGCCCGCGGCCUCGUCCGCUACGAGUGCCUUCCAUUCUCUAGGUCACUCUAAAAUCGAGGCACAAACUAAUAUCAAAAGGCAUAUCAGUAUAGUCAUAUAAGCAUGAACAAAAUUAAAAGUAAACACCACAUAAGGCACGUAUACACAUAGCACAUUUAUACAUGGAACACAUAACUGUGUCAAACAGUCAUACAUAAGCAGUCAAGCAAAUAUAUACAAAGUACUCCCGUGAAGCCAAAAGAGGGUCUGCCAAAAUACAUUAUACAACCUAGGUCUCAAAAGUACAAAACAACUACCCAAAAGUUUUUCCUAGGUAUCCCUCACACGGGAUCAAAACUAGGCCCAAAACCCUAAUCUAGUCCUCGACGGAGCCAACCGACUCCCCCCCAGAGCUAGAGCUAGGGCUAGGGGCGCCUCCCUGACCUGGAGCUCCGCCACCUGGAGCUCCCCCUGGCGCAUUGGCGCCAAUCACCUCCUGGAUCAGCGCCCCACACUCAUCGAUAAUCGCGCCGGAUCGGUCUCUCACCUCCCGGACUACUCGAAUAAGGCGGUCGUUAACCGCCUGCAACUGCUCUCUCAGAGCGUCCGUCCUCUCCUGCUCCAUGGCCACGUCCCCCUGGAGCUCUCCAAUCCUAUCGGCCUGCAUCCGCAUGAUGCCCCUAAGCCUAAGGGUCUCAGUACGCUCCCUGGCGGCGUCACAUCUAAGCCUCUGUCGCUCGGCAAGUACCGCCACCACCACGUGGUCCGCGUAGGAGUAAAACUGGCAACGCCUACAGCGGCGGGUCCGGCUAGCGGUAUGCCAUAGCCGGAUCGGACCUCCCGGUCUCUCCUGGUAGUCGACAACCCGUAGGCGCCUCUGAGGUGGCUCGCCUCCACCUGCUCCACUAGUACCGGCCAUACCCUACAAAGAUAGCAAAGGUUUAUAGCUUAGACAAUAUAUUCACACUUAAUAGCAUCUAAUCACAAUCCCAAAAGUUCCAAGAAACAGGUUCCAAGUUCGCCCAGGUUAUUUCUAGCCUAGGCUCUGAUACCACUUGUGACAGCCCCACCUUCCCCUAAGGCGUACCAAAGGAGUUAGCGGACUGCCUGCCCAACUCUCGCCAGGACUACUAAAACGGUCAAACACUAACUCAAGUCGUUCGGGAAAAUAUUGGCGCGCUUAAUCAACCCAAUAAAUGAGAAACGGGAAAACAAAAGGCAAAACGUAAAGCGAAUAGUGGCUGCCACGUCACAAUCCGCCAAGAUCCCAUUGAUUACAAGAAAUUUCCAACAAUCACUGAAAAGAGUAUAUACAAGCCAAGUACAAUCCAUUGGAUAGGAAUACACCCUAUUACAAACCACUUUUGUAUGGUUACAAGCCAAAAGAAAACAUUUAAAUCCAAGUACAACAAAGGUUUCAACUAUUGAGGAGCUAUACAAAAUCUCUCAACUAGCUCCACUCAACUUACUCAUCACAGUCAAAAGUCCACAAGAUAAUUCCCUGUAAGGAAAACAAAAUUUACGAAGUGAGCUUUCGCCCAAUGAGGUACUGUCACGUACAUAUACCAAGAUCACAUAAACUCAAGAGCAUUCAGUCCAAAUACGUUCGUCAAGUAAGUAAAAGCAAUAACACCCAAAUGUAAGGAAUAAAGGAUACGGAUGGCUCUCAAGAGCCCUUUUCCUCUUUUGCCAUACUUGAUCUCAUCUCAUUGACUCUCCGUCAAUGUAUACCAGGUAAUCAUGACCGUAGACCCCUCUUUACUCCAAUUAUCCGUCCACCUCACUUUCCCCUUACCGGGCCCGAACACCACACAGUACAGAAUUGGUAUUACUCGAGUAAACCGGAAUCUAGGGUCUCAUACCCAAAGAUUCUCAAAUACAGUCCCCAUGGCUUGUCAAAUGUCCCCGACCAAGUCCUUACUGGCUCGAGUCCAUUGACUUCCAAUGAGGUAGAGCUCAAAGUAAACAGUACAGAUCCAGAGUUACAUUAAGGAUCGGCAUCCAAGCGACACCAAAUCAAAUACAGUCAAGAGUAUUCAAGUUAUAUCAUAACCAAACAAGUAGGCCAGAGAGUACGAGAGUGGUAAAGUACACCCUCGCCUCACCUAGUCCAAACAAUCAUCACAACUAGUCCAAAACACAGAAUUCAAGUACAAGAAAGCCACGGAAUAACAAAUAUGUGAGUAGUACACUCACCAAGUCAAACAAAGAAAUUUCACAAGUUUUCGCCCGACGUGAGCCUCGGAUCACCGGCACGCCCUAUAAUAAUCAAGAAAGUACAAUUAAGACUCAAACACGAGUCGAAUACCUUUUAAUAGGAACUAUUAAGGUAAAACCCAAAUAUAGCUUGGAAAUGAAAAAUACAUAAUAUUUAGGGUUAAAAGUAGAAACAACCCUAAAAUUAUUCAUUUCUAGUCAAUCUCAACCCAACUCACAAGGAUCCAAUGCCCUAGACACUCGGACAGCAUUUCCCCUAAAAUUUCAGCUUUUCCAACCUACAAGACACCAAUAAAAACCAUCCAACACAACCACAAGCACCCAAACAAUUCAUAAGGCAUUCAAUAUACUUCAUUAGGGUCACAAUACCCCUCAAUAAUAGCCAAUUAGAAGCUCAACAAUCAACCAUAGCAAAGCCCCAAUUGAAACCCUAAAUCUGAAAUUUUUCGCACAAGCGGCAAUUUCCGCAAUUAACUACAAUUAACGCACAAGUGAGCUAUAAAACACCAUUUGGAACCACCAAAUCAAACCCAAUCAUAUCCAUCAUAUGAAACCAGAAAAUUCCAAGAAAAAUCAGAAAAUUGGGAAACUUCACUCCAAUCCACCAAAUCUUCCGUACAAUCACGUAUAUAGCUACUAUAAGGCACCAUUUGGCCAAAAUUAGAAACAAAAGAUGAGUUCCAAGCAAUAUACCUUAGAUCUUCAAGAAAGGUUGAAGCUUAGAGAGUUUUCUUCCAAAAUAACACCACCAAGUUCUUCAAACACCCGUAGCAAGAUGAUUUUAUGGACUAAUUCAAGAAAUAAUCGGUUGAUUCUCAAGAUUGGAGCAAGAUUUGAAGAUAGAAGGUUGAAGGUUUCUUUUCUUUGUUGGCUAGAGAGGUUCGGCCAUGAGGAGCUGAAGAAUGAAGAUGAUUUGAUCCAAUUUUGACUUUUAAGUGAAGACAAAGAAAGUUAGGCAAAGUUAGGUAUGGUUGGUCCAACCACAUUUGGACACGUGGCACCUUGUUUUCACUUAGAGUUAUCCUCUUAUCCCUCCAAGGUUAAUUCAUCUAGGUAACCUCUAAUCAUCUCCUAACACCUAGUAAUAAAAUCCCUUUAUGCAAAAUUUAACCGAAUCGGCCGAAUUUCUCUCACUAAAUGCACUAGCGGGUCCCACGUCCAAAAUACGUUCCAAAUUUCUCACGAACUACCUUAUACUAGAAAAAUGAUUUAAAAACUAUAUUUACUGAUAAAAUGUUAAUAAAAGUAAUAUAAUAAAGAAAAUACAAGAAAACGGUGCACAGGAAUAAAAUAAUAAAUAAAUAAAUAAUUUUUUUUUUCUCUGGGUUCUCACAGAUUAUCGGGGCCUGAAUAAUAUUACGGUGAAAAAUAAGUAUCCACUGCCCCACAUAGAUGAGUUGUUUGAUCAGUUGCAGGGAGCGGUGGUCUUUUCGAAACUGGAUCUCCGCCAAGGGUAUUACCAGUUAUUAAUCAGGAAGGAGGAUAUUCCGAAAACCGCUUUCAACUCGAGAUAUGGGCGUUACGAGUUCGCAAUUAUGCCCUUUGGACUAACCAAUGCUCCUGCCGCCUUCAUGGAUUUAAUGCAUAGGGUUUUUAAGCCCUACCUGGAUCGAUUUGUUGUAGUCUUCAUCGACGACAUUCUAGUCUAUUCCAAGACACGUGAAGAGCAUGAGCAGCACUUGAGAAUUGUCUUACAAAACCUAAGAGACCAUCAACUAUACGCCAAGUGAUGUGUGCACGAGCCUCGGCCCACGCGAUGACCCAGUCCCACUGGGCCCAGUCACACGUUCACGGGCCAAGCUGUUCAAAGAAUCACUCCAAGCCCUGGUGAGAGUCGUCCAAGACCAACAUGGAAUUCACAAAGAUAUUGAGGGCUUAGAGAAAGACCACUGGGCCAAUUACACCUUGAUCCAAGCCCAUGACGACUCAAGUGGGUCUCCAAGGGAUUCGGCCGAGUAGGGCCUUAGCCUUUGACACUUAUUGGAAUAGCUUACUUAGUAGAAUGGGCCGGCCCACCUUACACUAAGAUGGCCGACCACCCCUUUUAGGAUUACUUAGGGUUUCUUUAUUGUUUUCCUUAGCCUAUAAAUAGGCUAGCUUUGUAAGGUUAAGAACUAGUUUUUGAUUAAUAAAAUUCUUAGUGCAUUCGUUUUCUUUCAUAAAGAAUUCGUGCCUUUAACUUGCUUGGCAAGGGUUAUUGAGCAAUCUCGCGUCCUGUCCUUGAUUGUUCAUCCGACCUAUUUCCCUGGAGUAUUCACCUUCAUCGGAGUGUCGACUACCACCUCCAAUCAAAUCGAGUUGUCCGUUUGAGUAAAGGUUCCGCAAACUAAGCGUAGGACAUCCCCGCUAGAUCCUUGGGCAAACGUGCUACGUGUCUCGACCGUGGAUCGAGGAACGUAUCAGUUGGCUUCAGAGCUUUCGUGGAGGUAUCUUCCGUUAUAUCCGUCGUCUUGUCUUAGUUUUCCUUAAUUUUCCGCUGCCUUGUUUGUUAAAAAAAUAUAUAUAUUUUUUUCUGUUCGAAUUGUUACUUGUUGAGCCGUUUCCUUCGUUUGUUCUCUAGAAUUCUGGUCGUUGCUUUUGUUUUGUCUUACGUUUCCAUAUCUGUUCGUUUUGAGUCUGCAAGUCUGUCCGUUGCUGUUUUGUUCGUCAAAAAAAAAAAAAUUCUGUUCACUAGUUCUUGUUGUUGUCGCAUCAAAUUUCUGGACAGCUGUGUGGUAUUAUUGUUAGUCCCAAUCUGCCCAGAUUUCAUACUCUAGUGACAUCCAUUCUGCCCAGCAAUUAGCCUUGCCGAAUCUGCAUACAAAAAACAAAAAAACAAAACAAAACAGGCGCGGCUAGGGUUUUGUUGUUUGUCCGAAUCUGUCCAAGUAGUUAUUGAUUAUCCAAGUUGUUUGCUUACCUUGUCUAAACUGAUUUGGGGGUAAAAACUUGUUGGGUUGGUGAAUCUUGAAUAGCACCCGCAAGGUUUGUAGGGUUCUUGAAGUUCUUGAACACUUUCUUGAAUUUCUUGAAAGUCUUGAAAAACUUUGUUAGUUUGAGGGAGUAGGGUGGUGCGUUCUUGUGUGUUUCGGGCAGACCUUGUUUCUGGGAUUGUUUCUACUCAUUCGGUCAGGUGUAGUCUAUUACCAAGUGAAAAAAAAAAAAACAAAGCAAAAGAAAACAGAACCGAAGAGAAAAAAAAAAAGAGAGCAAUCGGGUAACAAGAAACCCAAGAGGGAACACCGCACUUUUAUUGCCAAAUCUGUCUUAUUGUAUCGUAUACCCAACCCAGAAAUUACAUCAAGAGAGGGGAAAAAAAAAAAAAAGAGGAACUCAAAAGUUUUGACCAACCUCUUCUUGAACUUCUUGAUUCUUGAUCACUUGCACAACUCUUCGUUGAGGCUCUUGACCAUCUUGAGUCUUGAAGACUUGCACCUCUCUUCGAAUAAAGAGUUUCUUGUAAGAUCUUGCAUCCAUACGAGGCUUUCUUGGCUUAGGUGUGAAUUUCUUGGGAGAUUCUUGAGUAACAUCACUUGCUUGACCUUGGGAGUCCAUUGGAGCAGAAUUUCUGGAGUGCCAAGAACCGAAACUGUCUUGUUAGAAAGAGGGUCGAAUUUCUUGUUCUUGGAGUAGAGAGAGAGCCGAAUUGUUUGGGGUAAGUCGCGGCUGUGAAGAGGGAGUCUUAUAGGAAGGAUAACCGACUUAGGGAAGGGUUUCAAGAAGGAAGCAAUCUGGAAAUUUCAGUGGCCCAAUUCUGGUUUGUGUUGUGAGCAUAGUGGGCGGCUGCUUAAGAGGCCUUCUAAGGUUUCUUGUAGCCGACCUUAGGAAAGGAAUAAGAGGGAGGAAUUCUGGAAAUUUUAGGGUUCCAAUUCUGGUUUGUGAGUGGGAUUUGAACCGACCUUGGGGUGGUUUUUUGUGAGGGAAAUUUCUGGAAGCUUGCGGGUAAGAGAGAGGAGGAACCGAAUCUGUCUUGAGAAGAAUUAGGAAGUUUCCAACUCCAACUUGUUUUCCCACUUCGUUUAGGAGACUAAGUAAUAUACUUGGAUAACUCUUGGACAUCUCCUAAAUUUUCUCCUCCAUUUUAGGAUAUCCUACUAUAUUUUCUCAUCCUUUUUAGGAAACCACUCCUACAUCUUAGGAUUCUUAGAGUUUCCUUUCUUGGCCAUACUUUCCAAAUCUGUCCACCGCCUUUAAGCUUUCCCAAAACCGUCCUUCCCUUCACCAACAACAAAGAAUUCUUGUGUACUCUUGUGGGGGGAUAAGUUGGUGACAAUUAUUGGACUCGAGCAACAUUACUCAACUACCUAAACCAACAGGUAAGGUACUUGGUAAGCUUUAUAGAGUGACUUGCACACUACACACGAGCGUGAGGGAUACACUAAGGGAGUGAAGUGAGGACUAUAUUUGCAUUUUCUUUGUUUCUUCUAACCUUUGCAGGGGCAACAAGGGAAGCAUGGAGCAACAACACCACCAUCAACAACAAGCAACCACUGAUCCUUCUUUAUUAUUCGCCGCCAUGAAGAAUGAGCUCAAGCGAAUCAGUGAGCAACAAAUGGAGACACUACACACUCGUUUUGAUGAAUUGUCUAGGAGCCUUACGCGAGGCUCUCGUUCUCGGUCCCAUAACCGGAGUAACCAUGGCACCAAAGACACAAAUGGCGAAGACUACUCCGCUAGUGAGGAUGAGGAACGACCUGAGAGGCCUACAAGGGACAUGCCCAAAAACGAAAUCAAGGGGCUUAAAAUACAAGUUCCCGCAUUCAAAGGCAAAAGUGACCCUGAGGCUUACUUGGAGUGGGAAGGCCGCAUCGAGAUGGUCUUCGACUGCUACGACUAUAGCGAGGAACAAAAAGUGAAGGUUGCCAUCGUGGAGUUCACCGACUACGCACUCGUCUGGUGGGACCAAGUGAGGACCACGAGGAGGAGGAUAGGAGAACCACGUGUCCGGACUUGGCGAGAACUCAAGGCACUAAUGCACAAGCGGUUUGUUCCUAGCUACUACAAUCGUGAUCUCCACUCUAAGCUGCAAACACUUACGCAAGGCAACAUGAGUGUGGAGGAUUACCACAAAGAAAUCGAGAUGGCCAUGAUGAGGGCCAACAUUCAAGAAGACAAUGAAGCCACAAUGGCUAGGUUUCUUAGGGGUCUCAACCCUGACCUUCAGGAUGCCUUGGAGCUUCAACAUUACUUGGACAUGCACGACCUUCUAGAACUCGCCAUUAAGGCCGAACGGGGGAAGAAAUUAAGACGGGGAGGCCGUACUUUCCAACCUUCCACCACCACCUCGUGGAAAGGCAACCAACCACGAAGAGUGACCCACGAAGCUGGAAAUGCAACAACAUCAAACUAUUCUAACCGUUUCCAAGGUAAUGCUUCUACCCGGAAUGCCUAUUCUACACCUAACAAGGUUUCUGAUGUGUCCAGGUCUACUUCUAAGGCACCGCAAGAAACUCCUAAAGCUAGGAGUAGGGACAUCAAAUGCUUUAAGUGCCAAGGGUUUGGGCAAAUUCAAUCUCAAUGUCCAAACCAACGGGUAAUGCUGAUAACUCACAAUGGCGAAAUCGUGUCGGAUGAUGACGAAUGUGAUGACGUGCCCGAACUAGUAGAAGAUGACUGCCUGGAAGAAGAGCCAGCUGGGGAGGCUUGCUCGCCUACACGAGGAGAAGUAGGUUGCCUAGUAGCACGACGAGUGCUAACCGCCCGCGUCAAGGAGGAUGAGCAGCUACAACGCGAAAACCUAUUCUACACCCGCUGUAAGGUAGGAGACAAAGUCUGUAGUCUCAUCAUCGACGGUGGAAGUUGCACGAACGUGGCCAGUUUGCUCAUGGUUGAAAGUCUAGGACUCCCCACUACCAGGCAUCCACAUCCUUACCGCCUCCAAUGGCUAAGUGAGGAUGGUGAAGUACGAGUCUUCAAACAAGUACGCAUUCCCUUCUCCAUUGGUACCUACAUUGAUGAAAUCGUGUGCGACGUAGUGCCAAUGCAUGCUACACAUAUCAUCUUGGGAAGGCCCUGGCAAUUUGACAAACAUGUCACAUUCGAUGGAAGAGCGAAUAAGUACACACUUUUGCACGAUGGCAAACGUAAGGUCCUUACACCUCUCACGCCUGCACAAGUUUAUGAGGACCAACUACUUUUGCAAAGAGAGUGUGAACAAGACCGUCAAAGGAGGAAACUCAAGGCGGUCGACCCUGGUCAAGGCUCCACAUCUACGACUGAGCCAUCAACCAAGGAUCAAGGGAGCACACCUAGGGGUCUACGCGACAAACCACCUGCCGCACCUCCCACUAGGAAGCAUAACAUGAUUAUUAAGGCUAAAGAUGUAAGAAAAGUGGUAAACUCUAAUCAGCCUAUACUUCUCAUGAUUUGCAAGCAUGUGCUCUUAGAUGUUGCUGAGCUCGACAAGGCGCUGCCUGCAAGCAUAGUGGCUCUCUUACAGGAAUUUGAGGAUGUUUUCCCUGACGAGGUCCCUGAUGGCUUACCACCCAUUCGGGGAAUUGAACACCAAAUCGACCUCAUUCCUGGAGCACCAUUACCCAACAAACCUGCCUACCGCAUGGGUCCCGAGGAGACCAAGGAGCUUCAAAGGCAAGUAGAUGGCCUGUUAGGUAAGGGAUGGGUGAAGGAGAGUCUAAGUCCCUGCGCUGUGCCUGUGGUCCUUGUCCCCAAAAAGGAUGGCACUUGGCGCAUGUGCACUGACUGCCGGGCUGUAAACGCUAUCACUGUCAAAUAUCGGCAUCCCAUUCCUAGACUUGAUGAUAUGUUGGAUGAACUCGAUGGUGCUAUUAUUUUCACCAAGAUUGACUUGAGGAGUGGCUAUCAUCAAAUUAGGAUGAAGGAAGGAGAUGAAUGGAAGACAGCCUUCAAAACCAAACAUGGUCUCUAUGAGUGGUUAGUUAUGCCUUUUGGCUUGACUAACGCCCCUAGCACCUUCAUGCGCCUCAUGAACCAUGUUUUGAGACAUUUUAUUGGUAAAUUUGUCAUUGUUUACUUUGAUGACAUUCUGAUCUAUAGUCGUAGUGAGCAUGAGCACCUGGAGCAUGUAAGAUUAGUCCUCGAGGCACUUCGACAGGCGCGUCUAUACGCUAACCUCAAAAAGUGCACCUUUUGUACUAACGAGCUUGUGUUUCUAGGCUAUGUUGUGAGUUCGCAGGGCAUCAAGGUGGACAAAUCCAAGAUUGAGGCCAUCGAGCAAUGGCCAACCCCUACAUCCGUUCCUGACGUGCGCAGCUUUCUUGGAUUGGCGGGUUUUUAUCGGCGAUUUGUCAAAAACUUUAGCACCAUUGCCGCCCCAUUGACCGCCGUGACAAAGAAGGAUGACAAGUUCCACUGGGGGGAAUCCCAAGAACAAGCGUUCCUCGCCCUUAAGGACACACUCACCCAUGCACCUGUGUUAGCAUUACCAAACUUUAACAAGACCUUUGAAAUUGACUGUGAUGCUUCUGGUGUAGGUAUUGGAGCAGUCCUCAUGCAAGACAAGAGGCCGUGUGCCUUCUUCAGCGAGAAACUGGGAGGGGCUGCGUUAAACUACCCCACGUACGACAAGGAGUUGUACGCACUAGUGAGGGCCUUGGAGACUUGGCAACACUAUCUUCGCCCUCGGGAGUUCGUGAUACACACUGAUCACGAGUCAUUGAAGUACCUCAAGGGACAGCCCAAGCUAAGCAAGCGACAUGCCAAAUGGGUAAGCUUCAUUGACACCUUUUCGUAUGUCAUUAAAUAUAAGACUGGCAAAACGAAUGUAGUGGCUGAUGCAUUAUCACGUAGACAUUCAUUGCUGGCACUUCUGGAUGCCAAGUUACUAGGGUUCGAAAUGGUUAAGGAACUCUAUACACAUGAUCAUGACUUUGGUGAUAUCUAUGCUGCUUGUGUUAAGAACCCGCAUGGAAAGUACUUUUUGCAUGAUGGAUUUCUAUUCCAUGUAGAUAAAUUGUGUGUGCCUAAUUCUUCCAUUCGUGACCUUUUGAUCCGAGAGGCACAUAGUGGUGGUCUCAUGGGCCACUUUGGCAUCGCCAAGACUCUGGCCAUGUUGCAAGAGCACUUUUACUGGCCCCAUAUGCGUAGAGAUGUUGAACGCAUGGUUGGUAGGUGUGCUACUUGCCACAAGGCAAAGUCUAAGACAAAUCCAUAUGGCUUGUAUACCCCAUUACCUAUUCCACACCAUCCCUGGAUUGACUUGUCUAUGGACUUUGUAUUAGGAUUGCCUAGAUCACCAAGGGGUAAUGACUCCAUCUAUGUUGUGGUUGAUAGAUUUUCUAAGAUGGCGCAUUUCAUUCCUUGUCACAAAACUGAUGAUGCAUCUCAUGUUGCUACUUUAUUUUUCAAAGAGAUUGUCCGCCUGCAUGGCAUGCCUAGGACUAUUGUUAGUGACAGGGAUGUGAAAUUCCUGAGUUACUUUUGGAAGACCUUGUGGUCCAAACUUGGCACUAGGUUAUUAUUUUCCACCACUAGUCAUCCUCAAAGCGAUGGACAAACUGAAGUUGUCAAUCGCACACUUGGCACUUUACUUCGGGCCUUGAUUAAAAAGAAUCUUAAGUCUUGGGAAGAGUGCUUACCUCAUGUUGAAUUUGCCUACAAUCGCACUGUGCAUAGUGCAACUCAAUAUUCUCCCUUUGAGAUUGUUUAUGGCUUCAACCCCCUCACCCCCUUGAUCUGGUGCCCUUACCUUCCUCUGAGCAAACAAGCUUAGAUGGGGAAAAGAAAGCUGGGUUUGUACGCAGGUUACAUGAAGCUGUGCGAGCAAACAUCGAGAAGCGCACGCAGCAAUACAUCCAACAAGCCAACAAGCACCGCCGCAAGAUGAUUUUUGAGCCUGGAGAUUGGGUGUGGCUACACUUAAGAAAAGAGCGUUUCCCCAAGCAACGUCAAAGCAAAUUAUCCCCAAGAGGGGAUGGACCAUUUCGGGUACUCCAACGGGUCAAUGACAAUGCAUACACAUUGGAGCUGCCUGGGGACUACAACGUUAGUGCAACCUUCAACGUUGGGGACCUCAGCCCAUUCCUUGACGAGCAGGAUCCAGAUUUGAGGGCAAAUCCUUCUCAAGAGGAGGGGACUGAUGUGUGCACGGGCCUCGGCCCACGCGAUGACCCAGUCCGAGUCCCACUGGGCCCAGUCACACGUUCACGGGCCAAGCUGUUCAAAGAAUCAUUCCAAGCCCUGGUGAGAGUCGUCCAAGACCAACAUGGAGUUCACAAAGAUAUUGAGGGCUUAGAGAAAGACCACUGGGCCAAUUACACCUUGAUCCAAGCCCAUGACGACUCAAGUGGGUCUCUAAGGGAUUCGGCCGAGUAGGGCCUUAGCCUUUGACACUUAUUGGAAUAGCUUACUUAGUAGAAUGGGCCGGCCCACCUUACACUAAGAUGGCCGACCACCCCUUUUAGGAUUACUUAGGGUUUCUUUAUUGUUUUCCUUAGCCUAUAAAUAGGCUAGCUUUGUAAGGUUAAGAACUAGCUUUUGAUUAAUAAAAUUCUUAGUGCAUUCGUUUUCUUUCAUAAAGAAUUCGUGCCUUUAACUUGCUUGGCAAGGGUUAUUGAGCAAUCUCGCGUCCUGUCCUUGAUUGUUCAUCCGACCUAUUCCCCUGGAGUAUUCACCUUCAUCGGAGUGUCGUCUACCACCUCCAAUCAAAUCGAGUUGUCCGUUUGAGUAAAGGUUCCGCAAACCAAGCGUAGGACAUCCCCGCUAGAUCCUUGGGCAAACGUGCUACGUGUCUCGACCGUGGAUCGAGGAACGUAUCAUGAUCGUUUCUCAAAGAUGGCUCACUUCAUUCCUUGCCAUAAAACUGAUGAUGCUAAACAUGUGGCUGAUUUAUUCUUUAGAGACAUAGUGCGUUUACAAGGGGUACCUCGUACCAUUGUUUCUGAUAGGGAUGUAUGGUUCCUUAGCUACUUUUGGAAAACGUGCUACGUGCUACGUGCUACGUUUACCGGUCCUUGGGCAAACGUGCUACGUGUCUCGACCGUGGAUCGAGGAACGUAUCACCAAGUUUAGCAAGUACGAAUUUUGGCUGGAGAAAAUUUCUUUUCUGGGACACGUAAUUUCUCAAAAGGGUAUUUCAGUUGACCCGGCGAAAGUAGAGGCUGUGACUAAUUGGAAGAGGCCAGAAAAUCCCACCGAGGUCCGUAGCUUUCUAGGGCUGGCUGGAUAUUACAGGCGUUUCAUCAAGGACUUUUCCAAACUGGCCGGUCCCUUAACCGACUUGACCAAGAAACAUGGUCGGUUCCUUUGGAAUGCCCGAAGCGAGACGAGUUUUCACGAACUAAAGAAAAGAUUGACCAUGGCUCCAGUCCUAGUCUUGCCAAACGGAGUGGACGGAUUUGCUGUGUAUACUGAUGCCUCACGAGAAGGCCUGGGUUGCGUGUUAAUGCAGAACCGUAAUGUGAUUUCUUUUGCCUCUAGGAAGUUGAAACCCCACGAGCAGAACUAUCCAACCCACGAUCUGGAGCUAGCUGCCGUUGUUUUCGCUCUUAAAAAGUGGAGACAUUACCUAUAUGGGGUAACUUUCGAGAUUUACUCCGAUCACAAAAGUCUGAGGUACCUCUUCUCACAGAAGGAAUUGAACAUGAGGCAGCGACGAUGGAUAGAAUUUUUGGAGGAUUACGAUUGUACCAUCAACUACCAUCCAGGAAAGGCGAACGUAGUGGCCGAUGCUUUGAGUCGCAAGGCGCAAGUAGCCGGGUUAAUGAUUAAAGAGUGGAAUUUGCUCGAGUCGAUUUGUGAGUGGAAACCCUGCCUUGGGAGCCAUAAGGUGAUUUUUGGCAAUAUUAAAGUGACUUCCACUCUCUUGGAGAGAAUUAAAGAAGCUCAAAAGGAAGAUUCACUAGUGCAGAAAUGGGGAGAGAAAGUGGGAAAAGGAGAAACCACUGAUUUCAAUUUUGGUCCUGAGAGUAUUUUAAAAUACCGAAACCGAAUAGUGGUGCCGAAGGAUGAAGCGUUGAAAACGGAGAUUCUAGAGGAAGCCCAUCGAUCCAAGUAUACAAUUCAUCCGGGUAGUAGCAAGAUGUAUCAGGACCUGAAAGGAACCUAUUGAUGGGACAAUAUGAAGAAGGAAAUUGCUCUGUACGUGCAAAAAUGUCUUGUUUGCUAACAGGUGAAAGUAAAACAUCUGAUACGCUCCUCGAUCCACGGUCGAGACACGUAGCACGUUUGCCCAAAGAUCUAGCGGGGAUGUCCAACGCUUGGAUUGCGGAACCUAUGAUCAAACGGACAACUCGAUUUGAUUGAAGGUGGUAGACGACACUCCGAUGAAGGUGAAUACUCCAGGGGAAUAGGUCGGAUGAACAAUCAAGGACAGGACGCGAGAUUGCUCAAUAACCCUUGCCAAGCAAGUUGUAAGGCUCGAAUUCUCUAUGAAAGAAAACGAAUGCACUAAGAAUUUUAUUCAUCAAAAAACUAGUUUUUAACCUUACAAAGCUAGCCUAUUUAUAGGCUUUAAGGAAAUAACAAAAACCCUAAAGAAACCUAAAGGGGAGGUCGGCUACCUUGUCAUCAAGGUGGGCCGGCCCAUGCCUUCUACGAAACAACUAGUCGAACUAAAUAGCAAAUAACGACUAAGGCCCUACUCGGCCGAUUCGUAAGGAGGCCCACUGGAGUCUUCCUGGGCUUGGACCAAAGUGUAAGUUGCUUGAUUGACCCUUUCCAAGCCUUCAAUAUCUCUAUAGCCUCCAUGUUGAUCGUGGACAACUCGAACAAGGGUUUGGAGGGAUUCUUUGAAGAGCUUGGCCCGUGCACGUGUGACUGGGCCCAAUGGGACUUGGACUGGGCCCUGGUUCAUGCACACAUCAGUCCCCUUCCUCUUGAGAAGGAUUUGCCCUCAAAUGUGGAUCCUCCUCACCAAGAAACGGGCUCAAGUCCUCCCAGCUGGCUCUUCUUCCAGGCAGUCGUCUUCUACCAGUUCGGGCAUGUCCUCACAUUCGUCAUCAUCCGACCUAUUCCCCUGGAGUAUUCACCUUCAUCGGAGUGUCGUCUACCACCUUCAAUCAAAUCGAGUUGUCCGUUUGAUCAUAGGUUCCGCAAUCCAAGCGUUGGACAUCCCCGCUAGAUUCUUGGGCAAACGUGCUACGUGUCUCGACCGUGGAUCGAGGAGCGUAUCAACAUCAAAAACCAUUGGGUUUUUUACAACCCCUUGAGAUACCUGAAUGGAAGUGGGAAAACAUCACCAUGGAUUUCGUUUCAGGUUUAUCGCGAACGCAACGAGGACAUGACGCCAUUUGGGUAAUCGUCAACCGGUUAACCAAAUUGGCUCACUUCCUGCCAGUAAACAUGAAAUAUUCCAUGGACAAGUUGGCCCAGCUGUACAUGGACGAGAUCGUAAGGCUACACGGUGUUCCAGUCAGUAUCGUCUCCGAUCGAGAUCCACGUUUCGUAUCUCGAUUCUGGCAGAAAUUCCAAGAGACGCUAGGGACGAAACUCAAUUUGAGCACGACCUAUCACCCUCAGACGGAUGGACAAUCGGAACGAACAAUCCAAACUCUCGAGGACAUGCUACGGACUUGCAUUUUGGAUUUUGGAGGCAACUGGGGUCAACACAUGACCUUAGUAGAGUUUGCAUACAACAAUAGCUACCAUUCGUCAAUUCAAAUGGCUCCAUAUGAAGCACUAUAUGGACGGAAAUGCCGGUCACCAAUUUACUGGGAUGAAAUUGGUGAGAGAAAGGCGCUAUGAUGCGGUUGAGCACGAGGCCCAAAGUGUACAAGUAGACCUUGUGAAGGUGCCCCAAGGCCCAGUGACACGAGGACGAGCUAAGAGAUUCAAGGAGUCCCUCCAAGCCUUGGUACGUGCCAUCCAAACCCAAGAGAAACCGGGCAUUGAAGGAAUUGAGUUGGAACAUUCUUGCACGACUACUAAAAUGCUGCUUACAAUUGAAGAUGCAAGUGUUCAAGCUCCAAACGGUGGGCUGAGCCGCAGUAAGUACCCUCGCUGAGCCGUACAGGGGUCUCGCUUAGGGACCGUCUACGCGUUAGAUCAUGUUUGUGUGAAUCACUUCAUCUCAUGCAUAUUUUCACUUUCUAGGAUCUUUUAUCAUUUUUUGCAUGACAUCCCUCCUUAUACGUAUAUCCCUUCCCCCAUAUUUUCCCUUAUAUGUAUAUUACUUACCCCUUUGUAUGAAACAUGACAUUAGACUUGCAUUUCAUCUAAGCAUUAGACCUAAGUUAGUACAUUUGCUUGAUUAGACUAGGAAAAACCCCUUGGGUAUGGGAUAUGGAUGAGUUUGGCUCUUUAGCCUUAGCACGCUCGUAUUCCCUCUAUUAAAGGGAACAUUGAAAGUCACGAGUAUAAGUCCCCCGCACCCAUUAUGAUGCAUUCCUUUAGGUCAUACACAUUGGUAUGUUAUUAUUUUUCUUUACUUUUUCUUUCUUUUGAGUCUCAUGACUUGCAUUAUUCGUGACUUCUUCGAAGAGUCUUUAUUGGGCAUCACAAUUAAUGUGAUUGACACCAAUUGAGCUUCAAAGAGAAAUUUCGACCCUCCGACACCCUCCUAGGUCUAGGGUUUGCAUUCAUAUAGUACAUCCAAAUGUGAUAAAUCUUUAGGUUAAAAUGAGAAAAUCUUUGACUAAAUCGCGCAACUAGCCUUGGCUAGGUUGAAAGGGUGCCUUGGAUUUUUAUCCUUGCCUUCCCUUUCUUCAAAUGUGACUCCCGAAUCUUUUUCUCUGAUUUUCGUGGACUUGGAGUCGCUUAAAAAGGGCUUUUCUACUUUUUUCUUUAAAAAUUCAUUUUUUGGUGACUUGGUAUACCUUAACUCUAUACCAAGUGGCGACUCCAUUUUUCAUUCAAAAAAACCCUUUUUAAACUAUACUUUGUGAUACGAACGUCGCCAACCUUGUGACGAAACCCGUAAAAGAUUAGCUUCAGGAUCGACAAGAGGACACCAAGUUUGAAGCGGAUGACCUCAACCCGUUAAUCACGUGGUUAACGAACCUUGGUAUAAUGGUAGAAGACGCCACAACCUAGUGCGAUUCUAAAUUGAUAAGUCACGAACACCUAGAGAAAUUCUAAGGUAUUCAAGAAGCCUUGGAGAAACCAAGAAAACUCUCAAAAUCUGAUUUAUUGAUUGAAUGCAUAAACCAUUGGAAGUGUGGGCUAUUUAUAGCCUUACAUAGAGAUGAACAACUAAAUGUGGAACUAGUCUAGAGUUGUGGUCUUGACUAAGACUAACAAUUAUAGGCUUGACCAAACCUUAUGAGGUCAUCCCUUAGGUAAACAACCUUAUGAGGUCAUCGCUUAGGUAAAUGACCUUAUGAGGUCAUCGCUUAGGUAAAUAAAGCAAGGCUAUGGACCAUUAAACCCUUAUUACAAUGACUUAACUAAAACAGCAAAUGUGACUAGAGAAGGGUCACACAUGGUUCUCUUUGACGUGCACUACAUGGAUGACUUUCAUUCCUUCAUGCUCAAGCCCCUCAAUGACCUUGGGGACAAUUUCUUGGCCUUGUAUCUCAUGAACAAGUCCUUGGAGUUCCUCCCACAUCUUCUUAGCUCGUGCUCGAGUUACGGGAUCCUAGGGGAACUCGAAUAGUUCGCAAUGGUGUCUCUUGGUUCGUAUCAUCCCCCUCCUCUUCAAAAGGAUUUGUCCUCAAAUCAGCUUCAUCGUCUGCAAGAAAAGGAGAUAGAUCAGAGACAUUGAAUGUAGCGCUCACAUUGUACUCACCGGGUAGGUCCAGUUUGUAAGCAUUGUCAUUGAUGCGUUUGAUGACUUGGAACGGCCCAUCUCCUCUGGGAAGUAAUUUAUUGCACCUUUGGACUGGGAACCUUUCCUUGCGUAGAUGUAACCACACCCAGUCACCAGGUUCAAACACAACGCGUUGGCGUCCCUUGUUAACCCGUUGAGCAACUUGGUCCAUCCUUCGCUCAAUGUUUAGGCGUACCUGCUCGUGUAAUUUCUUGACAAAAUCUGCUCGUUUAGCACCAUCCAUGUUAAUGUGCUCAGAAGAAGGUAAAGGUGACAAGUCUAGUGGUGUUAAAGGGUUAAAACCAUAGACUAUUUCAAAUGGUGAAAAAUGAGUAGAACUAUGCACCGUGCGAUUGUAUGCAAACUCAACAUGGGGUAAACAUUCUUCCCAGGUUCUAAUGUUUUUUCUAAUGAUGGCACGCAAGAGUGUAGAUAGUGUACGAUUGACAACCUCAGUUUGGCCAUCAGUUUGUGGGUGACUAGUAGUAGAAAAUAGCAAUUUGGUACCCAAUUUUCCCCACAAAGUUUUCCAAAAGUAACUCAAAAUUUUGACAUCCCUAUCAGAGACAAUUGUCCUAGGCAUGCCAUGCAAUCUAAUGAUUUCUUUGAAAAACAAAUCAGCAAUGUGCGAUGCAUCAUCUGUUUUGUGACAUGGUAUAAAAUGUGCCAUUUUUGAAAAUCUGUCAACAAUAACAAAGAUGCUAUCAUUUCCCCUCUUUGACCUAGGCAACCCUAAAACAAAAUCCAUGGAAAUAUCGGUCCAAGGUUCCUUAGGUACAGGUAAAGGACUAUAAAGGCCAUAGGGUUGAAGUUUAGACUUAGCUUUGUGGCAAGUAAUGCAUUUAGCCACCAUUCGCUCCACAUCUCGUUUCAUCCUUGGCCAAUGGAAGUGCUCUUGAAGGAUAGCUAAGGUUUUAGCCACGCCAAAGUGUCCCAUCAAGCCACCUCUGUGUGCUUCCCUAACUAGUAAAGAGCGAAUAGAGCAAUUAGGUAUGCAUAGUCGAUUGAGGUAGAAAAGAAAUCCAUCAAGGAUGUAGAAUUUACCUUGAGUUGCUGAACCACAAGAAUCAUAAAUUAGGAAAUAAGAGGUCUGGCACGAUCUUCUUUUAGUGGCUUACCCAUUAGAUAACUCACAUGUUUAAAUUUCAGUCAUUACACUUAUUUUUCAAUAAAUACAUUUCAUUUUAGACCUUUUGCCCCCCGAUGCAUUAUUUAUGCCCUUUAGGCCAUAUUUGUCACAUAUUUUGUGACAGCCCCACCUUCCCCUAAGGCGAACCAAAGGGGUUAGCGGACUGCCUGCCCAGCUCUCGCCAGGACUAACGGUACGGUUUACGUCAAUCUAAAACGUUCCGGAACAUAACAUCGCGCGCAAACAAGUCAAAACACAAAAUAAAAUAAAAUAAAAUAAAACGAAAACCGAAGCCGAAAUUUAUCUAAACCAUAGCCAAGCAUAUAUGUACAAUGGAAAUCAACAUUUACAACCAUAAUGGCAUGCCAAAACUAUUCAUUAAGGAGUACACAUUCGAUUUGCCUAUCAAAAGGAAAUGAACCCGUUAUACAUUAGGGUUUCACUUCAAGAGCUAUACAAAAGACAUUUACAAGCUCAGUAUGGCAAUUGACUAUCCAGUCCAUUUUCAAAAGCAAUUAUUAUCCCUGUAAGGAAAACAAAUAACACGGAAUGAGCCAAAGCCCAGUGGUAUACCACCCAAUAAGCAAUCAAAGUCAUAUAAGAAUGAACCUUCAUUUAAAGUGCACAAAAUAAGCAAUGAAACAAAAACGGUAAAAGGAUACGGUCGGCUCUCAAGAGCCCAAUUCCACGCUUGUAAUCUUGAUCCAACCCCAUUGACCCUCCGUCAAUGUUAAAAGUACCAAACCGUAGACCACACUUUACUUCCAUUCCUUCCACCUAUCAUACCCAACCGGGCCCGCACUCCAUUCAGUAAUAUUUUUGGUAAUACUCGAGUUUACCGGAACCAAGGUCUCAUUACCACAAGGUUCCCCAGUACAGUCCCCGUGGCAUGAUAAUUUUCACGACCAAGCCCUCGCCGGCUCGAUCCAAUUAACUACCAUACGGGGUUGAGCUCAUAAAUGCAGUAAAGCCAUUGGAUACUCGUCCAACGACACCAAAUCAGUUUCCAUGAAUGGAAUGCAGUAUCUCAUAUAUCCAGUGCAGUAUUUCAGUAAAACACAAUCAAUAGCCAUGAAUAAAAUCACAAGGGGUGAGGGCGAUCAAGUACACCCUCACCUCAAUCAUUUCCAAUAACCAAGUAAGCCUUCAAGGCAUCAAAUACACAUAGCACAAAGCCACAUUAUAACAAGUAAGUGAUGUAGUAUACUCACCAAGCAAGUAAGUGGUAUUUCAUGUACCACGAUCACCAAGCCGUCGUGCACUACCUUCACGCCCUAGAAUCAUGCAACACAUACAAUAAGACUCCAUGCCGAGCCAUAAACAACACCAAUUCACAACCCCAAUAGGUUCUAUAAACAUAUACAAGCAUGAUAGCAAACCAGAAAUUAAGAAAGGGCUUUAACUUAAGCCUUGAUAAGAAAACCGGUUUUGCCGUCAUAAUGCGGUAAUGGUACAACUCUCACUACAAAUAUCGGUUGGGGGUGUAAGACCCACCAUUUCGAAGCUAUGGAACAGGGAUACAAUAAUGUAGAAGACCACUCAAUCCAGUUCCUAGCUUAACUAGGUCGAAAAUGCCAAAUACUAACCCAGAAUUCCUAAAACAGGUUCGCAAAACACAAAAAAUGUAAUCGGUAUAUCUCAGUCCAUACAAGUCCAAAUGCCGAAAUUCCAAAGGCAUAAGUUAGCUAAGUCAUCCAAAUACAUUUCAUCAGAAGACACCAACUUCAAAAUCCAAACCAAAACCAGUCAAAAUGGCCAAAUACAAACUCAGUUUUCGCAUUCUGAUCAAAGCAGAACAGCUACAGUAAUUUCGUCAUAACUCACUCUACACUAAUUCAAAUGCCCUGAAAUUUUACAGGCACCUUAUACACAUCAAUUCCUACAACUUUCAUGUUUUGAGAAAAGUCCAAUUCGGCCUCUAACCUAGUGAUCUAAAACGGACAGAAUUGGGUUCAAGAACCCUAACUUUUCAAAUUUCACACCAAAUCCAAAAUUGAUUGCAUUUAACCACAAUUCACACUCACUAGAGUCAUUUCCAACCAUUACAAUUCAUCAUACAAGCCCCCAACAUCAAGAUCAUAUUAAACCAGAAAAAAUCCCAAUAAAAUAAAAACUUCACCAAAACUCUUCAAAUCAAGAAAUAAAUCACAUUUUCACACACUCAUGCCACUUCUAAGCAUCAUAUAACCAUCAUUAAAGGUAGUAGGGUGUUUCAAGCUUCACUUACCAAGAAACAAGAGAGAGGAAGAUGUGGAGCACCUUAGUCCUUCAAACAAAGUUCACCAAACAACUUGCUAGCACUAGAAGGAAAGUUUUUAUGGAGUGAAAUCUUGUUUAUGGCCUUGAUUGAGAUGAUUUGCUAGUAGAAACUUGAAGAUUGAAGAAGUUUUCCUUCUUGCAAGAGUGAGAGAGAGAGCCGGCCAAACAAGAGAGAAAAAUGGUGAUUUUUUGGUGAAUUUUGGAUAUUUAAUUCCUUGGUCAAAUAAGUCAAGACAAUGAAUAGUAAUUCUUAAAAGUUCAACCAAUAAGAAAAUGACACGUGGCACCUUAUUAAAUGCAUUCCUAUCCUUCUUUUCUCUCUCACAUCAAUCACUUCACACACUCUACUUAUCCCUUAACACCGAUAAAUUUUACACAGUAUCCGAAACUUAACCUUAUUGGCCGAAUUUUUCCGAAUUUUUCGCACUAGUGGGUCCCACGUCCACUAUUUACUCUUAAUUUUCUAAAAUUUCACCAAUGCUAGAAAAAUCAUUUUAAAACUAUAAUUGCUCAUAAAAUCCACUAAGAAAAUAUUUCUAAGCCAGAAAAUGCAGAAAACAUGCAAUUAAGGGGAAAUAAACCCUAGGAAAAUAUUAGGGUUUUUACGGGUUCUCAUAUUUACAUAACUUUAAUAAACUGGCAUCAUGCAUCCACCCUAGAAAGGGAAUGCCAUUUAGGGGAUCCCGUGUUAGGGAUAAGCUACUUGUGUCUCGGAUACUUAAUCCAACGAGACUUGCACGUUUACAUUUUGUACCAUCCAAAGGGGUAGUGCACGAGAUAAGGUAGGAUCCGAUCAUUUUCAUAGAGCGAUCUUUGGAAUAUGAGCGUCUAAAAUCACUUUUUGGCUAUUUUAUCAAAAAUUGGUAAAAAUCCCUUGUGCAAAGGACAUUAAUUUGAAGAAAAUUCACAAAUGAUUCCUCCUUUUGAGACGAUAAAUAAAUUAGGGCCAAAUUUUGAUUUUUAGAAGACUCGUAGGCUAAUGCAUCGUAAUAAAAUUUUUUGAAACUACCAGUGGAUAGCUUGAUUUUUUAAUAAGCUCUCAAUUCUAUUCAAUCCAUUGGACCAUUUCAUUCAUCAAUUUCAUCCAGUUCAUUUUAUCAAUUUGUUCAUUUUAGGCAAUCUAGUCGAUUUUUUGAAGAAAUCACCAAUUUCAUUCAAUUCAUUUUGAUUAGUUAGAGCAAUUUUGUCGAUUUUGAUAAAUCAUCAAUUUCAUUAAAUUCAUUUGACCAGUUACCCUUUUAGGAUGAUCGGUCAAUUUUGAUAAAUUAUCAAUUUCAUUCAAUUCAUUUGACCGUUUCCCUUUUUAGGGUAAUCGGUCGAUUUUAAAUAAAUGUCAAUUUCAUUCAACCCAUUUGACCAAUUAGGGUUUCAAUGUCGAAUUCAAAUUGGGAAACCUAGUCGAUUUUGAGAAAACCAUCCAUUGCAUCCACAUUUGAUCAGUUGGGUUUUGACCCGUGCUUUACUGAGAAAUUUUGUCAAACGAAUUCCAUCUCUUCGAUAGGAAGUUCGUUAAGGUCAAACCCGUGUUUUUGCAAAUUCUUGUAUCGAUCAAAAGUGAUCAAUCCUUCGGACGUGUCCUCAUUUUGACAAACGUCUCUUCUCAUUCCAAUUGACCAAAUUUUUCAAAAUUAUUUCUCACUCAAUGAGUUGAUCGAUCCAUCAGGUAUGGUAUAGUGCCUACCCUAGAGGAUUGCAUUUUCAUGCUAGGCCUACCCUUGGCAUAAAAGGGUUCCCCAUAGGACAUGCAUACCGAUUUUAUAAUCUUGCUUGCUAAUUCAGGGUAUUUUUCUUUUGUUUUCCCCUUCCCUGCAUUCAUAAAAAUAUUUCAAUAAAGGGAAAAUAUUUUUCUAUAUCUGAUGGCACUUCCGAUCUAAUAAAGUGUCAAAACUGCAAGUGUAUUUGAUUCUUGGCAGAUCCUACAAUGGAAACAUAAAUGAUGUAUUAGAAGCUCUACGCUAAAGCCUCUGAGAGAUGUUGUAAUUGUUUUCCAAAGGAAAAUUUUGUAUAUUUGUUAAUACAUUUUGUUCCAAAAGAAAAGGAGACAAAAAGUGUAUAUGUGGAGCUCUUUACAAGUCUCUCUCCUCUCAUUUGUAUCAUAAUUGAAUGAGAAAUUUUGUUUCAAACUUUUUCAGCAAUAAAAUUUUUGGACAAUUUUGCUUUGUGUAUAUUUAUGUACAUUUCAUUCUUUAUUCUUACUAUUGGAGAUUUCAUGAUGAAUUUUGAGAAAUAAAACAAAUUGAGAUUUUUUCAACCUCCAGCCUGAAAAUUCACAAGUGUAUGCUCGAUUGGUGAUCCGAGCUACACAAUAAGAGUGCUCAAAAUUAAAAGAGGUCACUCAGAAGACCCGUGAGAUGCCUUUCUCCUUCACUUAACCCCAAAAUAAAAUUAGUCACAUUGAUUGAUAAAUUGCAAAUUGGGGCAACUUUUGCUUGAAAUGUCCGCGGUGACUAAUCCGAUUCAAUCACAUCUAAGUGAAAGCAAAAAUGUGCAUUAUUCUUGUUUGUUUUGAAAAUUUGGAAUGAUACUUCGAGCAUUCUUUUCUCUACCUAUACACAUUUUAUCAUUUGCUCUCCCAUUUGAGCCUUUGAAAGAGUAAUUUCGUUUUAAAUAAGAGCCCUAAUGAUCACUACCCUAUAUUGGAAAUUUUUCAAAUAUCAAAAAGGGGAAUGAAUUUUCAAUGACCAUUUCGUUACUUUGGUUGUCAUGAAGCGUAAGAAUGAUGCUUUGGCCAUCGUUUCUAUGACCUAAACACCAUUUAUCCCUUGCAUCCUCAUUUGAGCCAAAAAAAAAAUUGGUGGUCCUUUUCGAGUGCACAUAUGAUCGCACCCCACAUUGGGGAAGGAGAUUGGGGAAUUUUGAAAAAAGGAAAAAGAAAAAGAAGAAAGGGAGCCGCGAAUUGGGAAAAUUUGAUUCUACUUGGAUUUCAAUUUUGAAAAGAAAAGAAAAGAGGAAAAAGGAGAAGUUCUGUCCGGUGGACCGCCUAUGUUUCACAAAUAUGGAUGAACAAGGCUCUUCCUCAGUCAGUUAAUUCAGAUACAUGCCAGAAAUUUCCUUUCAGAGUUAUUGUAAGGAACGAAAUAAAGGUCAAGCCCUCUUCUUUUCCGAUCAAGCAUUCUAUCCCUAGUUAUCCCUUUUGAGCCAUCAGAAUAAAUUAUUUCAUUUGGCAACCCCUGAGAAUCGCAAACCCCACACUGGGGGCAAGUUUGAGUUGGAAAGGAAAAGUUUCAAGAAGUGAAAAGUAACAAUGCAACAAAAUCAAAAGGAAAAGAGAAAAGAGAACCUCAGUUCAAAAAUAAAAGGCAGAUUUUGUGAAAGUUCAAAAAUGGCAGAAAGCCGAAAAAUCAAAAGAAGAAAGAAAAUGAAAGAGAAAAAGCCUCAAUUGAGCAUAAACUGGGGCAAAAUUCUGAUUUAACCCUAAAAUAGGGUUGGCGCAACAAUGCGAUCUCAGAUUCUUCAAACCACUUUUGAAAUCCGCUUUCAAGCCUUAACUUUUCUAAGCACCCCACCUGACCCCAUUACAAAAGCCGAAAGUCCUGACUUCUGUUCUUUGCAAUGGCCCUGUCAAGAAAAUUUCUGAUGCCGGAAAAUUUUAGCUGUAUUUCUGAAUUGCCUGGGUAUGGGGUUGACGCUACUCACCAUGUGAAAACCCACCAAGUUGAGGGAAAGGAAAAAGAGGCAAAAAGCAAAGCAAGAAAAGUAAAUGCAAAGAAAAUGCAGAAAAAAUUCGACGCUGAAGUCCCUAGUGAAUGAUGAGGAAAAAUGCAAACAAAGUCUGAGAUUUUUUGAGUUCAAAAUAGGGGCAAUUUUGAAAAAUGCGAUCUUCGGUGCAAUGUCCUUGAAAGUUUUAUUCUUUAACUAUCGUUUUCAAGCUAUAUUACAAGUUAACAAAGUCCAUCGUUGACUUAUUCCUUCAUGACAAUCCACAGUGAGGAUUAUGCUUGUAAGAAAUCCAUCAAUCAUUUGUGAUCAUGGGGGUAUAACCAGUUUUCACAGGUUUAGCUAUCGUUUCUACCCAUUUUGUUGCAAGCCUAUAAAGUUUAUACGUUGACUAAGUUUUCUUAAGAAAUAAGAGCGACAAACUCUUUGCUUUCACUAAGAUGUGGUAUUGAAGGGAUUACAUACAAUUUUGAGCACAAAAAAUAAGACAAAUUCUGACCUCCCAUUUCCUUAGCCAUUUCAUAAAUAAAGUCACUUGAUUGGUCCUGAAAGAUGAGCCAACCAGAAGUGUGACCCGUUACCCUAAGCACCAAUGCUAAAAGUGAGGAAGAAAUCUUCUUGAAUUUGGUGUUACUUCGAGGAAUUCAUCAUGAAAUUUCUGCAUGAGUUCAAACUUGACGUUUAAAGUUUCUUCACAUUGUUGUAUAUGUGCAUUCUUUUCUAAAUUUUAGAAAGUGCGGUUUUUCUUUGUUCAAAUAAAUGGGAAAUCAUCUGAACAAAUUUUUGCAAUCAACGGAGCCCACACUGGGGCAAAAAAAUUUUAUUUGUGAGAUUUCAUGAAAUAAACCCAUACUGGGGCAAAUUUUUUGUAAUACAUUUGAGAUUUUUGUCCAAAAAUCAAAUAAUAACAUUUUUAGAAUCAAUCCCGCUGCUCUUUUCAUGGAAUUUAAGUGCAUGUCAUGCUUUGUUAAGCCCCCCUGUGCAGGUAUUCAUGGUUCAAAAUGACGAAAAGCAUCCAGUGAGGCGGAAGGCCGAUACUGCAAAGAGAAGCAAGAAGAAGAAGGGAAAAAUCGACCCGACACAGGGGCAAAUUAUUUUGAAAAAAUUCUCUCGAAAAAAUCCAAAAGGAAAGAAAGAAAAAAAAAAUCAAAAAAUCAAAAAAUCAUCAAAAAAUCAUCAUCAGAAAGGUCAAAAAUAAAAAAAAAACUCAAGUUUAACUACUUGCUUCUUGACAAAUCAAUUUCAAUUUCAACUUUACAAGAUCACGUUGGGCCUGGACUUCGUGCCGCCAACUUCACAAGAUCACGUUGGGCCUGGAUUUCGUGCCGCCAACAUUUCAUUCGGCAGAACUGGAUUCUAUCCCGCUGACCGCUUAUAUCACGUUGGAGUUGGGUUUUAUCCCGCCAACCUCGGCAGAACUGGGUUCUAUCCCGCUAACCGCUUAUAUCACGUUGGAGCUGGGUUUUAUCCUGCCAAUCUCGGCAGAACUGGGUUCUAUCCCGCUGACCGCUUAUAUCACAUUGGAGCUGGGUUUUAUCGUGCCAAUCUCGGUAAAGCUGGGUUCUAUCCCACUGACCAAUCAGCCACUGGAGCGUGAGGUUUUACCCGCCAGUGAGCAUUUUAUUUUCACAGCCACUGGAGCGUGAGGUUAGUCCCGCCAGUGUGCAUUUCAUUUUCACAGCUACUGGAGCGUGGGUUUGUCCCGCCAGUAAACAUUUCAUUUACAUCGCUACUGGAGCGUGGGUUAGUCCCGCCAGUAAGCAUUUCAUUUUCACAGCCACUGGAGCAUGAGGUUAGUCCCGCCAGUGUGCAUUUCAUUUUCACAGCUACUGGAGCGUGGGUUUGUCCCGCCAGUAAGCAUUUCAUUUACAUCGCUACUGGAGCGUGGGUUUGUCCCGCCAGUAAGCAUUUUAUUUUCACAGCCACUGGAGCGUGAGGUUAGUCCCGCCAGUGUGCAUUUUAUUUUCACAGCUACUGGAGCGUGGGUUUGUCCCGCCAGUAAGCAUUUCAUUUACAUCGCUACUGGAGCGUGGGUUAGUCCCGCCAGUAAGCAUUUCAUUUUCACAGCCACUGGAGCGUGAGGUUAGUCCCGCCAGUGAGCAUUUCAUUUUUACAGCCACUGGAGCGUGAGGUUAGUCCCGCCAGUGAGCAUUUCAUUUACCCCGCCGCUAGCAGUGGGUCAAUCCCACUUGCGUGCGUCCCAUGAUUUUCAUUUUAUUCGGGCCAGUCUCAUGAUUUUCAUUUAAUUCAGGUCAGUCCCAUGAUUUAAAGCUUAUUCGGGUCAGCCCCAUGAUUUUCGUUUUAUUCGGGUCAGUCCCAUGAUUAAAAGCUUGUUCGGGUCAGUCCCAUGAUUUUCGUUUUAUUCGGGUCAGUCCCAUGAUUUAAAGCAUUCGGGUCAUCUCAUGAUUUUCAUUUUAUUCGGGCAGUCCCAUGAUUUUCGCUUUUAUUCGGGUCAGUCCAUGAUUUAAAGCUUUAUUCGGUCAAUCCAUGAUUUUCAUUUUAUUCGGGUCAGUCCCAUGAUUUAAAUCUAUUCGCGUCAGUCCCAUGAUUAAAAGCUUGUUCGGGUCAGUCCAUGAUUUUCAUUUUAUUCGGCAGUCCCAUGAUUUUCAUUUAAUUCGGGUCAGUCCCAUGAUUAAAAAUUGUUCGGGUCUAUCCCGUUUUAAAUUUCCUGUUCAGGUCAGUCCCGUUUUUAAAUUCAUGUUCGGGUCAAUCUCAUUUAAAUUCCUGUUCGAGCCAAUCCCGUUUGAAAUUCUUCUUCGGUCAGUCCGUUUUAAAUUUCUUGUUCAGAUAGUCCAUUAAAAAUUUUUCGUCCCAGUUAAUCUCAUCAAAAGGGGUCAGUCCCAUCGUUCGAAUCGUUCACAGCCAAAUAACACAGGUAAGUAUUUGAGGUCUACUUCUUUGUCUCAAAUUUUCCAAAACUCAGACAAAGAGGGGCAAACUGUAGACACCAAAUUUUAGUGUAACUUGCAUUUACUAUUUUUGUCUUAAUUUUUAUUUGUCCGUGUUAAGUUUUAUUCACUCUUUAGUUUUUAGUUUUUAGUUUUUAGUUUUCAUUUUAUUAUUUUUUGUAAGUUUUAGCAUAGAAUUUCUCGAAAAAGAAAAAAAAAGCAUUCAAAAAUAUGAUUUAGUUGUUUGUGAUUUAAUUUCAAUGUUUUCUUGAAAAAAGAAGAGAAAGAGGAAAAAUGAUGAUGGAAAAUAAAAAAAAAGAAAAGAAAAUGGAAUUUGCACUUUGUUGUUUUUAGUUUAUUUAUUUUUAUCCAAUGUUAAUUAAGUUAUUUUUGUUAUUUAUUUUAUUAUCAAUUUUAUUUUAAUUAAUCUCAAAAAAAAAAUAUACGCGACUUGCAAGCUACGUAUUGUCGCAGCAAGAAGGACUGGCAGCUCCUUUAGCUGCAAUUUUGGGAAAGAUGGCUGGAGUUUAGGGUUGAGGACCUAUAUAAAUAGAAAACAGCAGCCGCAAGAGAGGGAAAAGGGUGGAGGAACGGCAAAAGAAAAAUCGGAGAGUUUUAUGACGGCUAAGAAAAGAAAACCAGAGAGUUUUGGUUAGCGGCUGUUGGGAGAAAAGAACUAGAAGGCUACGGGGGGGUUUAUGGGGAGCUAAAGGAGGAACGGCGGCUGCAUAAGAAAAAACAAGAGAUCGAGAGAGAGCUUGAAGAGUCGACGACUGAAAUUAGGAGGUUUUGGGAGGAGGGCUGGACAAAAAGGAAGACACUGAGAGAGUGGAGGUGGAGAAGAAACGAAAACAGCAACGAAGGAGCGAAUAGCUGAGAGAGAACCAGAGAGUUGGUGUUGCGGCGGAGAUUAAGAAAACUAGAGAGAGCAGAGAGAGGUUGGGAAAGAAAGCUAAGCCGAGAGGAAAAGGAAAAGGGGAUCUUGACGGCUAGAAUCUGGGUUGGCGGCUUGAAGAAAGAAAAACCUACGGCAAGGGGAGAAAAAUCUAAUCUAGAAAUGGGCUGGUUGAGGAAGAAAAGGAAAACAGAAAGCAAGGGAAGUCUGUAAAGGUCGGCGACCAAAGGAAAAGAACGGAACCAAGAGCUGAGUUUUGGAGGAGAGAAUCAGAGAAUCUAAAGGCAAGGAGUGGCGGCUAGGUCUAGCGAGAGGGAAUGUGUGUAUGAGAGAAGAAAGAAAAACCAGCAAAGGAGAACUGAGCGAGAGAGAUACAGAACAAGAAGCCGGGGAAGAAAGAAGGGAACUUUGGGCUGAGGGAAAAGAAAUGAUCGAGGAGAGUCCGAGAGUAGAACGACGGCUGAGUUUGGAAAGGAAAAAAACCAGAACCAGAAACAUUUUUCUGCCAAAAAUUUCAUCGAAAGGACUGAUUUUCGGCACACCUUGCGGCAUGAUUAUCUCCUUUCUGGUUGCUCAAUUCGAUUGGAUUCUGAUUUCUGUAUAAAUUACGAAGUCAGGGGAAGAACUCUUGUUCAGAAAUGGUUCACAACAAGCACCUGGAAAGCCCUUGAAUCUGGCCCCCAAAUCAUCAGCUUGGCUUCGCUGGUGCGGGUUCGAAAUCGCAAUGAAGCAAAUCCAGCAGCUUUUCACGGCAAUUCCUGACCUGAUUUUUAAUCCAAAAGGCCUCAUCAGGUACUCUUCUGAACUAAUCUUAUAGCCCCGUCCUUUUGCCAUUUGUUGGUUUAGUCGUUUGCAAUUUUCCUUCGUUCCAUUUCUGCUGCAGUUUCAUCUAUUCGGCCAGAUUGCAUUUUCCUUUUUUUUGCCGUUGUUUGUUUUGAGCUGCCUUGGUUGUGGCUGUUCUGUUUAGGAAAUGUCUAGAUUUGUGUUACUUUGCAUGAAUACCUUUGAACUGGGUAAGAAAGGCAUGAAACUGUUUGCUGCAGAAUUUAUUUGUUUGUUGCCCCAGAUCUGUAUGCUUGAAUGUCGAAUUUCUGUGAUUUUGUGGCUUGAAACCAUAGCUAUACUAUUUGGUUGAAAAGCUGGACGUGUUUGGAUGCAAAGCUACGUCUGAUGAACACCACAAAUGUGAAUUAGUCGUAGCUGAAAGAUGCUGAAAAGUUUGUGAGUUGGUGCUUGCAUGAUACUUUUUGUACGAAUUUCUGAUGCUUAAAUGUAAGGAUCUUAUGUUGGAAAGUGAGAUGUAUGCUUAAUGACCGUGGUGUAUUAGCUGAUUGAGUCAUUGAAAUAUUGUUUUGCUUGAAGAUACUGAAAUGAAAAGAAGAUUGCGGCUGGAUUGUUUCAGAAUAGGAAGGUUCUUCUACGUAGUCUUGCAUGCAUGUUUCAAAGAAAAAUUGCAUUUUGACCCCUUGGCUUCUAACUAAUGCUGCUAUGACCCAAUCAAUUGAAUAAUCUCCUCAAUUUGGUCCUUGGUAGUUUUAAUUUUACAACUUCAUUGCUUGUUUGCUUCAAUUAACUACUAUGCUUUGUUUAAAUUGCACUUCAUGCAUGAAUUUAAGAGCUUUAUGACCAUGUGAGCCGUGUUUGCAUGUUUUCUUUAAUUUUCCCAAAUAAAUUGGUAUCUUGACCAUUUCUUUUAUUUUGGAGGAUAAAUAAGUGACUUCACCCAUUAGAGCUCCAUUUCAAGGGAGGUAUAACUUCUUUUAUCUUUUUUGUCUCUCCCCUAUGUGAUCCAACGUGCUAAGUGAGAAUUGCAUGCCUACUUUACUUGCCUUCCUUGUUUUUCCUUAAUUCAUUUCAUUUACUUUUGCUUUUAUUAAGUCAUUCUUUUAUUUAUGAGGUAUGUGUACACCUCUUGGCUUGUAAUAGAUAGGGCUUGGAGAGCACUUGAUGAAGACCUAUUGAAGACGUGUGCCUAGCUAGCAAAUGUAAUAGGUCUAUUAGCUUGAUUGCUUGCUUUUGUUGCUAUGUGUUAAUUUGCUUUAUUAGACUCUUGCAUCUAGUCGAGCAUGCUAAGUGUUAUGUGCUACGCGUUUAUGAGUGUUUGGCAUGUCUACUUGCUUUCUAUAGUCGUAGAUGAAUGUGAUGGAUGAAUGUACGUUUCCACUAGUCCAACGCUAGUAGGAAUUCAUAGAAAGGGCUAGUCAAUGCAGAUGCUAGACCCAAUAGGCCGUCCCCCUUUCGUUAGUGCAUACUUGUAUGCUCACUACAUUUCAUGCAUUUUUCUUAGUUUUUAUCAUUUGGCAUGCUCCUCCAACCUUUUCCCUUCAUUUAGGCUUUUGCAUCUCAUGCUAGUCGUAGUGUACAUUUGCUUGAGAGUCCCCUCUCGAUAAGGGAAACGAGCGAGUUUGGCUACAAAAUAGCCUUAGCACGUUAGUUCUUCCUUCUAAUCCAAGGGAAAAUCAAAGUUGUAAAGUUAGGAGUCCUUCCCGUGCCCGACUUGAUGCAUUCCCUUAGGGUCAUACACUUGCAUUCUUUUUAUAUCACCUCCUCACUCUUUUAGCCACAUUUUCUCACUAUUUAGACUUUUCUCAAUCCAUUUUCUCACCACUUUUUUCCUAUCCCUCAUUUAUUUUUCUACCUCACAAAUGGCACUCAAAUUGCACUUAUAUGUAUCUACUAUCCUAUUUUUAUUCAUUUGCACACACAAACACCUUUAUUUUCUCACACUUGCACACUUACACUUAAGUCCUCACUUGCAUUAAUAACGACUUCCAUGAGAGCUUUCCUCAUUGGCCACCACAAUUCAUGUGGUUGGGACCUAAAAGCCUCAUGAGAAGCAUUUUAGGUUUAGGAUUGUAUUUUUCUUUCCUUUUCGCAUCCAUUAGUCAUAUCCAAUAUGCAAUACAUACCUUGGGUAGAAAAAUUAGGAAAAGUGGGGCUAAGUCACGCAACUAGCUUUGGCUAGGGUAAAGGAGUGCCUUAGGUUUUGCCUUUGCCUUCUCCCUUAUCAAAUGUGACCACCGACCUCCUUUCUUUGGUUACGUAGACCUAAAAGUUCUUCAAAAGGGUUUGUUUACUUUUUCUUUCAGAAACAAAACAAAAAUCAUUUUUGGUGACUUGGUACACCCUAACUCCGUACCAAGUGGCGACUCCUCCAUUUUUCAUCCAAAAACCCUUUUUGAACUUUAUUUGGCCAAACCGUCGCAUUUUCAAGUCCCACGGCCUUUUAUUUUCAUUUUUUUCACACACAUUCACAUACACACUACUUUCACUCACAUACACCCAUCAAAAAGUGGGGCGCGACUGAGAUCUUGUAAACAAAGUGUGCAAAAGUCUCUCACUGGUUCAGAAUCGUUUGUAUUUAAAGGGGACCAAAAAUGGGCUUCAAUAAUGCUUCCAACGGAUAGUAGGCAGAUGAAGAGUCAGCUAGCUGUUGGGGCCGUCGGACGUCCGACAGAUGAAUCACCGUCCGAUCCCAUCGUCUAAAAAUCAGCCAAGUUGUUGUUCGGAUGUCCAAUAGGAUAUUAUCGUCCGACAGCAUCUGCGUCCGAACGUCGGCAGAGAGUCAUGAAAACUUUGCAGAAUUUUUCGGACGUCCGAUGCGAUCGAUGAGUGUCCGAAGCAUGCGUCCGAAGCGUGCGUCCGAUCCUCCCGGACGUCCGAUACUUCCUUACGAGCGUUCGACAGAGUUUCCUUCUUGAUGUUCUUCAUUCUUUCGGACGUCCGACAGCUUCCUUUAGGACGUCCGACAUGAAUGCCCUAUUUUUGCUUCUUCUUUUGGUUGAUUUUCUUUCCUUGACACCUUUGUACCUGAUUCUCUUAAAAGCAAAACACUUAUAUUUGAAGAGAAUUAGAUAAACAUUUCAAAGUGCUUUGUGAUCAUCAAAAUCAAGAAUAACAAUUCUAUUACAUAUUCUUAGAUUUUUCCACUUUCAUUACAUGAAUUAAUAAAAAAGAUAAAAUGCAAAAAUUGAAACUAAAAAAAAAAGCAACAAGCAUAAGCUAGGAUGGAAAAAGGGAUGUGUGAUAUUUAAUCUUGAUUCAAUACCCAUGACCAAAAGUUGAAGUCAUUACUUCCAGAACUAUAUGAACACCAGUUGUGUUUUUCCAAAAUAAGUAGAGUUUAUAACAACUGUCUAAAACAAACUUUAGCUUCCAAAAGGUCUUGUCACCUACUGCAUCCUAAGCAAGCCACCUAAACAUUUUAAACGCUUUCACAAUGCCUUCUAGACUGCAACCUAUUUCCAAAUUCUCAAUGUUAACCUGCACCAGGAAAAUCACAUAUUAGCAAGUUAAAUUCAAUUCAAAGCAGAAAAUUAACUGCAAGCAUUUUUAGAAUUGAAUUACAAAAAUUCUAUUAAGAAGACAAAUUGCCACAGGGAGCAUGGAAAACACAUACCAUUACACAUUUUAAACAAAAAUAAGCUUAGCUUCAAAAUAUUCUAUCAUCUACGAUAUCCAAAACAAGCCAAACUACAAAAAACAAUUCAAGCUCAAAUGGCCCCUUCCAGAAUGCGUAGUCUAUUUCCAUCCAAAAUCUCCAAAAUGAACCUGCAAAAUAAAAAUUUAAUGUAAGAGAUUCUCCAAACAUAAUGAAAGUUUUACUAAAACCAUUGUGCCUCAACUACAUUUCUCAAUACUAAAACUUCCAAUAUAUUUGGCUACCCAUAUAUUGCUUUCCAAAACCACACAUAGCUUGCAUCACAUCCAUUCAUCAUUUUGUCAUAGUGUAUUACUAUAAAUAAUAGAGGACAGCCUCUAUGUAUUCACAUUAUUUGAGAUUCGCAUUGAUAUCAUCACACAGAAGUAUAAAUUGGUGACAUAACAAGCUAAAAUUGUUUGAGAAAAUGAUGAUACAACUAGAUAUUUUAGCUACUAACCAGCAUUCAAAAUUUAGAUAUCUUACCUUGUUAAUUUAUAAAAUUAGCUAUUGGCAUUAGCUACAGUCUUGCUUUUUGCUUCUGCCAUCAACCAAUCUAUUGACUCUUGUAGGCACUGAAGUUGAGCUUGUCGUUCCUCAAUUUUUAGAAUGUGCAGCCUCCAGCUGUGACUUUUUCUCAGCAAUGAUGCUCUCCAUUUGUCUAUCGUUGUUGGCAUUGGCUCCCUUAAUAUACUGUCUUUGAGACGGAGGUUUGACUCCAUGAGGUUUCCCAUAGAUAUAACCAGAAUUUUUUUUGACAAACUUUUUCAACUAUCUCAACCUCAGACAUUGGUGUUUCAUUUUCAAAGAUAGGUUGAUUUUUCAAAUUAAUCAUUUCUUGCUGCAAGAUAUAAAAUUUUUCAUAGUUCCUUUGAGACUUCCAAGGUACCUGAAUAUGUAAAAGGACCUUUAUAAGCAUAUGUAGCAGUUAUGAUCAAACUUAGCUAAUAUUUGUUUGGGGGAUCAAAUUAAGAAGAAUCAUACUAACCUUUCAAAGGGGUACAUCCACCUAUGUUGGACAGGCCUUCCAAGUUUGGCUUUACGAGGUAAGUGAACCACUAAAUGGAUCAUAAAAUCAAAAAAAUUUAGCGGAAAGAUCAUUUCCAACUUGCACAAUAUCAUAACUAUGCUCUUUUCUAAUUACUCAAUCUCUUCCAAUCUAAGGUUUCUUGAACACAGAUCUUGAAAGAACUUGGCUACUUCACAUAUUAAAGUAUACACAUCUGCUAACAAGAAUCCACGCAAUCCAACAGGAAGCAUCCGUUGCAAAAGAAUGUGACAAUCAUGGCUUUAAUCCUGAAAUCUUACCAUCUUUUAUGUUGAUACAUCUUGAUAUAUUAGCUGCAUAACCAUCAGGAUACUUCACUGAACUCAAAAAUUCACAAAAACCUUGUCGCUCUUUUGGCAACAGAUUAUUGCAUGCUUGUGGCUUUUCAAGCUUGCCAUUUCAUUGAUAUAAGUGUAGCUUAUGUCGAAUGUCCAUGUCCUCUAAAUCCUACCAAACUUUAUUUGUAUCCUUUGACUUGUUUUCAAUGUUAAGCAAAGUCCCCAUAAUAUUAUCACACCAAUUCUUAGCAGUGUUCAUAACAUCGAUGUAUAAGUACUAUUCAUUAGGCAGAGUUUCCCCAUGAAAUUUCCAAUAUGUAUAAGUACUAUCCAUCCCUUAUUUAGCAGAUGACUCUCAACAACAUGAACAGAGUAGUACUUCACAUUUCUAUAUUUUCUACAUGGACAUCUAAUCUUUGGUUUAUCACCUUUGUGCAGUUAUGCCAUUUUCAAAAAUUUCUUUAGACCAUUCCUAUAUUCAUCACACCAUCUAUCAGUCAGGAACAUCCAACUUUUAUCCAUUUUCCUCCUGUGAUAUAUGAACUACAUGCUACACCAAGGUGCAAGUUUAGAUGACAAGCCUUCCAAGAAGAAUCGUGACUGAAAUUCAAAGACAUGAUAAUUAUAAAAGAACUAGUUAAAUAAAGCAAAAUAUGUCCAUAACAAAAACGUAUGCAUUCAUAAUAUCACGGGUCAGAUCUAAAUACUGGUAGUUUCCUUCAAAUGAAGCACAAUUAAUUUUAAUUUGAAUCAAUGGAAAUCAAAUUUGAGGAUUGUAGUACACUUACCAUGAAGGACUACUCAAGAAGAUUAAUAAAGUGUUAGUACUCGAACUCUUUAUGCUUCCUGCAUCCAAUAUUCCCCCGUCAUUGAAUAAUAUGUUGAUUAACAAUAAUUGUAGUGAGCUUCGAGAGCAUUAGAAUGGGUCCCUUUAUUACUUUUUAGAAAAAAAAAAUGAAACCAAUUAUAUAUUUUUGAAGUUUUGGGAUCAAAGCCAACAUAAAUCUCUCACCAAAAAAAAAGGCACUGGGUUGAUUCAUAAGGUGACAGUAUUUGAACUCUUUAUGCUUCCUACAUCUUGAUCCAACCAAUCAUUGAAUAGUAUACUGAUCAACAAUAUUAGUACUAAGCCUUGAGAUUAAUGUCAUUGUGUAAAGUACUGAUAGUCAAAUUCGUCAUGCCUUCUGCAUCUAAGUUCAGCCAACUUGAAGGACCACAAACAUACAUAGAUUGACAAAAGAUCCUAUACUCACCAAGGUAUGCACCAGAACAAAUGCAAUUUCAAUCCAAAUACUGGUUGGCAAUGAAUUACUGGGUGAAUGUAAUUAGCUAGAAAAUCUACAUAUCUUCUCAUUUUCAUGUUCCGGUUAGUGCUAUUCAAUACUCAUUUUAGUUGUAAAACAAAACUACUAUUACUCAAAAUGACAUCUAUGAGGACUGGAAUUUUUUAUUUCUAUGCUUUCAGUAGUUGAAGAAUAAUGGCCUUUACUAACGAUAAGGCCAAACCUAUAAAUUGUCCAAAAGGACAGUAGCUAAUGAUACGAAAGUAUUGUUGUCUUCUAUGAUAUAACAGACCAUAAUUUAACCACUUAUUCAACAAAAGCAUACCAUGUUAAAGACACAACUCCUAUACAAGUUAAGAAGGAUUAGGGAUAUAAAAUCAUACAAGCAAAAAAAGGUUACAAAGGUAAUGAACAUGGUUCUACCAUAAAGAAGCACAAAACAAGAAUCCUGACUUGUUGAACAUGCCAAAUGUAUCAAAAGAAGUGAAUAACUCAAAUAUUAUAAACAUGAACAUGGAUGAUGAUAGGUAGCAAAGAAAACUCAAUCAGAUUCUUAUGGGAUUCAUAUGGUAGCAAUCGAUUAUAAAAUUCAAGAGGACCACAUAGACACAAUUAGUAACCGCAAUAAAAAUAACAAGUAAAGUUUUACAUAUCUAGCCUUGAUCUUAAAAUAGAAGAAGAAGAAGAAGAAGAAAAAGCACACCUAAUUACAAAUUGUUAGAGAGAGAAUUCAGAGAAAUUAAAAGGGGAAGAGAAUGAAAUCAACGAACUUGGUGGCAUUUAUCUUCCCGCAUCUGCACUUUACUCUUCUAUUUCUUCUUUUUCUUUUCCUUUUUUUAAGGCCUCUUAACUCUUAAAACUACAACGUUUGGUUGUAUUUUUAUUUUAGCAAGAACAGAACCACUUCUUGCUAUUGGUCAAAUACAGAUUGGCGAGAACCUAUCAUCACCAAGUACGGUACAUCAGCGUGGAACUGCAUGAAUUCUCACGAGUACCAAAAAGCCUUGGCGCCACUAUGACUACAAUUUGGAGGGAAGCUUCCCGCCUUUCUUUUUGGCAAGGAUGUUAAGCGAGGAAAGUAAUAGUGCUAGCAAAAGUCAAGCUGUCUCCAACAUUUGGUGAGGAUAUGCUCUGUUCCUCGUCAUCCACACAUUAAUAGUGUCGACUUGUCUGCUCCUCGUAAAAAAUUUUGUAGCUAAUUCCCUUUUUGUUGUAGUGUAUAUGUAACAUGGUGACUUUUAAAUUAUUAUCGAAUUUAUAGAUGAGUAAUCAUAAACAUAAUUAACAUAGUAUUCCAAGAAACCAGAAUUGAGAUUGUAGAUAAAAUAAUCAUAAACUUUAGAAGAAAGUACUCUUCUCUUUGAAUAAUAAAAAUAAUAAAAAAUUUAGAGUGGCUAUUCUCAUUUUUAAUAUCAUGAAAAAAAGUCAAAACAUUAAUUUUUUCUUGAUAAUCUUAUUAAUAUUGAAAAAAAUAUAAAGAUUAAGAGCGGGAGGGGGAGGGGGAGGGAGACGGAGAGAGAGAGAGAGGGCCAAUUCUUUUUUUCAAAAAAUACAAAUAAGAAAAAUUAAAUAUUUUUAUUAUUUUAAAAUUAUUUUAUUUUUUGUUUAUCACUCAAUUCCAAUCCUAAUCCCGACAAUUUUAAAGUAAUACGAUAAUGUUAGAAUCUUCUUUAUUUCCUUUCUUUACAAAACCUAAUUUUUUGUUUCCUUCUUUCCUGUCUUAUUUUCUUUUUGUAGUAGUAAUAAGUGUGAAAAAGUAAAUUUGAAAAAACCCUUUUAGUUUUAUGUUUUGGGAUCUUUUAAAGUGAAAAAAAGGAAAAAUAACCAAUCCAACUUUUUUAUUUUUAAUUAUGUAUAAAAAGGUAAAUACAUUUAAAAUUUUUUGACUAUACUAGUUAGAUUAACAAUGAGGUAAAAUGCCUAGAAAAUAAUGUUAGGGAUUAAAGCGAUUGUAUCACUAUAAUUUAAAGAAAUAAAAUGACAAUAAUAAUGUAGUAAUGCUAUAGAAUAAAAGAAUAUUUUUGUUUAAGGUUUCUUGACAUGUUGAGUUGAAUUAUUUAUGGGGUUAAGUGACUAAAAGAUAACGUUAGGACAUAAACUGAUAAUAGUGAUAUAGUUUAAUGGGGAUAAAAUGAUAAUAACCCUUUUAAUUACUUGCAUACGCUUAUAAUGUGUCAUGUACACUAGUAUAAUAUUAACUUAAAAAAAUAGUAGAACAAAUUGAAAGAGUGAAGAAAAUUUAGAAGAAAAAGAAGUAGGAAAAAGGGAAAAAAUGUAAAAGGUAUACCUAUAUUUUUUAGUUACUACCAAACAUUUCAUGGGUUCAACAAAAAUCCAUUAUCAUUAACUAAUGAUAGUGAGAGUGAAUAAUGAACUUUUAGUAAAUAAUUAGUUUUAGUUACUUGGUUCAGCAAUAAAGUUAGCCAUGAUAAGAGAAAUUGAAGGAAUUUUUCACAAUCACAUGCACAGAAAUUAAAUAUUAUUAAAAUUGGAAAAUGAUGGCAUCGGAUUCAUGUUUUGAGAAAAGCAAUUUGGCAUUUAUGUCUCUGUAUGUUCUCCUAAUUGAGCAUUUACCUAGAUGAUGAUUAAUUUAUCAGCCCAAUCUAAUGUAUAGACACGUAUGCAAUUUAGUCCUUUAGAAAGUCCUUCAAAAAAAAAAAGUCCUUUAGAAAGUCCCACAUUCCCUGCUACGUAAUUCACCUAUGAUUGCCUACCGAUUGCCCAAGCCUAUGUGGACCCAUAAGCUUUUCACAAUGGUCCCAGGGACUUGUUGUGAUUGUAGUGGUUCUGCCCAUGGUAGGAUGAAAUUCCCACUUUGCACACCAGAAGUAACCCUUGCAUUGAAGGUUAAACUUCGGUUUCAUGCUACCAAUCGCUAUGUAUUUUACUUCUUUAGGCAGUGGAAGGAAAUUGAAAGUACUUGUUGCUAAAAAUUAAAUAGGCAUGGCAGCAGGCUAUCUCUUGUAGUUGGUGACCCAAUUGAAUUACGGAUUGUAACGCUUUGCUUUACAGUUUCCACAGUUAUAUGUUCCAAACUGCUACUCACGAUCAGAGGAGAAUCACGUCGUCCCUUCAGCAAUGACUACGUUCCUUGCAUCGAUUGGAUGGGCAACUAAAACUUCCCACUAAUAGAUACAUCCAAAUCACAAAAUUAGCUGUGGAAAGUAGCUGUUGAAGAACUAAAGACAAAAAUGAAAAUAUUUGUUAUACAUCCAAUUUUUGGUAACUGGCUUCAUUUUUUGUGGACCAAUGUCUUGAGAUAAUAGAACAUUAUGAAUAGGCGACAAAAAUUGUCUGCCAAAUAUCAAACAAUAGCCAAGUCUCUUUCUAGAUGAAAGAGUGUAAGACUUCAAUACUGAACAUUAAUGAAAAUUCGCAAGUAAAAAUCUCGUGGUAUUUGUUGGUCUUAUUAUUUAACUUACUCGAUAACUACCUCUUUUUUUUUUCUUUUUUCUUUUGUUUACUUGACUUGGUGAAGGAAAGGGUAUCAAUCUUGGGCCUGUUUGGAUACACGAGUAUCUAUUAUAUUUGCCUUCAAAAUAAAUUAUCUUGGAAUCGUGUUUGAAUAGGGACAAUUUGUAAUUAGUAUCAAGAGUUGAAUUCUCACGUACUAUUCAUUUUCAAAGGGUCCACCCACUUUAUUUGGUUUCCUUACCUGUGACAAGUGUUGAGUCUGCAUAAUAAUAAAAAUCUAUUCAAGAAAAAUAAAAGUUUGCAUAUAGUAGUGUGUAGGGUCGUUUCUAUAAGGACUGUGGAAAAUUCAUUUCUUUCCAAGCGAAACAAAUUAGGAAGGGUUUUAGAGAAUUAAAAAAAGUAAAAUAAAUAAUUAAUGCAAAUAAAAAUAAUCAAACUAAAGCAAAUUUAAUUUAACUCAAUAGCAAACAAGCUCUAGCCAAGGAUAUAAUUUCGAAAGUGAUUUAUACAACUGUUCAUCGGUGCAAUAAUUAUUUCAUCUAUUCAUUAAUAAACAGGUUAUAAUUACUAAACAAACUAUAACAACCAAUUUUUCUUACCGUCCGAUAGUUAGGGUGCGUCCGUUAACUACUUCCCUAACCAAGAAAUAGCCCUAGGUAAGCUCGUAGAAUUUAAUUUUUGAUUGCAUUAGAAACUAGAAAAGCCCUAUUCUAAUCAAUAAACGUACUAUCAGGGUUUAUUUGAAUUGGAUCAUAUGUCUCCCUAACAUGAAACCAAUCAUAUUAGUCGCCAUUAAUUUGAAACAAUUAAAUAAUUACGGAUUUAACUAUCUUAACUGACAAUAGAUUAUCAAGUUGAAUUAAAUAUUGGGUCCUAAUAUUUAAUCAACAAAACAAUCAUGAGAAAUUAAACCAGAAAACAUACAAAUACUAACGAAUAAGAGAAAUUAGUAAAACAAUUAGAUCUCAGAGAUGUAACUGAAUCAAAACCUUCGUUACUUAUUGACUAGAAAAGAGAAUUUAGUUGUGCAUGGCCAAUUGGAACAAUUCACACGAUUUUCUCAAAGCCAGUCGCAUAAGUCUUUGAUAAAAGAAAAACUAAAGAAACUAAAGACCAAGAGAAAAGUCAAGUGGCUCUCCUUCUUCAAGGCCCCCGAGUCUCCACCUCUGUUUCUUGCCAAAGUACUAAUCAAGCGGGAGCCAACCGACUUCCUUUCCCCUGGUUUCCUAAUUUACGUUUACUACUACUAAUAAAACAUAUUUCCUAAAUAAAAGAAAGAAACUACAAGAGAUAAUAUCUCAUGUUUCCUAAUCCAAUACUACUACUAAUAAAUAGAAUCAAAGUCUUCCCAAAUCUUCACCCAAAAACUGUCCAUAGUUGACUCAAAUUGGGAAACCUCUGUGCACAGUAAAUUUUCAAAUCUUCUGGAUGUGAAAACAGAUUCCGAACGUGCCAUCACUAAAUGAAUUCUUGACAUGCUGAAAAAUCGCCCAUUUUGUUACUUUUUGCUCAUUUUUCAACAAUUGGCACCAUUAACUAAAUAUAACUAGAAUUCACCAAUUAAAAUAAUAUUUGGCUAAAAUCAAGGGGAAAAUAAUUAUAAAUUUAGCAACAAAUUGCAACCUAUUAAUCCCCCUUACACCUAAAUCAUGCUUGUUCUCAAGCAUGAGAAAUAACAAAUGAAGCAAUCAAAUUCAAACAAUGGCUAUUACUCAAGUUUUCUAUUGCCAAGACACAAUUAAAACACUUGUCAAGUAUUAGUGGCUAGUUUCUAAGGAAUAUCUCUUCAGUUAGUUUCCAAAACCAAAAACCUUUCCAAUUCCUGGCUAACUAAUCUAAGGCUAUAAAAUAUUGAACGAGCAUUCAUCAGCAAAUGGUUCAACUAUUAAGUAAAAUCUCAACAUAAAAUCCCAUGGAUCAACAGGCUAACACAAUCAUUCACACACUUGCACAUUUUUCACUAUUAGCUCAUUUUUUUUUCUUUUCUAAAAUAUCCGCACACUUGAGCUCUCUUUUCUUUAAGGGAAAAAGUUUAGUCCGUAGUCAUUCAAACCUUUUGACAUGAACUUCGACAUCUACCAAAUGAAGGAGCCUGGUUACUUAGCCCUCAUCACUCAAGGACCGCAUACUCAUACUGGAUGCUAUUUGUGAUUCCAUGAAUAAAGCACGUGUUCAUUUAUAAGCAUAAACCUUAACUUGGUCUAAUACUAGUUAAUACGUUAAUGAGUAAUAUGAUAUGUCAGUGGAAAUGGAAUAUGUCAAAUAUCUAAUUAAUAUAUACAACCCAAUAAUUCAGCUGGCGAGCGGGAACUCAAGAGUCAAACUUCAAUAUCUAUUCCCGAAUAGUCUAACCAAAAUUUUAGGAUUGGAUUGGCCGGUUAUCCAUUUUUUUUUCAAAAUAUUAACACGUCCCAAGCACGACAUCCCCUAAAAUAGCAAUAUUUCAAAGAAUGUUCACCAAUACCAAAUUUUAUGAUCCAGUCGAUUUCACCAGAUGUCCUUAGAUUUUUACUGACCAUGUGCAUAGUUACUUUGAUAUCAGGAUUUAGCAAUGGAUCAAUGCACAACUUGAAAAAUCAAGGAUCAAUUCUUGCUGUCCUCGAGACUUACACUAGGGUCCUUAACAACCAAUUCUAUAUUCCCGAAUUUGUGUCUAGUUACGUUCCAUAGACCUAAGAGCUUGCGUCGUAUGCUAGUUGCCUUUGACUUAUACGUGAUUCAUCUACUCUUACACCAGAAUAUAUUUACAAUAGUCGUUUCAUCCAGAGGAAUAGUAUAAGUUUGAAUUUUGUUCCUAUACACCAAGUGAGAAAUGCCCCACUUCCUUCCUAUUUCGUGAUCUUGGAUCUGCAUACAAUUGCACUCUAUAUGCCUAAGAGCCUAUGUUUUAUGCCCGAUUGCCCUCUACUUACACCCAAUUGAUAUGCCUUUGUACCAAAAAAUAUUUAUGGCAGUCAAUCCAUAUAGAGGAGUGACGUAGAGGUGAACGUCAAUGGAUGGUUAGAAAUACUGAUCAAGUGAUUGUGACAGUACCAUUUCAUUAGUUAACUCAAUCUUGUGUCCCACUCACCACAAAUGUAUGAUCAUAUGUUCAUAUAUAAGCAUAAACAUUAACUUGUUCCAACACUGAUUAACACAUUAAUAAGUAAUAUGAUAUGUUAGUAGGAAUGAAUUGUGUAGAAUAUAUUAAUACAUAUUUCAAAGAAUGUUUACCCAUACCAAGUUGUACAAUCCAAUCGAUUACAUUGGAUGUUCUUAAAUUCACACAUGCACAAUUAUUCCGAUAUUAGGAUUUAGCAGUGGAUUAACUCAGCUCGAAAUAUUUGUGAUCUACUUCUAUCGUUGUCAGGACAUACACUAGGGCCCUUAACACUGACUAUAUUUUCUUAAAUCUAUAUGCAGUUACACUUCACAGGCUUGAGAGUUCGCUUCUUAUGUCUAGUUGCCCUCGACUUAUACCCGACUCAUCAAUUCUUAUAUCAAAAUAUAUUUAUGGCAAUUAGUCCAUAGAGGACUGGUGUAAUUUUGAAUUUUAUUACUAUACACUAAGUGAGAGAUGCCCACUUCCGCUAUUUUAUGUGUGUCUUACACCAAGAUCCUUGACACCUACUUCGUGUUCCUGGAUCUGUACAAAAUUGCACUCCAUAGGCCUGAAAGCCUGUGUUUUACGCCCAGAUGCCCUCUACUUACACCUAAUUCAUCUAUCCUUACCGCUAAAAUACAUUUGUUUCAGUCAAUUCAUAUAGAGGAGUUGUGUAGAGGUGAAUGUUAAUGAAUGGUUCGAAUGCCACAGGUCAUUGUAAUAGUACCAUUUCUUUAGAUUGCUCAAUCUCGUGCUGCACCUCACAUACAUGUGUGAUUAUAUAUUUGUAUAUAGGCAUAAAUCUUAACUUGUUCUAGUACUGAUUAAUACAUAAAUAAGUAAUAUGAUUUGUUAGUAGGAAUGGAAUAUAUAGAAUAUCCAAUAAAAAUAUGCAACUCCAUAAUUCAUUUGGGGAUUUGGAGCUUGGAAGUCGAAUUUUAAUAUCCAUUUUUGAAUAGUGCAGUGGCCCCGUCCUGGGCCUGGACACGUGGCAGCCCAGACAAGGCCGAGCUGGGCUUCGGCCCCUGGCCCCUGGCAGCCAGCCGGGGCCGCACCACUAGGGCCCCGAGGGGGCAAGAGUUCAUCCCGAAGAGGUCGGGGACAAUCCCCCUGAGUACGGGAUACCGACUAAUCCGGGCGGGUCCCGAGACAUACGGAGGUCGGACUCCCUCGCAGGUAUAAAUGGUAGCACACGUCAACUAUACAAGGUACGCUCACUAUAGGCAAAUUACUCCCGGUUGUUACCGCUUCCCGUGAACCCUCCUCACCGGAGAACUCACUUGACCGUCGGAGCGCCCUCGGGGACAACCCUCGGGCCCCCUCUGUCAGCUCACCCUUUCUGUUUUGCAGGCUUGGAGUCAGCUCUCCCAUCAGCACCCCGAGCUGAUCAGGUCAGCUCUCCCCGGGGAAGUUCCGUGCUUCUUCAGUUGGCGCCGUCUGUGGGAAACGUAAGGUAAGUAAGAUUGUGUUGAUGGCCAGGACGCGAUCCAAGCGCACGAUAGAGAGCACCGGCCCUGGGAGCGGUGAGGGGUCCCCGCGGAAGGAGGCUGAGGCGUCUCAGGGAGCCGGGGGAUCAACCCUCUCAGGGGAACGAAGGCAGCAGAUCUUCCAGUUCGUGACGGAGAAUCUCCCCAUGCUGGAGGAUAUAAUUCGACAGGCGAAGGAGGGAGAUGGGGCUGGGGGUGCGCAGACUUCCAAGGCCAAGGGGAAGGAGAAAGAGUUACCCCCUGACCCUUCGGAGGAUGAGUCCCGAGACCAGUCCCCCAGAAGGAAACGACCACGAACUCCACCUCGCCCGCGAGCCUCGGUGGUCGGAGACAGCGAGAGGUAUUCCCCGACCGGUCCGCGAGGAGCCGUCCGAGAGACCCCUCCUCACGGAAGCUCGCACGGAAUGGGCUCGAGCGUUCCCCUGCUCGGUCCGUCAAGAGCCGACCCCGUGACCUCCUUCAUUUGGAACCUGCUCGGGAUGAGCUCGAGCAGAUCUUGAGGCCCGGCAGUACGAGGACAACUACGCAACCUCGCCUUUUACCCGGGAGAUAGAGGACUACCCCCUACCCCGGAGGUUUAAGAUUUCGAGCAUCGAGAUGUACGAUGCCUCUACAGACCCGGAGGACCACCUUUCGGUCUUCUUGACGCAUAUGCGCCUGCAAACCGCCGCGGAUGAGGUCCGCUGCAAGACCUUCCCUAUGUUCCUAAAGGGGAAGGCGCGGCUCUGGUUCCAGGAGCUGAAACCGGGGUCUAUACGGAGCUUUCCUGAGCUGGCCCGGCAGUUUGCAGCCCAGUUCGUCUCCUCGAAGGUCUACGCGAGGAACGCAACUCACCUGAUGUCCAUCAGACAGAGGCCCGAUGAGUCGCUGAGGAAUUUCAUGACCCGUUUCAACGCGGAGAGCCUGCAGGUCAGGGACAAAGACGAAAAAGUGGUCAUGGCCGCCUUCACAAAUGGGCUCAGGGUAGAGGAGCUCUUCUACGACCUGGCCAAGAAGCCUCCCGUAAACCUGGAGGAGCUCUUACGCAGGGCGCAUGAGGCCGCUAAUGCGGAGGAGGCAGGUCGUCUGAAGAAAGAAUCAGAUCGGGAGCUCGGAAAUCGGAAAGGUCGGACAAACCCCCCAGAGGGUAAGGACGUACCGUUUAAGAAAAACGUCUUCGACCGGCUGUCGAAAGAGAAGGCCCCUGCUCUGCCGCCACUCCCAGAGAAGACCUACACCCUCUAACACGGCCCAAAGCCCAGAUCUUGGCUGUUAUGGAGGCGGAAGGACUGGGAGAUCGGCCGCCCAAGAUGGGGACGUCCCGGAACAAAAGGAACCAGGACAGGUACUGCGCCUUUCACCGCGACGUCGGGCACGACACGGAGGGAUGCUGGGCCCUGCGUAAGGAGAUAGAAGACCUGAUCCAGCGCGGCCUUCUAGGGAGGUUCGUGCGCCGACCAGGUCAGGAGUUCGGCCGCAACCACUACGGAGAUAGGCAUGAGGGACGGCGACGCGACCGCCCUAAGCGGCGUGACGCUCCUCGGGGCCACUCUCCCGACCAGGACACCCAGAACCUGGCGGGAGUGAUAAACACCAUCGCCGGAGGCCCCAAGGGGGGGACAGUCAUGCAGCUCGGAAGAACAAGCGACCACCCCCGAAGGGGACGACUCCUUCAAGCGCUUGCGCAUGGACGAGGAGAUUACCUUCGGACCAAGGGAUGCAGUCCCCCUGGCUUCCGGGAACCACGAGGCCAUUGUGAUAGACAUUGUUACCAACAACUACCGGGUGAAGAAGGUGUAUGUCGACCAGGGUAGCGCGGUGGACAUUAUGUUCUAUCGGGUGUUCAAGGAGCUCGGAUUAAGAGAUGACCAGUUGACCCCGGUCCGGACGCCUUUGGUGGGCUUCACCAGACCACCCAUCAGCUCGGAAGGGAUGAUCACCCUGAUGGUCACAGUAGGACAGGCUCCCAAAUGCCGGACCGUUCCCGUUAACUUCGUGGUGGUCAAGCAGUCAUCCCCGUACAAUGUGUUCUUGGGGAGACCUGUUUUGAACGCCCUCCGGGCUAUUCCCUCUACCUUCCACCUCAGCGUCAAGUUCCCCACCCCUAGAGGAUAGCCGAGGUGCGCGGCGACCCAGAGGUAGCCAGGGCUUGCUACCUGGCCACGCUCCGGGGGUAGGAGAAGGUGGUCGCCCAGACAACCUGUUUGGAGCCCUACAUCCCAGGAGAUGAGGCCCAACAGCUGGGCACCCAGGAUGAGAUUGAGGAGUUCCCCCUAAGGGAGGAUCGGCCCGAUCAGGUCAUCCGCAUCGGGGCAUUGCUACCAGCCGAGGAGAAGGAAGGCUUGAAGGCCUUGUUGAGAGAGUACUCCCAGGUCUUCGCAUGGACGGUAGAGGACAUGCCUGGGAUCCCUACAGACCUGGCAGUCCAUCACCUCGACGUGGACCCCAACUUCAAGCCAGUGAAGCAGAAGAAAAGGAGCUUUGCCCCGAGAGAAAUGAGGUGAUCAAGGCGGAGGUUGGCAAGUUGCUGGAGUCCAAGAUCAUCCUGGAGGUCUACUACCCGACCUGGCUGGCCAUCCCGUUCUGGUCAGGAAGGACGACCAGACCUGGAGGAUGUGCGUAGACUUCACGGACCUUAACAAAGCCUGCCCGAAGGACUGCUUUCCCCUGCCUAGAAUCGACAGGUUAGUAGACUCUACUGUGGGUUUUGACGUUUUAUGCUUCCUGGAUGCCUUUAAGGGAUAUCACCAGAUAGAGAUGGCUGAGGAGGAUCGGACAAGACCUCCUUCAUCACUGAGGAGGGAACCUACUGCUACAGGACCAUGCUGUUCGGGUUGAAGAACGCGGAAGCCACUUACCAGCGCCUGGUCAACAAGUUGUUCCAAAACCAGAUCGGCAGAAGCAUGGAGGUCUAUGUCGAUGACAUGAUCGUCAAAAGUCGAACUGACCAGCGGCUCAUACCCGACCUGCGGGAGAUCUUGGACAUCCUACUGGAGAGCCGGAUGCGCUUAAAUCCGAAGAAGUGCACCUUUGGGGUCAGAUCGGGAAGGUUUCUCGGUUUCCUGGUGUCCCGAGACGGAAUCCGGGCCAAUCCGGAUAAGCUACAGGCUAUCAUAGACAUGGCUCCUCCAAGGAACGUGAAAGAAGUCCAGCGGCUCACAGGGAGAAUGGCCGCCCUGAGUAGGUUUCUCUCGCUCUCCGCGGUCAGGGAGCUGCCCUUCUUCCGAGUGCUGAAAGCGCCUAAGGACUUUCACUGGACGGAGGAGUGCCAGAAAGCCUUCACCGACCUGAAAGCCUAUCUGGCUGAGCUGCCCACUUUGACCGCCCCGGAGCUAGGAGAGACUCUGUUCCUUUACCUGUCCGCCUGCAACGAGGCCAUCAGCGCGGUCUUGGUGCGGGAGGACGGGGGGCUCAGAGACCGGUGUACUACAUUAGGCGCCCUACAGGGGCCAGAGACGAGGUACACGCCUGCGGAAAAGCUGGUCCUUGCCUUGGUACACGCCGCUCGCAAGCUCCGCCCUUACUUCCAAGCUCACAGCAUCGUAGUCCUGACCGACCAGCCCUUGCGCCAGAUACUCACUAAGCCCGAGGCCUCGGGCAGGAUGACCAAGUGGGCCGUCGAACUGGCCGAGCAUGACCUCACUUAUCGGCCUCGCACCGCGAUCAAGGCUCAGGCCUUGGCAGACUUCCUUGCUGAGGGGGCUGACUUGAACCUGACCGAGUUAGCCCCGACACCCCCGGACACCCCGGCUGAGGAGCCGUGGGUGCUGUUCGUGGAUGGCGCCUCGAGCAAGGAAGGGAGCGGAGCUGGCCUGCUGCUCACCUCGCCCACGGGGAAGAACUGACCUAUGCGCUUAGGUUCGACCUCCCUGCGUCCAACAACGAGGCAGAGUACGAGGCCCUGCUGACGGGGUUGCGGAUAGCCUACCAGAUGGGGAUCACCGCGAUCCGGGUUCGAAGCGACUCUCAGCUCGUCGUCCUCCAGAUCCGUGGGAGUAUGAGGCCAAGGACGAGGUAAUGAAGAAAUACCUGGCUAAGGUACGAGAGGCGGUAGCCCUAUUCGAGACCUUUGAGAUUGAGCGGGUGCCAAGGUCCCAAAACAAGCGCGCGGACGCCUUGUCCAAGCUGGUGUCCUCCUCGUUCGCCCACCUGAGCAAGGAGGUCUUGGUAGAGGUGGUGAAGCAGAAAAGUAUCGACCAGGUCCAGGUCCUGACGAUAGACAGCUUGGCCACCUGGAUGGCUCCCCUCGUCGACUUCCUCAGCUCGGGUGCCCUCCUGAGAACAAAACUGAGGCUCGCCGAAUCCAGUUCCGAGCUGCCAAGUACGCCUACGCCGGGGAAACCCUCUACAGGAGGUCGUACUUGUCUCCCUGGCUAAAGUGCGUGACGCCCGAGGAAGGUGACUACGUUCUGCGCGAAAUCAUGAAGGUAUAUGUGCGGCACACGUCGGGUCCCGGGUGUUGGCCAAAAAGUGCCUCCUUUUGGGCUACUAUUGCCCGCCCUCCGUUCAAGACGCAGCAGAUUUGGUCCAGAAAUGCCGGAGCUUGCCAGGUGCACGCUUCGCUGCGCCAUCAGCCAACUCGAAAGAUGGUUCCCAUCCACAGUCCUUGCCCUUCGCUCAAUGGGGAUAGACCUCCUGGGUCCCUUCCCCCGAGCCCCGGGAAGAUAUGAACACCUCAUGGUGGCAAUAGACUACUUCACAAAGUGGGUGGAGGCGGAGCCCUUGGUCUCUAUCUCUGAAAAGGCAAUUCAGAAAUUCUUCUGGAGGAACAUAGUUUGCCGCUUCGGGAUUCGCACGUCCUGAUAUCCAACAACGGCCGCCAGUUCGCCGAGAACCCUUUCCGGAGCUGGUGCGCCGAGUUCGGGAUCAAUCAAACACUUCAGUCGGUUGUCACCCCAGGCCAAUGGUCAGGUGGAGAACGCUAACCGAACUGUUCUGCAAGGGUUGAAGACUAAGGUUGAGUCCGCCCCAAUCGAGCUGGCUGGAUGAGCUUCCCAGUGUCCUUUGGGCUUACCGAACUACGCCCAGGACGGCUACCCACGAGACACCGUUCUCCCUAACUUACGGAGUAGAGGCGUGGUGCCCGCGGAGGUCGGUCUCCCUCACCCAGAACACAGAAUUUCGUGUAACAUCCAACGAGGAAGAGCUUAGGUGCAACUUGGACAUGCUCGAAGUCAGGCGUGAGGAAGCGGCUGUUCGAAUGGCUAAGUAUAAAAGCCAACUCGCCCGCUAUCACAACGCCAAAGUGAGGACUAUACAGUACCAGCCCGGAGACCUCGUCCUAAGGAAGAACUCGGUCAGCCGAGCUCACAGUUCCAACAAGCUCGACCCAAAUUGGGAGGGCCUACAAGGUCCUUGAGGUGGGUCGGGCCGGCUACUGCAAGCUCGCCGAUAUGAACGGAUCUGAGGUACCCCGUACUUGGCACUUCUCCAACCUGCGCCUGUUUCUAGCGUAGGGUAGACCAGAAUGUCCAGUUGUCUGUACUUUGGAAUCAGAAUUUUUUUCGGUUUUUUCAUUCAAUAAAAGUUUGCCUUUAGCGUUUACAUUUCACUAGUCCUGUCUCCUUUCCAAGCUAAUAAAGUUCAAAAUUCACUAGCACACUUAGUGUUUCCUCCCUAACUGUUCUAGUGGGGGCUGGGAGGACGAUCAAGGUAUAGUGUUCGGCCCAAGAGGUCGGCACGAUCGAGGAAAAACGUGGAAACUUGGAAGGGUUCUGGUUCUGAAAACUCCGCGCUCGGCCAGGAGGUCGGCGGAGAGGAGCUCGACGCCUGACGUGCUCGACCCCAAGAGGUCGGCAUGGGUCAAAUCCUCCAAGACUUCUAAGUCAGUGCUCGACCCAGGAGGUCGGCGCGAUCAAGGUACGGGGUAUAGUGUUCGGCCCAGGAGAUCGGCAUGGGUUGAAUCCUCCAAGGCUUUCGAGUCAGUGGUCGACCCUAGAGGUCGGCACGACAGGGAGAACUUGGAUGGAAGCUGAUGCUCGACCCCAAGAGGUCGGCACGAUUGAGAACUCGGAUGGAGGCUGAUGCUCGAGCCCUAGAGGUCGGCACGACAGAAUUGGGAGCAGGCAAGAAAUGCAAAAUAAGUCUCCUCAAGUUUUAUAUAUGCAUCAAAGCCUAUCUAUUACAAAACGCCCUGCCUAUCUACCGCAAAAUUUCCGAGUUGGCAUUCUCCCUCGAUGUCUGUUCUACCUGCUGGUGCCCGACCGGGGUGGGAGCUGAAAGUACACCUUAAGCAUGUUGAGAGGCGUAUGGUGAAGGCUAUUCAGGAGCCCGGAAGGGGGAGCUGAAAGUACACCUUAAGCAUGUUGAGAGGCGUAUGGUGAAGGCUAUGCAGGAGCCCGGAAGGGGAGCCCUUCCGUCUCGGAUGGACCUCCAAGAGCAUUUUCAACUGGAGCAUGGUCACAUCCUUAUAAGAAGACGGAAAGGGUUUCUGGAGUGGCCGCCGCCCUAGACCACUGGCUUCUUCCCAGGCAGCUCGGCCAGGAGGCCCGCCCUCCUCCAAGGGAACCUCCUCCAGCACGGCCCCAAUGUCAGUCCGGCCCGCCAGCUCCUUCAGGGAUUUCCCCUUGCGGUACCCGUCAAAGAGCCUGUCCAGCCUCGCCUCGCGCGGGGUUGUAGUCUUUGAAGCUCGCCAAGUCGAGGCCAGGAGGAUUGAGCUUCUUCACCUGGUCCAGGGCUCGAGUGCAGCCGACCUGGAGGAUGGGCUGGUUGAGGUGAGCGAUGUCCUCCUCAAACUGAUCGAGGUAAGGAACUCCCGAACAGCCUUCUUCCGCUCCCGGCUGACGGUGCCGGAGAGCUCGAUGGCGUGCUCCUCCUUCAGCUUGGCCACGCCGGCCCUCUCCUGGUCGAGCUCUGACCUGGUGGAGGCGAGUUGGAUCUGAGCUGUGUCCAACUCCUUCUCGGCCUUGCUCAGACUGGCCUUGAGGGAGCUGGCCUCCUUGAGGGCCUGGGAGAGCUUCUUCUCCGCCUCCAGACUCUUCUUCCGCAGCUUCUCCAGGUCGGGGGAUAGUUCGGAGAAGCGGGUCGCCAGGGCGGUGCCAGCGGCGUUGGCCUGAAGGGGAAAAGGAAAUAGGUCAGCACGUCAUAAUACUUAACCGAGACGCGGAGGCAGAACUAUCCCAAGGGCCAGACUUACUUGAGCCUGGGCGGUGUAAUACGCGUCCAGGAGCUCGGAAGGGUCGGCCAGCUCCAUCCACUUCUUGUCGCGAGGGAGGACCGAGCCCACCAUCAGCUCGCGAGCCACCUUGGGAAACUGGGCUCGGUCGUUGAUGGAGAGCUCCCAGGACGGGCAGAAGUGGCGGGGGUCGUGCAUCGUGGGGGCUUGGCCCGGCUUCAGGGGGGCAACAUGGCGGAAAUGCCACAAGCUUGGAGGGGUCGACUCCUGGGCAUGCUCCUCGGCGGAACCCACGCCCAGAUGGACUGGCCUCCCUAGGCUAGCGCAAGCGGGGAGGGCUGAGCUGGAACCAUCGCGAGCUUCUUCACGGGCUGGGAGGGCUCGUCCCCUCGCCCCUCUGCCCGACCGCCUUCUUCUUGUUGCCAGCAGCCUUCUUGGUAGGGGAGGGGGUUCCCUGCGUUUCCUUCUGGGGGGCUUGGCCGCCCCCCACGGGUGAGGUCGCCCCAGGGCCCUCCUGAGCAGCUUCUGGCUGGGGAGUGGCGGUGGCCUCCUCAGUGGACGCACCCAACAGCUUGGACAGCUUCCUCACUGCAAAAGAACAACCAGGUCAGUCGGAGCAGGACGGUGAGUAAGUAUACUUAUAUAUGCAAAUGCAACAGGCUACAGGGUUAGGGCCAGCGUUACAGGCGUCGAGGUCGACAGGGGAGGCCUCCACCUCGCCAGAGGACCCGGACAAUGUCCCUAUCAGUCCGGCUGCAGAGAUCUGCUCGCUGGAGAACUUGGUGGCAGUGAGCUUCACCUUGGAGUUCAGCAGCUGGAAGAGGGUGUCAGAGUCCAGGUCCUUAGGAUAGGGGUCGAGCUUGACCGCCCGGACCCUCCAGGCGGUGGCGUCGAGGCCGAUGGACUUUAUGAAGAAGAAGUCCCCUUUCCAGUUCUUGACGGAGAAGGGGAAUUUGUAGAACAAGUCCUGGCAGCCCUUGUCCCCCCGCUCUGGUCCCUGCCCGGGCGCAGAAGUAAUACCACCCGGGGAAGGAUGCCUUGAGGACGAAAGCAGCUCGGAACAAGGAGAGGGAGUAAGGGAUGGAGCAGAACUGGUAGUAGAUCAGGAAUCCUAUGACGAUCCUGAUCGAAUUGGGGUGAGCCUGGGUGAUCCUGAGCCCGAAGUAGCUCAGGACCUCGGCCAGGGCUGGAGUGACGGAAGGCGGAGCCCUCCGAUCAGCUGCUCCUUGUAUAUGGCUACGAAGCCAGGGGGAGGUCGGCAGGCUCGGUCGCCGGGCCCGGCAGCCCUUGGCUCGAAGGCCGGGGGAAUGGAGUAGGUCCUGACCAGGCCGGCCACCACCUCGGGUGAGAUGGUGACCUCCUCGCGGUCGGGGUGGCCGAAGUUGAAUUCAGGGCGUCUCCCUGCGGGUUGUCAGGGGUCCCCUCGGAGGAGUCCCUGUCCUCCCCAACUCCCUCCUGGGCCCGCCAGGAGAGCCAUGGGGAGACCUGGGGGAAGAGGAGGAGGACCGCUCGAGUAGGCGUCGAGCUCGGCCGCCUCCUCCAGUUCCCGGGCUGAAGGGGAAUGAGAUGAUGGGGAAUGGUCAGAAGAGGAGCCCAUCGCGGCUGGAGGUUCCAGCAAGUCAGGAGUGCGGGAAUGGGAGCUAGGACCGGAGUCAGGCAAGGAAGAAGAGAAGGGAGGAGGGGAAGAUGGCGAUGAAGACGAGGGAGAAGGCGAGGACAAUAUGAUGAUUCGGGGUACAGGGGAAGCGUCGCCGGAGUAACCCGACAUAAAAAGCAAGGUGUAGCAGAGGGUGGAAGAGACGCUGUAAAAGGAAGAGAAAUUGUAAAAGGAACUUACCGAUGGUGUUGAAACAGAAGGAGGGUGGAAGGCUCGCCGGAAACUGGGGGUGGGACGCCGAAAGUCGCUGGAAAAUGAAAAUGCAAAUGCGCAGGAGAAAUGGGAAUGCAAAAUGCACGGUAGGAAUAGGAAGUAGCAAAUGGAGCAGGCAGAAACGCGGUGACCCCAAUUUAUAGGGGAGGGAGUGGGGGGAAAACGGUUGCGUGAAUUUGAAUCGGCCCCAUGCGAACGCAUUUAAUGUUGGUACGGAAACCGAAGAGGCGUGACAACUGAAAGGACGCGGCGCAGCGUCCCUGCGACAGUACUGUGCCAGAAGUGACCUGGGCAGGGCAGUGCGCGGCCCUGGCCUCCCACGUGGCAGAGGUUGAUUAGGUCGGCCUGACAGCCUACCUAAUCAAGGGGGCUAGUGCAGUGGCCCCGUCCUGGGCCUGGACACGUGGCAGCACAGACAAGGCCGAGCUGGGCUUCGGCCCCUGGCCCCUGGCAGCCGGCCUGGGCCGCACCACUAGGGCUCCCGAGGGGGCAAGGGUUCAUCCCGAAGAGGUCGGGGACAAUCCCCCUGAGUGCGGGAUACCGACUAAUCCGGGCGGGUCCCGAGACAUACGGAGGUCGGACUCCCUCGCAGGUAUAAAUGGUAGCACACGUCAACUGUACAAGGUAUGCUCAUUAUAGGCAAAUUACUCCGGUUGUUACCGCUUCCCGUGAACCCUCCUCAUCGGAGAACUCACUUGACCGUCGGAGCGCCCUCGGGGACAACCCUCGGGCCCCCUGUCAGCUCACCCUUUCUGUUUUGCAGGCUUUGAGUCAGCUCUCCCAUCAGCACCCCGAGCUAAUCAGGUCAGCUCUCCCGGGGAAGUUCCGUGCUUCUUCAAAUAGUCUUAGCAAAAUUUUAAGAUUGGAUUGGCCACUUAUCUAUUUUUUCCAAAGUAUCAACAACCCAACUACAACACCUCCCAAAGUAGCGGUAUUUCAAAUAGUGCUCACCUAUAUCGAAUUGUACGAUCCAGUCGCUUACACCAGAUAUCCUUAGAUUCACACUAGGCACGUGCACAUUUACUCCGACAUCAGGAUUCAGUUGUGGAUCAACCCAUAAAAAAUUUAUGAUUUGCUCCUGUCUUCCGUAAGAGUUACACCAUGGUCCUCAACACCAACUCUGUGUUCUCAAAUCCGUACGCCGAUAGGUUUCAUAGGCCGAGAGCCCACUCUUCCCUAGUUGCCCUUGACUUACACCUGAUUCAUCUACUCUUAUGCCAAAAUAUAUUUAUGAUAGUCAUUCCAUCCAGAAGAGUGGUGUAAUUUAAUUUUGUUCUUGUACACUAAGUGAGAAAUGCCCACUUCCUCCCUUUUGUGUGUCUUAUACUAAGGACACUAGGAUUCUUGACACUUGUUUCGUGUUCCUGGAUCCAUACACAGUUGCACUCCAUAGGGCCGAGAGCUUGCAUUUUACAUCCCGUUGCUCUCACUUACAACCCGAUUCACUUACCCUUACACCGAAAUGCAUGUGCGGUAGUCAAUCUAUCAAGAGUGUGGCAUAGAGGAGAACAUCAAUGAAUGGCUGGAAAUAUCUCGAUCGAGAGAUCAUAGUAGUAUCAUUUCACUAGUUUACUCAAUCUUGUGUGCUACAUGUCAUGCAAAUGUAUGAUCACAUGUUCAUAAAUAGGGAUAAACCUUUGCUUGUUCCAAUACUAAUUAAUAUGUACAAUAUUAAAAUAUGUUUUAUCAAAAUAAAUGGGGCCUAGAUACAUUAAAUAAUAUGUUUAUUAAAAUAAGUUUUAUCAAAAUACAUAUUUUAGUCAUAUACAUAUAAUAUGUUCACUACAAUAUGAUCCACUAAUUGGGGACUAGAUCUAUUUUAGUCAUUUAUUUAGUGUGAUAUGUAAGGUGUAGGAUCUGUUCUUGAAAUUAGGUUUGCCUUGGUGGGAAACUCACUAUAGUUAUAAAAGGUUAAGUUCCUCUCAUUGAGAAUACACUAUAAAAGGUUAGGUUGCUCUCAUCGAUAGUAUUAGUGUUGUAUUGCCAGGGUAGCUUGGUCCAUUGAUAGCCACUAUGCCAAACUUGGAGCGAAAGAGGGAGAGGAAGCCACCUAUGCCAGGCACGCAGACCAUAAUGCUGAAUAGAUCAAGAUUCUCACACCUCUCAAUCUAUUUUAGAAGAAUGGUAUGCAUUUAUAUUAUAGUUUUAUUCAAAUAUCUAAUAUAAUUUUGGAAAAUAUAUAAGUGGUAUUAGAGUGACCAAUAUCAGAUUUUGAAUCAUUAAAAAAAAAGCUAGUAAUUAGUAGUUUUGAAGUUUUUAAGAGAACUACAAUCACUUUUGAUUUUGCUUGCUUGGCUGUUCAUAACUUAUUUGGUGUUUUAUAAUUCAUGCCUUUGUUGUAUGAACAAAUCACAAACUUAUGUGGUGUUUUUAAAGAGGAGGUUGACAUAAAUUAUCUUUUGUGGUUCUGAUGUUACGUGUUCUAUUUAAAUUUUUUGUAUUUGCAUGUGGUCAACCAUAUUGAAACAACGUUCAAUUGGAAAUAUAAUUGAUUGCUUAUCACUCUUCUAUGAUUGACCAAACCUCCAUAUUUGCAAAAGCCAAAAAUUUUGAAGACCAUGGAUGGAGAGACUUGUCUAUUUCCAUACAAACUCUUGAUUUUGAUUUAGAAGGCACAGCUCAUGAUUUGUAUGGGGCCCUUGGGUGUCUUAUUACCCACAUGUCAUCUGGUUUUUUAAGAAACUUGUUGAACUGUUUCUUGCAUGUAUCAUGACUUAGAGUCAUGAAGUGUAAAAUUUGGAUUUGAUGACCCGAUUCAUUGAACCUAUUGCCCAUGAUGCAUAAUAUUUUUCACAUGAAACAAAAGAAUCAAAGCCAUAGAUCAGAUUUUAUACCUCAAAAAGAAGGCUUGCAAGAGUGAUCCUCCACUAUUUCUUGAAGUUUUUUGGUUCCCUUAGCUUCCCAAGCUUCCAAACUUACAAUCAAUCGGUUUAGAAUUCGAUUUUAGCACUUGGUUGGUGUAAAUCAAGAAGGAAUUUGUUUUCUCUUGCUCUCCCUUUCUCCCUCUCUUGCUCAGCCAAGAUGAAGAAUAAAAUGAAGGAGAUUAAGCUAAGUUUGUCUUAUAAGAAGGUAGAAAGAUAAGACUUAAUUCUAACCACAAGUUUGGCCAACACUUGGCUCAACCUCAACCACACAAUUUUCUCUUUCUUUCCUUGCAUUUUGGGCCACAUAUUUUAGUCAAUAAGUAAUCAUGAGAGGGAAGAUAUUUUGCUCAAUUAGUGAUAAGCUUGUAUGGCAAGAAAGUGGUGGUCAAGUGGUGGUUAAAUCGGUAGUACCCGGUACACGUCGGUUCGCACUGUUUUUCCUUAAAUCCCCCGUACUAGGAUUUUUACUUCCUAUUCACCAACUUUAUAUCAUUGCUCCUAAUCACAUAUUAUUUCUCACUUAAAAGUCACUCUUAAGCACCAAAUUUGAUCCUUACUCGGUACCGGAUAAUUAUACUGCGGUUACACGAAAAAUCCGAUUUCAUCUUGAAUUGAAAACGAAUAGGAAAACCCUAAUUUCCCAUGGUCAUUGGCACUUUUCUAGGGUGAUUGAACCAUGAAUAACAUGAAAUAAUAAUUUUCAAAUAAUUUUCAAAUAAAAGGGAAUUUUUGAGAAAUAUGUAAGGAUUUUGCGAGUCCUCACACUCUCUCCCCCUUAAAAGAAUUUCGACCUCAAAAUUCCAACUCGCACUAAUCAGAUCAAAAAUAGUUCUCGAAAGUUGAUCACGUACUAAGAAUCAUUUCAAUCUCACCACAAGGAUCUUUUGGGUUACACUAUUUUCCAGACUCAGCUAAGAUGACCCCGUCCGGUCUCUCACGUCACUUCCUAGUCACUCGAUGUCCGUAGAUUUCUUAUAUUCAUUUUGGUCGGACAAAGCCUGUUCAUAUUCCAAAAUACAAGUCUCAAGUACCUAGUAGCUAGCAUCGCCUCAACUCUGGAGUACUCGGGCACGAGAAUCCGAAAUAAGAUAAUUCACAUCUCGAGCUGCAGUCCCAAGAGUAAACUAUCUACAAUCGAAAUUCCUACCUGACGUACCUAUCUAUGGUCCUCAGAUACCAUGAGAAAGAUUUAAGGCCGAUAACAUUUAUGAUCCAUAACUUAUGCUCGAACGAACACUUAAUCCUUCAUACUUAUUCACCACUUAGUCCAGGCUCACUCCGCGCAAAGACCACGCGAAGCAGCUAUAGGUUUUAUCCCUCAAUUGCUUACCUUUCAAAUCAAAUCAAAUCCCACAGUCCGGCAUCCCAAACUUUAAGCCUAGGAUACAGUACAGAAAUCUGAAGCCUAAGCUCUGAUACCACCUGUGACGGCCCCACCUCCCCCUAGGGCGUACCCCAGGGUUCAGCGGGUCGCCUGCCCAGCUCUCGCCAGGACUCACUCACUAUGGAACUCAAAUCAUGUAUAUACAUCCAUAGACAAUAGAUGCUCAAGUAAAAGAUAAGAAACUUCUACACACCAGAAGUCUUCAAAGUUUUUACCAUUCAAGUACAACCAUCGAAUAUACAAGGGUUCUCAUUCCUCAUACAACCAGCCCGUGCCAAGCACUAGGGCGAGAACCAUUACAAGGCCAAAGAACUAGAUCAACUAGACUAUACAGAACGCUCGUCCUUGCUCGCCUUCCCCUGCUAAGGAAAACAAUUGACGUGGUAUGAGCUAAAAAGCCCAGUGAGGUUCUAUAUAUAUAAACAAGUAAUUAAACAAGGAACAUUAGUCAUGUAAUAACAUUUAAUCCAGAAAACAUGUUCAAUAUAAAGCAAUGAUAAUACAUUCAUUAAAAGGAUACAGGCUCACGAGGAGCUAUUUGUUUGUUCGUUCGUUCCCCUGACAUUUCCCCUUAUUCCUCCAAUCGUUUGAAAAUACAUUUUUUGUAAGUAGAAUCCCUCGUUCAUCCUUUUGUUCGUUCAUCCCCUUUUCCGGACGUUGACCGGACUCCACCCAUCCGACCAUUGGCCGGACUCCACCCAUCCGGACGUAGCCGGACUACAAGGUAAUACUCGAGUAUACCAAAUUCACCCAGGGUCACCAUAUCGCCCGACCGAGUCCGCUUCUGGCUCGAGUCGAUCGGUAACGAAGGGCAGGGCCCAAUUCAGCCAAAAGGCUUACAUCAUGCGCAACUAAUGUUUCCAUCAUUAAAUCAUUGAAAAUUUCAUAUUUAUUUAGGUCGAGUGCGAUAAAGUACACACUCACCUAGAAAAAGUUCAUUUUAGAAAUCAUAGAAAACAAGUAACAUUUAAUCAAAUAAUCACAUAGACCCAACAAUCCACAUAGUCAUAGAAACAAAACGUAUAUAGAACACUCACCUACGUAUGAAAAACAACGGCAAAAUAUCUUUCCGGAUAUUAUCUUUAAUCACCGAGAAAACCUAAGAUUAAACGAAAAGAGUAUUACAGCUCAUUUAUCACAACCAAUUAGGUGCAAUCAAAGAGGCUCGACGAAUGAUGAGUAGAACGUAAUAAAAGACUUUAAAGUGGAACGAGGACAUUUGGACCCGUGGACAAAAAUAACUAGGGUUUCAUAGACCACACAUAAAACCAAACUCAAAAGGGUUAUAAAAUUUUCUAAUGGAAACACUUGAACUAAAGACAAGUCAAAAUCCAACUAGAUAGACUAAGAAAUACCGUUUUUGGAAUCGUUUAUAUGGUUGAAACUUAUCUCAUAUUCAAGUAGAUAUUGUAGACUAAUUGUCUUAAUGAAAUUCAUGAAAAAGAGAGGACAAAAUACUCAAGAAAAUCCUAAACUACUCCUCUUUAUUUGGUAAGAGUAAGUAAACAUUUGGAGUUUCCAAUUGAAGAAGGAUCAUGUUUUUAAGAUGGAAAAACGGUCAUAGUAUUAUACAAGUUCAAAUAGAACUUAGCUUUCGGGCGAAAAUUUGGGCAGCAUGCCCUUUGUGUUUACCUAAUUUUCCAGCCAUUUAUGGCUUCAUGAUUUUUUUCUCAGCCAAACCCAAAGUCAUGUACAGCACAAACUCAUCAUAAUAGCCAUUUCAUAGGCUCAAGACAAUAUAAGAACAAAAAUCAAAGUAAUAACAAGUGCGGAAAUGCAAUUUGACAAAAGACAGUUUUGACGGGUUCAUGCAUAAUGGUCACAACCGGAGUUACACUUAUCGGAUUGGGAUGAACAUUAUGCCGUUUCGAAGCUAAGACACAGGGAUACAACAUUCAUGAAGGUCUCUUGUCCAGUUCCUAAUGUAACUUAGUCAAAUUCUCAAAUUACUAAACCAGAAACCAAUUCGUCGGCUGUUUAAACGUAGAACACUGUAAUGGACAUAUCUCAGAGUACACAAGUCCGAAACAGGUGUUCUUAGAGGCAUUUGAAAGAUAAUUCAGAAUACUACAACUUUCAUGUUUUGGAAAAAAACUAAAUCAGAAUGGAUCCUAGUCGAAAAACGUGAUAAACUGGACUUAACUGAUCACACGGACUGCUUGGGAAAUACCUAAAACUGUAAGGGUAUUUUGGACUUUUCACGUCUUACAUUGCUCCGAUUGAGCUGAAAUUUUGUAGGCACCUAUAAAAUACCAUUCUCUACAACUUUCCUUCUUUGACCUAAUGCCAAUUCGGCCUCUAACAUAGGGAUUCAAAUUCGGAAAGAAUAGGAUGAAAAUUUCCAGAAAUCUCAAAUCUUUUGGUUUCAAUGAUAGUUUUCUUAAUUCUUGCUACACUUGCUACCAAAACCUCCUAUAUAACCUUAUAUACAACAUAUACUAACUAUACAACAAGUUUAGGCAGAAAUUAAUCAAACUCUAACUUACAUAUUUCAUCCAAAAAUCACCACAACAACUUGCAUCACUUGUAAUCAAACCAAAACAUGGACUAUUUAACAUCUUAAACAAGAAUAAAAGGAUCAAAGCCAUAGAUCAGAUUUUAUACCUCAAAACGAAGGCUUGCAAGAGUGAUCCUCCACUAUUUCUUGAAGUUUUUGGUUCCCUUAGCUUCCCAAGCUUCCAAACUUACAAUCAAUCGGUUUAGAAUUCGAUUUUAGCACUUGGUUGGUGUAAAUCAAGAAGGAAUUUGUUUUCUCUUGCUCUCCCUUUCUCCCUCUCUUGCUCAGCCAAGAUGAAGAAUAAAAUGAAGGAGAUUAAGCUAAGUUUGUCUUAUAAGAAGGUAGAAAGAUAAGACUUAAUUCUAACCACAAGUUUGGCCAACACUUGGCUCAACCUCAACCACACAAUUUUCUCUUUCUUUCCUUGCAUUUUGGGCCACAUAUUUUGGUCAAUAAGUAAUCAUGAGAGGGAAGAUAUUUUGCUCAAUUAGUGAUAAGCUUGUAUGGCAAGAAAGUGGUGGUCAAGUGGUGGUUAAAUCGGUAGUACCCGGUACACGUCGGUUCGCACUGUUUUUCCUUAAAUCCCCCGUACUAGGAUUUUUACUUCCUAUUCACCAACUUUAUAUCAUUGCUCCUAAUCACAUAUUAUUUCUCACUUAAAAGUCACUCUUAAGCACCAAAUUUGAUCCUUACUCGGUACCGGAUAAUUAUACUGCGGUUACACGAAAAAUCCGAUUUCACCUUGAAUUGAAAACGAAUAGGAAAACCCUAAUUUCCUAUGGUCAUUGGCACUUUUCUAGGGUGAUUGAACCAUGAAUAACAUGAAAUAAUAAUUUUCAAAUAAUUUUCAAAUAAAAGGAAAUUUUUGAGAAAUAUGUAAGGAUUUUGCGAGUCCUCACACUCUCUCCCCCUUAAAAGAAUUUCGACCUCGAAAUUCCAACUCGCACUAAUCAGAUCAAAAAUAGUUCUCGAAAGUUGAUCACGUACUAAGAAUCAUUUCAAUCUCACCACAAGGAUCUUUUGGGUUACACUAUUUUCCAGACUCAGCUAAGAUGACCCCGUCCGGUCUCUCACGUCACUUCCUAGUCACUCGAUGUCCGUAGAUUUCUUAUAUUCAUUUUGGUCGGACAAAGCCUGUUCAUAUUCCAAAAUACAAGUCUCAAGUACCUAGCAGCUAGCAUCGCCUCAACUCUGAAGUACUCGGGCACGAGAAUCCGAAAUAAGAUAAUUCACAUCUCGAGCUGCAGUCCCAAGAGUAAACUAUCUACAAUCGAAAUUCCUACCUGACGUACCUAUCUAUGGUCCUCAGAUACCAUGAGAAAGAUUUAAGGCCGAUAACAUUUAUGAUCCAUAACUUAUGCUCGAACGAACACUUAAUCCUUCAUACUUAUUCACCACUUAGUCCAGGCUCACUCCGCGCAAAGACCGCGCGAAGCAGCUAUAGGUUUUAUCCCUCAAUUGCUUACCUUUCAAAUCAAAUCAAAUCCCACAGUCCGGCAUCCCAAACUUUAAGCCUAGGAUACACUACAGAAAUCUGAAGCCUAAGCUCUGAUACCACCUGUGACGGCCCCACUUCCCCCUAGGGCGUACCCCAGGGUUCAGCGGGUCGCCUGCUCAGCUCUCGCCAGGACUCACUCACUAUGGAACUCAAAUCAUGUAUAUACAUCCAUAGACAAUAGAUGCUCAAGUAAAAGAUAAGAAACUUCUACACACCAGAAGUCUUCAAAGUUUUUACCAUUCAAGUACAAACAUCGAAUAUACAAGGGUUCUCAUUCCUCAUACAACCAGUCCGUGCCAAGCACUAGGGCGAGAACCAUUACAAGGCCAAAGAACUAGAUCAACUAGACUAUACAGAACGCUCGUCCUUGCUCGCCUUCCCCUGCUAAGGAAAACAAUUGACGUGGUAUGAGCUAAAAAGCCCAGUGAAGUUCUAUAUAUAUAAACAAGUAAUUAAACAAGGAACAUUAGUCAUGUAAUAACAUUUAAUCCAGAAAACAUGUUCAAUAUAAAGCAAUGAUAAUACAUUCAUUAAAAGGAUACAGGCUCACGAGGAGCUAUUUGUUUGUUCGUUCAUUCCCCUGACAUUUCCCCUUAUUCCUCCAAUCGUUUGAAAAUACAUUUUUUUGUAAGUAGAAUCCCUCGUUCAUCCUUUUGUUCGUUCAUCCCCUUUUCCGGACGUUGACCGGACUCCACCCAUCCGACCAUUGGCCGGACUCCACCCAUCCGGACGUAGCCGGACUACAAGGUAAUACUCGAGUAUACCAAAUUCACCCAGGGUCACCAUAUCGCCCGACCGAGUCUGCUUCUGGCUCGAGUCGAUCGGUAACGAAGAGCAGGGCCCAAUUCAGCCAAAAGGCUUACAUCAUGCGCAACUAAUGUUUCCAUCAUUAAAUCAUUGAAAAUUUCAUAUUUAUUUAGGUCGAGUGCGAUAAAGUACACACUCACCUAGAAAAAGUUCAUUUUAGAAAUCAUAGAAAACAAGUAACAUUUAAUCAAAUAAUCACAUAGACCCAACAAUCCACAUAGUCAUAGAAACAAAACGUAUAUAGAACACUCACCUACGUAUGAAAAACAACGGCAAAAUAUCUUUCCGGAUAUUAUCUUUAAUCACCGAGAAAACCUAAGAUUAAACGAAAAGAGUAUUACAGCUCAUUUAUCACAACCAAUUAGGUGCAAUCAAAGAGGCUCGACGAAUGAUGAGUAGAACGUAAUAAAAGACUUUAAAGUGGAACGAGGACAUUUGGACCUGUGGACAAAAAUAACUAGGGUUUCAUAGACCACACAUAAAACCAAACUCAAAAGGGUUAUAAAAUUUUCUAAUGGAAACACUUGAACUAAAGACAAGUCAAAAUCCAACUAGAUAGACUAAGAAAUACCGUUUUUGGAAUCGUUUAUAUGGUUGAAACUUAUCUCAUAUUCAAGUAGAUAUUGUAGACUAAUUGUCUUAAUGAAAUUCAUGAAAAAGAGAGGACAAAAUACUCAAGAAAAUCCUAAACUACUCCUCUUUAUUUGGUAAGAGUAAGUAAACAUUUGGAGUUUCCAAUUGAAGAAGGAUCAUGUUUUUAAGAUGGAAAAAUGGUCAUAGUAUUAUACAAGUUCAAAUAGAACUUAGCUUUCGGGCGAAAAUUUGGGCAGCAUGCCCUUUGUGUUUACCUAAUUUUCCAGCCAUUUAUGGCUUCAUGAUUUUUUUCUCAGCCAAACCCAAAGUCAUGUACAGCACAAACUCAUCAUAAUAGCCAUUUCAUAGGCUCAAGACAAUAUAAGAACAAAAAUCAAAGUAAUAACAAGUGCGGAAAUGCAAUUUGACAAAAGACAGUUUUGACGGGUUCAUGCAUAAUGGUCACAACCGGAGUUACACUUAUCGGAUUGGGAUGAACAUUAUGCCGUUUCGAAGCUAAGACACAGGGCUACAACAUUCAUGAAGGUCUCUUAGUCCAGUUCCUAAUGUAACUUAGUCAAAUGCUCGAAUUACUAAACCAGAAACCAAUUCGUUGGCUGUUUAAACGUAGAACACUGUAAUGGACAUAUCUUAGAGUACACAAGCCCGAAUCAGGUGUUCUUAGAGGCAUUUGAAAGCUAAUUCAGAAUACUACAACUUUCAUGUUUUGGAAAAAAGAUAAAUCAGAAUGGAUCCUAGUCGAAAAACGUGAUAAACUGGACUUAACUGAUCACACGGACUGCUUGGGAAAUACUUAAAACAGUAAGGGUAUUUUGGACUUUUCACGUCUUACAUUGCUCCAAUUGAGCUGAAAUUUUGUAGGAACCUAUAAAAUACCAUUCUCUACAACUUUCCUUCUUUGACAUAAGGCCAAUUCGGCCUCUAACAUAGGGAUUCAAAUUCGGACAGAAUAGGAUGAAAAUUUCCAGAAAUCUGAAAUCUUUUGGUUUCAAUGAUAGUUUUCUUAAUUCUUGCUACACUUGCUACCAAAACCCCCUAUAUAACCUUAUAUACAACAUAUACUAACUAUACAACAAGUUUAGGCAGAAAUUAAUCAAACUCUAACUUACAUAUUUCAUCCAAAAAUCACCACAACAACUUGCAUCACUUGUAAUCAAACCCAAAACAUGGACUAUUUAACAUCUUAAACAAGAAUAAAAGGAUCAAAGCCAUAGAUCAGAUUUUAUACCUCAAAAAGAAGGCUUGCAAGAGUGAUCCUCCACUAUUUAUUGAAGUUUUUGGUUCCCUUAGCUUCCCAAGCUUCCAAACUUACAAUCAAUCGGUUUAGAAUUCGAUUUUAGCACUUGGUUGGUGUAAAUCAAGAAGGAAUUUGUUUUCUCUUGCUCUCCCUUUCUCCCUCUCUUGCUCAGCCAAGAUGAAGAAUAAAAUGAAGGAGAUUAAGCUAAGUUUGUCUUAUAAGAAGGUAGAAAGAUAAGACUUAAUUCUAACCACAAGUUUGGCCAACACUUGGCUCAACCUCAACCACACAAUUUUCUCUUUCUUUCCUUGCAUUUUGGGCCACAUAUUUUGGUCAAUAAGUAAUCAUGAGAGGGAAGAUAUUUUGCUCAAUUAGUGAUAAGCUUGUAUGGCAAGAAAGUGGUGGUCAAAUCGGUAGUGCCCGGUACACGUCGGUUCGCACUGUUUUUCCUUAAACCCCCCGUACUAGGAUUUUUACUUCCUAUUCACCAACUUUAUAUCAUUGCUCCUAAUCACAUAUUAUUUCUCACUUAAAAGUCACUCUUAAGCACCAAAUUUGAUCCUUACUCGGUACCGGAUAAUUAUACUGCGGUUACACGAAAAAUCCGAUUUCAUCUUGAAUUGAAAACGAAUAGGAAAACCCUAAUUUCCCAUGGUCAUUGGCACUUUUCUAGGGUGAUUGAACCAUGAAUAACAUGAAAUAAUAAUUUUCAAAUAAUUUUCAAAUAAAAGGGAAUUUUUGAGAAAUAUGUAAGGAUUUUGCGAGUCCUCACAGAACACAUUUUUCUCCUUUCUCGAUUUCCGUGCCAAAUUAAGAAUUUUACUCUUCUUUUGAAAUUGAUAGUCCUUGCCACGAUUUAACUUAGAAAUGGGACUUUUAUAUUCCUUUUAGUUAUUAUUCCAAUGAUUAAGUGAAAACUUCCUAUUUCGAUUUGUUUGAGCUUGAGGCUCUUGAGUGUGUGUAUCUAAGAGGUUUUCUUUUAUUCGUCUUGAUCGAGCAUCUAGGUAAUUCGUGACUGUGAUUAAUCUCAGGUGAUCCAAAGGAUGUGAUACCCUGAAAAUUAGGAGGUCAUUUGUAAAGAAAAUACUAAAGCGUAUUUCUAUGGGUUUGAUUUAAAACCUUAUUUUGUUUUAAAAGACUAGAAACCCUAAGAUUUUUAAUCAAAAACCCUAAUUUACUGGUGACUAACUGGUUUUCUUAAAUCUCUCAUAUUUUACUUGAAACCCUAAUUUUAAUCACUGGAAUUGUAAAAACCCUCACGUUUUUCUUAAAAAUCCCCUUUUAUUUGAAAAUUAUUCAUUUAUAAUAGCCUUACUACUCAAUCACCUUACAAUAAGUGCAAAUGAACCUAGAAAGUAGAGUUUCACUUUUUGAUUUCAAGUUAGAGCGAAUUAGGGUUUUCACGUUUUUCCGUAGUAUGAUUAUUCGGUAUGGAGUGAGAAUCAAGUUUGAUAGGUAAGAGUGACUUUUGGAUGAAGAAAUAUUAUAUGAUUAGAAGUGAUAAUAAUAAGUUAGUGAUUAGAAGGUAAAAAUCCUAGUAUACGCGAUUUAAGAAAAAUCGGUUCACACCGACGGGUAUCGAUCACUACCGAUUGAACGCACCACUUGACCACCACUUUCUUACCAUAUAAGCUCAUUAAUAUUUGAGCAAAAUAUCUCCUUAUUUCCAGCUGGCUUUGACCGAAAUUUAGGGCUAAAAUGCAAGAAAAGAAAGAGAAAUUUUGGUUGGCUUUGGUGGUGACCACCCUAUGGCUCUUUGAUUGAUUUUUUUGUCUUGCCUUCUUAUCCCUUAUUUCAGCCCAUUUUCCUCCAUUUUUCUGCUGCUUGGCCGAGACAAGAGAGGAGAGAAAGAGAGCAAGAAACAAACUUCCUUCUUCUUGAGUUGAGCCAUCCAAGUAAGGACUUAAAAUUCUAAACCGAUUAAAGUGUGAGUUGUGAGCUUGAGAAGCUAGGGGAACCAAGAAUUCCAAGAGGAGGUGAAGUAUUACUCUUGCAAGCUUCAUUUGUUGAGGUAUAAGGCUAAACCAUGGCUUUGGUUCUUUUAUUUUGGUUUAAGUUGUUGUAUAAUUCAUGAUGUGGUUGGAUUAGCAGUGAUACAAGUUGUUAUGAUGAUUUAAAGGUGAUAUAUGUGAGUUAGGGUUUGAGGUAUUUGCUGCCUAUACUUGCUAUAUGGGAUGAGAUAUGUUGUAUCUAAGCUUAUAUAAGUGGUUGUAGUGAUGAUUGGAGCAAGAAAUCAAGAAAGUUUCAUUGAAUCCCAAAAUUUCCAGAUUUCUGGAAAAUUUCAGUUCUGUUCUGUCCGGUUUUAUUGCAUCAUAUUAGAAGCCAAAUGUGUGAGGACCAGCAAAAUUCUCCUUGUUUUAUUUUAUUUUAUUUUUUCCGUGUGUAUUUUCCUUGCUUUCAAUCAAUUAAUCAUUUAAUUUUCAGAGAUUUUAUAAGUGAGUAUCGUUUUUAAAUCAUUUGUUUUAGUAUAAGUGCGUACAUGUUAAAUUUGAGGUGCAUUAUGGAUGUGAGAUCCUAGAUUCCAAAUUGUCUCAAAUAAAUUAAAUAUGGAUAUUUAUAGUAGCUAUUGUGUGAAAAAUAUAUUUUACCAUGUGUUUUAAUUUUCAAAGAGUAUUUUACAUACCAAAAGUGAAAAAUUUAAUUGAAUCAUUAAAAUCCUACUUUCAAAACUAAACCGUUAAGUUUAAAUUAAAUUCAACCAAUUAAUAUUUUCGUGAUUGUAUGUGCAUCCAUGCAUGUUUAGUACGGGGGUUUGAGUGAUUAGUACCUUGGGUUGGUGGGCUUAAGUUAGUUUUAAUUAAACUAAGUAAACCAAUGGGUUAAUUACAUUGGAUCAAGUAGAGUUUUAGUGUUGGGCCUUUAACCCAUUAAUUACCCAAGCCCAUGACCCAUCUCUUGUUUUGCUUUACUAUUAAUAGACUUAGCUAUUAAGUUAGGAGGACAUAAGACAAAACAAACAAAGCCAACACCAAGAACAAGCUACCGUGAGCUUGGAGAAAAAGAAAGGCAGCAUCGGGUGAGCUAGGAAAAGAGAGAAAAAAAAAGGAAAGGGAAUCAUUGGGGUUAUUCAUCCAACCUUGCUUGCAACCAACCAAGGGAACUUUGUUGGAGAGUUGGAGCUCAAGGAUACAUCUCCUCAAAGAAUCGGCCAGCUAGGGGGUAUGAUUAAGGAUUUGAGGUAAACCAAUUUCCUAACUCUUGAUUCUUGUGGUAAAACAUAUGAUUGAUGAUUGGAAGUUGAAUCUAACUAGCUAGGAACUGAUUUGAACGGCUGGAAAUUCGUUUGAUUGGGUGGAAUUUAAAUGAACUUCAAGUGUUCCUUUUCUGUCAAGAUUUCUAUCCGAAAUUAGUCUGAAAAUUCGAACCUGUUGGGAGCUGAUUUGGCCUUAGUACGAAACAUAAAAGUUGUAGGGAAUGAUGUUUUAUAGUUUUCUGUAAAAUUUCAGCUCAAUCGGAGCAACGUAUCCUGUAAAAAGACCAAAAUACCCCUACUUCCCUGUAUUUAUCCGAAACUGAUAAUCAGCUUCUGUAAUUGGAUGUUUUGACCAGGAAUACUACUGAUUUGGUUGUUGAUGUCUUUUUAAGACUUAUAGCCUUGUGUCUUAGCUUUUUAAUGGCUUUGGAAUUACCUGAAUUGGAGUUGUGUGUGCUGAGAUAUGAGUGAAUAAAGCAGGACUGCUAGUUGAUUUCUGCAGUGAAUUUCAAACUAGAAAAUCUGGAGUUGUUUUUGGUAAAUUUGACCUAGUUAGGGUGAGAACUGGACUGAGUGGUCUGCACGAAAGUUGUAGGUCUUUGUCUUAGCUUUUCAACGCCUCCAAGAACGCCUUAAACGGACUUUGGUAGCCUGCGAUAUGGCCAUUUAAAGGUAGUACGGUUAAUUAGCCGAUUAGUUGGAACUUGGUUCUGGGAAUUGGGAAUUUGACUAGGUUACACUGGAAUUUGGACUAAGUGGUCUUCAUCAAAAUUGUAUCCCUCUGUCUUAGCUUCGAAACGGUAUAAAUUACAUUCCAAUCCGGUAAGCGUAGCGUCGGAUGUGUCCGUUACGCAAAACCCGUCAAAUCUGUCUUUUGUUAAGUUUCAUUUCCGCAUUUGUUAUUAGCUCGAUUUCUAUACUUCUAUUGUUUUGAGCCUAUGGAAUGGCUAUUGAAAUGAAUUUGUGUUGUGGGUAAUCUUGGUUCGAUUGAGAAAAAGAAUGAAGCCAUAAAUGGCUGGAAAUAGGAAAAUACAAAGGGCGUGCUGCCCAAAUUUUCGCUCGAGGGCUAAGUUUUUAUUUGAACUGGUAUAUUUUUGUUUGGCAAAUACUAUAACCGUUUUUCCAUCUUAAAACAUGAUCAUUCUUCAAUUGGAAACUCCAAAUGUUUACUUACUCUUACCAAAUAAAGAGGAAUGGUUUAGGGUUUUCUUGAGUAUUUUUGUCCUCCCUCUUUUUCAUGAAGUCUAUAAUAUCUACUUGAAUAUGAAAUGAUUUUGAACCAUAUAAACGAUUUCAAAAACAGUAUUUCUUAGCCUAUCUAGUUGGAUUCCGACUUGUCUUUGGUUCAAGUGUUUACAUUAGAAAAUUUUAUAGCCCUUUUGAGUUUGGUUUUACGUUUGGUCUAUGAAACCCUAGUUAUUUUAUCCACGGGUCCAAAUGUCCUCGUUUCACUUUAAAGUCUUUUUAUACAUUCUACUCAUCAUUUGUAAAGUUCUUUGAUUUCACCUAAUUGUUUGUGCUAGAUGAGCUGUAAUAUUCUUUCUCAUUUAAUCUUAGGUUUUCUCGGUGACUAAGGAUAUUUGGCACGUUGUUUUGCGUACAUAGGUGAGUGUUCCUUGUUUGUUAUAUUUCCUUGACUUAUUGGCUUGUUAUUAUUGAUUGAUAAUGUGUUAAGUGCUUUCAAUGAUUGUUAAAACGAGUUUUCUAGGCGAGUGUGUACUUUAUCGCACUCGACCUAAAUAAAUGUGAAAUUUUCAAUGAUUAAAUGAUUAAAUGCUAGUUGCGCAUGAAUGUAAGCCGUUUGGCUGAACUGGGCCCUGCCCUUCGUUACCGAUCGACUCGAGUCAGAAGCGGACUUGGUCGAGCUAUAUGGUGACGUUGGGUGUGAACGUUGGUAUACUCGAGUAUUACCUUAUAGGUUGGUGGAGCCUGGCCAAAGGCCAGGAAAGGGGUGAAUGAAACUUCAAGAACGAACGAGGGUUUUACUUACAAAAAUGCAAUCUUCGAAAGAAUGAAGGAAUAAGGGGAAAUGUCAGGAGAACGAACGAAUUUAUGGCUCCCAGUGAGCCCGUAUCCAUUUAAUGUAUGUGUUAUUAUCGCUUUCCAUUUUAAAUGUUUCUUGAAUUAUUAAUAUUCUAUGUUUAAUGUAUGGAUUGGUUAUUUGAUUAUGUGUUCGGAACCUCACUAGGCUUUUAGAUCAUCCCUUUAGUUUGUUUUCCUUAACAGGGGAAGGCACGCAAGGAUGAGAGCUUGGUAUAGACUAGCUUGGUCUAACUCUUUGUUUUUGUAAUGGUUCUCGCCCUAAUGCUUGGCACGGGCUGGUUGUAUGAAGAAUUGAGAACCUUUAUAUAUUCGAUGAUUGUACUCCCUUUUGAGAUAGAAAUAUAUAUGUAAGUUUCACACUUAAGUUUUGGAUUGUUGUAUGUUAUUCCUUUGGUUGUAUUCCGGCCUUGAUUAAGGAAUGACUGAGUCCCGGCGAGAGCUGGGCAGGUGGUCCGCCGAACCCUGGGGUACGCCCUAGGGAGAAGUGGGGGCCGUCACAAAAUGAGGCUUAGAAUAAAACAUGAAAGUUAUAGAGAAUGAUAUUUUAUAGAUGCCUACAAAAUUUCAGCUCAAUCGGAGCAACGUAGCCUGUGAAACGACCAAAAUACCCUCGCUGCCCUAGGAUAUUUCCAGUGAUCCGUUUUGGACAGUUCAUCCAAUUAAUUGUGUUUAUUCACUAUGAUCCGUGCUGAUUUAGCCAUUUUCCAAAACAUGAAAGUUUUAGUACUCUGUCUUAGCUUUUAAACGCCUUCAAGAACACCUUAAAUGGACUUUGGUAGACUGAGAUAUGACCAUUUAAAUGUGGUACGGUUAAUUAGCCGAUUUGUUGGAGCCUGGUUCGGUGAACUGAGAAUUUGACUGGGUUACCCUGGAAAUUGGACCAAGUGAUCUUCAUGAAAAUUGUAGGCCUUCAUCUUAGCUUCGAAACGGUAUAGGUUGUAUCUCAAUUCGAUAAGCAUAGUAUAAAUUGUGUCAUUUCCGCAAAAACUCGUCAAAUCUGUCUUUUAUUAAGUCUCAUUUCCACACUUGUUAUUAACUUGAAUUUUUGUCUUUGUGUUGUCUUGAGCCUAUUGGACGGCUAUUGAAGUUAGAUUGUUGUGUGUGUACCUUUGGGUUUGAAUGAGAAAGAUAAUGAAGCCAAAAUGGCUGGAAAAUUGGGUAAACACAAAGGGCAUGCUGCCCAAAUUUACGCUCGAUGACUAGAAAACUAUACUUAUACUUUGUACUAGUAGUUAUUCGGAUUUUCUUUGGUUCACUUAACCUUUGGAGGGGUUUAACUGUAAUAUUUUCUCUUGGUUAUUAUUAGGGUUUCUUGGCGAUUGAGAGUGUUAUCUGGGAGGAUACGUUGGACAUUAUUUUGCUUAAUUAGGUGAGUGUUCUAUAUACGUUUUGUUUCUAUGACUAUGUGGAUUGUUGUGACAAUAUGAUUAUUUGUGAAUAUUUGAUUAAAUAUUAAUUGUUUUCUAUGAUUUCUAAAAUGAACUUUUGCUAGGUGAGUGUGUACUUUAUCGCACUCGACCUAAAUAAAUAUGAAAUUUUUGGUGAUUGAGUGUUGAAAUACUAGUUGCACAUGAAUGUAAGUCUUUUUGGCUGAACUGGGCCCUUGCCCUUGUUACCGAUCGACUCGAGCCAGAAGCGGAUUCGGUCGGGCGAUAUGGUGACCUGGGUGAACAUUUGGUAUACUCGAGUAUUACCUUGUUGUCAGGUGGAGUCCGGCGAACGUCCGGAUGGGGGGUAAAGCCUGGCCAACGUCCAAGAGGAGGUGAAUGAGAAUGAACAAACGAACGUCAAAAAUGAGGGGUUUUAUUUACAAAGAUGCAUUUUUUUAUAAUUGGAGGAAUAAGGGAGUGAAUAGGGAACGAACGAACGAAUUGCUCCUUGUGAGCCUAUAUCCUUUUAAUGAAUGUAUUAUCAUUACUUUAUAUUGGACAUGUUUUCUGGAUUAUUUGUUAUUACAUGAUUAAUGUCCUUGUUUAAUUACUUGUUUUUGUGUAUAGAAUCUCACUGAGCUUUUAGCUCACCCCUUUAGUUUUGUUUUCCUUAGCAGGGAAAGGUGAGCAAGGACGAGAGCCCGUAUAAACUAGCUUGGUCUAGCUCUUGGUUUUUUUUUGUAAUGGUUCUCGCCCUAGUACUUGGCACGGGCUGGUUGCUUGGUGAAUUGAGAACCUUUGUAUAUUCGAUGUUUAUACUCUCUUUUGGCAUGGUAACGUAUAUAAGUUCCACUUUAAGUUUUGGAUCGUUGCCUAUUUAUUCUUGUGAUUUUUUUCCGAUUUUAAUUGAGGAUUGAAGUGAUCGACUGAGUCCCGGCGAGAGUUGGGCAGGCGACCCGCCGAACCCUGAGGUACGCCCUAGGGGGAGGUGGGGCCGUCACAGGUGGUAUCAGAGCUUAGGUUUCAGAUCUCGGUAGUGUAUCCUAGGCUAAAGUUUAGGAUGCCGGACUGUAGGAUUUGAUUUGAUUUGAAAGUUAAGCAAUUAAGGGAUAAAACCUAUAGCUGCUUCGUAUGGUCUCUGCACGGAGUGAGCCUGGACUGAGUGGUGAGUAAGUAUGAAGGACUAAGUGCUCGUUCGAGCAUAAGGUAUGAAUUAUGAAGUGUUAUAGGCCUUAAAUCUUUCUCAUGGUGUCCAAGGACCAUAGAUUGGUAUGUCGGGUAGGAAUUUCGAUUGUAGAAAGUUUACUCUUGGGACUGGCCAGCUCGAGAUGUGAAUUAUCUUAUUUCGGAUUCUCGUGCCCGAGUACUCUGGAGUUGAGGCGAUGCUAGUUACUAGGUACUUGAGACUUGUAUUUUGGAACAUGAACAGGCUUUGUUCGGCUAGAAUGAGUAUAAGAGGUUAACGGACAUCUAGUGAAUAGGAAGUGACGUGAGCGAUCGGACGGGGGCUAUGUUAACCAAGUGUGAAACGGCUUGUCGUGUUAUCUUCUUGUUUUGUCUUUGUACUGCUAUUGUGUGUAUUUGGCUUGUGGCAUGGUAAUAUCCACAUGUAUAGUACUUGUUGCAUUUGAUCUUGUCUACUUGAUAUGUUUCUUUUUGAACUUGGUGUGGUAAAUUUUGCCGUUCCAGUCAAUUUAUUUUGUUACAUACUAAAUCACUUUUUGAAAAAAAAAAAGAAUGGAGGGGAGACGUAGUCGUGGACGUGGAGCUAGUCGUGGCUGUGGGGCUAGGCACGCUCAAGAACCGAGAGAAGAAAGAGAAACAGUGGUCGAACAAGAACAUGAACCGAGGGUUGAGGCCGGAGAUCAAAUGGCGAUGGCGAUGCAACAAAUGACAAAUAUCCUAGCACGACUGGUAGAUCAAUAAGGUCAAAUGCCAGUGAAUCAACCUCGAAAUCCUGAGAUAGGAGAGGAUAAGGCUCUUGAGAGGUUCCAAAAGUUUAUACCUCCUAAAUUUCAAGGGGAGCCUGAUCCGGAUAUAGCUGAGCAGUGGUUGGAGGCAAUGAUUAAUAUUUUCAUGGCUUUGAAUUACACGGAGCAAAGACAAGUAAAUUUUGUUGUAUUUGAAUUCGAAGGACCUGCCCGCGCGUGGUAGAAUGUAAUUAAGGCCAAAUGGGAAAAAGAACAGACGGUAUGGACAUGGACGAACUUUGUAAGGGAAUUUAACGAAAAGUAUCUCCCACCUUUGGUCCAAGAAAGGAGAGAGGAUGAAUUUAUUGGGUUGCGUCAGGGAACCCUGAGUGUGGCCGAAUAUGAGACCAAAUUUACUAGACUGUCUAAAUUUGCUUUCGAAUUGGUGGUUACGGAGCGAAGGAGAAUAAGACGAUUUAUACAAGGACUAAAUUUGGAAAUCCAUGAGGCAUUAGCGGCGGUUCAAGUUAAUACGUUUACAGAGGCUUUUGAGAAGGCUCAAAGAAUUGAGGAUGUGAAAGCCCAAGUAAAAGCCCUUCAAACGCGGAAAAGAGAUACAUCCAGCAGCAUACCUGAGGAAUCCGGAGAAAAAAUAAUGCUCUCUAAAGUACAAAAAGUGAACCAUUCACCUCGCCCACCUUGGACAUUAAGAGCAUUAGAUGAAAGGUCUACGAAAGGAAGUCAGAUUGGAUCAAAGGACACUUCUCGAGAAGGUCAAACAGUAGCUCCUCGAUUGGCUUAUGGAUACUGUGGAAAGGCAAAUCACACUGAGAAUGAUUGCUGGCGGAAAGGGGGAAAAUGUUUGAUUUGUAGAGAUAGCAAUCAUAAACUUAGUAAUUGCCCGAAGAAACAGCCACGAGAGGGUAGUACUCAACAAGUGGAAGGAACCAAACCGAAACAAACUAAUGAAAGAGGAAACCGAACAUAAGUAUCAGCACAGGUGUAUGCCGUAGAUCAGCAACAAGUUCCGGGGUCCUCUGAGGCAACGGAAGGUAAAAAUUUCGAGGAUUGCUUAAUUUGAUUACUACCAGUUGGAAUUUCGAGGACGAAAUUUUUUGAAGGAGGGGAGAUUGUGAUACCCUGAAAAUUAGGAGGUUAUUUGUAAAGAAAAUACUAAAGUGUAUUUCUAUGGGUUUGAUUUAAAACCUUAUUUUGUUUUAAAAGACUAGAAACCCUAAGAUUUUUAAUCAAAAACCCUAAUUUACUGGUGACUAAUUGGUUUUCUUAAAUCUCUCAUAUUUUACUUGAAACCCUAAUUUUAAUCACUGGAAUUGUAAAAACCCUCACGUUUUUCUUAAAAAUCCCCUUUUAUUUGAAAAUUAUUCAUUUAUAAUAGCCUUACUACUCAAUCACCUUACAAUAAGUGCAAAUGAACCUAAAAAGUAGAGUUUCACUUUUCGAUUUCAAGUUAGAGCGAAUUACGGUUUUCACGUUUUUCCGUAGUAUGAUUAUUCGGUACGGAGUGAGAAUCAAAUUUGAUAGGUAAGAGUGACUUUUGGAUGAAGAAAUAUUAUAUGAUUAGAAGUGAUAAUAAUAAGUUAUUGAUUAGAAGGUAAAAACCCUAGUAUACGCGAUUUAAGAAAAAUCGGUUCACACCGACGGGUAUCGAUCACUACCGAUUGAACGCACCACUUGACCACCACUUUCUUACCGUAUAAGCUCAUUAAUAUUUGAGCAAAAUAUCUCCUUAUUUCCAGCUGGCUUUGACCGAAAUUUAGGGCUAAAAUGCAAGGAAAGAAAGAGAAAUUUUGGUUGGCUUUGGUGGUGACAAGUGUCACCACCCUAUGGCUCUUUGAUUGAUUUUUUUGUCUUGCCUUCUUAUCCCUUAUUUCAGCCCAUUUUCCUCCAUUUUUAUGCUACUUGGCCGAGACAAGAGAGGAGAGAAAGAGAGCAAGAAACAAACUUCCUUCUUCUUGAGUUGAGCCAUCCAAGUAAGGACUUAAAAUUCUAAACCGAUUAAAGUGUGAGUUGUGAGCUUGAGAAGCUAGGGGAACCAAGAAUUCCAAGAGGAGGUGAAGUAUUACUCUUGCAAGCUUCAUUUGUUGAGGUAUAAGGCUAAACCAUGGCUUUGGUUCUUUUAUUUUGGUUUAAGUUGUUGUAUAAUUCAUGAUGUGGUUGGAUUAGCAGUGAUACAAGUUGUUAUGAUGAUUUAAAGGUGAUAUAUGUGAGUUAGGGUUUGAGGUAUUUGCUGCCUAUACUUGCUAUAUGGAUGAGAAAUGUUGUAUCUAAGCUUAUAUAAGUGGUUGUAGUGAUGAUUGGAGCAAGAAAUCAAGAAAGUUUCAUUGAAUCCCAAAAUUUCCAGAUUUCUGGAAAAUUUCAGUUCAGUUCUGUCCGAUUUUAUUGCAUCAUGAUAGAAGCCAAAUGAGGCUUAGAGUAAAACAUGAAAGUUGUAGAGAAUGAUAUUUUAUGGGUUCCUACAAAAUUUCAGCUCAAUCAGAGCAACAUAACCUGUGAAACGACCAAAAUACCCUCGCUACCCUAGGAUAUUUCCAGUGAUCCGUUUUGGACAGUUCAUCCAAUUCAUUGUGUUUAUUCACUAUGAUCCGUGCUGAUUUAGCCAUUUUCCAAAACAUUAAAGUCUUAGUACUCUGUCUUAGCUUUUAAACGCCUCCAAGAACACCUUAAACGGACUUUGGUAGCCUGAGAUAUGACCAUUUAAAUGUGGUACGGUUAAUUAGCCGAUUUGCUGGAACCUGGUUCGGUGAACUGAGAAUUUGACUGGGUUACCCUGGAAAUUGGACCAAGUGAUCUUCAUGAAAAUUGUAGGCCUUCAUCUUAGCUUCGAAACGGUAUAGGUUGUAUCUCAAUCCAAUAAGCAUAGUAUCGGUAGUGUCAUUUCCGCAAAAACCCGUCAAAUCUGUCUUUUAUUAAGUCUCAUUUCCACACUUGUUAUUAACUUGAAUUUUUGUCUUUGUAUUGUCUUGAGCCUAUUGGAUGGCUAUUGAAGUUAGAUUGUUGUGUGUGUACCUUUGGGUUUGAAUGAGAAAGAUAAUGAAGUCAAAAUGGCUGGAAAAUUGGGUAAACACAAAGGGCAUGCUGCCCAAAUUUACGCUCGAGGACUAGAAAACUAUACUUAUACUUUGUACUAGUAGUUAUUCGGGUUUUCUUUAGUUCACUUAACCUUUGGAGGGGUUUAACUGUAAUAUUUUCUCUUGGUUAUUAUUAGGGUUUCUUGGCGAUUGAGAGUGUUAUCCGAGAGGAUACGUUGGACAUUAUUUUGCUUAAUUAGGUGAGUGUUCUAUAUACGUUUUGUUUCUAUAAAUAUGUGGAUUGUUGUGACAAUAUGAUUAUUUGUGAAUAUUUGAUUAAAUAUUAAUUAUUUUCUAUGAUUUCUAAAAUGAACUUUUGCUAGGUGAGUGUGUACUUUAUCGCACUCGACCUAAAUAAAUAUGAAAUUUUCGGUGAUUGAAUGUUGAAAUACUAAUUGCGCAUGAAUGUAAGCCUUUUUGGCUGAACUGGGCCCUUGUCCUUGUUACCGAUCGACUCGAGCCAGAAGCGGACUCGGUUGGGCGAUAUGGUGACCUGGGUGAACAUUUGGUAUACUCGAGUAUUACCUUGUUGUCAGGUGGAGUCCGGCAAACGUCCGGAUGGGGGGUAAAGCCUGGCCAACGUCCAGGAGGAGGUGAAUGAGAAUGAACAAACGAACGUAAAAAACGAGGGGUUUUAUUUACAAAGAUGCUUUUUUUUUAUAAUUGGAGGAAUAAGGGAAUGAAUAGGGAACGAGCGAACGAAUUGCUCCUUGUGAGCCUGUAUCCUUUUAAUGAAUGUAUUAUCAUUGCUUUAUAUUGGACAUGUUUUCUGGAUUAUUUGUUAUUACAUGAUUAAUGUCCUUGUUUAAUUACUUGUUUUUGUGUAUAGAAUCUCACUGAGCUUUUAGCUCACCCCUUUAGUUUUGUUUUCCUUAGCAGGGAAAGGCGAGCAAGGACGAGAGCCCGUAUAAACUAGCUUGGUCUAGCUCUUGGUUUUUUUUUUGUAGUGGUUCUCGCUCUAGUACUUGGCACGGGCUGGUUGUUUGGUUAAUUGAGAACCUUUGUAUAUUCGAUGUUUAUACUCUCUUUUGGCAUGGUAAUGUAUAUAAGUUCCGCUUUAAGUUUUGGAUCGUUGCCUAUUUAUUCUUGUGGUUUUUUUUCUGAUUUUAAUUGAGGACUGAAGUGAUCGACUGAGUCCCGGCGAGAGCUGGGCAGGCGACCUGCCGAACCCUGGGGUACGCCCUAGGGGGAGGUGGGGCCGUCACAGAGGACACCAAGAAGCUGUUUUAAUUUCCUGCUUUUGCUCUUGCUUUGCUCCGGAUUACGGUGUGGGAUUCCAAACUGUUUUGCACAAAAUUGCUUCUCGAACUUUUAUAACCACUGUUUGUAUAAUUGCAAAUAUAUAUAUAUAUAUAUAUACGUGAUAUGACUUGAUAAGUGCUUCUUACAUGCCUAAGUGGUCAAAUACUUGAUGAAUCUUGUUCACUUGAAUGAAAAACACUUAUUUCUAGGCGAGUGUGUACUUUAUCGCACUCGACCUAACUGUUGUUGUAUCACUUAACUAUUCAAUAUUUCGUUGUUUAUAUGUUAUUUGCGUAUGCUGUAGGCCAUGUGUACUUUAUCACAUCGGCUGAAUGUGAAGACUCGCAAAUUCCUUAUAUUUUUCCUCAAAAUUCCCUUUUAUUUGAAAAGUAUUUGGUAAUUAUUAUUUCAUGCCAUCCUAUAGUUCAACCACCCUAGAAAAGUGCAAAAAGUUAUAGGAAAUUAGGGUUUUCCUAUUCGUUUUCAAUUCAAGGUGAAAUAAGAAUUUUUCGUGUAUCCGCAGUGUAAUUAUCCGGUACAGAGUACGGAUCAAAUUUGGUGCUUAAGAGAGAAUUUUAAGUGAGAAAUAAUAUGUGAUUAGAAACAAUGAAUAAAAGUUAGUGAAAAGAAAUUAAAAACCCUAGUACGGGUAAUUUAAGGAAAAAUGGCGCGAACCGACGCGUAUCAUGUACUACCGAUUUAACCACCACCUGAUCACCACUUUCUUACCCCUACAAGCUCAUUACUAAUUGAGCAAAAUACCCCCCCCUCAUGGUCAUCUCUUGGCCGAAAAUUGGGACAAAAAAGUGCAAGGAAAGAAAAGAAAAUUUUUUGGUGAAAGUUGAGCCAAGUGUUGGCCCAACUUGUGGUUACAAUUAGUCCUAAUCCUCUUACCUUCUUAUAAGACAAACUAAGCUCUUUCUCCCUCAUUUUUUCUUUCUUAGGGCCGAGACAAGAGAGAGAGAAAAGAAGAGCAAGAGAAACAAAUUUCCUUCUUGAUUUGCUUCAACCAAGUGAGAAAAUCCAAUUCUAAACCGAUUAAAGUGUGGGUUGUGAGUUGGGAAGCUUGAGGAACUAAGAAAUUUCAAAGGGGGUGAAGUAUCACUCUUCCAAGCCUUGUCUUUGAGGUAUAGAAAUCUGAUCAUGAUCCUUGUUCCUUUAAAUUUUGGUUUAAGAUGUUAUUUAGAUCAUUUUAGCUUGAUUACAAGAUAAGCAAGUUGUUGUGAUGAUUCUUGGAUGAUAUAUGCAAGCUAGGGUUUGAUUAAUUUCUGCCUAACCUUGUUUUAUAUUUAGUAUAUGUUGUAUAUAGGAGUAGAUAAGGGGCUUUGGUAGAAUUGGAAGCAAGAAAAUGGAAGGAUUGACUUGAGAUUUCAAAAAUUCCAGAUUUCUGGAAUUUCAGGAUUACAUUCUGCCCGGUUUUAGUGCUCAUAUUUAGAGGACGAAUUAGGCUUGACCUAAAACAUGAAAGUUGUAUAGAAUGGUAUUUUAUAGGUGCCUACAAAAUUUCAACUCAAUCGGAGCAACGUAGCCUGUAAAAAGAUGAAAAUACCCUCACUGUUCUAGGUUACAUUCCAGAGUUCCGCGUGGACAGUUUAGUCUAUUUGGUUGUGUUUAUUCACUAUAAUCCGUUCGGAUUUAGCCUUUUUCCAAAACAUGAAGGUUUCGGUACUCUGUCUCAUCUUUUCAACGCCACCAAGAACGCCCUAAACGGACCUUGGUAGUCUGAGAUAUGGCCAUUUGAAUUCAGUACGGUUGAUUAGCCGAAUAGUUGAAUCCAGAUUAUAUGAAUUGGGAAUUUGAUUAGGUUACACUGAAAAUUAGACUAAGUGCUCUUCAUGAAAAUUGUAUCCCUGUGUCUUAGCUUCGAAACGGUAUAAGUUAUGCCUCAAUCCGAUAAGCGUAGCCUCGGAUGUGUUCUUUCCGCAACCACACGUCAAAUCUGUCUUUGCUAGGUUACAUUUCCGCACUUGUUAUCACUUUGGUUUUUGUUCUUAUGUUGUUAUGAGCCUAUGGAAUGGCUAUUUACUUGAAUUUAUGAUAUAUAUAACUUUGGGAUUGGCUGAUUGAAAAUAAUGAAUCCAUAUAUGGCUGAAAAAUUUGGUAAACACAAAGGGCAUGCUGCCCAAAUUUACGCUCGAGGACUAGAAAACUAUACUUGCAGCUUGAGUAACGGUUAGAAGUGAUUAUCACUUGAACUAUCGAGGACCUUUGCUACUUUGUUUAUCGAGGGUUAUACGUUAGGACUUGGUCGAACUUGUACCCUUAGGAAAAUGAUAUGAAUCACUAUGAAACCGUUUUACUUGCACUUUCGACUCAAAAGUCAUCUCCAAGCAAACAUGCUAUCAAAAUUUUCCGUUUGAAAAGCGAGCAACUAUUUCACGACUAUUUCUCAAAUGAAUUUCAAUUUCUUGAUUCUUAUUGAACGAAACGCUUAAGUUUCGAACUUUAGUCGAUUUUCAAAGUUCUCAAGUCCACUUUUAUCGCAGAUUUGGACUCCAAACCCGGAGUACCACCCAGACACGAGCACUAGAGGCACUACUUUUGGUGAGUGCUUCCAAAUAUCUGAUUGAACUCGAUAUUUGCUAUUUAUCUCUGAUCCACGUGAAUACGUGAGAUAUAUGUGAUGUGAUAGAGCAAGGGUGUACUUUAUCGCACUUGCCCUAUCCAAAUUUAUUCUUGUUUAUCAAUUUCACUUGACUUGCUUUACAUGCACAUGAAUUAUAUCAUGCCUGGAAUUCCAGAAACCUUGUGGCUAGUUAAUCGAGUCGAGCCGGCAAGGGCCUGGUCGAUUAGAUAACAAACCUUGGGUCACUAGUAAAGUCGAGUGGAGUGUUACCUCCUCGGCAAAUCGGUAUACUCGAGUAUUACCACCCGUGUUUCAUGUGACGUUCGGGCCCGGUUGGGGGUUGAUUGGUGGACGGAGACUGGCGAGAAGUGGAGUUUUCUUUUUGGACUAGUUAUUACUUGAAAGUUGACGGAGUGUCAACUGCUAUUCGAUCAAGCUGGAAUGGAGCUGAGACAUGAGCAACUGUAUCCUUACUUGUGAACAUGAUCCAUACAUCUCUUGACUACUUGAAGUGUUAUCUCUUUACUUGAACUUGUUUGCUCGCUAUUUCACUAUUACAUUGUUAUAAUCUUGUUUGCUGGACAAUUUGAUAUCUGGAACAUCACUGAGCUUUGGCUCACCCUAUUAGUUUUGUUUACCUUACAGGGGUACGAGUGACGCGUGGGACGUAUAAACGCUAGCGUAGUCUAGUUAUUUUGACUUUUGACUUAUACUCGCGCUAUUCCUUGACUAGAAUGUUUUGUAAUGGGAUUUUAUACAAUUUGAACCAAUUUGGGUUUAUCGAGACUUUGUACCUUGAUUUGGUAUCAAUAUAAAUUAUAAGUUUGAACUGUGAUAUUAUUUAUGGUCCGUGGAUGUACGCAUGUGAUUCGUGUGAGCCAGUCCUGGCGAGAGCUAGGCAGGCGAUCCGCUGAACCCUCUGGUACGCCUUAGGGGGAGGUGGGGUCGUCACAGGUGGUAUCAGAGCUUAGGUUUGAAUUGAUCUGGAUAGAUUGAGUGCUUGACCUGAUAGGCUAGGGUUUUAUCCUUGAAUUUAGCCUUUAACCUUGUUUUCUGCGUGUUGAGUACUUACUUUUACAAUGUUAUUUGCAAACUUAGGUGAUGGUAGACACUGACGCUUCUGGGGGUGCGGGGCCGUCUCAACCCGUAGCUACUGAUGUACCCAUUGAUAUGCCUACUGACGUACCUACCGACGCUCCCGUGGUCGAGCCAUAUCUAGAGGGGCCCGUAUGCCGCGUGAUUACAUACUAGGAGAUCCCCGGUGGGCCAGUGCAGCGGUGGUCCCCAGCGCGCAAGAUCCGACGCUGCGAUUGCUGGAAGACCUACUCCUACCCUGACCGAGUAGUGCUCGCAGUGGAUGACGAGCGGAGACGAUUGGGUAGCACCAAUCGUAGGUGCUAUGCGGAGAUAGAGCGUCUUCGGGCUACACUCUGAGACCAGGGAGCCCGGAUCCGAGAGUUGGAGGCCUCGGUUCUGGAAGAGCAGCAGCGGACCGAUGCUUUCCGCGAGCAGGCUCAGGCGACGACUGGACGUCUGAUACGAGUAGUUGGAGAUAUACGAGACCGAACCAACCACAUCCUAACCGAGUGCGAGGCACUUGUAGAGGAUGUGAUACAGGACUUGACUGAGGAAGGUCAAGCGCCUGUAGUCCCUGAGCUUCCUGGUACUCCUGAGGAGGAUCCGGAUGAGGAUCCUGAGGAGGACCCAGAGGAGGAGCUGAGUGCAUCCUCGGAGUCGGUUGGGUCGGCGUCUAGCCAAACCACUUGUUAGGAUUGGGGUUUGAGGAGAUUUUUGGGGGAUAGUUAGGAACAUAGUGGGACGACACGUCUCCUUUUGUUUUUGAUUUUGACGUGUCAUGGUGGAAGUAAAUACCUUUUGUUCUAUGUUCCUUGGCUGUUAUAGCCUCUGACUAUGUGACUUUUCGGCCUGUAUAUAUAUGACUUGUUUGCUAUGUGUAUAAAGUGCUUGUUUAUUAUGUGCUCGAUUGCCUCUAUUUAUUCUUUUGCAACGUGUUAUACGAGUCAUACCUUACUUUGUCUGUAUAUUUAUAGCUGGUUAAAUCCAAAACAUGGAGGGUAGAAGAAGUCAAACCAGGGGAACUAACCGAGGACGCGAUCCUAGUCGAGGCCGUGGGGAUAGACACGCACAAGAACCUGUACAAGAACCGAGGGAAGAGAGAGAGGCCACGAUUGAGCCACAACCAGAACCCCAAGCUGCAGGGGGAGAUCAAGUGGCAACUGCUAUCCAGCAAAUGACCAAUAUUUUGGCUCGUUUAGUGGAACAACAGGGUCAAGCCCCUGUAAAUCAGCCUAGGGAUCCCGAAAUGGGACAAGAUAGAGCUUUAGAGAGAUUCCAAAAGUUCUCUCCACCCAAGUUCUUGGGAGGACCAGACCCGGAGGGAGCCGAUAAAUGGCUACAGGCCAUGAUCAACAUCUUUGCCGCCUUAAACUAUACAGAGGAUAGGCAAGUGCAGUUCGCUGUUUUCCAGUUUGAAGGGCCAGCUAGGGCAUGAUGGAAUGUAAUUAGGGCCAAGUGGGAGAGAGAAGGAACUGCGUGGAUCUGGUUAAACUUUGUACGAGAGUUUAACGAGAAAUAGCUUCCACCUAUCGUCCAAGAGAAGCGAGAGGACGAUUUUAUUAAGCUUUGACAGUGGCGCUUCUAGUGUAUCUGAGUAUGAGACUCAGUUUACAAAAUUGUCAAAAUUUGCUCCUGAGUUGAUUGCUACGGAGCCAAGAAAAGUACGGAGAUUCGUGCAAGGGCUCAAUGUGGAGAUACAGGAAGCUUUGGCGGCAGCCCAGAUUAAUACAUUUACGGAGGUUUUGGAGAAGGCCCUAAGAAUAGAGAUUGUCAGGGCACAAGUGAAAAAUUUCCACGCCAAAUGGAAAGGAGGACCUAGUGGAGCCCAAGGGUCAGUACGGAGUGAUCAAAACGCGCCACCUGCCAAGUUCGGUCGUGGGGCUGGAGGUGGACGGUUUUCAAGUGCGUCUAAGGGAGGUGCUCCGAGAGGAGGUACUCAGAGGGGAGGCCAAAGUGGUAGGGGGCAAGGUAGAGGAAUUCCACAAGGAGGCCAGACCUCUACUUCCCGAGUGACGUGCGGAUAUUGUGGAAAACCGAAUCAUACAGAGGAUGAAUGCUGGAGAAAGGUUCGAAAGUGCCUAAUGUGUGGGAGUACGGAACACCAAAUAAUCAACUGCCCGUUGAUCAGUGAUACCCAGUCGACUGCCAGGUCAAACCCAAAACCGACCAAUGCUGGAGGGACUAGGUCGAGAGUUCCGGCCAGAGUAUAUUCACUGGACCAACAAUCCGUGCCUGAACCAACGGAAAUAGUUGAAGGUACGAUCCCUGUCUUUUACCGGUUAGCAAAAAUUUUGAUAGAUCCUGGUGCUACUCAUUCUUUCGUUAACCCUACAUUUAUGCUUGGAAUUGACAUGAAAGUUGAAAAGCUACCUUAUGACCUAAAAGUAAGAACACCUACGGGUAACCAAGUUUUACUUGUGAAUGAAGUAUAUAGAAAGUGCGAUAUUUGGGUUGGUGAACGAAAGUUAGUAGUCGACCUCAUUAGUCUAGCCAUAAAAGGGUACGAUGUCAUUCUAGGUAUGGAUUGGCUAGCUCGCUACCAUGCUCGGGUAGAUUGUAGAAUGAAGGUAGUGGAGUUCUGCAUACCAGGUGAGGCAACUUUAAAGUUGGAUGUGAGGGGUAUGUUAGCCUCAUCUGUGCUUAUUUCAGGAAUAAGGGCUAGGAAGUUGCUUAGUCGUGGGGCACGAGGUUACUUAGCUUUUAUGAUUAACACUCCAGGAGAAAAGAUUAAGUUGGAAGACAUGCCAGUAAUCAGUGAAUACCCGGACGUAUUUCCGGAGGAGUUGGAGUCUCUGCCACCCGAAAGGGAGAUUGAAUUUAAAGUUGACCUAGUACCCGGAAUUACUCCUAUUUCGAAAACCCUUAUCGUAUGGCACUUGCUGAACUUAAGGAGUUAAAGGUGCAAUUGCAGGACCUGCUAGAACGAGGGUUUAUUCAUGAGAGUGAGUCCCCGUGGGGAGCUCCAGUGUUAUUUGUUAAGAAGAAGGACAGGAGCUUAAGGUUGUGCAUUGACUAUCGAGGGUUAAAUGCAGUAACUGUUAAGAAUAAAUAUCUUUUGCCCCACAUUGAUGAGUUGUUUAAUCAGUUACAAGGGGCUGUGGUGUUUUCUAAAUUGGAUCUGCGACAAGGGUAUUAUCAAUUGAGAAUUAGAAAGGAGGAUAUGCCAAAAACGGCGUUUAACACUCGAUAUGGGCAUUUUGAGUUUGCGGUAAUGCCAUUUGGUUUAACCAAUGCUCCAGCGGCAUUCAUGGAUUUAAUGCAUCGAGUGUUUAAACCUUACUUGGAUAGGUUUGUAGUGGUGUUCAUUGAUGAUAUCCUAGUAUAUUCAAAGUCAAGAGAGGAGAAUGAACAACACUUGCGGAUAGUGCUGCAAACCUUAAGAGAGCACCAAUUGUUCGCUAAAUUCAGCAAGUGUGAAUUUUGGCUGGAAGAAGUAGCGUUCUUAGGUCAUGUAAUCUCAAAGGAUGGACUUGCUAUAGACCCGGUGAAAGUGGAGGCUGUAGCGAAAUGGAAGCGACCAGAGAAUCCCACUGAGGUACGAAGUUUCCUAGGUUUAGCAGGGUACUACCGCCGAUUUAUAAAGAACUUCUCGAGAAUUACGGGACCCUUAACUAACUUGACCAAGAAACAAGGAAAGUAUAUUUGGGAUGUUAAGUGCGAAAGUAGUUUCCAAGAGCUUAAGAAGCAGUUAACUAUGGCUCCAGUUUUAGCCUUGCCCAAUGGGAACGAUAGCUACACGGUUUAUACCGAUGCUUCAAAAGAAGGGCUAGGGUGCAUGUUGAUGCAAAAUAGGAAUGUGAUUGCCUAUGCAUCUCGGAAGUUAAAACCUCAUGAGCAGAAUUAUCCGACCCAUGACUUGGAGCUUGCAGCUGUAGUGUUCUCUUUGAAGAAAUGGCGACAUUAUCUCUAUGGUGUAAUUUUCGAGGUUUAUACGGAUCAUAAGAGCCUUAAGUAUCUGUUUUCUCAGAAGGAGCUAAAUCUAAGACAACGCCGGUGGGUAGAGUUCUUAGAAGAUUAUGACUGUACAAUUAACUACCAUCCUGGAGAAGCUAACGUUGUAGCAGAUGUUUUAAGCCGAAAGGCUCAACUAGCAAGUUCCAUAGUGGGAGAGUGGAGCCUGUUAGAAGAUGUCUGUGAGUGGAAACCUCGUUUGGAACCGGAGAAGGUGAUUUUUGGAAAUAUUGAGGUGAGGUUGGCAUUGAUGGAGCGGAUCAAAGAGGGCCAAGUAAAGGAUCCAAUAGUGCAAAAGUGGGUGGAAAAAGUGAAGAAAGGGGAGUUGCCUAACUUUAAUAUAGGUCCUGAUGGAAUCUUGAAGUUUCAAAAUCGUGUCGUUGUACCUAAGGAUGAGGAAUUAAGGAGAGAGAUUUUGGAGGAAUCACACCGCUCUAGGUAUACGGUGCACCCAGGGAAUAAUAAGAUGUACCAAGAUCUUAAAGGCCAGUAUUCUCACAAGUGAAUGUAUGGCUCUAGUCAUGGUUAUUUAUACUGGUAGCAUUGUUAUUGGGUCCGAGGGAAAUCUGGAUGAAAGGUGGUUCCAAUUUGAAUAGGAGUAAACUUCUAAUCCUAUAUGGAUUGUUGGUAGGACAUUGAAAGAAAGUAACUUCAUGUACAAUUGAGAAUGGAGUCGGGCGAGCUUUAUUGCUUUGAAGUCAAUUUGUGAAGAAAUUGGGAACUCAAGUUUAAUGUCAAUUAUGAUUCUAACAUCAAUUUGGCUUCAGGACUUCAUGCUCGGUUAAUUAGAUUUUGUUAUGCGUGGUUAGUAGAAUUCUAACGAAUCUCAAACUCUACUUGGAAUUGUCCGAUGGCAAUUGGUUUCUGGUUCGGCUUGGGAAUGUGGAUAUGAGGCUAAAGAAAGUGGAUUGAUCUUUUGGAAAUUGGAGGUCUUGCUCUUAUGAUAUUCAAUCUGAGUUAAAAAAAGUACUGAAACCUGUUCGUGAAUGCUAAAAAAAAAACAAAAACAAAACAAAAAAAUUGGAGCGGAUCUCAACAAAUGUUAACACAAUUUGUAUUGGACUUCCUCUUGAGUUUUUGGAUUUAAUUCAGCAACAAGAGUGUGUAGCCCACCAAGGAUGUAAAUGCUAGCUUUGGGAGGUUGUUCGAACCGCACAAGGGAAAGAAUUAUUGUGUGCGUGAUGCUCAAAUUCCUACAAGUGAAAGGAGAUUUACAUGAGUCACCAACUUGAGGAUAUUGCAUGGUAUGGCUGGCCUUGGAAAUUGAGAUGGCUUAUGUCUUUGAGGGAUAAGGGAAUGCAGUUUCCUUGUGUAAUUAAAAGGUUACGCCUUGGUAGGAGUUGUCUACAAUUCUCGAAAGUAUACUUUCCAGGUUUCGCGGAUUGAGCCUGCCAUAAAUUGAAUUGACUAAUUCAUAAGAUAUAAGAAUUCUAGUCAAGCUUUGAGAUGUCACGCGUGUAUGUCGUUUGCAUCCUAAGGAGCAAAAGAAAGCUUGGGAAUUCGGCCAAGAUAAUGAAGAUGUCAUUUGGUCUUGGGAGCCUACACUGCCAGAUGAUGCAUACAUUUGAUAACAUAGCGGUGGAAUUUAAAAUGUCUUGCAGGACUAUCUCAUGUUGAUAAAAGCAGCCCUCUCUACAUUAUCAUUGGUCUAUAUUGGUCUAUGAGGCAUUUGAUAACACCAUGUCGUCAUUGGUUCAAUAGCCACGGCAUUGCAGAGCUUUGAAUAAAGUCCAUGCAUUGAUAUUUGAAUUACAAAAAGUCAUAGCAUUGAAUGGACUUUACUUGGAUUAAUAUUCAAACGGUGGACAUAAAGCUUCCAAAUGAAGUGAUCCGGCCUCGGGAAAUUGAAGGCACUAGUGAUCUUGGAAAUUGAGGUCAUUAAGGAUGCAUUGGUGGUGUUUCACGUGGAGUUUGAGACCACUAAAUUGUUGGACUAUUAUUUGAGAUCACCAAGUCACUAAAUCUUCAAGUUUAGUCUAUUUAGGGACUUAUUUGAGAAUUCAUAUCCCGACGAUGCUCAAAUAAAAAAAAUGUCGAAACUUGUCCGUUCAAAUCUCGCUUCAAUCUUCAGUAUUCGCGAACAAGUUUCGAGGGGCAUUUGUAGACAAUGAAAUUUUAAAAUUACUAUUGGUCCAUAAAUUGUUUUUUUUGUGGCUUAUUUCUAUCCAAUCGGGUAUCGCCAUAUGUCAUGUACACUUGGAAAAAUUGGUUAUUAAAUGGCCAAUUAUAUUUUGCCACAUGUUAAAGUGAGGUGUUUCAAAUCAAUUCAAAUUGUAGGGAUAUCUCCACCAACCAAAUCAUUUCAUAUCACGUGGAUAAAUAUCUAAGUAUUUAUUUCUUAUUAAAGGGAUAAUAUUUAGAGUUGUGUAAUCCAAGUAUAUUUCUUAUAUACUGCAAUAGCUUAUCUAGUUAAACGGCGCCACGUCACAUGUCCCCACGAGUUUGGCCAAUCGAGGAAUUACUUAUCUUUUUAUUAAUAAAUAUAAAAUGAAGAGAUAAUAUUUGACUAGCACAGUCCUAAUAUGACUACACGUCUUGCAAGGCAAUUAAAGUGGUACACCGGUCUUCAACCUCUACCUCUUGUUACAGCUAUAAAUAGGGGUCUCUCAACCAAAUCAAGGGGAUACAGAGACAUCUAGAGGCAUCUCAUACGCUCAAGCAUUGAAACUCCAAGCCACGAAAGGUCCGGGUCUUCAAGCUCUUCAAGUCUCCCAUAUAUCAAGACUUGAGUCUUCAAAAUUUCUUUCAAGUUCUUCGAAUCUUCCAUCUCAAGAUUUGAAGGAACCGGUGGUGGAUCCAAGAACAAGUUACGAAUCCCUUGGAUUGGCGUUCAAGGAGGAGAAUCGAGGGGAACUCUCUACAAGUCCAAGAAAAUCCCAGAGAUUGUACUCACAUAUUUUCUUAAAUUUAUAUUACACAUUUGUCGUGUAUAUUUCUUGUUUUUUUGCAAACUCGAAAUUUUAUCGCAUACAGCCAUAUAUACAUAUUUUCAAUUCCUUUUUGUUAAAGACAACAACAACAAAAGAAUGGCAAGAUUGAGGAAGAAAAACAAGUAUUCCGCCUUCUUCAAGAGAAUGAUCAGCCACAAAUUCCAAUUUUGAUGGAAAUUCUUUUUUAUCAUUUUCGAUGACAUAAAUUUUGCUCCCAUUCUACAAUACUAUCGUUGGAGUUGUGCUUUGCUCAAGGGAAUAAUCAGCAUAUUUUAAACUUCCAAUAAGCAACAAAUUUAUAAAAAGUUUCAAUUAGAUCACAAUAAAGUUCUAAUGCCGAGAAUUUAAAAUACAACAUAGAGAUACAUAUCAAACAAUACUUAAAGACACAGGAGUAAAAAACUGAUAAAAAAAAUUAAGAAUCGUGCAAUCAUGGCUAAGAAAGGGAUUUAUAGAUGAUGUAAUUGUCUUGGAAAGUGUUUGUUGAUCCAUGCAUUGUGCAGUCAAACAAAGAGAUGAAAAAUUCUCUCCUAGAAUGGAUGCAAAGUCUAUAUGUAAUGGCGUGCAAUCAGUAACUUCUUUUUGUAAAAGCAGGAUAGAAAGAAGUCUAAACCAUGCAUGUAAGAAUAUUACAUGACUGAAUAAGGAAUGAGGAUUCAAUUUGAAGGAACAAAAAUAACAUACCGGAGUUGUUAAAAGCAAAAUUCUGAAGGGAACAAAAUGAAGAAAAAGACAAAAGAUAGAGAACAAAAGUUUAACAACUAUACCUAUAUAGCCACAAAUAUAUCAAAUAAGUAAUUAUGGUCAGAUUAGCAAUGACUUUUCUACAUUAUAAAGCAAGCUGAGGUAGACACUUUAACAAAAAUGGGCAUACAAGUUUCAAAAUGCCUACCUAGAAUACAAAAUAACUACUAAAUCACAAGCCAGUUCUGGAUUCAUGUGUCUAAUAUUGAGACAAACAUAUUAAAAGGUAACGAUCAGACAAAAAGUACCUGUGAUCAAACUAUCAAUGUCGCCCCUAUUGUAUUUAUAUAAAAAAAACCAGUCUAACCACUUAACAAAAAUAGUCACACAAGUCUAAAUGUACCUGCCAAGAAGAUAAAAUAACCACUAAACCAUAUGCAAGUGUUGGCUUCAUACAUUUGAUAGUCAAACAGAUUAGUAAGUAAUAAUAGGAAGACAAAAGCAGUAACAGAAACACUUUUACAAUAUCACACAGAUAGGUAUGGAAAAAUAAAAUGAGAUUUGUGUUUGCCAUAUUAUAUUGUAAAACAAGUAUUUUGCCUUCUUCAAGAAUGGUAUGGCCAAUCACAUAUAUAGCUCAAAAUAAGUCAAAAACAAUAAAUACAAUUUAAACCUGCAACUCUCUCAUAUAUUCAUAAUAUAUUGUAAAGAACUUGCUUACAACUGAAUUUUUCUUUGGUAUUGCUCUACCUCUUGCUUCCUGAUUGCCAAAUCAAAGAAAAAAGGAUUUAAAAUGGAUGACUUUACUUUAGUACAUAUGUGUGGCAACAAUAAUGUAAUAAAGUUCGGUUGUAAUGUAUGUCAUACCAUUCUUUGAUGAUAUUAGCAUUUGCAAAGAUAGACCUAACUCCUCAACAGCUAAUAGCUACUGGAGCUGUGAUUUACAUCAGUUUUAGGAAUCCUCCUCUAGCAUCGUAGACUACUGAAAAACAAUUUAAAGACAAUGUAAAAUUUCUACAAAUAUUAAAACAGUAAUUGGAUUAGAUAUGUGCCAUAAAUGUAGUCAAAUUUGUAGGGUCCUACGUGAUUUUACCAAUCUUAACACUAAUGAAAUUUCAUGCAAGAGCUCUUGCAUAGUCUCUAGCUAAUAAAAUCCCUAGACAGAAUUUCAAGUCAUCAAUUUAAGGAAGAUGUUGUUCAAGCUCUGGUACAGCAUAGAAUUGUUAAUUCAUAUUAAGCAAAUCCUUGUUCUAUCAUUAACAAAAUCAAAACCUCUUUGGAUGCUCAAAAGGUUCUUUUACUUUAUAUGUAGCAAACACCACUCUCUUUCAUAAGCAAGGUGGUCAACUACAUAUGUUUGGUCAUGGCACAAACUCCAUGUGACAUUCAUAAAAAAAACCAACCAAUCGCUACAACAAGAUAUAAAACACUGACCAUAUAUUUAACCACUAAUUUACAAAUUAUAGUAGAAAUACAUAGCGACUUUAUAAAAAACAUAGGACUUCUUUAAACACUCUUGAAGGUCAAACAAACCAUCUCCACUAACCAGACCAAAUGACAAAUAAAACUAAGACCAUGACAACUCUAUCUGAUUCAGAUUAAAGCAAAUAAAAAGUAUAUGGUUGAGAAACAAUCAUUAAGAAUGGUCAAUUCUAAAUAAUGAGAAUUCACAAACUCGCCUAUUGAAUAUGUUCAGCCACGUAAUCAAGUAGUUUCUUUCCAUCUUGAACAUGGAAUCCUGCUAAAAAAAAAACAGGUUAAAAACAAAAAUUAAGUCUAAAUUCAAAAUUUAUUUCAAGUAGAUGGGGAGUGAUAAAAAAUUGAAGAAUUAUAAAUCACCAUCCAUAAAUCUGUCUCAAUCUAAAGAAACAUAAACUCAUUACAUUAUCCCAUAACAACCUGAACCAUCCAAUAAAUUGAUGAGACAAAUGUGUAAGGGAAAAGAACCAAAGAAAUGUCCAAUUUCAGCACUUGCGCAUGAAAUUGAUAAAAAUACUAAAAGAGUAAAGGAGAAAAAGAUAAGAAAGGAGAAAAAAAAAACCCAAAGAGGUUUGGCCAUACCACUUUAAAAGAAAACCCAAAAAAUUGAUGAGAUCAGAUACUGAGAAAUCCAAGAGCAGCAUCCCACUGAUCAUCUCUGUUUUAAAAGAAAGUAUGGAAAAAAUACAUUUUAGAGAAAAUACUGAUUCGGCAACUUCUAAGCUCAAUAUGGAGUUGCUAAUGAAAAUUAUGGAAACUAAGCCUAUUUAAUAUCGAACUGGGGCACUUGCUAAUAGAAAAAAAGCCAGAACUUGCCAAGUGGACAGAUGACCACUACAAGGAAAAGAGGAAUGAGAAAUUCUGAGGAGAAACUGCUGGAAAACGAGCAGAGAAGGAAAAACAAUUCAGAGUUAUGCAACGAAUUCUUGAUGAGAGGAAAGCCGAAAUGGCAUCUGCAAAUGGGAAUGAUGCUGAAGAGAAAGGUUUCUAAAAUCUUCUGAUGAUACAGUAAGGGAAGGAGGAAAGGGAGUAAUGGAGGGAUACAGAUAGGGCAAGGGAGAGGAAAGGGGAAAGAAG